AAGAUCAAGAAGGACGACCCUAGUGUUCCAAGCAUCGAGUGCACAAUCAACAGAUACUCUUUUCAGAAGACACUCUACGACACCGGAUCUGACAUCAAUGGCCACAGCCACUUAUCAGCUCCUGAAUGGAACCAUGCUCCUACAACCAAGAUAUAUUCAGCUCUAGAUGAUUUUCAGGUCAUUGACAUGGGAGAAGACGAGUACGAUCCACCCAUCAUCCUUAGAAGACCGUUCCUCAACACUAUCAAAGCCAUCAUCUAUAUUGGAAUCGGAGAAGUCCACAUAUACUUCUCCUCUAAGAAGGUAUGCCGCUGUUUUACUAACCCUAACCAUAUAGUUGAAAACUCUAAGGAGGUCAGGACAACAAGAAGACAACACAACCGCAACCAGAGGAGGCAAAUCAUCAAGGACAGAUGGGCAGACUACGAAAGAGAAGUGAUAUGGUCUGAAGACAUACAACUUAAACAGAACUGUCCUGAGGAGACCGUAGCACCGAGUUAGGUGUGGAGAGAGAAGAUAGUUACACACGAAGAGGAGGCGCCGCCGGAACCACCGACUACGCCAUCCAGCGAAUCCUAGGACGACUGAAAACGGAGAGUCCCAUUCGGAGGACUUAAAAACACCGAACGCCUUGCCCAGAGGUAAACUUGGUAGUUAUCCUUUUCCCUUCAAUUAUUUAAAAUAGUUUGCUUACUUAAUCAGGUUCAUACUAUCUUGAAAAGAAAAUAAAAAUGUUAAAAAUAGUAAGCCCCAUGUGAGUAGACUUGUCGUUUAAAAACCCAUAGGUAUAUUGACUGUGGUGGCAUAAAAUAAAUAUGUUUUCAUCUUACAAUAAAAAUAUAAAAAUAAUAAGUGCAUGAUCCUGCUAAAUAAGUAACAUUUAUUGAGGAGGCUCAAUAUGAUAAAGGCUAGAUAUUUAUGCUAACACUUAACCAGUUCCACAAAGCUUUGUUGUCUAUUUGAGCUCCACAGAAUUCAAGGAUCAAAAAAGACUAGCAGACGGAGGACAUCCUAAUCGCUGUCAAGGUGCUGCCGACUUUCAAAUACACCUCCACCACCUGCUAGCUACAUCAGAAGAAAUUACGUCAAAAUCCAGCUUGGGGGAGAGCACCCCCAUUUAUCCAGCUAAGUGUUUCUACUCGCGUUUAUACUUUACUCAAAUAAUAAAAGAUGCAUAAUCAUGAAAACCCAAAUAAAGAUUUUGUGCUUUUAUAUAUAUAUAUCUUUUCUUAGUUUGCUAAAUAAAUAAAUAAAUAAAGUUUGCUAUGAACCCUCAUGAUAAACUCUCACAUGGAAAUGAUGAAUAGUUGCUCUGCCAUGACUAGUUCUUAAAAUUGAAAUCUCUCUCAAGUUUAGGCAUGACUGUUAUGAAGUAAGAUUUGCUCUAAACCUGAACUUGUGGGAAGAGUACUUGAUCUAAAGUCUAAGUCGUGAACGAAUAUGAUAUGGGAAGGUUGAGCUGCUGUUUAUCUAUUCCUAGAGAUGCUAGAAUUCUGGAGAAUUUUAUCUUUGAAAAUCUUUAAAAUAACACAUGAUGAGUUCCUGUAUGACGAGAGUUUAAAUUCCUACCACAGCCAUACAUACAUACUUAUUAGACAUUGAGCCACAUAUUUACUUCUUACUGCUUAUGAGCAUUAAGUGUGGUCAAGCUGUGUAGACCCUUAGGAGCUUGUCAUGUGGUUAAAAUCAAGAUUCACUUGCACGUUCACUCAUACAUGCUACUUCUACUCCGGAAGUACGCAUCCACAUAUACCCACUCAAUUCCAUCUCCAGAUUCACUUAAAAUUAUUCUAUUCCUAAUCCGGGAGAGAAUAGCCAAAAAAAUAUUUUUCUAUCCCCGUUAUUCCCUGUGAAAUAAAUGCUCCAGUUAUUUUGGUUACUACCACUUGCUAAAUUAUUUCAGGAGAUGAGUGCUCUAAAAAAAGAAAGAAAAAAAAGAGAAAAAAAAUAAUAAUAAUAUGAGGAAAUAAAAAGGGGCAAGUGCCCGGAACCUCGAAGAAAAGAAAAAGUGAGACGAGAGGUAAAAAUGGACAAGUGUCCGACAGUAGAAUUAGGGGUACAAAAUACCCACCUGAGAGAAAAGAAAAAUAAAAUAUAGAGCAUCUCAUUCUCCCCAUAAAGCUUCAAAGUGCAAGAAAGGUAUGUAUCCCGUCAAAAGAGCAAAAGUAGAAUUAGACUUUCACCAUUAUUAUCACCAUCAUGAUCAUACACCAUUCAUUCUCCACACAUGCACAUCUUGAUUUGACUUAUUGACUUGUUUCUCUGGAUUCAUGGUUUGACUAUGCAAUAAAUGUCUUGUAAGUAUAUAUUAGUUGUCUCCCACCUAUGAGCUCCAGAUAUCAAAACCUUAUUAGAGUAGGGUGAGAGAGAAGCCAAUAUCACUAUGCCUCAUACCACAAAUACUACAUACUUUGAGAGAAGGCAUAUAUCAUUACUACCCUGGUAAGGAUCCAGAAAUACCACAAAAGAGAGAUUUGAGAGAGUCAUAUAAGGAAUCUCUGAGUUUUAUUUGAAAAUCUGCAAAAACUCCAGAGCUAUAACUAAUCAAGAAUACGAGACAUGGCGCUUGACUAGACCGUUCUAUCUUUUAACUGCUCAAGACACAAGUGACGGUUACAAGCCCCAUGGUAAGGUAAAAUGAGUAAGUUUUAAGUCUUAACAGUUUAUUCUAACUCAGAGAUGAGAUCUUGCUUGAAUGCGUGUGUACUUUUAAGGCAUGAAACCACUGCAGAAACUCUUGAGUCCAUCCUUGCUCAGGGACGAGCAAGAGGUAAGCUUGGGGGAGUUGUUGACGGUCCUUAAGUACCAAAAAUAAUCAUCAAAUAAAUAAAGAAAAAGAUCCAAAUGCAACCAACACCUAGACUUAGGGUUUUAUCUGACAGAAUUCCACGAGUUUUGGUGUUUGUCUAUUUCUGCAGGGGGUUAUCAGGAAAUGCGGAAGAAAGGCCCACAUGUCGGGAUUACAUAGAGUUAUCAACACACCGCGCAAUUUUCUACCAUCUAGAAGACUCCAAAAGCCACGAGAAGAAAGCAGAGGCCGAAAGGAGCCAGGCCCAGGGCGCCCGCCCUGAGGACCUGGGCGCCCGCCCACCUCUGGAUGCCAAUCAGAACUCUCAUCGCACACGAUGUUCCACCGACCUAAAGGAUCAAGGAUAACGUAGUACCACGUCGCCUACCGACCCAAAAACACAUAGAGGAGGAGGACUAUAUAAGGAGACCCCCUAGCCCCUGGAGAAGACAAGAAGUUAUCUUAGAGUUGAGGGGUGCCCUCGAAGGAAAACCUCUUCUCUAAAUAGAAUUUCUUUUUAGGCUUAGCAACCAAUGUAAGUAGAAAUAGAUCUUCUAGUUUCUACUAGAUUGAAAGAUAUAGAGUGGAGGUGUAGAUCGGAGGAAGCUCAGCCUGUCAGUGUCUACUCCGAGUUGUACCUGCGGGAUCAAGUCUCCUAACCCGAGGCUUGCUUCUAAGAUUCUUCAGUAAUUCGACUUCUAAUUCUAGUAAGUUCUUGUUUUAUUGUUCUUUGGUUUAUGAGUUUACUUUAAUCCUCUUCCGGUUGAGUAUUAGAGUAAUCAUUGCUAGCGUAAACAUGGUGUUUAGGCUAGGGUACUCAUAGAUAUCGCCUGACUAGCUGGUCUGUGGUAGUAGCGAGGAACGUGACAUUUCCGAGUUACCUUUGUAUCCCAUAUCUUGUUAGGAGGAAGGGUAGGGUUUAUAGGUGCGGGUCGAACAUCCUUUGUGGUGUCUAGAUUCCGUAAGCUUCCCCAAUAGAACAGUAGAUCAUCCUUACCAAGGUUAGAACGAGACUACGGUUGCAGUCUUCUCUAUACAUCGCUCACAUCGAGAAACAUUCUUUGUAGCCUAAAGGGGUAAUAGCAAUAGAUUUGGUUAGUCAGAUGCACCCUUUCUCCCAGUGGUAAAAAUAUAAAUAUGAUACUCUGGAAAACCUCGCGGGUGAAAUGCUCACCGAUAUCCGUGCGCUUGCGGAUCAUUUCUUUAUUGCGUUACCAAAUAUCAACACAAAGUAUUCGAGUUAUCACCUUUGUCGGUUGUAAAGUCAAAUCGGCUGGCAUGCCUUAAUGUUGAAUCGAGUAUUAGCCCUUUGUGUUUGCAGAUCCACUUUUGCAUCAACAGGAGGAGUUGAUGAGCCUGAUUGACUGGUCACGCCUUGAUGGACCUGGUGUGAUCAGCAACUUCCUCAUCCGACGAGUCAUGUCGUGCCAGAGGAGGGUGUACUCAGCGUACGAGUACCAAGGAGGCCAGAAAUCAACCAGGAUGCGUCAUGACAGCUUGGAGAAAUCGGAGAUCCAGCAAAGGAUCAACGAACUGUUCAACCUGGCCGACAGCAGCUUCAUGCAUAGCACGAUCGCAUGCACGCGUAUAAAUUAGGCCGACCAGCUCCCAAGGUAAAAAUGAUUUCGAUCGAUUUGUGUUUUUGUAAACUGUCAUGCCCUUCUUCGGAUAGCUUUAUCGCCUUUGUCUUGCAGAUCAGAGACAUUGACCAAGCGACGAUGUAUGUAUCACUAGCGCCCGACAUGGAGCACCUGACCGGAGUGAACCCACCGAUGGACAACGCUGCUCGGUGUUACCGGUACACUAGCAGCGAUGAAGAUGAUAAUCGAUCGGCGCCGACCACCGAUGAUAGGGUGGCCGAUGUUGGACAUUCUUAACGUCACUACCAAAAGUAGACUUAGUUUUCUAAUUCUGAUAACGGCGCCAAAAAUGCCAAACCUAUCCCUCAUGCCACUUAAGCCAAGUUGUCAUCCCCAUCAUGACAUGAGAGACACGGUAUUGAAAUAUGCAGUUGCUCUUCUGAAUGAAUAAUAAAUGAGAUAUGCAAGCGCACAGAUUAAUACCGAUGUAGCAUUUUAACCGAGAAGUAUUCUAGGUAUCGUUAUUUAUAUUUUUACCACUGGGAAGGGAUUUCUAAUCAUCAAUGUUGAUUAUAGAAUGGAAUAUAGAAUUGAGUAUCUAUCAUUGCAUGUAUAAUUGAGAACAUUUAUCUAUCUAUUUCAUACAGGGAUAAAUGUCACAUAAAAGAUAUAGAUAAAGUAUGAAUGGUGACAAAGAUAACUAAUCUGAUCAGCAUAACUAGCCACAUAUAAAUAUGAUAAGCACCUCAAUAGAUAUUCUAGCAAGUCAUUAGCAUGGAAUUAGGACGAACUACAAGAAUAUUUCCUAAGUUAUUCUUAACUAUAAAGUCUAGCAUAUCAUAGUUAGUGCAAUUAUACUUGGCAAUCAUUGCGAGACAGGACUACGCCCUUGCAUAGUGAUAUUAUCAAGGAAGAUGAGAAACAUAGCAAUCACUCCCCUGUAAUAAUGUUGCGCUGCCAGUCCUAUACACGAGAGGGGGACUAUAUAAGAAUCAAUGGAGCUGUCACCACCACGAACUACCCCGCGAUCAAGCAUAUAGGGUACAAUCGCACAUAAAUACGGUAUAUGCACCAUGCCUACACAAUACUUAUCAUUUACCCACUAUACACAUAGAUAAAUGCUAUAUGAUCCUAAACAUGUAUAUAAUUCCAAUCUAACUAAGCCAAGCGUAUAACUAUGAUAAACUAAGAACAAUAUAAUUGCAAACAUAAGCAAGUAGAGCAAAGUCAUAAUCGAUAUAUUGAAGUAGAAUAGAGUCAUAUUCAUAAUAUUGAAGAACAAAUAUGAACAAUUGAAGAACAAUAGAGGAAUUACCAAGAAUCCUCUUGACAGAUCUGGAAACCAAUCGAAGAUUGACUCCUUCUAGUUCUAAUCCUAUGUACCUAUGCUAAACUAGAGAUCUAAUUGAUGUGGUGGCUCUAGGGCUUGAUCAGAGGCUUCUUCUCCCAAGAUGAAUAAUGAAAUAGGGUUUAGAGGUCCUCUCCUCUAGGGGCCAGGGGAUCUGAUUAUAUAGUCCUUCCAAGUGAAUAUGGGUCAUCGGAUCAAACCGACAUUAAUCACACGGUUUUCCUUGAUCCUUUAGGUCGGUGGAGCAUGAUCCGCGAAGUUGCAUUUGGAUCCUUUUCUUUGUUUAUUUGCUGAUUAUAUUUGAUACUUAAGGACCAUCAACAAACUCCCCCAAGCUUACCUCUUGCUCGUCCCUGAGCAAGGAUAAUCUCCGUGAUGGAUUAGAAGUUGUUGUAAUGCCUUUAAAAAUUGACGGUACACAUGCUUUCAAAUGAGGUCUCAUCUCUGAGUUAGAGUAAACUGUCAAGACUUAAAACUUACUUAUUUUACCUUUCACCAUGGGACUUGUAACCGUUACUUCUGUCUUGAGCAGUUAAAAGAUAGAACGGUCUAGUCAAGCACCAUGUCUCUUAUUCUUGAUCAGCUACAGCUGUGGAGUUUUUGCAAAUUUUCAAAUAAAACUCAGAGAUUCCAUGUAUGACUCUCUCAGAUCUCUCUUUUGUGGUAUUUCUAGAUCCUAACCAAAGCAGUGAUGGUACAUGCCUUCUCUUAAAGUAUGUAGUAUUUGUGGUAUAAGGCAUAGUGACAUUGCCUUCUCUCUCAUCCUACUCUAAUAAGGCUUUUAUAUCUGGAGCUCAUAGGUGGGAGAUAAAGUAUACAUACUUACAGGACAUUUAUUGCAAGUCAAACCAUGGAUCCAGAGAAACAAGUCAAUAAGUCAAAUCAAGAUGUGCAUGUGUGACGAAUGAAUGGUGUAUGGUGAUGAUGGUGAUAACAAUGGUGAAAGUCUAAUUCUACUUUUGCUCUUUUGAGGGGAUACAUACCUUUCUUGUUCUUUUGAAACUUUUUUGGGAGAUUGAGAUGCUCUAUAUUUUCUUUUUCUUUCCUCUCAGGUGGGUCUCUUGUACCCAUAAUUCUACUGUCGGACACUUGUCUAUUUUUACCUCUCGUCUCACAUUUUCUUUUCUUUCGAGGUUCCGGACACUUGCCCCUAUUUAUUUCCUCGUAUCUUUUCUCUUUUUUUUAGAGCACUCAUCUCCUAAAAUAAUAUAGCAAGUGGUAGUAACCAAGAUAACUUGAGCAUUUAUUUUACAGGGAAAAACAGAAAUGUUUUUGGCUAUUCUCUCUCGGAUUAGGAGUAGAAUAUUUUUGGGUGGUUCUGGAGAUGGAAAUGGGUGGAUAUAUGUGGAUGCGUACUUCCGAAGUAGAAGCAGCAUGUGAGUGAACAUGCAAGUGAAUCUUGAUUUUAACCACAUGACAAGCUCCUAAGGGUCUACACAGCUUGACCACACUCAAUGCUCAUAAGGAGUAAAAAGUAAAUGUGUGGCUCAAAGUCUAGCAAGCAUGUAUAUAUGGCUGUGGUAGGAAUUUAAAUUCUCAUCAUACAGGAACUCAUCAUGUGAUAUUUUAAAGAUUUUAGCAUCUCUAGGAACAGAUAAAAUUCUCCUGAAUUCUAGCAUCUCUAGGAACAGAUAAACAGCAGCUCAACCUUCCCAUAUCAUAUCCGUUAACAACUUAGACUUUAGAUCAAGUUCUCUUCCCACAAGUUCAGGUUUAGAGCAAGCUUUAAAUUAUAACAGUUAUGUCUAAACUUGAGAGAGAACUUCAAAUUUGAAAAUUAGGCAGAGCAAGUAUUCAUCAUAUCCAUGCUAGAGUUUUAUUAUUAAGAUUCAGUUUAGCAUAGCCACUUUAUUUAUUUAUUAAGCACACUAAGCAAAAGAUAUAUAUAUAUAUAUAAACACAUAAUAUUUAUUUGGUUUUUCAUGGUUAUGUAUAUUUACAUUAUAAUAUAGUAUAAGUAUAAAUAUAUAGAUAGAAUACUUAGCGGGAUAAAUGGGGUGCUCUCUCCAAGCUGAAUUUUGACGUAAUUUCUUCUGAUGUAGCUAGCAGGUGGCAGAGGUGUAUUUGAAAGUCGGUAGUACCGUGACAGCGAUUAGAAUGUCCUCCGUGUGCUAGUCUUCUUGAUCCUUGAAUUCUGUGGAGCUUUGUGGAACUGAUUAAGUGUUACCAUAAAUAUCUAGCCUUUAUCAUGUUGAGCUUCCUCAAUAAAUGUUACUCUCUUUGGAAGGAUCACAAUCUUAUUUUUAUAUUUUCAUUUUUAUAGAGCAGAACAAUAUUUAUUUUAUUUUUAUGCCACCACUGUGAAUAUACUUAUGGGUUUUAUGCCACUUGUAUACUCACAUGGGGCUUACUGGUUUUAACAUUUUUAUUUUCUUUUUAGGAUAGUAUGGACAUGAUUAACUAAGUAAACUAUUUGAAAUAGUUGAAAAGAAAAGGAUAACUACCAAGUUUACCUCUUGGCAAGGCGUUCGGUGUUUUUAACUCCUCCGAACCAGACUCUCUGUUUUCUCAGUCGUCCUAGGAUUCGCUGGAUGGCGUGGUCGGUGGUUCCGGCGGCACCUCCUCUUCGUGUAUAACUAUCUUCUCUCUCCACACCUGACUCGGUGCUACGGUCUCCUCAGGAUUGUUCUGUUCAAGAUGUAUAUCUUAAGAUCUUACCACUUUUCCUUCGUAGUCUGCCAAUCCGUCCUUGAUGAUUUGCCUCCUCUGGUUGCGGUUGCGUCGUCUUCUUCUUCUCCUGACUUGCUUAGAAUCUUCAACUAUAUAGUUAGGGUCAGUAAAAUAGCGGCGUACCUUCUCCGAGGGAAAGUGCAUGUGGACCUCUCCGGUUCCAAUGUAGAUGAUUGCUUUAACCGUGCUGAGGAACGGUCUCCUAAGGAUGAUGGGUGGAUCGUACUCAUCUUCUCCCAUAUCAAUAACCUGAAAGUCUGUAUGGACAAAAUGAUCGUCUAUUUUGACAGGGACAUCAGUUACUAUACCUUCAACCUUUUGGAAUGUCUGAUCUGCCAUCUGGAGCUGAAUGUAUGUCGGUUUUAGGGGCAUUGUUCCGAACAAGAGCUUAUAGGUGACUGCGGCCAUUAUGUUGAAGCCUGAUCCGGUGUCGCAAAGUGUUUUAUAGAAGUUGUACCCAUUGAUGGAGCAAUAGAUGCUUGGCAUACCUGGGUCGUCCUUCUUGGUUAGGAACGGUGACUUAAGUCGAUGAUCUUGACCUCCAUGAACUCCAGUGACCAUCUUAGCUGACUCGGUCCACACUUGCUUGUUCCUGUUCCUCCUGUUGGUCCUCUUCCUUGGUUCAUGUCGGGAUUGCUCUGGGAUUUGUGUAGUCUUGUUCUUGAAGGAAAACGUCUCCUUCCUCCCCUUGAUGUAGAAACUGAUCUUGGUAGCACUAGCGUAGAUGACAGCUCCUGAGGUGUUUAGGAAUGGCCUCUCCAAGAUGACGGGUGCCCUCUCAUCAUCACCGGUCUAUCACCACGAAGUCUGCUGGGGCAUACAAGGUACCAACUCGGACACAGAGGUUCUUCAAUAUUCCCUUUAGAAAACUUAGCGUCCGAUCUGCAAGCUGCAAACACAUGGUUGUUUCUAAUAAAGGAUAUGUAAGGAAUUUUUCAUAGAGUACCCUGGACAUAAUGUUGACGCUAGAGCCAAAGUCGCAUAGUGCUUCUGGGAAGUCCACCAUGCCGAUGGAGAUUGGGAUGACGGGGCGUCCUGGAUCGCCUCUCUUGACCGGCAGAAGGUUAGUAGCAACUUCCGCAACGAGGUUACUCCAGUAGUUACCUGUAUCUAACAUGUCUACAAGAUUUGCAGAUUCUAAUCCUUCCUGUUGUGAUGGUAUACCGGGGUUAGUAGCAGGAACAGUAGCAACUAUUUGAUUUAAGUGAGAUUCAAUCAUUUUAUUAAAGCUAAUUUGAUUCUUGAUGACAGUAGAGAAAUUAUCUAUUCUAUUAUUUAUAUUUUCUAACAUUUUAUCAUUAGAUGCCAAUUUCUUAGAUAGGUUAUCCAUUAGCUUUCCUUGAUUCGACACUAACUCUCUCAGAGGUGGAAAAUUAUUAUUAUUAUUGUAAGAAUUAUUACCUUGAUAAUUACCUGAGUAGUUAGACCUCUGUUGAUUCCAACCUUGAUUUUGUUGAGGACGAUUGUAGUAGUAGUAGUUGUUGUUGAUGUAGUUCACAUCCUCAAGCAUCUCAGGGCAGUGAUUGCUAGAGUGUCCGGUAUCUCCACACUCCUCAUAAGUCAUGUGAGAGUCGUCGACGUGCAUGACUUCUUUCUUAUCUCCAGCUCUAUCAUCGAGCUUCUUCAUGAGCAGGUCUAGCUUGGCAGACAGCAUGUCUACCUCCUUGAGCUGAUGCAUACCUCCACCUCUCUUGCGUGUCUGGGUCCUUUCUUCAUUCCAGCCUUGGUUGGACGCCAUCUUCUCCACAAGAGUCGUGGCUUGUGGUAUGGUGAGUGAUAGGAAUGCUCCUCUAGCUGUAGCAUCCAUGGUCUCUCGGGCACUAUUGCCGAGCCCAUGAUAAAACGUUUGCAUCAGUAGCCAGCUCUCCAUUCCAUGAUGGGGACAUUCUAGGAUGUAGUCUUGGAAGCGCUCCCAUGCUUUUCGAACGGAUUCAUCAUGUUGUUGCUGAAAACUUGUAAUUUUUCCACGGAGAGCAUUGGUCUUGCCCAUGGGAAAGAACUUAGCCAGGAAGUUCGUGGAGCAGAGUGCCCACAUAGUAUUCUUCUCCUUUGUAGCGUAGAACCACUGCUUCGCUCUCCCUAACAGUGAGAAUUGGAAGAGGCGAAGUAGUAUAGCAUCUCUGGGGAUUCCUGAUAUGGUGAAUGUGCUGCAAAUCUCCAGGAAGUGUUGGAGAUGAGCACUAGCAUCUUCGUGUGCCUUCCCACAGAACUGGUUUGAUUGCACCAUGUGGAUAAGUCCAAGCUUUAGCUCAAAGUUGUCGUCGUUCUCUGCAGCAGGUCUAGUACGGAUGUUGUCCGUAGUGGGAGCUGAGAACUCACAGAUCGAUUUGUUCGCCAUGGCUUCGAACUCUGAAGACAAGUUCUAGGUGAAACUUCGGUGAUCUUCUUGAUUGGAUGAAGCUUCGUGCUGAAGUGUUGAUGAUCUCUUCUUGAGCUUGGCUCUUGUUUUUCUGAAUAAAAUUUGGAGGUGCCGAUGCCAUAGGAGCGUUGCCUCUCGUGUCAGCCGUCUGAGAUGUUCCAGGAGUCUUCAACAUCAUCUCUGGGGGCAUACCAUAACCCCACCAGUUGGGAGGAACUGACCUCGACAUUGCCGAUGCCAAUAGAUCCGUAGUAAGCUUGAUCUGCUCAUCUGUCGUUGAUGGAUAGGUUGUCAUCAGCGUAGAUUGCGCGUUAGUGACUCCUAACGUGCUUGGAGGAUCGGUAGUUUCUGUACCCGCAGCGGCCGUAGCAGCCGAUGGAGCCGUGACAACUGGUGAUCCUGGCUGAUGAUAGACAGGGCCCACAUAGUUUGGUGGCAAUUGUCCUUCUUUGAAAGUUCUAGCCACGGCGUUGAAAACCGUAUUGGACAGCACACCAGGUUGAUUGAUCAAGGCACGGUUAAUAGCACUAUCAACCAUGUCUUGAAGUUUACCAGGAUUGGCUUCAAAAGUAACCUGCCGAGGCGCCGGCAGUGCUUCCUUCUAGAUCACCUCGCCACUCCUGUUGAUACUGAAGGACUUCAAACAUUGCUGCUUGUAAUCCUCCAUAGCUUUUGCAAUAGCUUGCUUCUGCUCAUCUCUGAGAUUGGCUUCCCUCACGGGGAUGACGUUCUCCAAAUCGAAUUCGGUAGUCGACAUGUCGAUCUUGCUCCUGAAUAUGUCCCACUGGGCGUGCCAAAAGAUGUGUUGAUGCAAAAGCUGAUCUGCAAACACAAAGGGCUAAUACCUGAUUCAAACGUUAAGGCGUGCUAGCCGAUUUGACCUUACAAUCGGCAAAGGUGAUAACUCGAAUACUUUGGUCCCGACAACAGCGAUGCGCCCGGAUGUCACGGCCAAGAGGUAUUGACGCGAAACUCGAGAAUACGCUGAGCUUAAGUCGACGAACUCCUAAGAACUUGUAAUAAAAAGGAAAAUAUGACGAAGUCAUCGAAAAAGUAGAUGCUAGAAUAUGAGUAAAAACUUGUGUUUGAUUGAUUGAUAGAUAUCUCAUUACAAGGCCCUAGGGUCUACAUUUAUACCCUGCUCAAAGAGCUACAAUCAGACACGACUAGGACUCGAAUUCCAAAUUAAACAGAAUCUGUAUACAAAACGAUUUUAAAUAACUAAGGAAAACAUAGAACCACCCCCUCGUAACCGACCGGGACACCGCCACAGAUCAAUCAGCAACCUCCAUGCUUCCCUUCAGAGUCAUAGGCAGUCUUCCUGUUAUAGCCAUCGGCAAACACCAAAAUUGAGCAUCAGCAAGAACACGUCACCACCUCUGGACUUAGUCAUAUUCAAUCGUCUCUUCAUCGGCAACUAUCCUCAUCGUUAACUCUUCUGCAGGCUAGUUACCGUUGCUCCACCUGCCGAUCUAUACUCUACUAGUCUCUGGGUACGUGUCCAAAAACGGUGUCAACACAUGCCCCCAAUUUCGGAGUAUGAAAUCAUUAAUGCUCCAAAUUUCUCUGCAGUAAUGAUGCCUUUCCGCAAUUAAUUCUCCCAAUUUGGUAAUCGAUCGUUUAAAUCUAAACAACCUUGGCCCGAUUCUCCUGCAGGUUCCUCGAAUUCCUCAACCUUCCGAACUGGAUCCCUCCACUUUAUGCGCCCAUCGGCAAUAUUACCGUUAGAGGGAACUACCGAUGGACCGACCAAGAAAUCCCGCACGGUGAAAUAUCUCCAGAUCAUGACCGCUUCCUGUUGACGGUCCUUAAGUAUCAAAUUUAAUUAUCAAAUAAACAAGGAAAAGGAUCCAAAUGAAAUCAACAUCUAGACUUAGGGUUUUAUCUGACAGAAUUCCACGAGUUUUGGUGUUUGUCCAUUUCUGCAGGGGGUUAUCAGGAAAUAAGGAAGAAAGGCCCACAUGUCAGGAUUACAUUGAGAUAUCAACGCACCGUGCGAUUUUCUACCAUCUAGAAGACUCCAGAAGCCACGGGAAGGAAGCAGAGGCCGAAAUGGGCAAGGCCUAGGGCGCCCGCCCUGAGGACCUGGGCGCCCGCCCCCCUCUGGAUGCCUUUCGGGACUCUCUUCGCACACGACAUUCCACCGACCUAAUAGAUCAAAGAUAAUGUAGUACCACCUCGCCUACCGACCCAAAAACGCAUAGAGGAGGAGGACUAUAUAAGGAGACCCCCCUGGCCCCUAGAGAAGACAAGAAGUUAUCAUAGAGAUUGAGGGGUGCCCUCGAAGGAAAACCUCUUCUCUAAAUAAUAUUUCUUUUUAGGCUUAGCAACCAAUGUAAGUAGAAAUAGAUCUUCUAGUUUCUACUAGAUUGAGAGAGAUAGAGUGGAGGUGUAGAUCGGAGGAAGGCCGGCCUGUCGGUGUCUACUCCGAGUUGUACCUACGGGAUCAAGUCUCCUAACCCGAGGCUUGCUUCUAAGAUUCUUCAGUAAUUCGACUUCUAAUUCUAGUAAGUUCUUCUUUUAUUGUUCUUUGGUUUAUGAGUUUACUUUAAUCCUCUUCUGGUUGAGUAUUAGAGUAAUCAUUGCUAGUGUAAAUGUGGUGUUUAGGCUAGGGUACUCAUAGAUAUCCCCUGACUAGCGGGACCGUGGUAGUAGCGAGGAAUGUGACAUUUCCGAGUUACCUUUGUAUCCCAUAUCUUGUUAGCAGGACGGGUAGGUUUAUAGGUGCGGGUCGAACAUCCUUUGUGUUGUCUAGAUUCCGUGAGCCUCCCCAAUAGAACAGUAGAUCAUCCUUACCAAGGUUAGAACGAUACUGUGGUUGCAGUCUUCUCUAUACAUCACUCACAUCGAGAAACAUCCUUUGUAGCCUAAAGGGAUAGUAGCAAUAGAUUUGGUUAGUCAGAUGCACCCUUUCUCCCAGUGGUAAAAAUAUAAAUACGAUACUCUAGAAAACCUCUCGGGUGAAAUGCUCACCGAUAUCCGUGCCCUUGCGGAUCAUUUUCUAAUUGCGUUACCAAAUACCAACAAGCAUUUUUGGCGCCGUUGCCGGGGAGAAAGACGGUUUGCUGAGAUAACUUUGAAUCUUGCUAUUAUCUUGUAUUAUACUUUUGUACUUUUAUUCUUUUAUCUUUUUACCUUUAUGGAUAACUUAAAUUCCAUACCUAUUAUUAAAUUCUUUGCACCUUCGGAGACCAGCCAUAGACAAUGGGAGUCAACACGUCCUGCCCCUAAUUAUGAUCUGUGUCCGGAGUUGAUUGCAAUAGGUCAAAACCAACCCUUUUCUAUAGCCGAGGUCCUAUCUUUUAAUCAAAAAUAUAAUGCACUUUUAGCUACACCUAGGGAAUCUUUUAAUCUUUCUAUAAAUUCUGGUUUAGACCUAGCCCUACAAGACCAUGUCUUUUCUCGAUAUUUUUACAUUGGUCUUUAUCAUAUAACCUUUGGUAGAGUCUUUCUUUCUUUAUCUAUUAGUAAACGAAGGUAUGUCUUCAUUUGUGGACAACCUUCUUGCACUAGUCUUCAUAAAAAAUUCCUAGAGAUAGAGAAGGAAUCAUCUUCCAGACGAGGAAAGGAAGUUUCAAUAGCCGAUUUCCAAACAUUCCAAUCUCAUGAUUCGGCUAUCCAACCCAUCCUUGAGCCUAAUAAUUUCUACUAUGCUCUUUCUCUUGAACAUCCCGAUGAUCCUAUAAAUCUCUCUAGACAUCCCAUUCAUAAGAGUCACCAAGACCACAAGGAGGAUCGAGAAGAGCAACAUCAAUGGCUAGAGGGCAUUAAAAAUCCAUGUGCUAUCACCAUUGAAUGGAUAGAUAAAACAAACUUGAGAGACAAUCCUAGUGGAAUUUUAAGCAUUCAUGAAGAAUCAUCCUUGGAGUUUGAGAAUGAGAGAAACAACAGUGAGCAUGGAAGUUAUUUCAUAAAUACCUUACCAAGUCCUUGCUCAUAUAAAACAUCUCCCCAAUCAAUUGGUCUCUCCAACAUUACCACAUUUGAGAUCUCCAACCCUCUCUUCUUUUCUAUUUAUAAAAACUUUAAAACAGCGGUUGUCGAUGCAUAUGUCUAUAAUAAAUAUUGCAGGUCUCGUUGAGUUAAUUGAUGGUUUCCCAAGGACAAGCUUAGUGUCCUAAAUAAGCACUGAUCAGAUCGUAACAUGAACUUCUGAUUAUUUGCAACAUUGCCUUGUGUAUUGAGCAUAUAAAGAUAAUUGUAGAAAUAUUCCUUUGGGUAUUCUUGCCACUAACCUUUCUAGGAUUGGAGCAAGAAGAUCAGAUGAAUGACAAGCACAAGGUAUGUCCAACCAAUCAUCAUGCAACAUUGAAUUAAAUUCAUCCAAACUUGAAUUUUGUAAAAUUCAAGCUUGGGGGAGUACUUUACAUAAAAACAUCUUUUGCCAUGUUGCUACGUUGGUUGUCCUUACCUUUGAGACAUGCUCAAUUUGUUAAAUACUAAUUACACUACUUCAUCUCCACUAAAGUAGAUCUCUAUAAAUGCUCUCAUGCUACCUUUAUUUGCUUUAGUAUAUGUCUAGGUUUGGAAUAGUUUCAUUUAUCUCUUAAUUAAGCAUGGUGCUUAGUUUAGGUAUGAUGAUCUUACUUCCAAGGGAUUUUAAAUUAAGCAUGGUGCUUAGGUUAAAAUGCCCUUCUAAAUCAAAUUAGACAUGGUGUCGAGGUUGAUUUUUGAGCCGAUAGUAUGCUAUAGUAGAUAUGGGAUAUUUUGUUGGACUAACCCCUGCAGGAAAACUUUCAAUAUCAACCUGGGAAGUCCUGAGAUAAACUCGCAUUGGAGAUGAAGAAAGUGACACAUGAAGUUUAACAAUUUGCACAAAAAAGACGUAGCUCAUAAGAGAUGAUUCAUGGAGGGUGCCACAAACACGAUGCACAACCGCUAAGAAAGGAAAGCUUCCACAAGGUGAUACUGUACCGUCACUCUUCAAGUAAGGUAACAUUUUAAGGUACUUGACUAUCACUUUUAUAAGCUUCUCCUUGGUUCUAGCGUUCACAUAAAAUAAAGCGACAAACAUGUAUGAUUUGUAGCUCCAAAUUAAUCAACCCAAUUAAUUCAACAUGUUUAGUCCUUUAAUCUUUGUUCUUAGUACUACCUUCGUGAUCCCACGCUCCUAAACAUAUAAGCUAAUAUGUUGCACAUUCAAUCUUUGGAAGAUAUAAACAAAUCAUAAAUAUAGAUAGAUUAUCUUUCCAUUAGGUUGAGCCAUCUGAUCUAACAAAUGUUUUAAAUGCUACACUCAUGAUCCAUCAACUUUGUCUUGCUCACUAUGCUUAAGGUUAGAGAAGAACAAAUGCACUUUUGGUUCUGCUGGUGUUUUCCACCAACAGGACCCAUGCACUUGAUCUCUGCCUUGUCUCUAUGAACAGGUACACUUCAAGCAAAACAUGGAGGAGUUUUACAACUCCCAGACUCCACCAAGUGAAGGACCUGGAUCUAUGAGCACAAACAAACUAAGCAGGAUAUUGCCAACACCGCACUUCGAACUGCUGGGCAAUCGAAGAACAUGGGUGACACCGUAUCAAGAGGUGCAGACUUCAAGGUCCACACUGUUGAUAUUUGGGAACGCAAUAAGGAAUUGAUCGGCAAGCGCACGGAUAUCGGUGAGCACUUCACUUGGGAGGUUAUCUAGAGUAUCGUAUUUAUUUUUUUACCACUAGAAGAAAGAGUGCACCUGACUAACCCGGUCUAUUACUACUAACCCUUUAGGCAACAAAGAAUGUUUCUCGAUGUGAGUGAUAAAUAGAGAAGACUACAACCGUAAUCUCCUUCUAACCUUGGUAAGGAUGAUCUACUGUUCUAUUGGGGAGGCUAACGGAAUCUAGACAGCACAGAGGAUGUUCAACCCGCACCUAUAAACCCUAUCCUUCCUACUAACGAGAUAUGGUCUGCAAAGGUAACUCGGAAAUGUCACGUUCCUCGCUACUACCACGGUCCAGCUAGUCAGGGAAUAUCUAUGAGUAUCCUAUCCCAAACACCACGUCUACGCUAGAGAUGAUUACUCUAAACUCUACGCGAAGAGAUUAAAGUAAACUCAUAAACCAAAGAACAAUAAAACAAGAACUUACUAGAAUUUAGAAGUCGAAAUACUAAAGAAUCCUAGGAGCAAGCCUCGGGUUAGGAGAACUUGAUCCCGCAGGUACAAGCUCGGAGUAGACACCGACAGGCCGGGCUUCCUCCGAUCUACACCUCCACUCUAUCUCUCUCAAUCUAGUAGAAACUAGAAGAUCUAUUUCUACUCACAUUGGUUGCUAAGCCUAAAAAGAAAUUUUAUUUAGAGAAGUGGUUUUCCUUCGAGGGCUCCCGUCAACUCUAUGAUAAACUUGUCUGCUCCAGGGGCCAGGGGUUCUGGUUUUAUAGUCCUCUCAAGUGAACGUGAGCCAUUGGAUCAAACCGACAUUGAUUGGACAGUUAUCCUUGAUCCAAUAGGUCGGUGGAAUAUCCCGAGCGAAGAGAGUCCUGAAAGCAAUCCAGCAGUGGGCGGGCGCCCAGGUCACCAGGGCGGGAGCCCUGGGCCUGCCCCUUUCGGCCUCUGUUUUCUUCCUGUGGCUUCUGGAGUCUUCUAGAUGGUGGAAAAUCACGCGGUGCGUUGAUGUCUCUAUGUAAUCCCGACAUGUGGGCCUUUCUUCCUUAUUUCCUGAUAACCCCCUGUAGAAACAGAUAAACAACAAAACUCGUGGAAUUCUGUCAGAUCAAACCCUAAUUCUAGGUGUUGGUUGCAUAUUGGUCCUUUCUCUUGUUUCUUUGAUAACUAAAAUUGAUACUUAAGAACCGUCAACAAAUACCCCCAUACUUAGGCUUUUACUCGUCCUCGAGAAAAGGAUGGUUAAGAACAAUACCUGGGGUAAAAUAUUUUAAAACAUUCUUUAUAUUUGCAGGGUGUUAAAAAUCCACUGUGUACCAUAGUCAGUGAAGUUUAUGAUCGAGAGUAAAGAUCCUUUCUUCUCAAUCCUGUCACUUGGAGUUUUUGUAUAUUUUUGAAAGAGAGUUAGCAUACCUUUUUAUCCUCAUAGGUUCUCUCAGAUCACUCAUUAUCUUUUAUAUAUCUCACUGAGGUUGUUUUAUUUUGCAAAAAUUCUCAAGCAUACUUAGUUUGCAUUUAUUGCCUGAUCAAAACGGGAUCCGAGGAGGGGAAUGUCAUACUCUUAGAUCAAAGACUUUGGAAAUUAAAAUCUUUGUCAACUCUUGCUGGCAUAUUGCUUGUUAGAGGGACCAUGGGCUAUCAUUUUUUUUUUCUUUUUUUUAAGUGGAUACCUAAGUACCCCUAAUUCUACUGCCGGACACUUGUCCAUUUUUCUGCGAGGUUGUCGAGCACUUGCUCCUUUUUAUUUCCUCAAAAUAUCUCUAUUUUUGCAUAGCCCAUGCCUCUAAUGCAAUAAUACUUCGGAAGAGUGAAUCUUUCUGAAAUAAUGUCUUGAUCUUGGGAGCAUGAUAAAUCUCUCUACAAGGGUCUCACUCAUUUUGAACAAACUCAAUACAGAGUAGAUAGCUUUUAUUAUAAUUAAUAUUUUCGGUUUUAUCAGGCAUAUAAAACAUUGAGGAUGGUAGCUAGAGUUUUGAAUAUUUUGAAACAAAUUCUCCAAGCAACAAUGAUAUCAAGAAUAAGAAACUCAUACUCUACCAUCACAUAUUCCAUAAUGACUUAAGUAACACAGGGUUUUAAAAUGAUUUUCAAUAAUUGCAAGUUUUCAGGAAAUAUCACAGAUUGAGAUUAAUCAUGAUUAGAAAUAUUUUAAUCGUUUUAAUUUAUCAUGUCAGAAACAAUAUUCUGCAUAAAUCAAGAUAGUUGUGUGCGUGUAAAGUAAAGUGUGCAGAGUGUGUACCUGAAUCGUGGGGUGGUGUAGUCGGAGUGUGUUUGGCAUGUUGAGGGAUCUCCCCCAUACUUGUUUUCUGCUUUCUUGCACAAAAAUAAAGUAGAGACACACAAGACAUAAUAAUAAUAAUAAUAAUAAUAAUACUCUUUAUUGAUCUCGAGGCAUUUAUUACAAAAGACUGAUAGCAAACUGAUAGCAAACUAAUGAUAAUAGUAAACUGAUGAUAGUAGCAAACCUAAACCGAAUUUAAAAAUAGAUGACUAAAAUGCAUUGCCUCAAGGUCUAAUCUAGAUAACUUAGCGGCACUCUAAUUCCUUAAUCUUCUUGUUGGCACUGGCAAGAUCCUGCCUAAGGCCUAGUAUAAUGGUGUUGUGGUUAGAGAGCUGUCUAGUGAGGGAAUUAAUCGAGGACUGGAGGUCUAUGAUAACUCUAUCUAGCCUGCGAACAUCCUCAUCAAUAUCCAUUAUAGUCUUGCGACGCUUGGGAGGUGUCUCAAAAGCAUUCAGAGCGUGCUUCGGGGCUGCCUUUGGAGGGAUGAAACAGACUUUGGCUGCUCUAAUCCCUUCAAAGUAUGGCCUUUCCUCCUCCGUAGUGUAGCGAAUACUGUUGAUCUCGCCGCUCCGGUUGGUCUUGACUACUACGACCCUCUCAUUGGGUCUAGGUGGAAGGAUCCUUGUGCCGGUUGGCACCUUGAUAGUAGUCUUCGUCUUGGAUGAUGAUCCUUUGAGGAGUAGGGGUUGUGGCGGUGCGGUGAGAACUGGUUGAGUAUGGUAGGAUUGGGCGGAGCUGCGUUGGCGUAAUGGCAUGGCUUCUAGCUGUCGCUCUAUGUUGGCCGGGACGAGAGCACGGGCAUCGGGGUCUUCUACAGGCUCCAUGUUGAGGUUGAAGGGGACGACUUCCCAAUCAUCGUGGUACUUCUCGGCCAUUGGAGCAGCAAGGAACUAAUCAAGCUCUGAUUGAAGGAGAGAAGGCUUGGUGGCUUGGUGUUUGAAAACUGAGGUCAGGGGUCUGUUUAUAUAGGGGUCAAAAGGUGCCUCUAUGGGUUGUUCAGGUUUCUCCCAUCGACGUGCGUGCGAAACUUUCUAUCCGAGGGAUUAUUCGAAUUACCAUAAGUGCAUUUUCCAUAACAGAGAAAGUCGAGACCGAGGGGGAACAGGAGCUGGGCGCCCGCCCACCUGAGCUGGGCGCCCGCCCUCUCUCUGGCCCCUCUGUGGGCCCACUUUCUCGAGCGCGUUUCUAGAUAUGAAAUUAUUUGGUAAAAUAUAUAUGACCCAAAAAUCAUCAGACUAAAAAGGUCGGCCUCUAAUUCUCCAUGGGAAGGUAAAAAUGGACUAUGUCUAUUUCUUCAAAUUCUUCAUUGGGCUCUAAAAAUAAUUUAAGACGUUGACCAUUUACCUUGAAUAACGUACCUUCGCAAUUUUGAAGUGUGAUAGCUCCAUGGGAUGAUGAAUUAAUUACCUUAAAUGGUCCUUCCCAUUUGCUCCGAAGUUUUCCAUGCCCGAAAAGCUUCACCCUGGAAUUAAAAAGUAAUACCUUAUCUCCAGGUGUGAACUCCUUCUUCUUGAUUCUCUUGUCAUGCCACCUUUUGACUCUUUCUUUGUAGAUCUUUGAAUUGUGAUAUGCCUUCUCUCGCCAUUCUUCCAAUUCUGAUAGUUGCAUUCUUCUAUAAUCUCUAUCAACAUCUAGGUCCAUAUUCCAUCUCUUUAUGGCCCAGUGUGCUUUGAACUCUAGUUCAACAGGUAGAUGGCAAGUCUUCCCGUACACCAAUUGGUAUGGAGACAUUCCGAUUGGGGUCUUGUAUACUGUCCGGUAUGCCCAUAGUGCAUCGGGUAACUUGUCUUUCCACGCCGUUCCCAUUUCAUUUACUGUCUUCUAAAGAAUAUUCUUGAUUUGUUUGUUGGAAGUCUCUGCUUGGCCACUUGUCUGAGGAUGAUAAGGGGUAGCAACGUUGUGACGGAUUCCAUGUUUUGAUAGAUAUUGCUUGAAGCGUUUGUCGAUGAAGUGUGCUCCUCCAUCACUUAUCACUACUCUGGGGACUCCAAAUCUUGGGAAUAUAAUUUCUUCAAACAUCCACUUUGAACUGACAUUGUCGGCAUGCUUGCAAGGUAAUGCUUCUACCCACUUGGAGACAUAGUCAACCGCCACCAAGAUGUACUCGCACUUCUUUGAUGGAGGAAAUGGACCCAUGUAGUCUAUUCCCUAGACAUCAAAGAGCUCAAUCUGAAGGUUGUUGGUGAGUGGCAUUGCAUCCCUUGUAUUUAUGUUUCCGUGUCUUUGACAUGGCCGACAUCUUCUGAUAUAUUGCUUUGUGUCUUCAUACAUUGUAGGCCAAUAGAAUCCACACUGCCAGAUCUUUGAAUGUGUACGGAAUGCUCCAUAGUGACCUCCAUAUGGUGAUGAAUGACAUCUGUCAAUGAUCUUCCAUCCUUCCUCAGUGGUCACACAUCUCCUAAGUAAGCCAUCAGAACAUACCCGGAAGAAGUAUGGCUCAUCCCAUAUAUGUGAACGACUUUCUUGAAUAAGCUUCUUCUUGUUUGCUCCUGGUGGUACAUACCCUGAAACCAUAAAAUUAACAAUAUCUGCAUACCAGGGGUCAGACCUGUUAAUCCCGUAGAGCAUGUCGUCCCGAAGUAAAUCAUUGAUGGGGGUUUCCUGUGGACUCUUAAAAUACAUUCUAGACAAGUGAUCAGCAACAUAAUUUUCUACUCCUUUUUUAUCUUUUAUUUCUAAGUCAAAUUCUUGGAGUAAUAAGAUCCAUCUAAUCAGGCGAGGUUUAGCAUCUUUUUUAGUGAGCAAAUAUUUUAGUGCAGCAUGAUCAGUGUAAACAAUUAUUUUAGCUCCAACUAAAUAAGAUCUAAAUUUAUCAAUGGCAAAGACAACAGCCAGAAGCUCUUUUUCAGUGGUUGCAUAGUUAAGUUGAGCUCCUGUCAAAGUUUUACUAGCAUAAGCAAUUGCAUGAUGCUUUUUAUUUUUAGUUUGUCCCAAUACUGCCCCCACAGCAUAAUCACUAGCAUCACACAUAAUUUCAAAAGGCAACGACCAAUCAGGGGGUUGAAUGAUUGGUGCAGAGAUGAGUGCUUUCUUUAAUAAAUUGAAAGAUGUUAAACAUGCAUCAUCAAAUUCGAAAGGAGCAUCCUUGGCUAGCAAAAGAGUAAGUGGUCUAGCAAUGAAUGAAGAAUCUUUUAUGAAUCUAUGACAAAAACCAGCAUGGCCAAGAAAGCUUCGAAUUCCUUUUAUGUUCACAGGUGGAGGUAGUUGUUCAAUUACUUCAAUUUUAGCUUUGUCUACCUCAAUACCUCUUUCAGACACUAGGUGUCCCAGCACUAUUCCUUCCCUAACCAUAAAAUGACAUUUUUCCCAAUUAAGGAUUACGUGCUUUUCUUCACAUCUUUGCAAAACCUUGUCUAAGUUUUCAAGACAACUAUCAAAAGUUUUUCCAUAAACAGAGAAAUCAUCCAUGAAAACUUCCAUAAUCUCUUCAAUGAUAUCAGAAAAUAUAGACAUCAUGCAUCUUUGAAAAGAAGCUGAUGCAUUACAUAACCCAAAAGACAUUCUACGGUAAGCAUAAGUUCCAUAAGGGCAUGUAAAAGUGGUUUUGCUUUGAUCAUCGGGAUGGAUCGGGAUCUGAUGAUACCCUGAAUAUCCAUCUAAGAAACAAAAGAACGAAUGGUUUGCUAAUCGCUCUAGCAUCUCAUCUAUAAAAGGUAAAGGAAAGUGAUCCUUUCUCGUGGCUUUGUUUAGUUUUCUAUAGUCUAUGCACAUCCACCAUCCUGUGACGGUGCGUUGCGGAAUUAGCUCGUUCUUUUCAUUCAUAAUAACAGUCAUGCCUCCCUUUUUAGGCACAACUUGAACUGGGCUUACCCACUCACUGUGCGGCACAGGAUAUAUAAUCCCUGCAUGCAGCAACUUUAUAACUUCCUUUUUAACUACCUCUCUCAUAGUGUUAUUAAGUCUACGUUGGGGUUCUCGAGAGGGUGAAACAGAAGGAUCUGUUGGAAUACGAUGGGUACAAAUCAUAGGACUGAUUCCUGUAAGAUCUUGGAGUGAGUAGCCGAAAACUGAGUGAUGUUUUUCAAGAAUGGUCAUUAAUCACAGAGUUUGCUCCUGAGUGAGUUUAUCGCUAAUGAUCACAGGGAACUCUGGAUUAUUGUUUAGGAAAGCAUAGGUAAGUCCGGGUGGUAAAGUUUUAAGCUCUAUGGGGGGUCUAUGUGUUUCUGCAAACUCAUCUAAGGGUUCAGGCUCAGAAGGUUCGUCGUCUUCUUCUGUGAAGAAAGGAGUUUCGUCUUCUAAGUCUGGUUCAUCAAAAAGCUCUAGAGAUGCAGCCUUUACUUCCUCCAUAGGAUCAGGCAAAAGAUAUGACUCGACCUUAUUGUUUAAGGAGUGUGAAAUUAUUAUUGGGAAUUUAAAGUUUUUUCCAAAAGAAAUGUGUAGCUUUCCAGUAUGACCUUCAUAAAGGAGUCUUCUAAAAGGUUGUCCUAUUAACAGGUCGAAGUCCCAUGUAUCCAAGAUAUAGAAGUUCAAAUGAACCAUGGAACCUUCUACCGUAAGAGGUAGGACAUUAAUAAUUCUAAGACUGGGGACUAAUCGUCCUGAAGAUUCCUUUAUGACCUUUGUUGUGGGGGUUAAGACAAGAUUUUUAAAUAGUUUAAGUGCAAAAGAUUCAGACAUGAUGUUGAUCCCCACAACAGGAUUAUAGAGAGCAUUAAAUCGAUCAGAAUUAUAAGCGCAGCGUAUAGUUAUAGAGGUUGUGUCCAAACGGAUCACAUCACAGGAAAGCUCUGAUUCCUCCAACCAUUCGCUACUCAUUACUGAGAUAAGCUGUCUCAAUUGAUAUUCACUUGGCAAAUAAAUGCUAAUCUGGCCGUUUUGGGGUUUGUCAAUAGAAUGGUAGUUUGAAAUAUUUCCAAAAUCGGCAAAAAGAUCGGAUUCUAUAUCCAGCAUGAAAUCCGGUGGUGGAAUUUCUUCCUCUUGUGGCUCAGUACUUGGGAUAGCUAAAGUAGAUGAAGAAUUUGGCAAAGUGUCUACUUCGGCUUCGUAGGUUUCAUCAUGAAGGGUAUUAUCCAUCUCAGCUUCUAGGAUUCUAUCUAGGAUCACUCUAGCUUUAUCGGCAGGGAUGCGAAAGAAAGAACCUCUAGACAUUGUGUGUAGCAUUUGCUUGUGAUUUUUAUGAAGACCUCAAAAAAAGUGAAAUAAAAGAACAGGGUCUUCAAGAUUAAGGUUUGGACCAGAUUCUAAAAGAUCAGAAAAUGUUUCCAGGAUUUUCCCAAAGUUUCAUUAUCUUCUUGUUUAAAAUAUAGGACUUUGAGUCUAAGGUCGGCUAUACGGUCAAGGGAAUAGAAAUCUAGACAAAAGUUAGCUCGUAAAACUCCCCAUUCACCUUGUUGUUGACUUACCUUCUGACUGUAACAUUGUCUAGCUUUUCCUUUUAAGGAAAAAGGAAAAAGCUUCCAAUGUAAAGUUUUAUCAGAAAUGCCUUCAAUGCGAAGACAAUCACAUGUUUGCUCAAAAUCUCUAAUAUGAAGGUAAGGGUUUUCGUCUUCCUUUCCCGAAAAAGAUAGGUUUUGAAUCAUGGCAAUCAACCUAGAACUUAACUUAUACUGGGAUGUUUGGAUAGGCUGUGAUGAUUCCCAUGGUAAAAGGUCAGUUGCUAAGGGGAUUGCAGAUUCAUGGAUCGAUUUAGAAUUUUGGUUUUCCAUAAGGUAAGAGUAAAGAAAAUAACUAAAGAAUAUAAAAGAUAAGAAAAGAUAAAAGUAUAGAUACAAGCUAGUAGUAAGACUCAGGUUAUCUCAGCAACCGUCUUUCUCCCCGACAACGGCGCCAGAAAUGCUUGUUGAUAUUUGGGAACGCAAUAAGGAAUUGAUCCGCAAGCGCACGGAUAUCGGUGAGCACUUCACCCGGGAAAUUAUCCAGAGUAUCGUAUUUAUUUUUUUACCACUAGGAGAAAGAGUGCAUCUGACUAACCGGUCUAUUACUACUAACCUUUAGGCAUAAAGAAUGUCUUUCGAUGUGACUGAUAAAUAGAGAAGACUGCAACCAUAGUCUCCUUCUAACCUUGGUAAGGAUGAUCGACUGUUCUAAUGGGGAGGCUAACGGAAUCUAGACAACACAAAGGAUGUUCGACCCGCACCUAUAAACCCUAUCCUUCCUGCUAACGAGAUGUGAUCUACAAAGGUAACUCAGAAUUGUCACGUUCCUCACUACUACUACGGUCCAGCUAGUCAGGGAAUAUCUAUGAGUACCCCAGCCUAAACACCACGUUCACACCAGCAAUGAUUACUCUAAACUCUACGCGAAGAGAUUCAAGUAAACUCAUAAACCAUAAGAACAAUAAAACAAGAACUUACUAGAAUUUAGAAGUCGAAAUACUGAAGAAUCCUAGGAGCAAGCUUCGGGUUAGGAGAACUUGAUCCCGCAGGUACAAGCUUGGAGUAGACACCGACAGGCCGGGCUUCCUCCAAUCUACACCUCCACUCUAUCUCUCUCAAUCUAGUAGAAACUAGAAGAUCUAUUUCUACCUUAUAUUGGUUGCUAAGCCUAAAAAGAAAUAUUAAUUAGAGAAGAGGUUUUCCUUCGAGGGCACCCCUCAGUCUCUAUGAUAAUUUCUUCAUGUCUUCUCCAGGGGCCAGGGGGGUCUCCUUAUAUUGUCCUCCCCUUCUAUGCGUUUUUGGGUCGAUAGGCGAGGUGGUACUAUGUUUUUCUUGAUCCAAUAGGUCGGUGGAAUAUCCCGAGCGAAGAGAGUCCUGAAAGCAAUUCAGCAGGGGGCGGGCGCCCAGGUCACCAGGGCGGGCGCCCUGGGCCUGGCCCCUUUCGGCCUCUGUUUUCUUCCUGUGGCUUCUGGAGUCUUCUAGAUGGUGGAAAUCACGCGGUGCGUUGAUGUCUCUAUGUAAUCCCGACAUGUGGGCCUUUCUUCCUUAUUUCCUGAUAACCCCCUGCAGAAACAGAUAAACAACAAAACUCGUGGAAUUCUGUCUGAUCAAACCCUAAUUCUAGGUGUUGGUUGCAUAUUGGUCCUUUCUAUUGUUUCUUUGAUAAUUAAAAUUGAUACUUAAGAACCGUCAACACACACCUAAUCAAAUGAUGCACCUAAAGGAUGAAGAUGGUGGAAAGUCUUGUCCAGAAGACUUAAAACAUUGGAUCCUUGUCGGAAGAGGUCAACAUCGUCGACUCAAGUCACCUUUCUUGAUAAAGAAGGACGACCCUGGUGUUCCAAGCAUCGAGUGCGCAAUCAAUGGAUACUCUUUUGAGAAGACACUCUACGACACCAGAUCUGACGACAACAUAAUGGCCGCAGUCACUUAUCAGCUCCUGCAUGGAACCAUGCCCCUACAACCAAUAUAUUCAGCCCCAGAUGAUUUUUAGGUCAUUAACAUGGGAGAAGACGAGUAUGAUCCACCCACCAUCCUUGGAAGACCGUUCCUCAACACUAUCAAAGCAAUCAUCUACAUUGGAACCGGAGAAGUCCACAUGUACUUCCCCUCUGAGAAGGUACGCAACUAUUUUACUGACCAUAACUAUAUAGUUGAAGACUCUAAGCAGGUUAGGACAAGAAGACGACGCAACCACAACCAGAGGAGGCAAAUCAUCAAGAACGGAUGGGUAGACUACGAAGGAGAAGUGAUAAGGACUGAAGACAUACAGCUUGAACAGAAUUCUCCUGAGGAGACCAUAGCACCGAGUCAGGUGUGGAGGGAGAAGAUAGUUAUACAUGAAGAGGAGGCGCCGCCGGAACCACCGACUACGCCACCUAGCGAAUCCCAGGACGACUGAGAAAAUGGAGAGUCCCGUUCGGAGGACUUAAAAAUACCGAACGCCUUGCCAAGAGGUAAACUUGGUAGUUAUCCUUUUUCAUUCAAUAGUUUGCUUAGUUAAUCAGGUUCAUGCUAUCUUGAAAAGAAAAAAAAUGUUAAAAAACAAAACAUAGUAAGCCCCAUGUGAGUAUGCUCAUGGCAUAAAACCCAUAAGUACAUUCACUGUGGUGGCAUAAAAAUAAAAUAAAUAAGUUUUCAUCUUACAAUAAAAAUAUAAAAAAUAAUAAGUGCAUGGUCCUGCUAAAUAAGUAAUAUUUAUUGAGGAGGCUCAACAUGAUAAAAGCUAGAUAUUUAUGCUAACACUUAACCAGUUCCACAAAGCUUUGUUGUCUAUUUGAGCUCUACAGAAUUUAAGAAUCAAGAAGACUAGCAGACGGAGGACAUUCUAAUCGCUGUCACAAUGCUACUGACUUUCAAAUACACCUCUGCCACCUGCUAGCUACAUCAGAAGAAAUUAUGUCAAAACCCAGCUUGGGGGAGAGCACCCCCAUUUAUCCAGCUAAGUGUUUCUAUUCACGUUUAUACUUUACUCAAAUAAUAAAAAGAUGCAUAAUCAUGAAAACCCAAAUAUAGAUUUUGUGCUUUUAUAUAUAUAUAUUUUUGCUUAGUUUGCUAAAUAAAUAAAUAAAUAAAGUUUGCUAUGCACCCUCAUGAUAAACUCUCACAUGGAAAUGAUGAAUAGUUGCUCUGCCAUGACUAGUUCUUAAAAUUGACAUCUCUCUCAAGCUUAGGCAUGACUGUUAUGAAGUAAGAUUUGCUCUAAACCUGAACUUGUGGGAAGAGUACUUGAUCUAAAGUCUAAGUCGUUAACGGAUAUGAUAUGGGAAGGUUGAGCUGCUGUUUAUCUGUUCCUAGAGAUGCUAGAAUUCUGGAGAAUUUUAUCUUUGAAAAAUCUUUAAAAUAACACAUGAUGAGUUCCUAUAUGAUGAGAGUUUAAAUUCCUACCACAACCAUAUAUACAUGCUUACUAGACUUUGAGCCACACAUUUACUUUUUACUGCUUAUGAGCAUUGAGUGUGGUCAAGCUGUGUAGACCCUUAGGAGCUUGUCAUGUGGUUAAAAUCAAGAUUCACUUGCACGUUCACUCAUACAUGCUACUUCUACUCCGGAAGUACCAUCCACAUAUAUCCACUCAUUUCCAUCUCCAGAUUCACCCAAAAUUAUUCUACUCCUAAUCCGGGAGAGAAUAGCCAAAAACAUUUUCCUAUCCCUGUUAUUCCCUGUGAAAUAAAUGCUCCAGUUAUUUUGGAUACUACAACUUGCUACAUUAUUUCAGGAGAUGAGUGCUCAAAAAAAAAGAAGAAAAAAAAAUAAUACGAGGAAAUAAAAAGGGGCAAGUGCCCGGAACCUCGAAGAAAAGAAAAAAGUAAGACGAGAGGUAAAAAUGGACAAGUGUCCGACAGUAGAAUUAGGGGUACAAGAUACCCACCUGAGAGGAAAAAAAAACAAAAUAUAGAGCAUUUCAUUCUCCCCAAAAAACUUCAAAGUGCAAGAAAGGUAUGUAUCCCCUUAAAAGAGCAAAAAGUAGAAUUAGACUUUCACCAUUAUUAUCACCAUCAUCACCAUACACCAUUCAUUCGCCACACCUGCACAUCUUGAUUUGACUCAUUGACUUGUUUCUCUGGAUCCAUGGUUUGACUAUGCAAUAAAUGUCUUGUAAGUAUGUAUUAGCUGUCUCCCACCUAUGAGCUCCAGAUAUCAAACCUUAUUAAAGUAGGGUGAGAGAAAAGGCAAUAUCACUAUGCCUCAUACCACAAAUACCACAUACUUUGAGAGAAGGCAUAUACCAUUACUGCCCUGGUUAGGAUCCAGAAAUACCACAAAAGAGAGAUUUGAGAGAGUCAUAUAAGGAAUCUCUAAGUUUUAUUUGAAAAUCUGCAAAAAACUCCAGAGCUAUAGCUGAUCAAGAAUAAGAGACAUGGCGCUUGACUUGACCGUUCUAUCUUUUAACUGCUCAAGACACAAGUAACGGUUACAAGCCCCAUGGUGAAAGGUAAAAUGAGUAAGUUUUAAGUCUUAACAGUUUAUUCUAACUCAGAGAUGAGAUCUUGCUUGAAUGCGUGUGUACUUUUAAGGCAUGAAACCACUGCAGAAACUCUUGAGUUCAUCCUUGCUCAGGGACGAGCAAGAGGUAAGCUUGGGGGAGUUUGUUGACGGUCCUUAAGUGUCAAAUUUAAUUAUCAAAUAAACAAGGAAAAGGAUCUAAAUGAAAUCAACAUCAAGACUUAGGGUUUUAUCUGACAGAAUUCGAUGAGUUUUGGUGUUUGUCUAUUUCUGCAGUGGGUUAUCAGGAAAUAAGGAAGAAAGGCCCACAUGUCAGGAUUACAUUGAGAUAUCAAUGCACCGCGCGAUUUUCUACCAUCUAGAAGACUCCAGAAGCCACGGGAAGGAAGCGGAGGCUGAAAGGGGCCAGGCCCAGGGCGCCCGCCCUGAGGACCUGGGCGCCCGCCCCCCUCUUGAUGCCUUUCGGGACUCUCUUCGCACACGACGUUCCACCGACCUAAUAGAUCAAAGAUAAUGUAGUACCACCUCGCCUACCGACCCAAAAACGCAUAGAGGAGGACGACUAUAUAAGGAGACCCCCCUGGCCCCUGGAGAAGACAAGAAGUUAUCAUAGAGAUUGAGGGGUGCCCUCGAAGGAAAAUCUCUUCUCUAAAUAAUAUUUCUUUUUAGGCUUAGCAACCAAUGUAAGUAGAAAUAGAUCUUCUAGUUUCUACUAGAUUGAGAGAGAUAGAGUGGAGGUGUAGAUCGGAGGAAGGCAGGCCUGUCGGUGUCUACUCCGAGUUGUACCUACAGGAUCAAGUCUCCUAACCCGAGGCUUGCUUCUAAGAUUCUUCAGUAAUUUGACUUCAAAUUCUAGUAAGUUCUUGUUUUAUUGUUCUUUGGUUUAUGAGUUUACUUUAAUCCUCUUCCGGUUGAGUAUUAGAGUAAUCAUUGCUAGUGUAAACGUGGUGUUUAGGCUAGGGUACUCAUAGAUAUCCCCUGACUAGCUGGACCGUGGUAGUAGCGAGGAACGUGACAUUUCUGAGUUACCUUUGUAUCCCAUAUCUUGUUAGCAGGACGGGUAGGUUUAUAGGUGCGGGUCGAACAUCCUUUGUGUUGUCUAGAUUCCGUGAGCCUCCCCAAUAGAACAGUAGAUCAUCCUUACCAAGGUUAGAACGAGACUACGGUUGCAGUCUUCUCUAUACAUCACUCACAUCGAGAAACAUUCUUUGUAGCCUAAAGGGAUAGUAGCAAUAGAUUUGGUUAGUCAGAUGCACCCUUUCUCCCAGUGGUAAAAAUAUAAAUACGAUACUCUAGAAAACCUCCCGGGUGAAAUGCUCACCGAAUCCGUUCAGCCAUGAAUAUCUGAUUGUACCCUGCAUUGCCAUCUAUAAAGCUGAUGAUCCGAUGCCCAGCCGCAGCAUCAACUAGCAGAUCGGCAACUGGCAUUGGGUAGCCAUCCAUCAGUGUAGCUUUAUUAAUAUUCCUGAAAUCAAUGCAAACCCGAAGCUUCCCAUUUUUCUUGUAGACUGGAACAACAUUGGAAAUCCACUCGGCAUAUCGACAUUGCCGAAUAAAUUUAGCUUCAAUGUGUUUGAUUAUUUUGGCCUUAAUAUCAGGAAGAAUAUUAGAAUUACAUCGGCGAGCUGGCUGUUGAUGUGGCUGAAAUCCAGACUUGAUGGGUAACCGAUGUUCAACAAUCGAUCGGUCCAAACCAGGCAUCUCAGUAUAAUCCUAAGCAAAGCAAUCUUUAUAUUCCUUUAACAAAUCGGUUAACUGCCGCUUAUACUCAGAAUUUAACUUAGCACUAAUAAAAGUAGGUCUGGGCUUAUCACCACUACCUAUAUCUACUUCUACCAAAUCAUCGGCCGAUGUGAAUCCCUGGCCUAGUUUUCCAUCAUCGGCGAAUCUAUCCAUUAAAACUCCUCAUCAGAACCGACUGCUUGGAUCGAUGGAAUUUCAUAAUCAGCAACUUUGAGGAAAUCCUUCUCCCAAAUUUCUCCCGAGAUACACCUAGUCCUUUCAUAGGUGCCUGCUUCUCCCGAUGCAAUGACAUAAGAAGAAUCCCCCGAGACAAUCUCGAUUUAGUCACCUACCCACUAAACUAAGCACUGGUGCAUUGUAGAUGGGAUGCAACAAUUAGCGUGAAUCCAAUCUCUCCCCAACAGCAAGUUAUAAGCACCUUUUCUGCUGAUCACAAAGAAGGUCGUCGGCAAUGUUUUGCUGCCGAUGGUCAACUCGACUUAUAUUGCCCCCUUAACUGGAGACACAUUCGCUUCAAAAUCUUUUAGCAUCAUAUCGGUCUUGGUCAAAUCUUGAUCUCCUUUUCUGAGCUUCCGAUAGACUGCAUACGGCAUGAUGUUGAUAGCAGCUCCACCAUCAAUUAAUAUCUUGGUCAUUGGCUUACCAUCAACUCUUCCUUUGACAAACAGAGCUUUAAGAUGUUGCCUUUCAUUGUCGGCAGGCUUUUCAAAGAUAGCUGUCAUCGGAUCCAGAGCCAACUGAGCUAUCUGGUCGGAAAACUCCAACUCCUCAUCCUCACUGGAUGGCGCAAGGAAUUCCAUCGGCAACAUAAAUACCAUGUUAACACCUGCAGAUGGCCCUUUCCCCUUAGGAUCUGAUUGUUGAUGAUCUCCAGACUGGCCAGAGUUCUCGCCCUUGCUUAACUCUUCUCGUCUUUCGCGUUGCAGUCUUCUUUUCUGCGUUUUAGUCAACCCCUCUAGACACCAUGGGGGGAAGUGGUGACUGCCUUGCUGAUGGACGACGACGUUCCCUUGACUCCAUCCGAUAAGUGUUAAUGUCCCUGCAAAAUAUGAACUCAUCCAGAACUCGUGCAUUAGCCAUCUCCUCAAGCUCUUCCUGAUUCUUGGGAAAAUAUUCAACACAAUCACCAAGCCUAUCGUGCACGCUGAGUUUGCCCCUAGCCGACCAUGAACGGACGCUCUCCCCCUAAUCGGCCCAUUAAAUCGCCGAUCUUCAUCGUGAUAGCGGCGAUCGGAUCUGUCAUACCGAUUAUAACCAUUGCAUUCAGGGCAAUCUCUAACAGUGGGCAACUUGAUGUUCUGCUCCCAGCAAUGGAUAAAGAACGGGCAGUUCCAGUGAUCCUUGUGUCGAUUCCACUCUUGAUGGUGUCUUUCUUCUUCCUGACGAUAGUCUUCUUGCUGACGCCGAUACCGAUCCUCAUGUUGCUGCCAAGUCUCCCGAGGCCUUCUAUGAGUUAUCACAAUACAGAUCGAGGAGGCCUUCCUGAGUUAGCCCCCUCUUGGAUCAAGCCUUUUCCUUUGGCAUCGGCAGCAGUAAUUUGAUGCUGAGGAUCUACCGACGCAAUCCUUUCAGCUGCUUCCGAUGUCAAGACCUUGGUUUUUCCCAUGGCAUCCAACAUAUUUGUUGGGAAUGGAUGUUGAUCGAUCUUCAUCGGCUUCUGAGCUUUGGAACUGUCAAAUUUGAUUCUUCUAGAUUCAAUAGCCGAUUGCAGCUGUUGUCUAAAAACCUUGCAUUCAUUGGUGCUAUGAGAAGUUGCAUUGUGCCACUUGCAGUAUUUCAUAUUCUUUAAUUCUUCAACCGAUGGGAUUACAUGAUUGGGUGACAAUUUGAUCUGACCUUGCUAAAGUAGAAAGUCAAAUAUCCUAUCAGCUUUGGUGAUAUCAAAUGCGAACUUCUCUGGCUCUUUAUGCCCAAAAGGACAAGACAUCGGCUUCUUGUUCUUCACCCAGUCUGCCAAGCCGAUGACCGGCUGUUGACGGUCCUUAAUGCUCACAUUUAACCAUCAACUAAUCAUGGAAAAGGAUCCAAAUGCAACUAACACCUAGACUUAGGGUUUUAUCUGAUAGAAUUCCACGAGUUUUGGUGUUUGUCUAUUUCUGCAGGGGGUUAUCAGGAAAUACGGAAGAAAGGCCCACACGUCGGGUUUACAUAGAGAUAUUAACGUGCUGUGCAAUUUUCUACCAUCUAGAAGACUCCAGAAGCCACGGGAACGAAGCGGAGGCCGAGAGGGCUCAGGAACAGGGUGCCCGCCCUAGUCCCUUGGGCGCCCGCCCACUUCUAGAGACCAAUUCAGACAUGUUUCGCGGAUUAUGCUCCACCGACCUAAAGGAUCAAGGAAAACCGUGCGAUUAAUGUCGGUUUGAUCCGACGGCCCAGAUUCACUUGAAGGGACUAUAAAACCUGACCCCCUGGCCCCUGGAGAUCAUACCUCUUCUACAGAAUAAGAGUUAGGGUUUCAAUUCUUCAUCCAAGUAGAGAGGAUCCCUCUAGUUCUUCUAGUUCUGCCUCUAGUUCAUCUAGAUCUAGUUCUAGUUCAUCUAGUUCUAGUUCUAGUUCCUCUAGUUCUAGUUCUAGUUAGUUCUAGUUGUAAUCUAGAAAAUAGGGAGAGAGAAGAGGAGAGCGGAGGAGGAGCCGGAUCUGUCGGAUCUUCCUCAACAUUGUACUUUUGCAGCAACUGGUUCGUCCUUCAUCGUUCUCCAGGUUCUUCAACUCAUAACUCCUAAGUUCUUUAAUUACUUUUAUUUACAUUCAAGUUAUUUAUUGGAUUCCCGCUUGCAUCAAGUGCUCUAGUCUUUAUAACGCUAGAGUAGUAAUUAAUAGAUUAGACAUGGUGUUCAGUCUUGCGAUUACCUGGAAUUGCACCCAAUCCUGCGGAUUGUUGUGGUAGCCUUAGGGUAGUGACAGCCCUAACGGUCGACGUAUUCCACCUCGUUCGGAUCGGUGUUUGUAGGACCGUAGUCGGAGCCUCCUAGCCCCAUUCUCAUCUCUUUCUGUGGUUAGUGUUCUGAUGUCCCGAUAUAGAUAAUCUUGAAGUAAUUCUUGAUUCUUAGAUCAACUAGAGAACUCUCAGGAAACUUCCUCUCUUCCCACCAAAAAUAAUUAUAUAGUUAUCCUUGGGCGAUCUUGGAUCUUAAUUAGUGCACUCACGUUCUCUGUGGAAAAUCGAUACUUUGGAAUACUCCCAGGUGAAAGCUACAUCGGUAUCCGUGCGCUUGCGGAUUUUUCUGUUUGCGUUUAAAAUACCCAACAAGCUUUCUGGCGUCGUUGCCGGGGAACGGUAGCUGUUCUAAUUUUGAACCAAGUUGUCCGUGUAUCCUUUUUCUUUUCCUUUUUUACCACACUCACCUUAUCAUUUUCACCAUACCACAUGGAUUUCACUCCAAGCAUUAAUGAGCAUGGAAAUUAUUUCAUAGCCACUUCAUUUACUCCAUGCUCAUAUGCAACAUCUUCACAAUCCAUUGGUCUCUCCAACAUCACCACAUUCAAGAUCUCCAACCCCCUCAUCCUUUCUAUUUAUAAAAACAUUAAAAGGGCAGUUGUCGAUGCAUAUGUCUAUAAGAUUGGAGGGGAACCACUUCACUGACAUAAAUUGAUGGUUUCCCAAGGACAAGCUUAGUGUCCUAAAACAAGCACUGAUCAGAUUGUAACAUGAGCUUUUAAUUAUUUACAACAUUACCUCGUGUAUUGAGCAUAUAAGGAUAAUUGUAAAAAUAUUCCUUCGGGUAUUCUUGUCACUAACCUUUCUAGGAUAGGAGCAAGAAGAUUGGAUGAAUGACAAGCACAAGGUAUGUCCAACCAAUCAUCAUACAACAUUGAAUUACAUUCAUCCAAACUUGAAUUUUGCAAAAUUCAAGCUUGGGGGAGUACUUUACAUAAAAACAUCCUUUGCUAUGUUGCUAUGUUGGUUGUCCCUACCUUUGAGACAUGCUCAAUUUGUUCAAUACUAAUCACACUACUUCAUCUCCACAUGAGCAGAUCUCUAUGCUCUCAUACUACCUUUAUUUGCUUUAGUAUAUGUCUAGGCUUGGAGUAGUUUCAUUUCUCUUAUUUAAGCAUGGUGCUUAGUUUAGGGCUGGUGAUCUUACUUCUAAGGGAUUUUAAAUUAAGCAUGAUGCUUAGGUUAAAAUGCCCUCCUAAAUCAAAUUAGACAUGGUGUCUAGGUUGAUCUUUGAGCCAAUAGUAUGCUAUAGUAGAUAUUAGAUAUUUUGUUGGACUAACCCCUGCAGGAAAACUUUCAAUAUCGACCUGGGAAGUCCUGAGAUAAACUCACAUUGGAGACAAAGAGAGAGACACAUGAAGUUUAACAAUUUACACAAGGAAGGCAUAGCUCACAAGAGAUGAUCCAUGGAGGGUGCUACAAAUACGAUGCACAACCACUAAGAAAGGAAAGCUUCCACAAGGUGAUACUUACCAUCACUCUUCAUGUAAGGUAACAUCUUUAGGUACUUGACUAUCACUCUUAUAAGCUUCUCCUUGGUUCUGGCGUUCACAUGAAUAAAAGAGACAAACAUGUAUGAUUUACAACUCUAGAUUAACCAACCCAAUAGAUUCAAUAUGUUUAGUCCUUCCACCUUUGUGAUCCCACACUCCUAAUCAUAUGAGCUAAAAUGUUGCACACUCAAUCUUUGGAAGAUAUAUUUUAUAAAAAACAACAUAAAUAUAAAUAGAUUAUCUUUCCAUUAGGUUGAGCGAUCUGAUCUAACAAAUGUUUUAAAUGCUACACUCAUGAUCUUAUUAUCCAUCAACUUUGUCUUGCUCACUAUGCUUAAGGUUAGAGAGAACAAAUACUCUUUUGGUUCUGUUGGUGUUUUCCACCAACAGGGCCCAUGCACUUGAUCUCUGCCUUGUCUCUAUGAGCAGGUACACUUCGAGCAAAAUAUGAAGGACUUUUACAACUCCCAGACUCCACCAAGUGAAGAACCUAGAUCUACGAGCACAAACACACUGGAGAUACUGGACACUCAGGAAAUCACUGCCUUGAGAUGCUUGAGGACGUAACUACUAGAGUAACCCCAUUGUGGAAGUAAUUACUGACCUUCUGCUGGUCAAGAGAGACAACCCAGGACGCCCCGUCAUCCCGAUCUCCAUCGGCAUGGUGGACUUCCCAGAAGCACUCUGCGACUUUGGCUCCAGCGUCAACAUUAUGCCCAGGGUACUCUAUAAAAAAAAUUCUUUACACAUCCUUUAUUAGAGACAGCCAUGUGUUUGCAGCUUGCAGAUCAUACGCUAAGUUUCCCAAAGGGAAUAUCGAAGAACCUCUACGUCCAAGUUGGUACCUUGUACGCCCCAACAGACUUCAUGGUGAUAGAGACUGGUACUGAUGAGAGGGCACCCAUCAUCCUAGGGAGGCCAUUCCUGAACACCUCGGGAGCUGUCAUCUACGCUAGUGCUGCCAAGAUCCGUUUCUACAUCAAGGGGAGGAAGGAGACGUUUUCCUUCAAGAACAAGAUUACACAAAUCCCAGAGCAAUCCCGACAUGAACCAAGGAAGAGGACCAACAGGAGGAACAGGAACAAGCAAAUGUAGACCGAGUCAGCUAAGAUGGUCACUGCAGUUCAAGGAGGUCAAGAUCGUUGACUUAAGUCACCGUUCCUGACCAAAAAGGAUGACCUAGCUCCUGCAUGGAACCAUGCCCCUACAACCAACAUACAUUCAUCUCCAGAUGAUUUUAAGGUUAUUGACAUGGGAGAAGACGAGUAUGAUCCACCCAUCAUCCUUGAGAGACAGUUCCUCAGCACUGUUAAAGCAAUCAUCUACAUUGGAACUAGAGAAGUACACAUGUACUUCACCUCUGAGAAGGUACGCCGCUAUUUUACUAACCUUAACUAUAUAGUUGAAGACUCUAAGCAGGUCAGGACAAGAAGAAGACGACGCAACCACAACCAGAGGAGGCAAAUCAUCAAGGACAGAUGGCCAGACUACGAAGGAGAAGUUGUAAGGUCUGAAGACAUACAACUUGAACAGAACUGUCCUGAGGAGACCGUAGCACCGAGUCAGGUGUGUAGAGAGAAGAUAGUUAUACACGAAGAGGAGGCACCGCCGGAACCACCAACUACGCCAUCCAGCGAAUCCCAGGACAACUGAGAAAAUGGAGAGUCCCGUUCGGAGGACUUAAAAACACCGAACGCCUAGCCAAGAGGUAAACUUGGUAGUUAUUUUUUUUCCUUUCAAUUAUUUUAAAAUGGUUUGCUUAGUUAAUUAGGUUCAUAUCAUCUUGAAAAGAAAAUAAAAAUGUUAAAAAUAGUAAGCCCCAUGUGAGUAUGCUCAUGGCAUAAAACCCAUAAGUACAUUCACUAUGGUGGCAUAAAAAUAAAAUAAAUAUAUUCCUGUCCUAUAAAAAAUAAAAUUACAAAAAUAGAUUUAUGAUCCUACUAAAGAGAGUAACAUUUAUUGAGGAGGCUCAACAUGAUAAAGGCUAGAUAUUUAUGCUAACACUUAACCAGUUGCACAUAGCUUUGUUGUCUAUUUGAGCUCCACAGAAUUCAAGGAUCAAAGAAGACUAGCAGACGGAGGACAUCCUAAUCGCUGUCAGAGUGCUGCCGACAUUCAAAUACACCUCCGCCACCUGCUAGCUAAAUCCAGCUUGGGGGAGAGCACCCCCAUUUAUCCAGCUAAGUGUUCUACUCACGUUUAUACUUUACUCUAAUAAUAAAAUGAUCCAUAAUCAUAAGAACCGAAAUAAAGAUUUUGUGCUUAUAUAUAUAUAUCUUUUCUUAGUUUGCUAAAUAAAUAAAUAAAUAAAGUUUGCUAUGAACCCUCAUGAUAAACUCUCACAUGGAAAUGAUUAAUAGUUGCUCUGCCAUGACUAGAUCUUAAAAUUGAAAUCUCUCUCAAGUUUAGGCACAACUGGUAUUAAUUAAGAUUUGCUCUAAACCUCAACUUGUGGGGAGAGUACUUGAUCUAAAGUCUAAGUCGUUAACGGAUAUGAUAUGGGAAGGUUGAGCUGCUAUCUAUCUGUUCCUAGAGAUGCUAGAAUUCUGGAGAAUUUUAUCUUUGAAAAUCUUUAAAAUGUUGCAUGAUGAGUUCCUGUAUGAUGAGAGUUUAAAUUCCUACCACAGCCAUAUAUACAUGCUUGCUAGACUUUGAGCCACACAUUUACUUUUUACUGCUUAUGAGCAUUGAGUGUGGUCAAGCUGUGUAGACCCUUAGGAGCUUGUCAUGUGGUUAAAUCAAGAUUCACUUGCACGUUCACUCAUACAUGCUGCUCCGGAAGUACGCAUCCAUAUAUAUUCACCAAUUUACAUCUCUAGAAUCACCUAAAAAUAUUCUACUCCUAAUCCGGGAGAGAAUAGCCAAAAACAUUCUCCUAUUUCUGUUUUUCCCUGUGAAAUAAAUGCUCAAGUUAUCUUGGUUACUACCACUUGCUAUAUUAUUUCAGGAGAUGAGUGCUCUAAAAAGAAAAAGAAGAAAAAAAAGAUACGAGGAAAUAAAAAUGGGCAAGUGCCUGGAACCUCGAAAGAAAAGAAAAAGUGAGACGAGAGGUAAAAAUGGACAAGUGUCCGACAGUAGAAUUAGGGGUACAAGAUGCCCACCUGAGAGAAAAGGAAAAGAAAAUAUAGAGCAUCUCAUUCUCCUCAAAAAGUUUCAAAAGAGCAAGAAAGGUAUGUACCCCCUCAAAAGAGCAAAAGUAAAAUUAGACUUUCACCAUUACUUUCACCAUUAUCACCAUUCAUUCGCCACACAUGCACAUCUUGAUUUGACUUAUUGACUUGUUCUUCUAGAUCCAUGGUUUCACUAUGCAAUAAAUGUCUUGUAAGUAUGUAUUAGCUGUCUCCCACCUAUGAGCUCCAGAUAUCAAAACCUUAUUAGAGUAGGGUAAGAGAGAAGGCAAUACCACUAUGCCUCAUACCAAAAAUACCACAUACUUUGAGAGAAGGCAUACACUAUUACUGCCUUGGUAAGGAUCCAGAAAUACCACAAAAGAGAGAGUAGAGAGAGUCAUACAAGGAAUCUCUGAGUUUUAUUUGAAAAUCUGCAAAAACUCCAGAGCUAUAGUUAAUCGAAGAACAAGAGACAUGGCGCUUGACUAGACCGUUCUAUCUUUUAACUGCUCAAGACACAAGUGACGGUUGCAAGCCCCAUGGUGGAAGGUACAAUGGGUAAGUUUAAAUCUUAACAGUUUACCCUAACCCAGAGAUGAGAUCUUGUUUGAACCUAUGUGUAUCUUUAAGGUAUGAAACCACUGCAGAAACUCUUGAGUUCAUCUUUGCUCUGGGACGAGCAAAGGUUAAGCUUGGGGGAGCUUGUUGACGGUCCUUAAUGCUCACAUUUAACCAUCAACUAAUCAUGGAAAAGGAUCCAAAUGCAACUAACACCUAGACUUAGGGUUUUAUCUGAUAGAAUUCCACGAGUUUUGGUGUUUGUCUAUUUUUGCAGGGGGUUAUCAGGAAAUACGGAAGAAAGGCCCACACGUUGGGUUUACAUAGAGACAUUAACGUGCUGCGCAAUUUUCUACCAUCUAGAAGACUCCAGAAGCCACGGGAACGAAGCGGAGGCCGAGAGGGCUCAGGCACAGGGCGCCCGCCCUAGUCCCUUGGGCGCCCGCCCACUUCCAGAGACCAAUUCGGACACGUUUCGCGGAUUAUGGUCCACCGACCUAAAGGAUCAAGGAAAACCGUGCGAUUAAUGUCAGUUUGAUCCGACGGCCUAGAUUCACAUGAAGGGACUAUAAAACCAGACCGCCUGGCCCCUGGAGAUCAUACCUAUUCUACAAAAUCAAACUUAGGGUUUCAAUUCUUCAUCCAAGUAGAGAGGAUCCCUCUAGUUCUUCUAGUUCUACCUCUAGUUCAUCUAGAUCUAGUUCUAGUUCAUCUAGUUCUAGUUCUAGUUCCUCUAGUUCUAGUUCUAGUUAGUUCUAGUUGUAAUCUAGAGAAUACGGAGAGAGAAGAGGAGAGCGGAGGAGGAGCCAGAUCGUUGGAUCUUCCUGAACAUUGUACUUUUGCAGCAACUGGUUCGUCCUUCAUCGUUCUCCAUGUUCUUCAACUCAUAACUCCUGAGUUCUUUAAUUACUUUUAUUUACAUUCAAGUUAUUUAUUGGAUUCCCGCUUACAUCAAGUGCUCUAGUCUUUAUAACGCUAGAGUAGUAAUUAAUAGAUUAGACGUGGUGUUUAGUCUUGCGAUUACCUGGAAUUGCACCCAAUCCUGCGGAUUGUUGUGGUAGCCUUAGGGUAGUGACAGGCCUAACGGUCGACGUAUUCCAUCUCAUUCGGAUCGGUGUUUGUAGGACCGCAGUCGGAGCUUCCUAGCCCCAUUCUCAUCUCUUUCUGUGGUUAGUGUUCUGAUGUCCCGAUAUAGAUAAUCUUGAAGUAAUUCUUGAUUCUUAGAUCAACUAGAGAACUCUGAGGAAACUUCCUCUCUUCCCACCAAAAAUAAUUAUAUAGUUAUCCUUGGGCGAUCUUGGAUCUUAAUUAGUACACUCACGUUCUCUGUGGAAAAUCGAUACUCUGGAAUACUCCCGGGUGAAAGCUAUAUCGGUAUCCGUGCGCUUGCGGAUUUUUGUGUUUGCGUUUAAAAUACCCAACACCGGCUCUUUAUCAGAAUCUGAGCUUGCUGCCUCGUCAACAAAUGACACCUUUUUGUUCCAAGCUCUCUUGGGUUCAAAGGGUUUGAUAUCCUGGUCGGAAAUCCUCUGGACCAAGUGACUCAGGCUCUCGAACUCUUGAGAAGCAUAUUUGUCCCUGAUAUGUGGCAACAAACCCUGUAAAGCCAAAUCGGCUAGCCACCGAUCGUCCAAAACCAGACUAUAGCAUUUGUUCUUGACUUCCGACAACCUCUGCACAAACCUUUCAACCGAUUCAUCAUUGCGCUGCUUCAAUCUGACCAAAUCGGUAAUCCUCUUCUCAUGGACUCCAGAAAAGAAGUACUUGUGGAACUGCUUCUCCAGAUCGGCCCAAGUAAUCACUGAAUUAGGAGGUAAUGAUAUAAACCAGGUGAAAGCCGAUCCAGAUAAAGAUGAUGAAAACAAUGGAACCCUCAAUUCAUCCCUGUUAGCAGCUUCCCCACACUGGAUGAUGAACCUGUUGACAUGCUCCAUGGUCGAUGUAUCAUCCUGCCCAGAAAAUUUAGUGAAAUCCGGCACCUUGUACCGAUUUGAAAGCAGGAUUAAAUCAUAUGCAGGAGGAUACGGUGUCUGAUAAGAGUAAGUGUUGACUUUGGGUUUUAUCCCAAAUUGGUCUCUCAUUACUUUAGCAAUCUUAUCGGCCCAAUAAGCAUCGGCAUCUUGCUGAUGGGGUGGUUGUGGAUCUGGCACCUGCUGGUAAGCUUCCACGUGUCGCUGAGGCGCACGAUCUGCAUGGAACAUGGGAUUAACCAUCUGACCACCAAUCUGCUAUCCUAGAUUCAUCGGCUGGUUGAUCAAUCCUUGAUUUUGAAACCCAGGUUGGAUCUGUCCUUGUUGGAAUCCAACAGCCUGAUGAUUCUGCUGAGGCAUCUGUGGAAAGACUAGCCGCCCUAUCCAUCCAUUAUUAGCAUUCAUCGGCACGAACCCUGCCGAUGACUGAAGAUUGGGCAUCAUCAUUGAACUGUCAAACCCUGGUUGUGUCAUGAACCUCUGCUGCGUCAGCAUCGAAUCUACCGAUGCGUUAGGCAUCUGAAACAUUGGAGCUUGAGAAUUCCCAGUGUAAGGUCUUGCAGUAGUAGUUGUAGUAUACUGGGACUCUGAUUUAUCGGCAAAUUUGGAGGUGCCGAUGCCAUAGGAGCCUUGCCUCUCGUGUCAGCCAUCUGAGAUGUUCCAGGAGUCUUCAAAAUCAUCUCUGGGGACAUACCAUAACCCCACCAGCUGGGAGGAACUGACCCCGACAUUGCUGAUGCCAAUAGAUCUGUAGUAAGCUUGAUCUGCUCAUCUGUCGUUGAUGGAUUGGUUGUCAUCGUCGUAGAUUGCGCGUUAAUGACUCCUAACGUGCUUGGAGGAACGGUAGUUUCUGUACCCGCAGCGGCCGUAGCAGCCGAUGGAGCCGUGACAACUGGUGAUCCUAGCUGAUGAUAGACAGGGCCCACAUAGUUUGGUGGCAAUUGUCCUUCUUUUAAAGUUCUAGCCACGGCGUUAAAAACCGUAUUGGACAGCACACCAGCUUGAUUGAUCAAGGCAUGGUUAAUAGCACUAUCAACAAUGUCUUGAAGUUUACCAAGAUUGGCUUCAAAAGUAACCUGCCGAGGCACCGGCAAUGCUUCCUUAUGGAUCACCUCGCCACUCCUGUUGAUACUGAAGGACUUCAAACAUUGCUGCUUGUAAUCCUCCAUAGCUUUUGCAAUAGCUUGCUUCUGCUCAUCUCUGAGAUUGGCUUCCAUCACGGGGAUGACGUUCUCCAAAUCGAAUUCGGUAGUCGAUAUAUCGAUCUUGCUCUUGAAUAUGUCCCACUGGGCGUGCCAAAAGAUGUGUUGAUGCAAAAGCUGAUCUACAAACACAAAGGGCUAAUACCCGAUUUAAACGUUAAGGCGUACCAACCGAUUUGACCUUACUAUCGGCAAAGGUGAUAACUCGAAUACUUUGGUCCCAACAACAGCGAUGCGCCCGGAUGUCACGGCCAAGAGGUAUUCAUGCGGAACUCGAGAAUACGAACUCCUAAGAACUCGUAAUAAAAAGGAAAAUAUGACGAAGUCGCCGAAAAAGUAGAUGCUGGAAUAUGAGUAAAAACUUGUGUUUGAUUGAUUGAUAGAUAUCUCAUUACAAGGCCCUAGGGUCUACAUUUAUACCCUGCUCAAAGAGCUACAAUCAGACACAACUAGGACUCGAAUUCCAAAUUAAAUAGAAUCCGUAUACAAAACAAUUUUAAAUAAAUAAGGGAAACAUAGAACCACCCCCUCGUAACCGACCGGGACACCACCACAGAUCAAUCGGCAACCUCCACGCUUCCCUUCAGAGUCAUCGGCAGUCUUCCAGUUAUAGCCAUCGGCAAACACCAAUAUUGAGCAUCGGCAAGAACACGUCACCACCUUUGGACAUAGUCAUAUUCAAUCGUCUCUUCAUUGGCAACUAUCCUCAUCGGUAACUCUUCUGCAGGCUAGUUACCGUUGCUCCACCUGCCGAUCUAUACUCUACUGGGGUCUCUAGGUACGUGUCCAAAAACGGUGUCAAAAAGAAGCUUCCCAUUUUUCUUGUAGACUGGAACAACAUUGGAAAUCCACUCGGCAUCGGCAGGGAUUUGACCUCUGAGAGCCUUGAAUAGGAAUUUGGCUGGGUCAGAGUCAUCGACCAAUUGCGCUAUAUCUUGAUGGAGGAGGGCUGACAGCUCCGCCAGCUUUGCUUUAAUCUCUGCCGAUGAGAUUCCGAUUGCUCGAGAAGAACUUGCUUCCUCGCCUUCGUCCUCAGAAAUCUCGAUGGCAAAGGAGAACAGACUGUCGGGAGAAUCCUGUUCCUGAAAGAGAGGACAGAAUAAGUUAUUUUAUGAUCAAGUACUGAUAACAAUAAAAUUGAAGAUCGGGUAACUUACUUGCUUCAGAGCUAUCUCUCGCCUUUGGUUAGUUGAAGCCGAUGGAAACACAGGCUGAUCGGCUAGGAUUGCCGAUGAGACCAUGUCAGCUGCAAGAUUGACAGAAGUUAUUAACAAAGUGGAAAAAUAGGUUCAUCGGUAAUAAAUGGAAAGUAUGUUACCUUGAGGGGGCGCGGUAAUUAUCUGAAUUGAGGAGACUACCGAUGCUAUGGUUAGGCUUGCUGGAUCGACGGUCUGCUCGUGUACGUCAGCCGGUGUUUCUUCUGGCUGAGGUUCCUCUGGCUAGAGCUCUUCUACUUGGGGUUCUUCUUGUGGCUGAGGAGGAGAUGGUAUCUGCUGUGUCUGGGCUUCUGGAGAAGAAGGGGAUGACUCUUCUGGAAUCGGAGAUACUGGGGGAGGAGAAGGCGUUACUGUUCUCUGGCGCUUUGCUUGUAAUCUGGUAUUCUUGGAACCUUUUCUCUUCGGUUGACUGGACUGGGGGGCAUCGGUAGUCGUAGUUCUGGUUUUUGCUGAUGUACCGGUGUGCUGGUACAACAGUGAAAAGUUUAUGAGUACAAGUGUAAUAAGUAUAAGAAUGGGAUCGAUAUGAGUAAAAGAAUUCGAAAAUUUGCCUUGAAGGCUUGUGCUAGGGUAGAGGCAGCUACCGAUGGGGAUAUCUUUGCCCGUUUGGUGGUAACUUUCUUGAGACGCACACCCCGAUGCAUUAUGGUAGCAAGGGUUGGAGCGUUGUUGCCGAUCAAAGAGAUCGGGCCCGAUGGAUGGAGCUCAAUCGGCUUGCCACUCGUGCUGACCAAUGGGGGUGUGUCAUCGACCUGCAUAUGACAAGGAAGUAAGAUACCGAUGGAAAGUGAAAAUGAAUGGAUUGAAACAUCGGUUUAGAAGUACUUACAGCGUUAUCGGGGACUUUGUAUUGAGGGUCGAUCAUGCCAUGGUAUGUAAGAGCCGAUCUGCAGAACAGGUGCUCUUUCCAUUCUUCCCACCACUGUUUAUAUGCCUGAGUGAUGAAGAGAGCUGGGAUCCAAGCCGAUAGAUCGACAUCUGUAUCGACGUUUGGUGGAAGUUAGGCUACCCUGAUCCAUUCCAGAUGGCUGGUGAUAAUCUCCCUCGGCUUUAUCACAUCGGUGUAGCAAAGUGCAAUCGGCAGUUGGCCGAAAGCCAGUUGACGAGCUAGUGCUGAUGGAUUGUAGAACUCAUAAGUCAGAUUAGAAGCUUUCCCACUGCCAAAGAAGUUCACCGGUAUAGAUCUGGGGGUGAUAAUUGCCAUCAUCACCUCACGGUCCUUGUUGAGAGCAUCAUUGAAGGGGUGGAAAGUCAGAGGGAAUCUGGUGUAUGGAUCUUCAUAGGGCAUCCAUGCCCGCUGUUCCCUGGUCAAACCCUCAUACAGAGUUUGGAAGAAUCGGCUAACCUGGUCUGCGUUGCCACCUGUGCCAGGCAAAACUAUGGCGGCUUCGCCAAAGUUCAGAGGGGAACGAGUUGCCUAUUCUUCUUCACCUAGUUCGUAAUCCUCGGCUAUAUCUCUAGGGAAGUGUUGUGCGAAGAGAUCGAACUCAAGGCAUUUGUGCAUGUGGAGACUAAGCCACAUGUUAAUAAACCACCAAGGACCCCCUAAGUUACCGAUGGGUUGACCAAGCAGUAGUUUCUGGGCUACCUGGUGGAGGAGGUGAUAAGCCGAGCCAAGCAAAUAUCGGCCAAGAGGAAAUCGGCCGCCAUUGGCUAAUCUUUCUGCUGCCGAUAAGUAAACCGAAGUUGGUCCUGCCGAUCGGCCACAGAAUACGAAUUUAUCCAGCCACAUGUUCAGAAAGGUGGUCUGUUCCUUCACAUUGACAGGGCCUGUUCUUCGGUACUUCUGGAUGUACCCUGACCAACCGCCGAUAGAACGAGUUUCCACCUUAGCACUGGGUUUGGUAUCAAACAGGUGGGUGGUAUCGGCAGUGGAUACAUCUAAGCCGGUGAGUAUAAGCACAUCGGCAAGUGUGGGAGAAGCUGGGCCAUGGCCAAACACAAAAGCAUUGAGUGUGUCUGACCAAAAGUAUGAGGCAGUUAUCAGAAGUGACUCGUUUUUCUCCAUAUCGGGAAGGGACAAUCUAAUGCACUGAUCCAGUUUCCGUUCACCCCAUUGGACCUCAUUUGAGUUACUGAAACUCAAGAACCAAUCCUUCCAUCCCUUGGUAGGACUGGGCUAGGAACAGAAAGCAUCCUCCAUAGAUCUAAAGAAAAAAUCUUGGCUCUAAAAGGGAUUCUGUUUGUCUCCGCGUUUAUAAGAUCGGUGGGAUCCGAGUUUCCUAGUGGACCAAGACACUGAAGAUGGGGUUGAUCGGUAGGAAUAACGAUUUUAUCGGCCAAAUCCUAGAAAUUUUUGGGAGCGAAAAGAAGAACAAAAAGAAAAAGGAUUCGGUAAGACAGAUUGUGGAUGAACAGGGGUACAGUAAAAGUAUAGGAGAAAGGAUAGUACGCUGACCUCAGGAACGACGAAGAUGAUGGCCAUCUCCUCGCAGGAGAGAAGAUCGAAAACUUGGGAGUGGUUGGAGGAAGUUCUUGUUGAAGUUCUUGAAGCUCUCGAACAGUGCCGCCACCAGGAAAGCAGAGUUGGGGCUAUAGAAUGAUGCGAUGGAGAAGGAGUACCUGAGAAGGAAGUAUUUAUAGGACAAAACGGGCAAGGGCAAAUUUGACUUAUCUCUUCGCCGUAUCCGUGAAAUCCGAGGAUACUCAGCUGGAUAUGGUAACUGUUCGCACGGUAAUCAACGGAUUGCGCAAGUGAUUUGACAGGAAGCGGUCAUGAUGUGGAGAUAUUUCACUGUGCGGGAUUUCUUGGUCGGUCCAUCGGCAGUUCCCUCUAACGGUAAUAUUGCCGAUGGGCAUAAAGUGGAGGGAUCCGGUUCGAAAGGUUGAGGAAUUCGAGGAACCUGCAGGAGAAUCGGGCCAAGGUUGUUCCGAUUUAAACGGUCGGUUACCAAAUUGGGAGAAUUAAUUGCGGAAAGGCAUCAUUACUGCAGAGAAUUUUGGAGCAUUAAUGAUUUCAUACUCCAAAAUUGGGGGGCAUGUGUUGACACCAUUUUUGGACACGUACCCAGAGACCAGUAGAGUAUAGAUCGGCAAGUGGAGCAACGGUAACUAGCCUGCAGAAGAGUUACCGAUGAGGAUAGUUGCCAAUGAAGAGACGAUUGAAUAUGACUAAGUCUAGAGGUGGUGACGUGUUCUUGCCGAUUGUUGAUAUUUGGUAACGCAAUAAGGAAAUGAUCCGCAAGCGCAUGGAUAUCGGUGAGCAUUUCACCCGAGAGGUUUUCCAGAGUAUCGUAUUUAUAUUUUUACCACUAGGAGAAAGGGUGCAUCUGACUAACCAAAUCUAUUGUAUUACCCCUUUAGGCUACAAAGAAUGUUUCUCGAUGUGAGUGAUGUAUAGAGAAGACUGCAACCGUAGUCUCGCUCUAACCUUGGUAAGGAUGAUCUACUAUUCUAUUAGCGAAGCUUACGGAAUCUAGACACCACAAAGGAUGUUCGACCCGCACCUAUAAACCCUACCCGUCCUGCUAACAAGAUAUGGGAUACAAAGGUAACUCGGAUAUGUCACGUUCCUCGCUACUACCACGGUCCAGCUAGUCAGGGGAUAUCUAUGAGUACCCUAGCCUAAACACCACGUUUACACUAGCAAUGAUUACUCUAAUACUCAACCGGAAGAGGAAUAAAGUAAACUCAUAAACCAAAGAACAAUAAAACAAGACCUUACUAGAAUUAGAAGUCGAAUUACUGAAGAAUCUUAGAAGCAAGCCUCGGGUUAGGAGACUUGAUCCCGUAGGUACAACUCGGAGUAGACACCGACAGGCCGGCCUUCCUCCGAUCUACACCUCCACUUUAUCUCUCUCAAUCUAGUAGAAACUAGAAGAUCUAUUUCUACUUACAUUGGUUGCUAAGCCUAAAAAGAAAUAUUAUUUAGAGAAGAGGUUUUCCUUCGAGGCACCCCUCAAUCUCUAUGAUAUCUUCUUGUCUCCUCCAGGGGCUAGGGGGGUCUCCUUAUAUAGUCCUCCUCCUCUAUGCGUUUCUGGGUCGGUAGGCGAUGUGGUACUAAGUUAUCCUUGAUCCUUUAGGUCGGUGGAACAUCGUGUGCGAAAAGAGUCCUGAUUGGCAUCCAAGUCAGGGAGGGCGCCCAGGGAAGGAGGGCGGGCGCCCUGGGCCUGGCCCCUUUCGGCCUCUGCUUUCUUCCCAUGGCUUCUAGGGUCUUCUAGAUGGUAGAAAAAUGUGCGGUGCAUUGAUAUCUCUAUGUAAUCCUGACAUGUGGGCCUUUCUUCCAUAUUUCCUGAUAACCCCCUGUAGAAAUAGACAAACACCAAAACUCGUGGAAUUCUGUCGGAUAAAACCCUAAGUCUAGGUGUUAGUUGCAUUUGGAUCCUUUUCUUUAUUUAUUUGAUGAUUAUAUUUGGUACUUAAGGACCGUCAACAACUCCCCCAAGCUUACCUCUUGCUCGUCCCUGAGCAAGGAUGAACUCAAGAGUUUCUGCAGUGGUUUCAUGCCUUAAAAGUACACACACAUUCAAGCAAGAUCUCAUCUCUGAGUUAGAAUAAACUGUUAAGACUUAAAACUUACUCAUUUUACCUUUCACCAUGGGGCUUGUAACCGUCACUUGUGUCUUGAGCAGUUAAAAGAUAGAACGGUCAAGUCGAGCGCCAUGUCUCUUGUUCUUUGAUUAACUAUGGCUCUGGAGUUUUUGCAGAUUUUCAAAUAAAACUCAGAGAUUCCUUGUAUGACUCUCUCAAAUCUCUCUUUUGUGGUGUUUCCGGAUCCUUUCCAAGGCAGUAAUGGUAUAUGCCUUCUCUCAAAGUAUGUGGUAUUUUUGGUAUGAGGCAUAGUGAUAUUGCUUUCUCUCUCACCCUACUCUAAUAAGGUUUUGAUAUCUGGAGCUCAUAGGUGGGAGACAGAUAAUACAUACUUAUAAGACAUUUAUUGCAUAGUCAAACUAUGGAUCCAGAGAAACAAGUCAAUAAGUCAAAUCAAGAUGUGCAUGUGUGGCGAGUGAAUAGUGUAUGAUGAUGAUGGUGAUAACAAUGGUGAAAGUCUAAUUCUACUUAUUGCUCUUUUUAGAGGUUACAUACCUUUCUUGCACUUUGAAGCUUUUUGAGGAGAAUGAGAUGCUCUAUAUUUUCUUUUUUCUUUCCUCUCAGGUGGGUAUCUUGUACCCCUAAUUCUACUGUCGCACACUUGUCCAUUUUUACCUCUCGUCUCACUUUUUCUUUUCUUCGAGGUUCCGGGCACUUGCCCCUUUUUAUUUCCUCGUAUUAUUUUUUUUCUCUUUCUUUUAGAGCACUCAUCUCGUGAAAGAAUGUAGCAAGUGGUAGUAACCAAGAUAACUCGAGCAUUUAUUCCAUCGGGAAAAACAGAAAUAUUUUUAGCCAUUCUUUCCCGGAUUAGGAGUAGAAUGUUUUUGGGUGGUUCUGGAGAUGGAAAUGAGUGGAUAUAUGUGGAUGGUACUUCCGGAGUAGAAGUAGCAUAUAUGAGUGAACGUGCAAGUGAAUCUUGAUUUUAACCACAUGACAAGCUCCUAAGGGUCUACACAGCUUGACCACACUCAAUGCUCGAAAGCAGUAAAAAGUAAAUGUGUGGCUCAAAGUCUAAUAAGCAUGUAUAUAUAUGGCUGUGGUAGGAUUUUAAACUCUCAUCAUACAGGAACUCAUCAUGUGUUAUUUUAAAGAUUUUUCAAAGAUGAAAUUCUCCAGAAUUCUAGCAUAUCUAGGAACAGAUAAACAAUAACUCAACCUUCUCAUAUCAUAUCCGUUAACGACUUAGACUUUAGAUCAAGUACUCUUCCCACAAGUUUAGGUUUAGAGCAAAUCUUACUUCAUAACAGUCAUGCCUAAACUUGAGAGAGAUUUCAAUUUUAAGAACUAGUCUUGGCAGAGCAACUAUUCAUCAUUUCCAUGUGAGAGUUUAUCAUGAGGGUUCAUAGCAAACUUUAUUUAUUUAUUUAUUUAGCAAACUAAGCAAAUAUAUAUAUAUAUAUAUAAAAGCACAAAAUCUUUAUUUGGGUUUUCAUGAUUAUGCAUCUUUUAUUAUUUGAGUAAAGUAUAAACGCGAGUAGAAACACUUAGCUGGAUAAAUGGGGGUGCUCUCCCCCAAGCUGGAUUUUGACGUAAUUUCUUCUGAUGUAGCUAGCAGGUGAUGGAGGUGUAUUUGAAAGUCGGCAGCACCCUGACAGUGAUUAGGAUGUCCUCCGUCUGCUAGUCUUUUUUUUUAUCCUUGAAUCCUGUGGAGCUCAAAUAGACAACAAUGCUUUGUGGAUCUAGUUAAGUGUUAGCAUAAAUAUCUAGCCUUUAUCAUGUUGAGCCUCCUCAAUAAAUAUUACUUAUUUAGCAGGAUCAUGCACUUAUUAUUUUUAUAUUUUUAUUGUAAGAUGAAAACUUAUUUAUUUUAUGCCACCACAGUGAAUGUACCUAUGGGUUUUAUGCCAUGAGCAUACUCACAUGGGGCUUACUAUUUUUUAACAUGUUUAUUUUCUUUUCAAGAUAGCAUGAACCUGAUUAACUAAGCAAACUGUAACUGAAUAAUUGAAAGGAAAAGGAUAACUACCAAGUUUAUCUCUUGGCAAGGCGUUCUGUGUUUUUAAGUCCUCCGAAUGGGACUCUCCGUUUUCAGUCGUCCUAGGAUUCGCUGGAUGGCGUAGUCGGUAGUUCCGGUGGCGCCUCCUCUUCGUGUAUAACUAUCUUCUCAUUCCACACCUGACUCAGUGCUAUGGUCUCCUCAGGACAGUUCUGUUAAAGCUGUAUGUCUUUAGACCUUAUCACUUCUCCUUCGUAGUCUACCCAUUCAUCCUUGAUGAUUUGCCUCCUCUGGUUUCGGUUGCGUCGCCUUCUUCUUGUCUUGACCUGCUUAGAGUCUUCAACUAUAUAGUUAGAAUCAUUAAAGUAGUGGCGUACCUUCUUAGAGGGGAAGUGCAUGUGGACCUCUCCGGUUCCAAUAUAGAUGAUGGCUUUGACAGUGUUGAGGAACGGUCUUAUAAAGAUGAUGGGUGGAUCGUAUUCGUCUUCUCCCAUGUCAAUGACAUGAAAAUCAUCUGGAGCUGAAUGUAUGUUGGCUGUAGGGGCAUAAUUCCAUGUAGGAGCUGAUAAGUGACUGCGACCAUUAUGUUGUCGUCAGAUCCGGUGUCGUAGAGUGUCUUCUGAAAAGAGUAUCCAUUGAUUGUGCAUUCGAUGCAUGGAACCCCAGGGUCGUCCUUCUUGAUCAGGAAAGGCGACUUGAGUCGAUGAUCUUGACCUCCUCCGACAAGGAUCCAAUGUUUUAAGUCUUCUGGACAAGACAUCUCACUGUCUUCAUCCUUUAGGUGCAUCAUUUGAUUAGGUGUGUGUAACACCCCAGUGUUAUGGUUGCAUCAAACAUGUGCAUAGCAUGAGCAUCACCAUUUAUUCAAAGCAUCCAUGAUCAUCAUCUAUCUUGAGACAUGUCAUCCUUUGCAAAAAUGUGUUUUAAAUUGCUUAAAUAGGCUUCCUAUGCUUAUGUUUGAGUGAACAAUGCUUGUGUUUGUGCUUAAUGUCUUGGUAAAUAGCUUAUCUAUGCUUAACUUAACCUUGGGAACAAUGUUCAUGUUGAUCACUUCUCCAAAAUAAUCACUUAAGUCAUACUUAUGCAAAUAGGCCCUAGAAACCUCUUUUGCUUAGGCUUUUAAAAAGUGUUUCAUAAAAUGUUUGCAUGUCAAAACUUCCUACAGCAAAGUUGUAGCAAAUUUUAUAAGGAACAAAAGUUGUUUUAUGGCCAUCUCAUGAAAAUGAUCACAAAUAGCUCAAAAGUGGCCCACAAGGCAGAUUUGGGGCUGUUUUCCACACUUAGAAAAUUUUCUAAGUCCCCGGGUGGUUUGCAGUUUGUGUGAUCGAUUUUGGAAACUCCAUAUCUUUCAAUCCAGGCCAAUCUAGUCUUUGCUCUAGUUGACAAAGUUGUAGAUCUCGCCUAGUACUCCAAGUUUGUCAACUACGCCAUCUCCUAAAUCGCUCUGGUUUGGGAGAUAAUCAUCGGUGAAGUCGCUCUGUCAGUCGGCCAUUGCUGUCUCUGAAUCGACUUGGACCUCGUCGACGUGGCCGACCGCCGGCAGCGCUCUGUCGCCAUUUGGCGCCCGUACGCCGUUCCUGGCCCCGCCUGUCAGCCCUCGUCGCGUGCAUGACCACCACGGCGACGCCCCGAGCGAGUGGACGCGUCCACUUCGCUCUGCCUCGCCCUCUCUCGCCUGAACCUCGCCCGCAGCGGGCUCUCCGCCGCGAGCUCACUCCGGCGAGCUCGUGUGCGCCCCUCUCUGCGUCUCCGUCCACCAAACUCCACCCAAAGCUCCGCCGUGAGCCGCUCUCCAAGCUCCACCCUCUAACUCGACGAGAAACCCACCGGUGAGCCGACAUUUCUUUCUUCCCCCAAAUCGGUCCGCCGUGACCCUCUUCUCCGGCGAACUCAAUGCCGAGCGUUGUGAGGCUUCUCAUCAUCCUUGGUUAGGUCCUAGAGGUAGCUUAGGUCCUUAGCGAGCUUUUGCGCCACCUGGUGGACGCUCUACCGGGUUCUCCGUCGCCGGACACGGUGCGCAGCGCCGCCGUGCUUCCGCCGGAGUUGGGUGCUCUCGUGGCCAGCGCUUUCCACGGGGAUCCAGGCCAAGCCGCGUACCUAGGAAGCUUCGCCCUAGUCUGCUGGUGCUGUAGAAGGCCUUAGGUCACGCUCUACCGGCCUGAGGGCUCCGGCGUAACGCCGAGCACCUCCGCCGAGCCGCCAUUGCCGACGGUGAGUCCCUUCCGGUGGCUCCGCCGUGGCAAAAGUGGGGUCAAUCGAGUCGUUAGGGUUUGGGGAUCACGUUGAUGCCCUGGGUUUGGCCGGAGACCUCGCCGUCGCGGAAAAAUCGCCGGCGAAGAUCGCCUCGGCCGCGAGGAAGAAGAGCCUGACGGGUAGGACCCACUGUCAGCGACUCUCUCUUUCCCUCCUUUUCUUUUAUUCAAAAUCCUGAUUUUUGGAUUUCUUGCAAAAAUCAUAUCUCCUGUUUCUGAGAUCCAAAAAUUGUGAAACAAAUUUUGUGUUGUUUCUUGAGAUGGCUAGUAUUUAAUAAAAAUAUAAAAUGAAUCAUGUUUUCUGAGAAAUUAUUUUUUUAGGAUUUAAUUUUGUUAUUUAUGGAUAAAUGCAUAUCUCUGGUUUUACUGAUUAGUUUGCUCUGAAAUUUUUAUGGUGGUCUUUGCAUGGCAUUAGAGUGCUCUGAUGAUUAUUUCAUGAUUUUUGGAGCACUGCAGUUGUGAUAUGUAAUUUGUGUUUGAAAUAUGGCUUGUUUCUUUAAUUAAAUCACAUAAAAUAAUUGGUGCUUAUGCUGGUGCUCUAUUUUGGUGGUAAACUUGUUUAUGGUAUUCCUAAAAUAUAAAUAAUCUGAAAUCUGUUGUUUGACACUAUAUAAGUCAUGUCUAUGAAUUUAUGAAAUAAAUGCCUUGAUACAUGUUAAAUGCAUAUCUUUAAUUUGGCAUAUGCAAUGGUCCUGAAAUUUUUAUGGUGGUGAUCUGAUGUUAUACUUGUGCCUCUGUAAUUUUUGUAGAUUUUUCUGAGCACUUUAACUAAUAUCUUGUAAAUAUGCCUUAUCUAAAAUUAAUUAAUAAAUGCCUUGUUAAGUAAUUGUUUUGGGGUUUUCAACUAAUGAUCUGGUGACCUUGUAAUAUGUCUGUGCUCAUGAGUCAUGUGGUUGGCAUGGUUUGUGUUUUGAUCAUGUCAUUAAAUAAUUAACUAUAGGGUUAAAUGCUGUUCUGGACAGCAAGUGAGUAAUUUAACUUUGCUUAAUGAUAACUUGACUUUCUGUGAAACUUGUAUAAAACAAAGUUGUUCUAAACUUGUUGAACUAACUGAGGUUUAAAUUUGAGGUCAUUUGGCCAAGUAGUUUAAAAGUUAUAGCUGUUCCAAGUUGGGUUCCAGAAAUAGGGGUUCUCUGUUUUUCUGGGACAGAACCUGGAACUUUGUUAAAAUGACUAGUUUAAUGUUUGAAUCUUGCUGUCAUGUUUAAAGAUGAGUUGUAGAUAAUUUCCUAAGCUUUCCAGAAUGUCCUUACUCAUGUUUGUUGGACCUGUCUAUCUAUAAUUAUGAUUUAUUUACUGAGCCUACUUGUUUUAUGUUGUUUGCUGCUUUGGUGCCAUGAUAGGUUUGGGUUAUGUUAACUUGUUUAUUCAUGUGAGUUAGUAUAACUCUUGCUCCGUAAAUGAGUGUCCAGUGAGUUGCUUGUGUUAUUAAGCAUUCAUCUGUGGCAUGUGCACCUUCUCAUUCAUCGAGCAUGCAAUAGGUGCACCGGACGUGGCAAUUUCCUUCGAGCUCCAAGCGAACCCCGAAGGCCAGGAAGGCAGCCAGGAGGUGGAGGUCCAGCAAGCCGGACUCGAGGAGCCCGAAGAAGAAGUUGAGUGCCCGAGUCACGAGCCGGCAUCGUUCGUGAAAGGCAAGCCCCGGAGCAUUUUAAGCCUCCUCUAUUUUCGAAAGUUUACUUAAUACGUUAUACCUAUUGAUGCAUUACGUAUAGGAGUUGUGAUGAAACUGUUGUUGCAUUCUACUCUAUCCUUGUCCAGAUAACUUACCCUCCCUGGUUGUAGAGUUAGGUUUGAGUAGCAGCUUAGCUAUGCUUUAAUCGGUAGAAGUCGGGUGAUAUUCUGUCAUCCGCGCGAUAUAGGGUUGUGUCGGGUCGCGAUGGUCUAUAUGUGCUAUCGUGGAUGGAACCUGAUCAAAUUGACUUAAGCCGGGCGGAGUUUUGCAAGUGUGUAGUAACUCCGUCUGUGGCAGCUAAGGACCAAUCGUUGCACGUCCUCUUGUCAUGUUGAACGCAUGCCUGACACUUAGUUGGCCGGAUAACUCGUUCCGACCGCGAAGCCGAGUAGUAUGACUCAGGCCGGAAGACCGGCAAGUAUAAAGUGCGCACUACCGGAGGAAGUGCGGUGUGCGGGGGACCAUUGGCAUAAGCCCAAAGGCAGGUGAGUUAAAAUUCCUGACCUCCCUGGCAGAGUGGUAGCCCUGGGAGUGCGGCGCUGAUCGGAGCCGCGAUUUCUGAGUCGUACCAAAGGUGACCCUUUGGCUCUCUGGCAGGGGAUGUUUGGGUGAGUGCUAGGAAUAAACCUCCAGCUGGAUAGGAAUUCGAUUCGAAUCGCCGUCUCUCCCGGUUAGUGAGAACUUGACAGAGCAGCGGCAAACGUAGCAUUCACUAAUAAACUUGGUUCAUGAUAAUGAGGAUAGCAAGAAGAACAUAUGAUGAAAUUGAUAUGGUUAUUAUUGUUUGGAAUAAUCAAGUGAUGUGUUGUAGUACAGGUGCUAAUCUAGUGGUAGGCUGAUGAUAAAUAAAUCUGAUGCUCUUAAAAUGACUUAGUGGUAAGUUAAGCUUUUGGCAAAAAGGUGAGUCAACCAGCUCCACUUAAAAUUCAGCCUUGCAUGAUCCUUGGUGUCUUUUAUGUUUUACUACACGGGUAAGUCUAGCUGAGUACAUCCUCGUACUCAGGGUUUAUUCCCACCUGUUGCAGAUGAUAUCUUCUAUGACGGUUUCUGCAAGACCUGUCUCCAUCCCGCUGGGGAUGAGGACUAACCGUUGGGCACGGUUCUCUACUCUUCUCGUCUAUGAUGCUUUUGAAAGGAUGACCUAGACUAUGGCAGUAACAAACUUGUGAACUGAACUUUGAACAAGCGUGUGUACUUAUUUUGCUUCCGCUACUUCGAACAAGUGUUGUAAUAACUAAAUACUCCGAUGUGGUGCCGCUUCGACGGCAAUGAAUGACUAUGUAACAAUCGUUGUGUUUAUGUUGAACUAUUACGAUCUUGGUUUGUUGCGAGUUGGUUUGAAGUCCUUCGUGAUUUCGAUUGACUACCGGGAUUAUAUGGGCUCAAGUUUAGAAACUUGAUUGUUUGACGAUCGUUUCUGCACUUGAACUCUUAUAAUUUGGUCGGUUCUGUGACAGCUGGCAUCGGAGCAAGUUCAGCAUUAUAAAUGCAGCGUUUGUGUAUUUAAAACAAAAGAAUUUUUAAAUAAAAUGGUGUAAAACAAAUAAUUAAGUUAUGCCAGUGGUCGAAUCCUCCUUGCCCAUAUAAGGACUCUAGGUGGCUAUUUAAGUACUGACUUGGGGGGGUUUUAUUUAUGCAUCUUUAGCAGUACUCAGGUAUGGAUGUGUGAUGACCGCACUAUGCUACCCUGUGGUCUAAUGGUGGAGGUAGCCUUCAUAUGUGAAUUAGCCACAUAUGUCGCUAGAUUUAAAUUAUGCAACGUCGCACCUACGCUCAGGUAAGUGUGAGCUGUGAGAGCAUGAUCGUCCAAACGGCGGUCUAGGGGAGUGUUCGCGGUGGUUUUCUGGAGUGGUUACAUGUCGAAACCAUGGAGCCACGAAAGAAACUUAAUUGGGGAGUAUUUAAUUUCUCGGGUAGUUGUGGUGUCAUUGUUGGGGCAUGUUGGGCAUGUCCAAGCAAUGUGCACUUAGUUUACUGCUUUCUUGAGUGAUAUAUUUUGAGAACUGUUGGGCUGAAAUGAAGUUUUCUGCAGGUACUCUAACAGCGCACGUAUAAACCGAUAGUUACCGUAUCGAGAGACGAAUGUAUGCCACCGUAUAUCCGUUAGAAUAUUAGUUUUCUAAGUUUGUGAGGACGUACGGUUCGUGCAUGCAUCAUGUCGCAUUCAUACAUACAUUCUGUCCGCUUCUUCCCUUACAAUUUCGUCCCUUUUUAAAUAAUUAAAAUGUUGCUUCAACUAAUCCUCUUUUACCCAUGGUAUUCCUAUUCCUUUCCAUAGAUGGACGCACCCGCUUCACCUCGUCCCAGUGACACUUUCUUGCACGAGUUUGGCACUCCUACCCUGCUCUGGAGAGUGUUACGGACUGUUGGGUAUACUGAGCCACCUCAGUAUUCUUGGUGGGGGAUGGAGAGCACAGGAGGGAUCCAGUGGUUUGCUGUGCAGGGAGUUGUCCCUCCACAUGGGGACAAGCCUGCAUGGACAGGCUGGACGUGCAGCUCAGAUGGGCAGACUCCUUGGGAGGCAGCUCAGGUUGCAGCCCAGACUAUCCUGCUCGACAUCUGUCAGAGGUGUGGUGACGAGCUGACAGGAGGACCAGCGGCCUCCAUUCCUAGUGCUGACCCAGCAGCCGCGGAGUGGAAACAGGCUGAUGGUUGUGCUUUGGUUCGAGGCAGAGGAGAGAGAGCUGAGAGCACUAGUCCUGCUAUGAGUGCUAUGAUGGCUGUACUCAAGCUGAUCAGUCAGCGAGAGGGCACCUAUGCACAGGUGAUGGUGGCUGUUCGCAGGGCCCAGGAGAUGCAGCGGAAGGCUGAAAAGCGUGGUCGCAAGUUUCGCAAGCAAGCUAGACUCCUGGAGCAAACUCAGAAGGACCGCAAUGACUGGGAGGACAUAGCGGAGUACCGUAGACAGCAGUGGGUGAAGGCCAUCAGAGAGAGAGAUCAUAAGCAGGAUCAGAUGAGCCAGUUAGCUCGAGAGAGGGAGACUUUGCAGGAGCGCUUGGUGCAGCUCACCCGUGAGAGGGAUACUGCACUCCGUGUGUCGGAGAACAGGCGCCGAGCAUGGGAGAUGCACCGAGUUCAGUCGCUUGAGCGGGAGAACUAUCUACAGGGUCAGAUUGAGGCUGGUCUUGUGGAGAUUCACCGUCUCAACAACUUGCUACACCCUAUUCCUCGCCCUAUACCCGUGUAUCCAGAGGUGGGACCUCAGGUAAUUGUGGCCGAUGAUGAUGGUAUGGAGGUUGAUGGACCAGCAGCGGCUGCACCACCUUUACACGAGGACGUGGAGGAUGAGGAGCUUGAGCCGGUUAGCGACGAGGAUGGAGAGGCGAUCUUUGACGCUGACUCGGACGACGAGCCUGGAGUGUAGGGAGUAGUGAGUAGUUGCUGCCAGGAUCUUUUGUUGUAUGCCAGUCGCUGUGUUGCUUUUGUAACCAUGUUGUAAUCCGAAACUUUGACCUUGACUCAUGGCAUGUACUGGAGGGGUGUAAUACCUUCAUGGACCCUAUGUGCAGUCUUUAUGAUCGUUAUGUUAUGCCGAUGUUUCCGUUGUGGUGCGUAUUGCGGAUAUCUAUGUCAUGUGUUGGAUUGGUGAUGUUGUUUUGUGGAAUGGAAUUGUUGUGCCUUUCUGUAAAGCUAUUCUCUCGAAUACUUUCAGGCAUGAAUAUAAUUUCUUCUGCGGCAAAUCUUUUCAUCAUCAAUGCUCACUGACUGUGUCUUUUCAGAUGUCUCGUGGCACCCGAGGUGCGGAACAGCGUGCAAACAUGAAUCCACCACCUCCUCCUCCACUACCAAAUCCAGCUGAGCUGAUGCAAAUGAUGGUGGAAAAUCAGAGGAUGCUCACUGAGACCAUCAACCGGAUGGCAAAUCAGGGAGGCCGUAAUGCACAGGAAGGGCCAGCUCCUAACCAGUACAGUAGCUUCAAGGACUUCAUGGAUACGAAGCCCCCACCUUUCAGAGAAGCUGAAGAACCCCUUCAAGCUGAAGAGUGGCUGAACACGGUGGAACAAAAGUUUCGCCUACUUCGGUUGACUGAAGGUUUGAAGGCAGAGUAUGCAGCUCAUCAACUGCAAGGACCAGCAGGCAUCUGGUGGAAUCAGUAUUGGGAAGCUCUUCCAGCCGACACCGUGCUUGAUUGGAAUCUUUUCCGUGAUGCUUUUAAAGGGCAUUUUAUUCCUCCAGGUGUUAUGGAGAUGAAGCACACCGAGUUCAUGCAGCUGACUCAGGGCAACAAAACUCUGAAGGAGUAUUUGCAUGCUUUCAAUCACUUGUCUAGGUAUGCUCCUGAGUUUGUGAACACGGAGACGAAAAAGAUCGCUAGUUUCAAGCGGGGUUUGGGUCCCAAAUUGCUGAAGACUAUGGGCCGCACUAGGUGUGCAACUUUCAAUGAGUUUGUCAGUGAUGCUCUUACUCAAGAGAAUUAUAACACUGUGUACACUGCGACCAAGACUCGCAAGAGGGCUUUUGAGGCCGGGGCAGGAUCAUCUCAGUCCAAGGCUCCAGUGGCAGUUAAGCCACCAUUCCGUGCUCCAACCCCCAACCAGCGAUACCGCCCUCCGGUGAAGAAGAAUCAGGCAAAGACGGGUUUUCGCAAGGGGUACUCUAUUGCUCUUCCUAGGGGCAACACGGGUCCCAACUAUGCCAAGACUCCACCAGCCAACCGUCCGUGCUGGAACUGCAAUCAGACCGGGCAUUGGCAGAGCAACUGUCCUUACCCGCCAAAGAAGGGCAACCAAGGGAACGUCCGUCAGGGGCGUGUUCAUUACACAACUGUGGAGGCAAUCCCUGCUGGUGAGGUAGUCACGGCUGGUAAGUUUCUGGUCAAUCAACAUGAUGCACUCGUGCUUUUUGAUUCUGGAGCAUCGCAUUCUUUUGUGAGUUCGGAAUUUGUAUCUAAGCAUAGCAUCAAGACCAUCAUACUUGAUAAGGGCAGUUAUUGUAUUAGUGCUGCGGGGAAUGAUAUUUCCACCAAUCAAGUGGUUUUGGGGGCAACUCUGGAGAUAGGAGGCCGUCAGUUUCUUGCUGAUCUGGUUGUUUUACCCGAUGUGGGCAUAGAUGUAAUUCUGGGGAUGAAGUGGAUGAGUGGUAAUGGAGUUCUUAUAGACACCACCACUCGUGUAGUGAUGUUGAAAGACCCAGAUACCAAGGAGGCAUUUCUAGUGCAACUCCCUCGUGAUAUUCAAAUCCGUAGCACUGUGAAUGCAGUCAUCUCUAAGGCUAUUCAGGAUAUUCCGGUGGUGUGUGAGUUUCCGGAUGUUUUUCCUGAUGAUCUACCCGGGCUUCCUCCGGAUCGGGAUGUGGAGUUUAAAAUUGAAUUGAUUCCAGGCACCGCUCCGAUCUCUAGAAGACCUUAUAGGAUGCCGCCUAAUGAGUUAGCUGAGCUUAAGACCCAACUAAAUGAGUUGUUGCAGAAGGGUCUUAUUCGUCCUAGUUCUUCUCCUUGGGGUUGUCCGGCUAUCUUUGUGAAGAAGAAGGAUCAGUCUUUGCGCAUGUGUGUGGACUAUCGUCCUCUAAAUGCGGUGACUAUCAAGAACAAAUACCCUCUUCCUCGCAUUGACAUCUUGUUUGAUCAGUUGUCUAAAGCUAAGGUAUUCUCCAAGAUUGAUUUGCGAUCUGGGUACCAUCAGAUCAAGAUCCGUCCUGAAGAUAUCCCUAAGACGGCUUUCUCGACGAGGUAUGGGUUGUAUGAGUACCUUGUCAUGUCCUUCGGGUUUACGAAUGCACCUGCUCAUUUCAUGUAUCUUAUGAAUUCGGUGUUCAUGCCCGAAUUGGACAAGUUUGUAGUGGUCUUCAUUGAUGAUAUCUUGGUAUAUUCUUGCAAUGAACAGGAGCAUGCAGAGCAUCUGCGUGUCGUGUUGUCGCGUUUGCACGAACAUCAGCUUUAUGCUAAGUUUAGCAAAUGCGAGUUUUGGCUAAAGAAAGUACCUUUCUUGGGCCAUGUCUUAUCUGAAGAAGGCAUAUCAGUAGAUCCGGCUAAGGUGCAAGAGGUGCUGGAUUGGAAAGUUCCAACUUCGGUACACGAGGUUCGGAGUUUUCUCGGUCUGGCUGGGUAUUACCGUCGAUUUAUUCCGGAGUUCUCCAAAAUAUCCAAGCCUAUGACUCGUCUACUUCAGAAAGAUGAAAAGUUUGUGUGGACACCUGAGUGUGAAGAGGCAUUCCACAAGUUGAGGACAUUGUUGACAUCAGCUCCUGUCCUAGCUCAACCUGAUAUCGAGAAGCCUUUCGAUGUCUUUUGUGACGCAUCAGGCAUUGGUUUAGGCUAUGUGUUGAUGCAGGAAGGUCGCGUUAUCGCGUAUGCCUCGCGCCAACUUCGAAAGCAUGAGGUCAAUUACCCCACUCAUGACUUAGAAUUGGCAGCAGUUGUUCAUGCUUUGAAAAUCUGGAGGCAUUAUCUGCUGGGUAAUCUGUGUAAUAUCUACACCGAUCAUAAGAGCCUCAAGUAUAUCUUCACUCAACCUGAACUGAACAUGCGGCAGCGAAGGUGGCUUGAGUUGAUUAAAGACUAUAAUCUCCAAGUGCACUAUCAUCCGGGCAAGGCAAACGUGGUGGCGGAUGCCUUGAGUCGGAAAGCGCACUGUCACUCAAUCCAAGUGGAAGAUCCGUUGUUGUCACAUCUUAUGCAUCCACUUGUGCUCAACCAGAUUUCUCUGGAAAGUACCAUUCGCAAUCGAGUCAUCGAGUUGCAGCAGACAGAUGUAGGCAUCCACCAUAUCAAGAGAAAGAUGAAAGAAGAAGAAACCAAGCAUUUCCGGGUUGAUGAAAACGGAAUUCUUUGGUUCAAGGAUCGACUUGUGGUCCCGAAAGACCGCGAGCUGCGAAAUCAGAUCUUAUCUGAAGCUCAUUCAUCCAAAAUGUCUAUCCAUCCUGGUAGUAGCAAGAUGUAUCAGGAUCUGAAACCUUUGUUUUGGUGGACAAAGAUGAAAAAGGAGAUAGCGGCUUUUGUCGCUCGCUGUGACAAUUGUUGUCGCGUGAAGGCUGUUCACAUGAAAGCUGGUUUGCUUCAACCCUUGUCAAUUCCUGGUUGGAAAUGGGAAGAAGUCAGCAUGGAUUUCAUCAGUGGACUCCCAACUUCUGUUAAGGGUUAUGACUCCAUCUGGGUGGUUGUGGAUCGUUUGACCAAGGUUGCUCGAUUUAUUCCAGUCCGAACUGAUUAUCGUCCUCAUCAGUAUGCGGAGUUGUAUUUCGAGCACAUUGUUCGUCAGUAUGGUGUGCCUCGAACAAUCAUAUCUGAUCGCGGACCACAGUUCACUGCUCGUUUUUGGGAAUGCCUUCAUGAGCAGAUUGGUACUCACCUGGUCCGCAGCUCUGCUUAUCACCCCCAAACAGCAGGUCAAACUGAACGAGUUAACCAGAUCCUUGAAGAUAUGUUGAGGGCAUGUGCUCUCUCAUCAAAAGGUUCUUGGGUCAAGUGGUUGCCAUUAGCUGAGUUCUCCUACAACAACAGUUAUCAGGAGAGUAUCAAAAUGGCUCCAUUUGAAGCCUUAUACGGUCGAAAGUGUCGAACCCCGUUGAAUUGGGUAGAAGCUGGAGAGCGAAGAUACUACGGCAUCGAUUUCGUGAACGAAGCGGAGCAGAAAGUCCGUGUUAUCCAGCAACACCUGGAAGCUGCUCAAGCUCGUCAGAAAAGUUAUGCUGACAAGAGAAGGAAGCCGAUUGAGUUUUCAGUUGGUGACCAUGUGUACAUCAAGGUGUCUCCGAUGAAGGGUGUACAAAGGUUCGGAGUCAAGCGAAAGCUUGCGCCUCGCUAUGUGGGGCCUUAUCGGAUUCUCGAACGGAAAGGGAAUGUGGCAUACAAAGUUCAACUCCCAGUUGCGCUUCGAGCUAUCUUCCCCGUUUUCCACGUAUCACAAUUGAAGAAGUGCCUUCGUGUACCGGAGGAACGAGUGGAAAUUCGGGAUAUCAAGUUAAAGUCCGACUUGGUGUAUGAGGAGAAACCCGUAGCGAUUCUUGAUCGCAAGGAACGGGAAACGCGUAAUCGUGUGGUUAAACUCUACAAGGUGUUGUGGAGCAACCACGGGGAAUAAGAUGCCACUUGGGAGACGGAGGAUUAUUUAAAAGAAGUUUACAAAACCUUCUUCGAAAAUCAGUAAGCUUUCAAAUCUCGGGACGAGAUUUUUGUUAGGGGGGAGGGCUGUAACACCCCAGUGUUAUGGUUGCAUCAAACAUGUGCAUAGCAUGAGCAUCACCAUUUAUUCAAAGCAUCCAUGAUCAUCAUCUAUCUUGAGACAUGUCAUCCUUUGCAAAAAUGUGUUUUAAAUUGCUUAAAUAGGCUUCCUAUGCUUAUGUUUGAGUGAACAAUGCUUGUGUUUGUGCUUAAUGUCUUGGUAAAUAGCUUAUCUAUGCUUAACUUAACCUUGGGAACAAUGUUCAUGUUGAUCACUUCUCCAAAAUAAUCACUUAAGUCAUACUUAUGCAAAUAGGCCCUAGAAACCUCUUUUGCUUAGGCUUUUAAAAAGUGUUUCAUAAAAUGUUUGCAUGUCAAAACUUCCUACAGCAAAGUUGUAGCAAAUUUUAUAAGGAACAAAAGUUGUUUUAUGACCAUCUCAUGAAAAUGAACACAAAUAGCACAAAAGUGGCCCACAAGGCAGAUUUGGGGCUGUUUUCCACACUUAGAAAAUUUUCUAAGUCCCCGGGUGGUUUGCAGUUUGUGUGAUCGAUUUUGGAAACUCCAUAUCUUUCAAUCCAGGCCGAUCUAGUCUUUGCUCUAGUUGACAAAGUUGUAGAUCUCGCCUAGUACUCCAAGUUUGUCAACUACGCCAUCUCCUAAUUCGCUCUGGUUUGGGAGAUAAUCAUCGGUGAAGUCGCUCUGUCAGUCGGCCAUUGCUGUCUCUGAAUCGACUUGGACCUCGUCGACGUGGCCGACCGCCGGCAGCGCUCCAUCGCCAUUUGGCGCCCGUACGCCGUUCCUGGCCCCGCCUGUCAGCCCUCGUCGCGUGCAUGACCACCACGGCGACGCCCCGAGCGAGUGGACGCGUCCACUUCGCUCUGCCUCGCCCUCUCUCGCCUGAACCUCGCCCGCAGCGGGCUCUCCGCCGCGAGCUCACUCCGGCGAGCUCGUGUGCGCCCCUCUCUGUGUCUCCGUCCACCAAACUCCACCCAAAGCUCCGCCGUGAGCCGCUCUCCAAGCUCCACCCUCUAACUCGCCGAGAAACCCACCGGUGAGCCGACAUUUCUUUCUUCCCCCAAAUCGGUCCGCCGUGACCCUCUUCUCCGGCGAACUCAAUGCCGAGCGUUGUGAGGCUUCUCAUCAUCCUUGGUUAGGUCCUAGAGGUAGCUUAGGUCCUUAGCGAGCUUUUGCGCCACCUGGUGGACGCUCUACCGGGUUCUCCGUCGCCGGACACGGUGCGCAGCGCCGCCGUGCUUCCGCCGGAGUUGGGUGCUCUCGUGGCCAGCGCUUUCCACGGGGAUCUAGGCCAAGCCGCGUACCUAGGAAGCUUCGCCCUAGUCUGCUGGUGCUGUAGAAGGCCUUAGGUCACGCUCUACCGGCCUGAGGGCUCCGGCGUAACGCCGAGCACCUCCGCCGAGCCGCCAUUGCCGACGGUGAGUCCCUUCCGGUGGCUCCGCCGUGGCAAAAGUGGGGUCAAUCGAGUCGUUAGGGUUUGGGGAUCACGUUGAUGCCCUGGGUUUGGCCGGAGACCUCGCCGUCGCGGAGAAAUCGCCGGCGAAGAUCGCCUCGGCCGCGAGGAAGAAGAGCCUGACGGGUGGGACCCACUGUCAGCGACUCUCUCUUUCCCUCCUUUUCUUUUAUUCAAAAUCCUGAUUUUUGGAUUUCUUGCAAAAAUCAUAUCUCCUGUUUCUGAGAUCCAAAAAUUGUGAAACAAAUUUUGUGUUGUUUCUUGAGAUGGCUAGUAUUUAAUAAAAAUAUAAAAUGAAUCAUGUUUUCUGAGAAAUUAUUUUUUUUGGAUUUAAUCUUGUUAUUUAUGGAUAAAUGCAUAUCUCUGGUUUUACUGAUUAGUUUGCUCUGAAAUUUUUAUGGUGGUCUUUGCAUGGCAUUAGAGUGCUCUGAUGAUUAUUUCAUGAUUUUUGGAGCACUGCAGUUGUGAUAUGUAAUUUGUGUUUGAAAUAUGGCUUGUUUCUUUAAUUAAAUCACAUAAAAUAAUUGGUGCUUAUGCUGGUGCUCUAUUUUGGUGGUAAACUUGUUUAUGGUAUUCCUAAGAUAUAAAUAAUCUGAAAUAUGUUGUUUGACACUAUAUAAGUCAUGUCUAUGAAUUUAUGAAAUAAAUGCCUUGAUACAUGUUAAAUGCAUAUCUUUAAUUCGGCAUAUGCAAUGGUCCUGAAAUUUUUAUGGUGGUGAUCUGAUGUUAUACUUGUGCCUCUGUAAUUUUUGUAGAUUUUUCUGAGCACUUUAACUAAUAUCUUGUAAAUAUGCCUUAUCUAAAAUUAAUUAAUAAAUGCCUUGUUAAGUAAUUGUUUUGGGGUUUUCAACUAAUGAUCUGGUGACCUUGUAAUAUGUCUGUGCUCAUGAGUCAUGUGGUUGGCAUGGUUUGUGUUUUGAUCAUGUCAUUAAAUAAUUAACUAUAGGGUUAAAUGCUGUUCUGGACAGCAAGUGAGUAAUUUAACUUUGCUUAAUGAUAACUUGACUUUCUGUGAAACUUGUAUAAAACAAAGUUGUUCUAAACUUGUUGAACUAACUGAGGUUUAAAUUUGAGGUCAUUUGGCCAAGUAGUUUAAAAGUUAUAGCUGUUCCAAGUUGGGUUCCAGAAAUAGGGGUUCUCUGUUUUUCUGGGACAGAACCUGGAACUUUGUUAAAAUGACUAGUUUAAUGUUUGAAUCUUGCUGUCAUGUUUAAAGAUGAGUUGUAGAUAAUUUCCUAAGCUUUCCAGAAUGUCCUUACUCAUGUUUGUUGGACCUGUCUAUCUAUAAUUAUGAUUUAUUUACUGAGCCUACUUGUUUUAUGUUGUUUGCUGCUUUGGUGCCAUGAUAGGUUUGGGUUAUGUUAACUUGUUUAUUCAUGUGAGUUAGUAUAACUCUUGCUCCGUAAAUGAGUGUCCAGUGAGUUGCUUGUGUUAUUAAGCAUUCAUCUGUGGCAUGUGCACCUUCUCAUUCAUCGAGCAUGCAAUAGGUGCACCGGACGUGGCAAUUUCCUUCGAGCUCCAAGCGAACCCCGAAGGCCAGGAAGGCAGCCAGGAGGUGGAGGUCCAGCAAGCCGGACUCGAGGAGCCCGAAGAAGAAGUUGAGUGCCCGAGUCACGAGCCGGCAUCGUUCGUGAAAGGCAAGCCCCGGAGCAUUUUAAGCCUCCUCUAUUUUCGAAAGUUUACUUAAUACGUUAUACCUAUUGAUGCAUUACGUAUAGGAGUUGUGAUGAAACUGUUGUUGCAUUCUACUCUAUCCUUGUCCAGAUAACUUACCCUCCCUGGUUGUAGAGUUAGGUUCGAGUAGCAGCUUAGCUAUGCUUUAAUCGGUAGAAGUCGGGUGAUAUUCUGUCAUCCGCGCGAUAUAGGGUUGUGUCGGGUCGCGAUGGUCUAUAUGUGCUAUCGUGGAUGGAACCUGAUCAAAUUGACUUAAGCCGGGCGGAGUUUUGCAAGUGUGUAGUAACUCCGUCUGUGGCAGCUAAGGACCGAUCGUUGCACGUCCUCUUGUCAUGUUGAACGCAUGCCUGACACUUAGUUGGCCGGAUAACUCGUUCCGACCGCGAAGCCGAGUAGUAUGACUCAGGCCGGAAGACCGGCAAGUAUAAAGUGCGCACUACCGGAGGAAGUGCGGUGUGCGGGGGACCAUUGGCAUAAGCCCAAAGGCAGGUGAGUUAAAAUUCCUGACCUCCCUGGCAGAGUAUUAGCCCUGGGAGUGCGGCGCUGAUCGGAGCCGCGAUUUCUGAGUCGUACCAAAGGUGACCCUUUGGCUCUCCGGCAGGGGAUGUUUUGGUGAGUGCUAGGAAUAAACCUCCAGCUGGAUAGGAAUUCGAUUCGAAUCGCCGUCUCUCCCGGUUAGUGAGAACUUGACAGAGCAGCGGCAAACGUAGCAUUCACUAAUAAACUUGGUUCAUGAUAAUGAGGAUAGCAAGAAGAACAUAUGAUGAAAUUGAUAUGGUUAUUAUUGUUUGGAAUAAUCAAGUGAUGUGUUGUAGUACAGGUGCUAAUCUAGUUGUAGGCUGAUGAUAAAUAAAUCUGAUGCUCUUAAAAUGACUUAGUGGUAAGUUAAGCUUUUGGCAAAAAGGUGAGUCAACCAGCUCCACUUAAAAUUCAGCCUUGCAUGAUCCUUGGUGUCUUUUAUGUUUUACUACACGGGUAAGUCUAGCUGAGUACAUCCUCGUACUCAGGGUUUAUUCCCACCUGUUGCAGAUGAUAUCUUCUAUGACGGUUUCUGCAAGACCUGUCUCCAUCCCGCUGGGGAUGAGGACUAACCGUUGGGCACGGUUCUCUACUCUUCUCGUCUAUGAUGCUUUUGAAAGGAUGACCUAGACUCUGGCAGUAACAAACUUGUGAACUGAACUUUGAACAAGCGUGUGUACUUAUUUUGCUUCCGCUACUUCGAACAAGUGUUGUAAUAACUAAAUACUCCGAUGUGGUGCCGCUUCGACGGCAAUGAAUGACUAUGUAACAAUCGUUGUGUUUAUGUUGAACUAUUACGAUCUUGGUUUGUUGCGAGUUGGUUUGAAGUCCUUCGUGAUUUCGAUUGACUACCGGGAUUAUAUGGGCUCAAGUUUAGAAACUUGAUUGUUUGACGAUCGUUUCUGCACUUGAACUCUUAUAAUUUGGUCGGUUCUGUGACAGUGUGGACCUUGACAUCUGCACCUCUUGAUACAGUGUCACCCAUGUUCUUCGUUUGUCCAGCAGUUCGAAGUGCGGUGUUGGCAAUAUCCUGCUCAGUGUGUUUGUGCUCAUAGAUCCAAGUCCUUCACUUGGUGGAGUCUGAGAGUUGUAAAACUCCUCCAUGUUUUGUUUGAAGUGUACCUAUUCAUAGAGAUAAGGCAGAGAUCAAGUGCAUGGGCCCUGUUGGUGAAAAACACCAACAGAACCAAAAGUGUAUUUGUUCUUCUCUAACCUUAAGCAUAGUGAGCAAGACAAUGUUGAUGGAUCAUGAGUGUAGCAUUUAUCAGAUCAGAUGGCUCAACCUAAUGGAAAGAUAAUCUAUCUAUAUUUAUGUUUUGUUUAUAUCUUCCAAAGAUUGAAUGUGCAACAUUUUAGCUUAUAUGAUUAGGAGUGUGGGAUCACGAAGGUAGUACUAAGAACAAAGAGUAAAGGACUAAACAUGUUGAAUUAAUUGAGUUGGUUAAUUUGGAGUUACAGAUCAUACAUGUUUGUCUCUUUAUUUUAUGCGAACGCCAGAACCAAGGAGAAGCUUAUAAAAGUGAUAGUCAAGUACCUUAAAAUGUUACCUUACUUGAAGAGUGAUGGUAUAGUAUCACCUUGUGGAAGCUUUCCUUUCUUAGCGGUUGUGCAUCGUGUUUGUGGCACUCUUUGUCUUGUUCCAUGGAUCAUCUCUCUAUGAUGAAUGAGCUAUGUCUUCCUUGUGCAAAUCGUUAAACUUCAUGUGUCACUUUCUUCAUCUCCAAUGUGAGUUUCUCUCAGGACUUCCCAGGUUGAUAUUGAAAGUUUUCCUACAGGGGUUAGUCCAACAAAAUAUACCAAUAUCUACUCAAGCAGUUUUUAGUUUAGUAACCAAACUAGACUCCAUGUCUAAUCAGAUUAAGGAAGGCUAUUUAACCUAAGCACCAUGCUUAAUUUAAAUGCCAAUGGAAGUAUGUCGAGUACUUCCAAACCAACACUUACUAGGAUAAACAAAGGUGGCAUGAUGGCAUUUAUAGAGAUCUACUCAAGUGGAGAUGAAGUAGUGUGAUUAGUAUUUAACAAAUUGAGCAUGUCUCAAAGGUAGGGACAACCAACAUAGCAACAUGGCAAAGGAUGUUUUUACGUAAAGUACUGCCCGAAGCUUGAAUUUUGUGAAAUUCAAGUUUGGAUGAAUUUAAUUCAAUGUUGUAUGAUGGUUGGUUGGACAUACCUUGUGCUUGUCAUUCAUCCGAUCUUCUUGCUCCAAUCGUGGAAAGGUUAGUGGCAAGAAUACCUGAAGGAAUAUUUCUACAAUUAUCCUUAUAUGCUCCAUACACAAGGCAAUGUUGUAAAUAAUUAGAAGUUCAUGUCACAAUCUGAUAGGUGCUUAUUUUAGGACACUAAGUUUGUCCUUGGGAAAGCAUCAAAUUAUGUCGGCGAAGUGGUUUCCCCUCCAACGCUGACCUAUAUCAAGAUCAACUCAACGAGAUCUGCAAUAUUUAUUAUAGACAUAUGCAUCGACAACCGCCCUUUUAAAGUUUUUAUAAAUAGAAAGGAUGAGGGGGUUGGAGAUCUCAAAUGUGGUAAGGAUGGAGAGACCAAUUGAUUGGGGAGAUGUUUUAUAUGAGCAAGGACUUGGUAAGGUAUUUAUGAAAUAACUUCCAUGCUCACUGUUGUUUCUCUCAUUCUCAAACUCCAAGGAUGAUUCUUCAUGAAUGCUUAAAAUUCCUCUAGGAUUGUCUCUCAAGUUUUUUUUAUCUAUCCAUUCAAUGGUGAUAGCACAUGGAUUUUUAGUGCCCUCUAGCCAUUGAUGUUGCUCUUCUCGAUCCUCCUUCUUAUGCAUGGGAUGUCUAGAGAGAUUCAUAGGAUUAUCGGGAGGUUCAAGAGAAAGAGCAUAGUAGAAACUAUUAAGCUCAAGGAUGGGAUGGAUAGCCGAAUCAUGGGAUUGAAAUGUUUGAAAAUUGGCUAUUGAAACUUCCUUUCCUCGUCUGGGAGAUGACUCCUUCUCUAUCUCUAGGAUUUUUCUAUGAAGACUAGUGCAAGAAGGAUGUCCACGAAUGAAGACAUAUCUUCCUUUACUAAUAGAUAAAGAAAGAAGGAGUCUACCAAAGGUUAUAUGAUUAAGACCAAUGUGAAAAUAUCUAGGAAAAACAUGGUCUUGUAGGGCUAGGUCUAAACCAGAAUUUAUAGAAAGAUUAACAGAUUCCCUAGGUGUAGCUAAAAGUGCAUUAUCUUCUUGAUUAAAAGAUAGGACCUCAGCUAUAGAAAAGGGUUGGUUUUGACCUAUUGCAAUCAACUCCGGACACAGAUCAUAAUUAGGGGCAGGACUUGUUGACUCCCAUGGUCUAUGGCUGGUCUCCGAAGGUGCAAAAAAUUUAAUAAUAGGUAUGGAGUUUGAGUUAUCCAUAAAGAUAAAAAGAUAAAAGAAUAAAAGUAUAAAAGUAUAAUACAAGAUAAUAGCAAGACUUAAAGUUAUCUCAGCAAACCGUCUUUUUCCCCGGCAACGGCGCCAGAAAUGCUUGUUGAUAUUUGGUAACGCAAUAAGGAAAUGAUCCGCAAGCGCAUGGAUAUCGGUGAGCAUUUCACCUGGGAGGUUUUCCAGAGUAUCGUAUUUAUAUUUUUACCACUAGGAGAAAGGGUGCAUCUGACUAACCAAAUCUAUUGCUAUUACCCCUUUAGGCUACAAAGAAUGUUUCUCGAUGUGAGUGAUGUAUAGAGAAGACUGCAACCGUAGUCUCGUUCUAACCUUGGUAAGGAUGAUCUACUGUUCUAUUGGGGAAGCUUACGGAAUCUAGACACCACAAAGGAUGUUCGACCCGCACCUAUAAACCCUACCCGUCCUGCUAACAAGAUAUGGGAUACAAAGGUAACUCGGAAAUGUCACGUUCCUCGCUACUACCACGGUCCAGCUAGUCAGGGGAUAUCUAUGAGUACCCUAGUAUAAACACCACGUUUACGCUAGCAAUGAUUACUCUAAUACUCAACCGGAAGAGGAUUAAAGUAAACUCAUAAACCAAAGAACAAUAAAACAAGAACUUACUAGAAUUAGAAGUCGAAUUACUGAAGAAUCUUAGAAGCAAGCCUCGGGUUAGGAGACUUGAUCCCGCAGGUACAACUCGAAGUAGACACCGACAGGCCAGCCUUCCUCCGAUCUACACCUCCACUCUAUCUCUCUCAAUCUAGUAGAAACUAGAAGAUCUAUUUCUACUUACAUUGGUUGCUAAGCCUAAAAAGAAAUAUUAUUUAGAGAAGAGGUUUUCCUUCGAGGGCACCCCUCAAUCUCUAUGAUAACUUCUUGUCUCCUCCAGGGGCCAGGGGGGUCUCCUUAUAUAGUCCUCCUCCUCUAUGCGUUUUUGGGUCGGUAGGCGAUGUGGUACUACGUUAUCCUUGAUCCUUUAGGUCGGUGGAACAUCGUGUGCGAAAAGAGUCCUAAUUGGCAUCCAAGUCAGGGCGGGCGCCCAAGGAAGGAGGGUGGGUGCCCUGGGCCUGGCCCCUUUCGGCCUCUGCUUUCUUCCCGUGGCUUCUGGAGUCUUCUAGAUGGUAGAAAAUUGCGCGGUGCGUUGAUAUCUCUAUGUAAUCCCGACAUGUGGGCCUUUCUUCCAUAUUUCCUGAUAACCCCCUGCAGAAAUAGACAAACACCAAAACUCGUGGAAUUCUGUCAGAUAAAACCCUAAGUCUAGGUGUUGGUUGCAUUUGGAUCCUUUUCUUUAUUUAUUUGAUGAUUAUAUUUGGUACUUAAGGACCGUCAACACCGAUGCUCAAUAUUGGUGUUUGCCGAUGGCUAUAACAGGAAGACUGCCGAUGACUCCGAAGGGAAGCGUGGAGGUUGCCGAUUGAUUUGUGGCGGUGUCCCGAUCGGUUACGAGGGGGUGGUUCUAUGUUUUCCUUAGUUAUUUAAAAUCGUUUUGUAUACGGAUGUUAUUUAAUUUGGAAUUUGAGUCCUAGUCGUGUCUGAUUGUAGCUCUUUGAGCAGGGUAUAAAUGUAGACCCUAGGGCCUUGUAAUGAGAUAUCUAUCAAUCAAUCAAACACAAGUUUUUACUCAUAUUCCAGCAUCUACUUUUUCGACGACUUCGUCAUAUUCUCGUUUUUAUUACGAGUUCUUAGGAGUUCGUCGACUUAAGCUCGGCGUAUUCUCGAGUUCCGCGUGAAUACCUCUUGGCCGUGACAUCCGGGCACAUCGCUGUUGUCGGGACCAAAGUAUUCGAGUUAUCACCUUUGCCGAUAGUAAGGUCAAAUCGGCUGGCACGCCUUAACGUUUAAAUCGGGUAUUAGCCCUUUGUGUUUGCAGAUCAGCUUUUGCAUCAACACAUCUUUAGUUGAUGCUGCGGCUGGGAAUCGGAUCAUCAGCUUUAUGGAUGGCAAUGCAGGGUACAAUUAGUUAUUCAUGGCUGAAGAAGAUAUUCCAAAGACUGCAUUUAGAUGUCCUGGUCAUGUUGGGUGUUUGAAUGGAUAGUCAUGACCUUUGGUUUGAAAAAUGCUGGAGCUACUUAUCAGAGGGCUAUGAAUUUUAUUUUUCAUGAGUUCAUCGGCAAGCUAGUGGAAAUUUAUAUUGAUGAUGUGGUGGUUAAGUCUGGAGAUUUCACAAAGCAUCUUGCCGAUUUGCGAAAGGUGUUGGAAUGCACGAGGAAGCAUGGUUUAAAGAUGAAUCCCAAUAAGUGUGCAUUUUGUGUAUCGGCAGGACAAUUCCUUGGGUUCAUGGUGCAUCAAAGGGGGAUUGAAAUUAGUAGGAGAUCCAUUGAUGCUAUCAAUAAAAUUGUCGCUCCUACCAACAAAACUGAGCUCCAGUCCUUGAUCGGCAAGGUAAAUUUUAUCAGAAGGUUUAUAUCUAAUUUGUCUGGUAAAAUUCGUGCUUUCAGUCCUUUGCUCAAGUUGAAAGCCGAUCAAGAGUUCAUACGGGGGAAAGAGCAACAGUUGGCUUUAGAUGAAAUCAAGAACUAUUGGAUAAAUCCUCCAGUUCUGAUUCGACCUCAGCAAGGAAAGGCCUUCAGAUUAUAUUUAUCUACCGAUGGGAUGGUCAUCGGUUCGGCUUUGAUUCAAGAAUUUGAAGGGAAGGAGCGUGUGAUUUACUAUUUUAGCAGGAGGUUGGUUGAUGUUGAGACCAGGUAUUCGGCCGUUGAAAAGUUGUGUUUAUGCCUAUAUUUCUCAUGUAUUAAAUUGAGGCACUAUUUAUUAUCGGCUAAAUGCACUGUUAUAUGCAAAGAUGACAUGGUCCGAUAUAUGCUGUCUAUGCCGAUUAUGAGUGGCAGGAUCGGUAAGUGGAUUUUGGCACAGUCGGAAUUCGAUCUGCGUUACGAAUCGGCUAAAGCGGUUAAAGGACAAAUUAGUGCCGAUUUUGUGACUCAACAUUGCGGUGCAGUGGAGGCUUUGGAAAUUGUACCGUGGAUGCUCUUCUUUGAUGGAUCCACGUGUGACCGGGGGGCAGGAAUCGGCAUAGUGUUAAUUUCCCCUCGGGGAAGGAAAUAUGAGUUCUCCUUGCCGAUUGUUGCCACGUCAACGAAUAAUCAAGUCGAGUAUCAAGCUUUGAUAAAAGGGUUGGAAUUGUUAAGAGAAGUUCAUGCUGAUGCUGUUGAAGUCUUCGGGGAUUCUAUGCUGGUUAUAAAUCAAUUGGCUGGGAGCUAUGAAUGCCGAAGCGAAGUCCUGAUAACUUAUCACGAAAGGAGUAUGCAAUUAUUAAGGGAAUUCAGAGAUUUCCGAUUAGAGCAUAUUCCUCGGUUACAUAAUGAAGAAGCUAAUCAGUUGGCUCAGCAUGCUUCAGGGUAUCAACCUAUGGUUAACACAAUAUCGGCAAUCGGUGCCGAUGAUUGGAGAAAAGAAAUUGUUGAUUAUUUAAAGGAUCCGUCCAAGAAAGUUGAGAGACGUGUUCGGUUUCAAGCCACCAAGUAUGUGCUCCUUGAGAAUGAAUUAUAUUAUCGAACAGUUGAUGGAAUUCUUCUCAAAUGCUUAGGUGAUGAUGAGGCUAGAAGUUUAAUGGGGGAAAUCCAUGAAGGAGUAUGUGGAGCACAUCAAUCGGCUUUUAAGAUGAAAUGGAUGAUUAGGAGGAAUGUGUAUUAUUGGCCAACCAUACUUGAAGAUUGUCUUAAGUAUUUCAAGGGAUGUCAAGGAUGUCAGAAAUUUGGCAAUAUUCAAAGGGCACCCGCAUCGGCCAUGAAUCCCAUUAUUAAACGUUGGCCGUUCCGGGGAUGGGCUAUUGAUCUAAUCGGCCAAAUUUGCCCACCAACAAGCAAAGGACAUAAAUUCAUAUUGGUUGCCACCGAUUAUUUUACCAAAUGGGUUGAAGCUGUUCCUUUGAAGAAAGUCACAUCGGCCAAUAUGAUUGAUUUUGUGAAAGAGCAUAUUAUUUACCGAUUUGGAAUUCCUCAAACAAUUACUACCGAUCAGGGUACUAUGUUUACAUUAGGGGAGUUUGAUGAGUUUGCAAUCGGUAUGGGAAUUAAAUUAUUAAAUUCUUCUCCUUAUUAUGCUCAAGCUAAUGGGCAGGCCGAAGCAUCUAACAAAGGAAUUAUCAAACUUAUUAAACGGAAGAUUGAUGAAAAUCCUAGGAGGUGACAUACAUUGUUGAAUGAAGCUUUAUGGUCAUAUCGGAUGGCUUGUCAUGGGUCGACCAAAGUUUCACCUUAUUAGUUGGUGUAUGCACAUGAUACAGUGCUACCUUGGAAAAUUAAAACUGGGUCUAGGCGACUAUCUUUUCAAGAUCAAUUGGCUGCCAAUGAUUAUGCUACUAAGAUGACAGACGAGUUGGAUGAUUUAGCAGGGCAUCGGUUAAGGGCUUUGGUAAGUAUAGAAGAAAAUAAGAAGAGAGUUUCCAGAUGGUAUGAUAAGAAGGUAAAGGCUAAGGAGUUUUCCGAUGGAGACUUAGUAUGGAAAUUAAUCUUGCCGAUUGGGACUAAAAGUUCAAAAUUUGGGAAGUGGUCUCCCAAUUGGGAGGGUCCCUAUCGGAUAAAUCGAUCUGCUCCUGGCAACGCCUAUAUCUUAGAAACUCUCAAAAAAGUUGAAUUUCCCAGAGCAUUGAACGACAAAUAUUUAAAGAGAUAUUACCCCAGCAUAUGGCUUGAUGCAUGAAAGUUUAAAUGCCGAUAACAUUCCUAUCGGCUGAAUUAAAAGUGUGUCUGGGGCCAGACUUAAUGCUUUAAAAGGAUGCCGAUAACAGUCCUAUCGGCUGAACCAAAAUGAUUAGAAGAAGGGAGCAAAGAACGCCGCCGAUGAAGAGUUCACAUAUUUAGCUGAGCCUGGAUCGUCGAUAUGGCGCGCAGACGGAUCUGAUUGGCUUCUUCUAUCUCCUUUAUGUCAUCAUCGGCAGAGCCCUCCACUGGCUUCAGCUUCUUCUUCAUCUGCAGUGCUUUGCGGGCUUGGACAUUUCGCUCUUGUUCAAGAAUCUUGAUUGCCUCAGGCAGCUGGCUUUCUUCCUGUUGAGCUUGGGACAAAGCUUCUUCUACCUGUUUGAGUUCUGCCAACAGGGCUUCUCUCUUUGCCGAUAGAUCAAAGAUCUUAUUCUUCAGUACAUCUCCCGAGGAUUUCAGAACGCCGAUGCUCUUAUGCUUCUCAUCGGCAAGGAGUUUCACUUUCAUCAUCUCCUCUGAGAGCUGAGCGUGAGCAGCUCUAUCGGCAAGACGCUGAGCAGCCUUUUGAUACUGCAGCUGAUGACUCUCUAAAUGUGCAGCAUGGAAAAGAACCUCCUCGGCAUCGGCAGGGAUUUGACCUCUGAGAGCCUUGAAUAGGACUUUGGCUGGGUCAGAGUCAUCGACCAAUUGCGUUGUAUCUUGAUGGAGGAGGGCUGACAGCUCCGCUAGCUUUGCUUUAAUCUCUGCCGAUGAGAUUCCGAUUACUCGAGAAGAACUUGCUUCCUCGCCUUCGUCCUUAGAAAUCUCGAUGGCGAAGGAGAACAGACUGUCAGGAGAAUCCUGUUCCUGAAAGAGAGGACAGAAUAAGUUAUUUUAUGAUCAAGUACUGAUAACAAUAAAAAUGAAGAUCGGGUAACUUACUUGCUUCAGAGCUAUCUCUCGCCUUUGGUUAGUUGAAGCCGAUGGAACCACAGGCUGAUCGGCUGGGAUUGCCGAUGAGACCAUGUCAGCUGCAAGAUUGACAGAAGUUAUUAACAAAGUGGAAAAAUAGGUUCAUCGGCAAUAAAUGGAAAGUAUGUUACCUUGAGGGGGCGCGGUACUUGUCUGAAUCGAGGAGACUACCGAUGCUAUGGUUAGGCUUGCUGGAUCGGCGAGGUUCCUCUAGCUGGAGCUCUUCCACUUGGGGUUCUUCUUGUGGCUGAGGAGGAGAUGGUAUCUACUGUCUCUGGGCUUCUGGAGAAGAAGGGGAUGACUCUACUGGAAUCAGAGAUACUGGUGGAGGAGAAGGCGUUACUGUUCUCUAGAGCUUUGCAUGUAAUCUGGUAUUCUUGGAACCUUUUCUCUUCGGUUGACUGGACUGGGGGGCAUCGGCAGUCGUACUUCUGGUUUUUGCCGAUGUACCAGUGUGCUGGUACAACAGUGAAAAGUUUAUGAGUACAAGUGUAAUAAGUAUAAGAAUGGGAUCAGUAUGAGUAAAAGAAUUCGAAAAUUUACCUUGAAGGCUUGUGCUAGGGUAGAGGCAGCUACCGAUGGGGAUAUCUUCGCCCGUUUGGUGGUAACUUUCUUGAGACGCACACCCCGAUGCAUUAUGGCAGCCAGGGUUGGAGCGUUGUUGCCGAUCAAAGAGAUCGGGUCCGAUGGAAGGAGCUCAAUCGGCUUGCCACUCGUGCUGACCAAUGGGGGUGUGUCAUCGACCUGCAUAUAACAAGGAAGUAAGAUACUGAUGGAAAGUGAAAAUGAAAGGAUUGAAACAUCGGUUUAGAAGUUCUUACAGUGUUAUCGGGGACUUUGUAUUGAGGGUUGAUCAUGCCAUGGUAUGUAAGAGCCGAUCUAUAGAAUAGGUGCUCUUUCCAUUCUUCCCACCAUUGUUUGUAUGCCUGAGUGAUGAGGAGAGCUGGGAUCCAAGCCGAUAGAUCGACAUCUGUAUCGGCGUUUGGUGGAAGUUGGGCUACCCUGAUCCAUUCCAGAUGGCUGGUGAUAAUCUCCCUCGGCUUUAUCACAUCGGCGUAGCAAAGUGCAAUAUACAGUUGGCCGAAAGCCAGUUGACGAGCUAGUGCCGAUGGAUUGUAGAACUCAUAAGUCAUAUUAGAAGCUUUCCCACUGCCAAAGAAGUUAACCGGUAUAGCUCUGGGGGUGAUAAUUGCCAUCAUCACCUCACGGUCCUUGUUGAGAGCAUCAUUGAAGGGGUGGAAAGUCAGUGGGAAUCUGGUGUCUAGAUCUUCAUAGGCAAUCCAUGCCCGCUGUUCCCUGGUCAAACCCUCAUACAGAGUUUGGAAGAAUCGGCUAACCUGGUCUGCGUUGCCACCUGUGCCAGGCAAAACUAUGGCGGCUUCGCCAAAGUUCAGAGGGGAACCAGUUGCCUAUUCUUCUUCACUUAGUUCGUAAUCCUCGGCUAUAUCUCUAGGGAAGCGCUGUGCGAAGAGAUCGAACUCAAGGCGUUUGUGCAUGUGGAGACUAAGCCACAUGUUGAUAAACCACCAGGGACCCCCUAAGUUGUCGAUGGGUUGACCAAGCAGUAGUUUCUGGGCUACCUGGUGGAGGAGGUGAUAAGCUGAGCCAAGCAAAUAUCGACCAAGAGGAAAUCGGCCGCCAUUGGCUAAUCUUUCUGCUGCCGAUAAGUAAACCGAAGUUGGUCCUGCCAAUCGGCCACAGAAUACGUAUUUAUCCAGCCACAUGUUGAGAAAGAUGGUCUGUUCCUUCACAUUGACAGGGCCUAUUCUUUGGUACUUCUGGAUGUACCUUGACCAACCGCCGAUAGAACGAGUUUCCACCUUAGCACUGGGUUUGGUAUCAAACAGGUGGGUGGUAUCGGCAGUGGAUACAUCUAAGCCGGUGAGCAUAAGCACAUCGGCAAGUGUGGGAGAAGCAGAGCCAUGGCCAAACACAAAAGCAUCGAGUGUGUCUGACCAAAAGUAUGAGGCAGCUAUCAGAAGUGACUCGUUUCUCUCCAUAUCGGCAAGGGACAAUCUAAUGCACUGAUCCAGUUUCCAUUCACCCCAUUGGACCUCAUUUGAGUUACUGACUCUCAAGAACCAAUCCUUCCAUCCCUUGGUAGGACUGGGCCAGGAACGGAAAGCAUCCCUCCAUAGAUCUAAAGAAAAAUUAUAGGCUCUAAAAGGGAUUCUGUUUGUCUCCGCGUUUAUAGGAUCGGUGGGAUCCGAGUUUCCUAGUGGACCAAGGCAUUGAAGAUGGGGUUGAUCGGUAGGAAUAACGAUUUUAUCGGCCAAAUCCUAGAAAUUUUUGGGAGCGAAAAGAAGAACAAAAAGAAAAAGGAUUCGGUAAGACAAAUUGCGGAUGAACAAGGGUACAGUAAAAGUACAGGAGAAAGGAUAGUACGCUGUCCUCAGGAACGACGAAGUUGAUGGCCAUCUCCUCGCAGGAGAGAAGAUCGAAAACUUGGGAUUGGUUGGAGGAAGUUCUUGUUGAAGUUCUUGAGGCUCCCGAACAGUGCCGCCGCCAGGAAAGCAGAGUUGGGGCUGUAGAAUGAAGCGAUGGAGAAGGAGUACCCGAGAAGGAAGUAUUUAUAGGACAAAACGGGCAAGGGCAAAUUUGACUUAUCUCUUCGCCGUAUCCGUGAAAUCCGAGGAUACUCAGGUGGAUAUGGUAACUGUUUGCACGGUAAUCAAGGGAUUGCACAGGUGAUUUGACAGGAAGCAGUCAUGAUCUAGAGAUAUUUCACUAUGCGGGAUUUCUUGGUCGGUCCAUCGGCAGUUCCCUCUAACGGUAAUAUUGCCGAUGGGCGCACAAAGUGGAGGGAUCCGGUUCGGAAGGUUGAGGAAUUCGAGGAACCUGCAGGAGAAUCGGGCCAAGGUUGUUCAGAUUUAAACGGUCGGUUACCAAAUUGGGAGAAUUAAUUGCGGAAAGGCAUCAUUACUGUAGAGAAUUUCGGAGCAUUAAUGAUUUCAUACUCCGAAAUUGGGGGGCAUGUGUUGACACCGUUUUUGGACACGUACCCAGAGACCAGUAGAGUAUAGAUCGGCAGGUGGAGCAACGGUAACUAGCCUGCAGAAGAGUUACCGAUGAGGAUAGUUGCCGAUGAAGAGACGAUUGAAUAUGACUAAGUCCAGAGGUGGUGACGUGUUCUUGUCGAUGCUCAAUAUUGGUAUUUGCCGAUGGCUAUAAUAGGAAGACUACCGAUGACUCUAAAGGGAAGCGUGGAGGUUGCCGAUUGAUCUAUGGCGGUGUCCCAGUUGGUUACGAGGGGGUGGUUCUAUGUUUUCCUUAGUUAUUUAAAAUCGUUUUGUAUACGGAUGCUGUUUAAUUUGGAAUUCGAGUCCUAGUCGUGUCUAAUUGUAGCUCUUUGAGCAGGGUAUAAAUGUAGACCCUAGGGCCUUGUAAUGAGAUAUCUAUCAAUCAAUCAAACACAAGUUUUUACUCAUAUUCCAGCAUCUACUUUUUCGACGACUUCGUCAUAUUUUCCUUUUUAUUACGAGUUCUUAGGAGUUCGUCGACUUAAGCUCGGCGUAUUCUCGAGUUCCGCAUGAAUACCUUUUGGCCGUGACAUCCGGGCGCAUCGCUGUUGUCGGGACCAAAGUAUUCGAGUUAUCACCUUUGCCGAUAGUAAGGUCAAAUCGGCUGGCACGCCUUAACGUUUAAAUCGGGUAUUAGCCCUUUGUGUUUGCAGAUCAGCUUUUGCAUCAAUAGGUUUUCCUUGAUCCUUUAGGUCGGUGGAGCAUGAUCCGCGAAGUUGAACCUGAUUGGUCCUCAGACCAGGGCGGGCGCCAAGGGGGGAGGGCGGGCGCCCUACCCCCGGGCCCGAUCGGCCUCCCGUUCGUUCCCGUGGCUUCUGGACUCUUCUAGAUGUUGGAUAAUUGCGGUGCACAUUAAUAUCUCUAUGUAAACCCGACGUGUGGGCCUUUCUUCCAUAAUUCCUGAUAACCCCCUACAGAAAUAGACAAACACCAAAACUUGUGGAAUUCUGUCAGAUAAAACCCUAAGUCUGGAUGUCGGUUGCAUUUGGAUCCUUUUCUUUGUUUAUUUGCUGAUUAUAUUUGAAACUUAAGGACCGUCAAUAGCCGGCAAGCUACCGAUGGCUAGGGGGUCAUCCCAAGUAGGAGCAGCGCCAGCAGAAACAGCUGCAGGGCCUUUAACUGGCCAAGGCUCGGCAUCGGGAAGCCGAGCACCAAAGCACCGCCGACUUCCCCGAGUUGUUCGUGACGACGAUGAAGAAGAAGAAGAAGAUGCAGCCCGACCUUGAUCCGCAAGCCCCGUAGCCGCCUGGACGUUGCCCCGGUAGGUGGUGGUCAGACCGCCGGGGAUCCGCCCACUACACACGUCGAGCAGGCGCGCCCAAACAAGGCAGAAGCAGCUGUGGCGGCUGGCCGUGCCAGGCGGAGCGUCUUCACGGCGUCGCACAGGAGCUCCAACCUAUAAGUAAAGAGAAAAACAACUACAUUUUUCAUGAAGUUAGAAUUCCAGUAUGUUACACUGAUGGAAUUUUGCAGCGCUGCCUCGGAUGUUGACCCUAGCACCGCUUUGGGCUCAGUGCCAUCUGAGCCGACCAUCGCUGGCCAAACUGCCCGAGAGCAGUCUACUGCCAAGCUAGCUAGUGAUAGGUUACCGAUAUGGAAUCGAUACUAGGAUGGCCCAAUCUUCACGACAGUAGAUCAAAAGAACAAGGAUAACUUGCUGUGAACAGCGGAUAACUAGCUUUAUACCUUACAAAGGUUGGAUGCGACCAAGCGACGGGGAGAGAGGCACCGAAACCACGAACACUUCGACUCGAUCUCCGAACGACCACAGAACCACAAUCCGGAACUAAUCCACACAAUAUGGCACAGCCAAAUGGAAGCCGUAGAGUGCGAAGUAGGGGAACCCAGAGGAUUCACUUCACAAGUCUAAGAAGAACAAGGAAGAACAAUGGUUGAGUAAGGCACUCAGCAGCGCGGCUGCAAUAUCAUGUAGUUUAUGAAAAGGAUCAAAAGGUUCCUGAUAGCUUAGAGGUAGGGGAUAUUUAUACUAGGAACAACAAUCCUAGAUAGGUAUGAAAAAAAAUAGAGUUUCUGAGGGAACACAAUGUGAAAGGACCCCUCGGAAUGGAUUCCGGAACUGGCUUCGCGUGACUGUUGGCCUCCAUAGCAGUUUCCAAUAAACUGACUAUAAGUUUUUAUUGGGAAGUCCAAAUGACGAACCCUAUCUUGGGUGUGAAACUAGACUCCAAGUGCUUUCCAGUAAUGUAUGCCAUGCACCACGAAACAUUGUAAAUUGGUACGGUUUUGCACGGCAAGUUGUACCAACAUUCUGUCACGACAGACUGUUGACCUUCUGAGCAGUCUGUACUAAUUCUGGUCUGCAGGCAAUAUGGUGUAUCAAAACUUGUCGCGACUAGAUUCAUUGAAAUUUAGACUCGUCAAGCUUUCCAACAAGUGCUCAUGGGCCUUCAUAGCUUUCGUGAGUAAAAAGUUAUGAAUAUUUCUUUGCACUAGUCCGUUCUUGACUUCCACUGGUCCGUUUUUGACUCUCUGGUCCAUUUUGUAGUGUCUUCUGGGACUUUCUCUGGUUCGUUCUUCAUAGUCCGAUUCAUCCAUCUCUUCUUCUAUAUACCUGAGUACAAUCAAAGUACAACACUUAGGUAGCAUAUAAUUCUCAUUAAUGUUAAAAUGAAUCAAACAAAGUAGCGCAUGGACCUCUUGGUGUAGCUUCUUUGCACGACUACGUGUAACCGGUCCAUCGUUGACUUGGGCUGGUGUCGGUGUAGGUAAAAGUUGAGUAGUUGUAGCUUGACUUGGAGCUUGUGACAUCUUGCUUGCUGGCAUGGUCAUAUCAUCCUCCCCUUCUUGAAAAGGAGUCGUCCUCGACUCGUCCAAUCCAAAGAAAGGAGAUAAAUCGACAACAUUGAAGCUUGUACUAACACCAUACGUACUUGGGAGAUCAAUUUCAUAUGCAUUGUCAUUGAUCUUGCGAAGCACUUUGAAUGGGCCAUCAGCUCGGGGUUGUAGCUUGCUCUUGCGUUGUUCAAGAAAGCGAUCCUUGCGCAAGUGCACCCAAACUAAGUCUCCCGGUUCAAAUAAUAUCUUCUUACGACCCUUGUUGGCGCGCUUCUCAUAUAACUUGGUCAUCUUCUCAAUGUUUGCUUUAGCUCGAUCAUGAAGCUUCUUGACAAUUUCUGCUCGCUUGCUUGCAUCAAAGUUCAUACGUUUCUGCAUAGGCAAAGGCAAAAGAUCGAUGGGAGCAGUAGGUUUGAACCCAUAGACAAUCUCAAAUGGACAAAAUUUUGUGGUCGAAUGUACUGCCCUGUUGUAUGCAAACUCCACAUGAGGCAAGCUUUCUUCCCACAAUUUCAUAUUCUUCUUUAGGACAGCUCGCAGCAAUGUUAACAGUGUGCGGUUCACAACUUCGGUUUGUCCAUCCGUUUGAGGAUGACACGUUGUGGAGAACAGCAGCCUUGUCCCUAGUUUUCCCCACAAGGUUUUCCAAAAGUAGCUAAAAAACUUGGUGUCACGAUUAGACACGAUGGUACGUGGCACUCCAUGUAGACGCACAAUUUCUCUAAAAAACAAUUCAGCAAUGUGCGAAGCAUCAUCGCUCUUAUGACAGGGAAUAAAGUGUGCCAUUUUGCUAAAACUAUCAACCACAACAAAUAUGGAAUCCUUUCCCCUCUUGGUUCGUGGUAAACCAAGGACAAAGUCCAUACAAAUUUCCUCCCAAGGUACACUAGGAAUAGGUAGAGGAGUGUAUAAACCAUGAGGGUUCAAACGGGACUUAGCUUUAUGGCAGGUUUUACAGCAAAGAACAUGCCUCUCCACAUCUCUUCUCAUCUUAGGCCAAAAGAAAUGGUCAGUCAGCACUUGUUCUAUUUUCUUUGCACCAAAAUGGCCCAUAAGUCCUCCUGCAUGAGCUUCUUGCACUAGCAAAAUGCGAAUAGAGCAAUCUGGAAUGCAAAGUUUAUUAGCUCGAAAUUAAAAAACCCUCAAGCAAAUGGAAUUUUCCCGUCCUUUGCUGCCACAACACUUGGAAUAUGGUUCAACAAAAUAUGAAUCCUUAACAUAUAAUUCUUUUAUACUUUCUAAUCCAAGAAUUUUAGUAUCAAGUCGUGAAAGCAAAGUAUGACGUCGAGAGCAUCAGCUACAAUGUUAUCUUUCCCUUUCUUGUACUUGACAACAUAAGGAAAAGACUCAAUGAACUCAGUCCAUUUUGCAUGCCUUCGGUUCAGAUUUAGUUGGCCUUUAAGAUGUUUCAAACAUUCAUGGUCUGAAUGUAUCACAAAUUCUUUAGGCAAAAGGUAGUGUUGCCAAGUUUCCAAACUCCUAACAAGAGCAUAUAAUUCUUUAUCAUAAACUGAGUAAUUCAGAGUUAGACCACUUAGCUUUUCACUGAAGUAUGCAAUCGGCCUCCUUUCUUGCAUGAGAACGCCACCAAUUCCUACACCACUUGCAUCACAUUCAAUUCAAAUGUCUUACCAAAAUCUAGAAGUGCAAGAAGUGGGGCUAUUGUCAACUUCAUUUUCAGUUCUUCAAAUGCCUUCUCUUGUGCUUCUCCCCAUUUAAAAGGCACUCCUUUCUUUGUCAACUCAUUGAUUGGAGCAGCAAUGGUGCUAAAAUCUUUCACAAUUCACCGGUAGAAACCAGCAAGUCCAAGGAAGCUACGCACUUGGCUUGCAUUUUGUGGAGGCAUCCACUCACGAACAGCUUGGAUCUUAUCCUCAUCCACGUCCACACCAUGUCCUGAAACAACAAAGCCAAGAAAGACUACCUUGUUGGUGCAAAAUGUGCACUUGUCAAGGUUAGCAUACAGUUUUUGCUCACGUAGGACAGCAAGCACAAUUUGGAUAUGUUCAACAUGUUUGUCAGAGACUUGUUGUAAAUUAAUAUAUUAUCAAAGUAAACCACAACAAACUUGCUAACGAAAGAUCUAAGCACAUGAUUCAUCAAUCUCAUAAAGGUACUUGGUGCAUUAGUCAAUCCAAAGGGCAUUACCAACCAUUCAUACAACCCGAACAUGGUUUUAAAAGCUGUUUUCCACUCAUCUCCUUCUCUCAUUCAUAUUUGGUGAUAGCCAGUUCUCAAGUCAAUUUUAGUGAAAAUUGUUGCACCACUAAGUUCAUCAAGCAUAUCAUCAAGUCUAGGAAUGGGAUGCCUAUAUCUUACUGUGAUGUUAUUAAUAGCUCUACAGUCAACACACAUUCUCCAUGAACCAUCUUUUUUAGGAACUAAAAGAACAGGGACUGCACAAGGUGAAAGACUUUCUUGCACAUACCCUUUUCUCAUCAAUUCUUCCACUUGUUGAUGAAUUUCUUUUGUUUCCUCUAGAUUGGUGCGGUAUGCAGCUCGGUUUGGAAGUGAAGCACCGGGAACAAGGUCAAUUUGAUGUUCAAUUCCUCUCUUAGGUGGCAGCCCUGGUGGUACCUCUUCUAGAAAGACAUCCUCAUAUUCCUGUAACACAUUAAAAAUAACACUUGGCAAAGUAGAGGAUAAGUCGAUAGUGGAAAGAAAAUUUUCCUUGUAGAGGAGUACAAAGAAUGUGGCAUUGGGUUCACUCAAUUCUUUUAAAUCCCCCUUCCUAGCCAUCAUAACUAAUCCCUCUUUUCCCUUUGUCUUGGUUGUUUGUGGCUGUGGGGUUUUAUUUGGCACUGGAAACACUCCCUCACUAUUUUUGUGGGUCACUCGCAAGUGGUUCUCGCUCUCUCGCUAUUUUCUUUUUAGAUCAUCGUUCAAAAUAUCCUCCGGUGUCAAAGGGAGCAAAGAAAUUCACUCUCCUUUGUACAUGAAAGCCAGCUUGUUGGUUCUUCCAAAGAUCUGAACAUCACGUUCAUAUAACCAUGGUCUUUCUAGCAGCAGUUGGCAUGCUUGCAUAGGCACCACAUCACAAUCCACAUGAUCAUUAUACCUCCCAAUAGAGAAAGGAACUGUCACAACAUGGCUCACACGCAGCAUGCCACAAUGACUCAGCCACUGCAUCUUGUAUGGAUUAGGAUGACGCCUUUGUUUUAGCUCCAUUCUAUCAACCAAUUCUUGGCUAGCAAUAUUGUUGCAGCUUCCAUUGUCAACAAUAAUUCUACAUAGCUUCUCUUUGAUCAUGCCUCGAGUGUGGAAAAGAUUGUGUUGCUGCCCAUUCUCUUCCUUUGUAGUAGUAACACUAAGCACACGAAGAGAAAUAAAGCAGUUGUUAUCACCUUCAUCGGGUUGGAUCUCAUUAUCAUUGUUUUUACGAUCCUCAUCAUAUCUUGGAUCUUCUUCCUCACGAUUACUUUCAGAUUCCCAUUCACCAUUCUCAUUCACAAUCAUGGUCCUCCUGCUGGGACAUUGUGCAGCAAUAUGUCCACGACCAUGGCACUUGUGGCACACAAUUUCUCUACUACGUGCAGAGGAAGUAGUAGCUGAGGAAGCAACAGUUGGGGCCGCUGCACUUGUAGCAGGAUGCUGCUGAUUUCCAGGAGACGAUGUUGUAGAAACCACCAUCUUUGAAGGAGCAUUAGAUGAAGAGGGUCUAGUUGUAGCACCUUGGGACCGUCCUCCACCAAAAGAAGUGCUGGACUGCUGCUUACGCCAUGGGGCUGCAAUAGAAUGACUUGCAUAAGAUUUUCCACGUGUCUCUUGCUGAAAUUUUCUUUCAGUACGCAUAGCUUGAUCAACAAGAUCUUGCAAAGUAUGGUAUGGAAACAUCUCAGCAAAACCAGCAAUUUCCUCAUUGAGACCACCCAAAAAUCUUGCCAUUUUUUACUCUAGAUCCUCUCUAAUUCCAGUCCGCACUAACAGCAGCUCCAUCUCCUUAUAAUACUCAUCAACUGAUCCUUUUCCUUGCUUCAACAUUUGUAACCUAUUAUGAAGGUCACGCUGGUAGCUUGAUGGUACAAAUCACCUUCUCAUCACUUGCUUCAUCUCUUCCCAUGUGCUAAUAUGUUCACGGCCCAACACAAGUUGAUUCUCUUGUAUCUGAUUCCACCAAGUCAGAGCAUAACCAGAGAAUUCCACUGAAGCAAGAUUGACACACCUCUGAUCAGAGAGAUUAUGCACUCUAAAAAUUUGAUCACACUGCUCAGCCCACUCAAGAUAUGCAUCUACAUCCUCUCUUCUAGUGAAUUUUGGGAUACGCAACUUGACACGAGCAAUGCUGUCCGGAUCUUCCCUAUUACGACGACCAAGAUGAUGCUCUCUAUCUCCAUGAUCAGCAUUGCCGCCGAUGAUCAUGGCGCCACCUAAGCAGCCCAUCAUUGGUAAAGGGAUUCUCAUCAGACCCCUCUUCGUGAUCAAAGUUAUCAAAUUCUUCAUCAUCAAAAUGAACGCGAUGGCCACGACCACGUCCAUGAGCUCGUCCUCCAUCUUGGCCAUGAUGACCAGCCCACCUGCCACCACCACAACCAUCUCUGAAACGGUCAUGUCCUCCAUUAGAAUUUUCAGCACCAGAUUCAUCAGAUUUAUGCCGAGGAGCCCUCCGCCCAUCUGCAGGUAUGCGUGCAUCAAGCAUCCUCUCCAUGGCCUGCAAGAGUGAGUCUGCCAUUUGGCACAACUCAGACCGUGCAACAGGGGCUUCUCCUUCUCCAUGACGAUUACCAUGAAUACUUGAGUUGGAUCCUAUCAUGUUAGCACUAAAGCAAAAUAUAGUGGAAUGGGCAAAUUUGUGGAAUCACACAACCUGACCUCUUACUUACCAAUGCUCUUUCCUGUUCUCAAGGACGUUGAAUUGUGCUAGUGUAGCAGCUCAACAGAAGUGAUUCCGGGGUCGCAAGGAUUACGAGUCGAAAGUCUUGGUUUCAGUUUUGGGUGGAGCUAUAGGUGGCUAAACAAGGGAGGCUACAAUACUGAAAAUCAAGUGAUUUGAUGUGCUCAAAAGAUAUAAUGUUGCUGGUAUAUAAAUCACCAAGAAUCUAAAUAUGUAAACUGAAUUUUUCAAUAAGCAAACCGCAAUACAACCCCUUUCCUCUUCUUCUACUUUUUCUGCUAUUUCUCUUUUCUUUUCUCUAAUUUUUUUUCUCUGAUUUUUUUUGAACUCUCUUUUUUUACUAACAGGGUGCAGAUAACAAAUGAAACACAACACAAUAUAUGUAAAGAGGGUGACUAGCAACUUGAUGAACACAAAACACAAGAUAACAGUACCGUCAAAGGGCUCUAGGAUUUUUUUGUGGCUUUUUGAGUGGACUAUAGGUGAUGAACAAAACAGUGACAAAUGAAAGAUAAACUAAAGGUAGAUAUGUGGAUGAUUGUGAGACCUACCGUGACAACGAAAGCUUUUAUACCAGUUGAUAGGUUACCGAUAUGGAAUCGAUACUAGGGUGGCCCGAUCUUCACGACAGUAGAUCAAAAGAACAAGGAUAACUUUCUACGAACAAAGGAUAACUAGCUUUAUACCUAACAAAGGUUGGAUGCGACCAAGCGACGAGGAGAGAGGCACCGAAACCACGACGACUUCGAAUCGAUCUUCAAACGACCGUAGAACCACAAUCCGGAACUAAUCCACACAAUACGACGCAGCCGAACGGAAGCCGUAGAGCAUGAAGUAGGGGAACCCAGAGGAUUCACUUCACAAGUCCAAGAAGAACAAGGAAGAACAACGGUUGAGUAAGGCACUCAGUAGCGCGGCUACAAUAUCAUGUAGUUUAUCAAAAUGAUCAAAAGGUUCCUAAUAGCUUAGAGGUAGGGGAUAUUUAUACUAGGAUCAACCCUCCUAGAUAGGUAUGAAAACGAAAUAGAGUUUCUGAGGGAACACAAUGUGAAAGGACCCCUCGGAAUGGAUUCCCGAACUGGCUUCGCGUCACUGUUGGCCUCCAUAGCAGUUUCCAAUAAACUGACCAUAACUUUUUAUUGGAAGUCCAAAUGACGAACCGUGUCUUGGGUGUGAAACUAGACUCCAAGUGCUUUUCCAGCAAUGUAUGUCAUGCACCACGAAACGUUGUAAAUUGGUACAGUUUUGCACGGCAAGUUGUACCAACAUUCUGUCACGACAGACUGUUGACAUUCUGAGCAGUCUGUACUAAUUCUGGUCUGCAGGUAAUAUGGUGUAUCCCAACUGGUCGCCACUAGAAUCAUUGUAAAGUAGACUCGACAAGAUUUCCAACAAGUCCUCAUGGGCCUUCAUAGCUUUCGUGAGUAAAACGUUAUGAAGAUUUCUUUGCACUGGUCCGUUCUUGUCUUCCAUUGGUCCGUUUUUGAAUCUUCUAGUCCAUUUUGUAGUGUCUUCUGGGACUUGCACUGGCUCAUUCUUCAGAGUCCGAUUCAUCCUUAUCUUCUUCUAUAUACCUGAGUACACUCAAGGUACAACACUUAGGUAGUGUAUAAUUCUCAUUAAUGUUAAAAUGAAUCUCAGAAAGUAGCGCGUGGAUCUCUUGUUGUAGCUUCUUUGCACGACUACGUGUAACCGGUCCAUCGAUGACUUGGGCUGGUGUCGGUGUAGGUAAAAGUUGAGUGGUUGUAGCUUGACUUGCAGCUUGUGACAUCUUGCUUGCUGGCAUGGUCAUAUCAUCUAGCGCCCCCACCGUUGAAGAAGUUGCUACGGGCACUCUGACCCAGGAGGAGACCGACACGGCUGUCCCGACCAAGGAGGAGAGCGCGGUGACUACUCCCCCUCCGAGUAGUGGAGCAGGAGAGGGGAUCAGAGCUCCAUCACCUGCUCGGGUGGAGGAGCCACCCGUUGAAGCUAGGACGCCGGAGGACAUGCCCGACCUUGGAAAGGGACUAGUGACAGCCUCGGCCAUGGUGGGGUGGAGUACCCAGGGCGAGGAGGCCCAAGCAGGCUCCGACGAUGAAGUGGAGGAGAUCCAAGGGCACCCUCACGAUGGGCGCCAGCAUAUUUAUGUCUAGUGCCAGCGUGUAGACCACUGGGCUGGCCACGAGGAGAUCGCCGAAGUCGAAGAGGCGGAGAGAGUGGAGCGGGCCGCCAAGAGGCUUGUCAACGAGGUUAAGGUAAGCGACCUGCCAACUUUGAAAAAUAGUCAGUCUGAUCAAAACUUUGUCAUACGUUUGUAUGUGUUCGCAGAACGCAAUGAAAAUGGCAAAAUAUCAUAAAAGAUGUUUCGACCAGAUUGAUAGAAUUGUGGCCGAGAACAAGGCCCUAACAUUGGAGGUGGACUGCCUUCGGUUAGAGGCCGAGAAGGAGGCCAAGGAGAAGGCUGCUCAAGAGGAGCGCAUGCUGGACCUGACUCGGUGACUAGCCGACAAGGACCGCGAGAAGAAGAGUAAUGCUGGGUGUUGGAACCAGUCGUGAUGCACAAUAUGUUGGGUUCUUUUAGUUUAACAGUUAUUGCUGUAGGUCUAGAGGAGGAAAUAGAGUGCCUCCAGAAGGAGAAGAAUCAGCUCGACCAGGAGCGCGCUCGCAUGCUCGAGAACGAGCGGAAGGUCGGAGAGGUGCUGAAAACGAGAAAUCAGGAGCUCACUAGUAAGAUCAGUUUUGAUGCGGCAAGUGUAAAUUCUUUUAUUUUCAUAGUUUGAUAUUGGUUCCUCCCUUUUUUAAACCUUGUCAUAGUGCUCAAGGCCAACACGAAGAAGCAUCUCGAGGACCUAGUCAAGGACUGUGACUCGUGGAAAGGCAAUUGUAUUCAGAUCUAGAAGGGAGUGUCCCUAGUGCUAGAUCUGAUCAGUCCAGAGCUCCCUGAAGACCAGCCCCGCGCAUAGAGGCAAACCCCUAUUGAAAAAGCGCAGCAUGCAUGGGGUUGGCUUCAAUAGUUCGUCAAGGACGCAGGGGAGUACGCCGGAGGCCACGUCCUGAGUAUGGUACGUGCUCACUACCCCCUGAUUGAUCUCUCUCACCUGGAAGGGGGUACCCCCAGGAGGUUGGCCCGAAGGAGGCGGAUGACCUUUGUGUCAGUCUGCUCGUCUUGUCGUCGACGGUGAUCGGCGAUAUCAACCUCUAUGGGACGUCUACUCCCCCUAAUCAACCGAGUUCAGAGAGAUCGACCUGGGAGUGGUCGGAGACGUCUGCUGCGGGGGAUGGGCGAUCAACACCUACGGUCUCGACCAGCCAGGCACCGGUGGCCCCAACCUCUUCAACGGCACCGGAGGCCCGUGCCAGCGAGCAGCCUGAGCAGCAGGCCCCGGCUUAGUCUGUAGGUUUAGACUAGGGUCCGCCCAGACGGGCUUUUAUUGUAAACUUUGCUUGGAAAGUUUGUAAUAAAGUCUAGAUUUGUAAACCAUGGUUUUGAGCGCUGUAAAUAAUUUAUGAGAGUGAUGUAUCACUAAAAUGAAGAUUGUCGAGUACCCUUGUUUAAUUUUGUUGUUGUGGUGUGUCGAGAACAAACAAUAUCAUUCUUGUCGAAUAAUCUGCAUAUAAGGAGGUAUAGAGCAAAAACAAAAACUUGUUAUUAUUCAUGAGGAAAAAGAUACAAGCAAGAUAGACUGCUUCUAGGGGUAAAACCGCCGUAGUUUAUCUAUGUGCCAGGAGUUAGGAAAACUUGUUCUGUCUGGGUAAGCCAGUCUGUAAGAGGUGGGAUGCGUGACUUCGGCGACCACGAAAGGUCCUUCCCAGGGCGUGGAUAGCUUGUGCAUUCCUUCCUAGCUUGUUUUCCAUUUGAGCACUAGAUCACCGACCAUGAAAGCAGUGCUCUUUGACAUUCUUCUUGUAAUAUCGUCGCAUAGAUUCGAGGUACUUUGCUAUUCAGAGGCAAAAAUCUAACCUUUUUCCUCUGUGCAGUUGAUUUCAAGUUCUCUACCGUGGUCUGCUGAAGAUUAGUCGAAAUGCUCGACUCUUGGAGAUCCGAACACUAUGUCAGAGGGGAGUACCACCUCGGCCCCGUAUACCAUGAAAUAGGGGGAUACACCAGUGUUUCGACUAGGCUGUGUGAUAUGACCACGCCACCAAGCAAGAUGUCACAAGCUCCAAGUCAAGCUACACCCACUCAAGUUUCACCUACACCGACUGUUGACACUUGCUAACACCACUUGAAUACUAGGUUGUCAUCCCCAGCAUGGCACUAGAGUGUACUAUGGUAUUUAUACGCAUACAGAUAAUCCACAAGCGUACGGAUACCGUUGAAGCUUUUACCCGGUUAAAGGUUUUAACGUAUCCACAGGGAAACGGGAGAACCAACUACGCUCUAACUUAACCUAGAUAGAUAGAUAGUGUAAAUAGGAAAGAUGGUAGAAUUGAAUAAGAACAAUAUUAAAGGUAAGAUAACAGUGAGUGAUAAUAUGGGAAUAAAGAGUUGACCAAUCUAGUAUAUGGGCGAUGGUAGCAUAAUAGAGAGGAUAACUAUGGUUUCUCUACUUCAAAGUGAUAUGUCUAUGUCUGGGACGAACCACGUGAUAAGAAUACACCACAAAGGAUGCUUAUCCAUAGGCCGAUAAACCCUACCCAUCCUGCUAACAAGAGGUGGACUACAGGGGACCCAAGUAACUGUCACCUACGCGGCCUACCACAUGAUCCAGCUAGACAGGGGAUAUCCACAAGUAAUCUAGGUCUAAGCACCUCGCUUACACCUAUACUACAACUCUCACCUAUAGCGUCCUAUAGAUUAGAAGUACUCAAAAGAGUUGUGAACCAGAACAUACAUGAUUAGUAAUUGCAUAAUAAAUUAGAAGUAGAUUACCAGAGUCAUCCCAUGAGCAAGCUUGAUUAGAGCUUGAUCAUGACGAAGUACAACCGGAGGAAGAACCGACAGGCCGACCUCUCCUCCAAUCCUCCCUCGCUCUCCAUCUUGCUACUAUCUAGAUCUACUCUAGUUUAGAGAAGAGAGGAGAGUUCUCAUCUCUAAACCCUAGCUUUUGCUCUGUCUAUGAAUAAUGAAUAAUGAUCAAGGGGGUGCCUCCUCCAGGGGCCAGGGGGUCUGCUUAUAUAGUCCCCUCAAGUGAACCUAGGCCGUCGGAUCAAACCGACAUUGAUUGAACGGUUAUUCUUGAUCCUUUAGGUCGGUGGAGCAUAAUCCGUGAGAUUGAGCGUGAUUGGCCGAAAUAGGUGGGUGGGCGCCCUAAGGACUUGGGCGGGCGCCCUGUCCCUGAGCCCUCUCGGCUUCCGCUUUGUUCCCGUGGCUUCUGGAGUCUUCUAGAAGAUAGAAAAUUGCGUGGCACGUUAAUAUCUCUAUGUAAACCCAACGUGUGGGCCUUUCUUCCGUAUUUCCUGAUAACCCCCUGCAGAAAUAGACAAACACCAAAACUCGUGGAAUUCUGUUAGAUAAAACCCUAAGUCUGGGUGUUUGUUGCAUUUGGAUGCUUUUCUUUAUUUAUUUGUUGAUUAUAUUUGGUACUUAAGGACCGUCAACAACUCCCCCAAGCUUACCUCUUGCUCUUCCCUGAGCAAAGAUGGACUCAAGAGUUUCUACAGUGAUUUUAUGCCUUAAAGGUACACAUGCGUUCAAACAAGAUCUCAUCUCUAGGUUAAGGUAAACUGUUAAGAUUUAAACUUACUCAUAUUACCUUCCACCAUGGGGCUUGCAACCGUCACUUGUGUCUUGAGCAGUUAAAAGAUAGAACGGUCAAGUCAAGCACCAUGUCUCUUGUUCUUUGAUCAACUAUAGCUCUGGGGUUUUUGUAGAUUUUCAAAUAAAACUCAGAGAUUCCUUGUAUGACUCUCUCUAGUCUCUCUUUUGUGGUAUUUCUGGAUCCUUACCAAGGCAGUGAUGGUGUAUGCCUUCUCUCAAAGUAUGUGGUAUUUUUGGUAUGAGGCAUAGUGACAUUGCCUUCUCUCUCAUCCUACUCUAAUAAGGUUUUGAUAUCUGGAGCUCAUAGGUGGGAGACAACUAAUACAUACUUACAAGACAUUUAUUGCAUAGUCAAACCAUGGAUCCAGAGGAACAAGUCAAUAAGUCAAUAUCAAGAUGUGCAUGUGUGGCGAAUGAACGGUGUAUGGUGAUAAUGGUGAAAGCAAUGGCGAAAGUCUAAUUCAACUUUUGCUCUUUUGAGGGGAUACAUACCUUUCUUGCUCUUUGAAACUUUUGAGGAGAAUGAGAUGCUCUAUAUUAUUAUUUAUUAUUUUUUUCUUUUCUCUCAGGUGGGUAUCUUGUACCCCUAAUUCUACUGUCGGACACUUGUCCAUUUUUACCUCCCGUCUCACUUUUUCUUUUCUUCGAGGUUCCGGGCACUUGCCCCUUUUUAUUUCCUCGUAUUUUUCUUUUUUUCUUCUUUUUUUAGAGCACUCACCCUCCUGGAAUAAUGUAGCAAGUGGUAGUAACCAAAAUAACUCGAGCAUUUAUUUCACGGGGAAUAACAGGGAUGUGAUAAUGUUUUUGGCUAUUCUCUCCUGGAUAGGAGUAGAAUAAUUUUGGGUGAAUCUAGAGAUGGAAAUGAGUGGAUGUAUGUGGAUGCGUACUUCCGGAGUAGAUGCAGCAUGUAUGAGUGAACGUGCAAGUGAAUCUUGAUUUUAACUGCAUGACAAGCUCCUAAGGGUCUACACAGUUUGACCACACUCAAUGCUCAUAAGUAGUAAAAAGUAAAUGUAUGGUUCAUAGUCUAAUAAGCAUGUAUAUGUGGCUGUGGUAGGAUUUUAAAAUCUCAUCAUACAGGAACUCAUCAUGCAACAUUUUUAAGAUUUUCAAAGAUAAAAUUCUCCAGAAUUCUAGCAUCUCUAGGAACAGAUAAACAGCAGCUCAACCUUCUCAUAUCGUAUCCAUUAACGACUUGGACUUUAGAUCAAGUACUCUUCCCACAAGUUUAGGUUUAGAGCAAAUCAUAAUUCAUAACAGUCAUGCCCAAACUUGAGAGAGAGCUCAAAUUUGAAAACUAGGUAAUUGGCAGAGCAACUAUUCAUCAUAUCCAUGUGAGAGCUUAUCAUGAGGGUCCAUAGCAAACUUUAUUUAUUUAUUUAUUUAGCAAACUAAGCAAAGGUAUAUAUAAGCACAAAAUCUUUAUUUGGGUUUUUAUGAUUAUGCAUCUUUUUAUUAUUUGAGUAAAGUAUAAACGCGAGUAGAAACACUUAGCUGGAUAGAUGGGGGUGCUCUCCCCUAAGCUGGAUUUUGACAUAAUUUCUUCUGAUGUAGCUAGCAGGUGGCAGAGGUGUAUUUGAAUGUCGGCAGCACCCUGACAGCAAUUAGGAUGUCCUCCAUCUACUAGUCUUCUUUGAUCCUUGAAUUCUGUGGAGCUCAAAUAGACAACAAAGCUUUGUGGAACUAGUUAAGUAUUAGCAUAAAUAUCUAGCCUUUAUCAUGUUGAGCCUCCUCAAUAAAUGUUACUCUCCUUGGUAGGAUCAUAAAUUUAUUUUUAUAUUUUCAUUUCUAUAGGACAGUAAUAUAUUUAUUUUAUUUUUACGCCACCACAGUGAAUGUACUUAUGGGUUUUAUGCCAUGAGCAUACUCACAUGGGGCUUACUAUUUUUAACAUUUUUAUUUUCUUUUCAAGAUAGCAUGAUUAACUGACAAGCUAUUAAGGAAAGUCAAUAAUUUGAGGGAAAAGGGAAUGCAGAAAGGAUAAAUAUAGAUAACUACCGAUUUUACCUUUCGGCGAGGGUUCAAUGUUUUAAGUCUUCUGAACAAGACUUCUCACCGUGUUCAUGCUUUAGGUGCGUCAUUUGAUUCAGGUGUGGACCUUGACGUCUGCACCUCUUGAUAUGGUGUCACCCAUGUUCUUCGUUUGCCCAGUAGUUCGAAGUGCGGUGUUGGCAGCAUCCUGCUCAGUGUGUGUUGUACUCAUAGAUCCAGGUCCUUCACUUGGUAGAGUCUGAGAGAUGAAAAAUCCUCCAUGUUUCUCAAAAUGUGUCCUACUCAUAGAGACAAGGCAUAGAUCAAGUGCAUGGGUCCUGUUGGUGGAAAACACCAACAGAACAAAAAGUGUAUUUUGUUCUUCUCUAACCUUAAGCAUAGUGAGCAAGACAAAUUUGAUGGAUAAUAAGAUCAUGAGUGUAGUAUUGAAAACAUUUGUCAGAUCAGAUCGCUCAACCUUAUGGAAAGAUAAUCUAUCUAUGUAUAUGUCUUUUUCUUUAUAUCUUCCCAAAGAUUGAGUGUGCAACAGUCUAGCUCAUAUGAUUAGGAGUGUGGGAUCAUGGAGGUAGUACUAGGAACAAAGAUUAAAGGACUAAACAUGUUGAAUCAGUUAGGUUGGUUAAUUUGAAGUUAUAAAUCAUACAUGUUUGUCUCUUUAUUUAUGUGAACGCCAGAACGAAGGAGAAGAUUAUAAAAGUGAUAGUCACAAAUCUUAAGAUGUUACCUUACUUGAAGAGUGAUGGCACAGUAUCACCUUGUGGAAGCUUUCCUUUCUUAGCGGUUGUGAAUCGUGUUUGUGGCACCCUCCAUGAGUCAUCUCUUAUGAGCUAUGUCUUCCUUGUGUAACUUGUUAAACUUCAUGUGUCUCUCUCUUUGUCUCCAAUGUGAGUUUAUCUCAGGACUUCCCAGGUUGAUAUUGAAAGUUUUCCUGUAGGGGUUGUUGACGGUUCUUAAGUAUCAAUUUUAAUUAUCAAAUAAACAAUAGAAAGGACCAAUAUAAAAACAACACCUAGAAUUAGGGUUUGAUCUGACAGAAUUCCACGAGUUUUGUUGUUUAUCUGUCUCUGUAGGGGGUUAUCAGGAAAUAAGGAAGAAAGGCCCACAUGUCGGGAUUACAUAGAGAUAUCAACGCACCGUGCAAUUUUCAACCAUCUACAAGACUCUAGAAGCCACGGGAAGGAAGCAGAGGCCGAAGAGAGCCAGGCCCAGGGCGCCCGCCCUCUGUUGGAUGCCAAUCAGGACUCUUUUCACACACGACGUUCCACCGACCUAAAGGAUCAAGGAUAACCGUCCAAUCAAUGUCGGUUUGAUCCAAUGGCUCACGUUCACUUGAGGGGACUAUAAAACCAGACCCCCUGGCCCCUGGAGGAGACAAGUUUAUCAUACAGUUGAGGGUAGCCCUCGAAGGAAAACCUCUUCUCUAAAUAAAAUUUCUUUUUAGGCUUAGCAACCAAUGUAAGUAGAAAUAGAUCUUCUAGUUUCUACUAGAUUGAGAGAGAUAGAGUGGAGGUGUAGAUUGGAGGAAGCCCGGCCUGUCGGUGUCUACUCCGAGCUUGUACCUGCGGGAUCAAGUUCUGCUUACCCAAGGCUUGCUCCUAGGAUUCUUCAGUAUUCCGACUUCUAAAUUCUAGUAAGUUCUUGUUUUAUUGUUCUUUUGGUUUAUGAGUUUACUUUAAUCUCUUCGCGUUCAGUUUAGAGUAAUCAUCUCUAGCGUAGACGUGGUGUUUAAGCUAGGAUACUCAUAGAUAUUCCCUGACUAGCUAGACCGUGGUAGUAGCGAGGAACGUGACAUUUCCGAGUUACCUUUGCAGACCAUAUGUAGCACCCAGUUUUAAGAACAAAACCAGAUACACACCAUAUGUGAGCCUAGGAAGUCAAUAUAGCCAUAAAUAGGGGUAAUAUCAAUAGACAAUGCUUAUAUAUAACGAACUUAGCAUAAAAGAUAUAACCUUAGAUAGCAAACAGCGGAAAGACACUCCGUUCUUCAUGCGAAAGCUCCAAAUCCACAGGGGCAACUGACUGGUUGAGCACAAGCCUAAAAUCUUUUCCAAGCCUGCAAUCUGGUACCCAUCCGGGAUUUGUAUCCAAAUAAAAUGUAAAGGCAAGCGUAAGUACAUCUCGUACUCAGCAAGAAUAACAUAGGAUUCAUGAGGCUCAAAGGCUAGACACUGGUUGAACUGCAUGUAGCUUUUAGUUGUCACAAUUUUAGCAUAUGAGUAGCAUCAAGUUGUCAAAUCCCGUAUUAAACUCAUGAUCAGGUAAAGUGAAUAAAGAAUAGCAUAAACAACAUAUUAACAAUAAUAACAUUAAAGAUUUGCCAUUAGUGAUCAUUUUUUCUGUAUUGGUCCAAGGCCACUCGUGACCUUGAGCAUGGCUGAUAUAUCAGUUUUACACUCUGCAGAGGUUGUACACUUUCACUGUGAGUCAUGAUUUACCCUUUCGCCCGAGGCCUGUCGACCUCUUAGCCCACUACCAAGGAAGACCGGCAGGGUUCACUAUGAAGCCUUUCAAAGGUUCGUCUAACAAGUUAGGGCCGCUUGGUUUCGUUAGUCAGUCCGUGUGACUCACCCGCAGGAAUCCACGGUCUGCUAUCCCCCAUUUGCGCCACAAGGGUAACGACUAACAAACUAGAAAAGGUCCUCAUAAUGAGCUAAAGCCAGAGCCAUGUAUCCCUCACAGCUGUACUGUAUGUCCCGGAUGGUCAGAUACAGAUAAGCCCUUAUGGAGAGAAACCUGAGCACCAUAAGUUGCUAAAAAGUCAUCUUUUAAUAUUUAUUGCAUAUUCCAUUAAACAAAUUACAAGAUCAUGGUUUAGUGGAGCACUAGCAUAAGCUACCCAAUGCAAAACCAUAGGUGACAAGGUAUGAGAUCAAUACUAGGAAAUCCUUAGCAAGGAGAAACAUGCAAUAUGAAUUGUGUGAUUAAUGUUAUUAGGAAACAAGGAUGAUCCCAUGCUAUACUUGCCUUGAAACUCAGAUCCUUCUUUUGGUUCCAAACCUUCCACAAUCUGCUUCUUGAACACCACGUAAAAGCUCACCGACUAAACUCAGUCAUCACAUCAACAACAAUCAUCCAGAGGCAAUCAUACAAAGUAAAACAAACCUAUAAUUAGAACAAUACACCAACAGUAGCAAAUAAAGAUAAAAAGUUUAUAAAACAAAUCUACAUCGCUCUACGAUCACACAGACGUAAAGAUCACGAAAAUCGGAGCUAUAACGAAGAAGUUAUGAUUUUCCUAAGAUUUCCUUUAAUAAAAUAAUAGAUUAAAACUAAGUUCAGAUUUAAAAAGUUGGAAGCAUGUAUAAUAGAGCUACUAAUCUAUAGAUUACGCAAAAACGAAUCUAACGCAAUUUGAACGGAUCAAAUCGGAGUUAAAACGAAGAAUAUAUGAAUUUUCUAAGAUUUUCUUUAGAAAAACAAUUAAUUAAUUUGGGUCACGGAAUUAAAAAGUUUCAACUGAGAAAACAGUGUUACUAACACGUAGAUCUUUUGAAUAGAAAACCAACGCAAUUUGAACGAGUCAAAACGGAAAUGAGAUGAAUAUUUUAUGAGUAAAACAAAUCCAGUGGCAAUGUGGUAAUUUGCUGAAAACGUAUUUUUGAAUAAAACCAGCACGGAGUACGUUUUUUAAGCUAUGAAAGCGUAUUUUGAAUCUGAGCAGACGGGAAUACGCUUUCAGAGUUAGGAAGCGUAUUUUGGAAAUCCGCAAAGGACUGCGGGUUGACUCUUUAAAAACAUUGGGGUUUCUUUUGCAAAAGUCACGGCCGAAGGGGGUAUCCUUCGAUUUAGGCCGUCGGAUCGCGAAUGGGUGGCUAAGAUUAGAUCGGGGGGAAGAGAGAAGACCGCCGGCCGGAGCUGGGGUAGGCCGCGGCGGCGCCAUGGCCGGAGUUGGCCGGCGUUGCUCAAUCGACCGACUCAAAGCGCUAGAACGUGAACCAAAAACACCGGGACAUGGAGAAACUUACCGAGAGCUCACCUAGGGCUAAAACGGAGUCGAGGAGCGGCUCGGGCACGCUCGCGACGUAGGAAGGCAGACGGCGACCUCUGCAAAAGUUCGGCGAGGUUACAUGGAGCGUAGAGAGCAUGAAAACACGAGAAAUAAGGCUUGGCAGAGUCGCAAGCACGAUAAGAAGCUCGGUAUGGAGCUUACGGGAGCAAAGCUACGGCACUACGGAAUUUCGAGCGCGGCGCGGAUCUCGGCGGCGUUCUAUGGCUCGGCUGCGGCGGCUGCUCGACCUAGAGUUGGGGUAGGGGGGUUUGGCAGAGCUGGGGUGCUAUUUAAGGCCCCCUCGGCGUGCGGGGCAAGCCAACCGCGAGGAUCACGCGCGGCCGUUGCUCAAACUCGGGCAGACUCCGGCUCCGUCACGAGGUGGAAGAAAGCCCUGACAGGUGGGCCCCACCUGUCUGCGACUCAGGGCGCGGAACCUGCUUGUUAGUGGAACGAGAGAGGGGACCGGAUGCUGGCGCGGGGGAAAAAAAGCUGGGCCGCGGCUCCUGCGCGCCUUGGGCCGAGAAGAAGAAGAAAAAGGGGGGAGGAAGGAUCUGGGCCUUCGGGCCGAAUUCCAUGAGAGGGAGGAGGAGAAAAUAAAUCUCUUUUUUUUCUUUUAAACCUAUUUCAAAUUUAAUUUUGAAAUCUGUUUGAAACAUAUUUUUGAACCUUAGUCAAAACCACUCAUUACAAUAAAUCAAAUGCAAAGACAUGAAUGCUCAAACAAGUUACUAGCUCCUAUGGUAAAUUUUAAUUUAAAGAAAAAUAUUAUUUUUCCUAUAGUUUAUGAGCACAAAAAUAUACAAUUAAAACCAUUUCUCAUAUUUUGGAAACUUGCUAAUUUUAGGGUGUUACAAUUCUACCCCCCUUAAAAUGAAUCUCGUCCUCGAGAUUCGGUUGGUGCUUACUCAAACAACUGAGGAUAUGAUUUUCUUAAAUCUCCUUCUGUUUUACAAAUAGCCUCCUCUUCGGUGCACAGAUUCCACUGGACUUUGUACAUCCUAAAAAUCCAACUCCUGGUCACCCUUUCUAUUGUUUCCAAAAUUUCUUACCAGGUACUCUUGUAUGUGAAAUCCGAUUUAACAAUCAAUUCUUCUAACGACAUCCGCUCUUAUGGCACACGAAAGUACUUUUUAAGUUGAGACUCAUGGAAGACAUCAUACACUCCUCCUAAACUUCCAGGUAGCUCUAUUUGGUAAGCCACUUCGUUCCAUAUUUCCUACAUCUUGAAUGGCCUGACAUACCUUGGUGCUAACUUUCCUUUCAUAUUAAACCUCCACACACUUCUCUUAGGUGACACCUCCAAAUACUCAUAGUUUCACACUUUGGAACUAAUUCUCUUCUCAGAUGUCAACAUAACUCUUAUGUCGAGUCUGUGCCACCCUUAAGUUAUCUUUGAUCACUUCUCACUUGUUAUUCAGCAUCUCUUAGAACUUCUAGCCCAAACACUUAUGUUCUCCCGUUUGAUUCCAAAUCAACAGGGUUCUACACUUACAUCCAUACCAGCUUUCAAAAGGCUCCCACUGAAGGCUCCUCUACUAACUGUUGUUCUAAGAAAACUUCGCAUACGGUAAACUCUUUGUACCAUACUGCAAUACACAAGCUCACCACAUAUCUUCUAAGUAAUCUCUUUGCAGUUCUUGUGGUUCCCAAAUGAGUAAUUAGUAGAGCUCAUUUGGCAGUACUAGUGACAUCACCCAGUUCAACACUCAACCCUUCAAACUUCAGUGUCAUUUGAACUCCUCUAGCACACUCUUUAUGCUCUGAGCAUUCGCAAAGGCUUUCUCUCCUUCAAGUGAUAGCAUUUUUUCCCAGUCAUAACUCUUGAUUCACUCAAAUCCAUCGACAAUGUGACCAGCUCAAUCCAACUUCCUAAAGAUGCCCUUUAGAUACUUACAUUCUACGCAGAUAUCACUCCUACAUUCAAGAGGUUAGUAUCUCCAUGAUCCACUAUGGUCACCUUCACAUCACGUGUCAGGUGGUCCAACUUACUUAGUUGACUCAAGCACAAGCCAUUACUUUCCUUGUGUAGAGCACAUCUAGGGUCUUGAUGGGAUAGAAAAACUCUAUUUGUCAAUCUUUAUAACACCUUCAAUGAACCAUUGAUAUAAUCUUAUUAUUCCAAAUCAGUCUCUUAGUCACUCUUAUGUCAAGAUCACAUUGGCCCUAGCAAACCUAUGAUAGCCUCUUGCCAUAUCUAUAAAACUCUAAGUCUCAUUCACUUCCUUUGGUGGUUUCCAGCUCUUGCAUCUUUAACUUUCUUAAGUCCAUAAUUAAAGAUGACGUCUCCUAGAUGACAACUAGAACACACUGGUUGUGCUCUCUUUAGCAAUGAAGUCUUUUGAGUCUCCGUAGAAUCAACAGUAGAUGUAGCUUAUCCACUUCAUAAGUUGUCAAGUGACCAAUUUCACGAACUUGAGCCAAGAUAGAUAAUUAUAAUCAUGGGAUAUCUCCAGAGACAACUUCUCACUUCAUGCUAAAUUGAAAGGGCCUUAACCAAUAAUGUCAAGGUACUACCCCCCUUAAAAUGAGAUAGGUAGGGGGAUAGUAUGGACUAGCUCUUCAUAUACUGUCUAGAUAAUUCACAUCAUAUGGUCUUUUAAAAUCACUGUACCAAGUCUCCUGAUCUAGAGUUGGUUUCAUCGCUACGUUCCAACUAUUGGUACCUCUAUCAGAGUUGAAUUGCUUUGCUCUCACAUCCCAUGUAUAACUUCGUAGACUUUGGUGUCACCUGAUUCUCCUAAGCACCACUUCCAAGCUAUGAGUACCAGCAAAUACCUGUAUCUCCAUCCAUAUUAUCACACUUCAAUGGAAUAAUUUAUUGUAUCAAAACCCAAAUUUUCCAAACACUUGAGGUCCUUAUCGAUGAUCCAACACUUCUCCUUGUAACUCCUUUGAUAAGACUACCCCCCUUAGAAAAGGUAAACUAGGGGAUUAAAUGGAUAGUUUGGUCCAUCUUUCAAGUGAGUUCCAGAUCUUCUAAUACCGAAGAGAAUCUCAUGUGCACUGAUAUGUACAAGAACUCUGAAAUUCCUCAUAACACGAGAAACACCAACGCAGUAAAAUAGGCAUAACUCCUUUUCUGUUAAUCCAAUAAGGUCUUAGCUGAUACCGUUAGAAACCCUAUCAAAAUCCCUACAACUUUCAUAUAGAAGGCUUCAUUAGUUUCUGUCAUUAAACCUAGGUAAAACAGCCAUACAUGAUAUCCAUCCCGACAAUGUCUCAGCAUCGGUGCAGCAACUUGCAGAAGUCAUAUCUCGAGUUACUUAGAUCAUAUGGGGACGAGUCUUACAUGGUUGAAAAGCUUAUGAAGUCCUCCACAACUUCUGUAAAUCCCACUUUUCCAGAUUCUGAUGUUUAGUUGGCUGAAAAGUAGGAAUUAACUAGAACUGUCCAGAUUUUGAACUGUGCACCAACAGCAACGUAUAGAUGUCAUAACUCAAGUUCUAUUAAUCCGAUAAAGUUUCAGUUUGCAUCGUUGGAAAGCUUAUCAAAUGACCUAAAACUUUAUUAUAGAACCUUUUCCCAAAUUCCGGAGUUACAUUUGUCCAAAACAGUAGGCAACUGAAACUGGUCCUGAUUCCUGACAGCUCAACUGUACCAUCUUGUGAUUUUCAUAGUUCCCAAACCACAACAGCUAUGGGGGUGAUUCUUGCGGUCCGAGAAGGAUCUUGAUGUCUACUAUCACCCAGAAUUUUCACAUGAUUUUAUGGUCCUCCAGGAAUAGGGAUUUUGAACUAAAGAAUACAAGUUGCUCCCAAAAGACAAGGACAAAGAAACAAGAGAAACUAAAACCCAACUAUUUAUUUCAUUAAUCCUUAUACCUUAGGCCUGUAAACUAAAUGAAGUUGUGGAGAAACCCACAAGAUCAUUGCGCUCAUUACAAAAAUCCAACUCAAACAUAAGCACCAAGACAAACCAACCAAACAUUAAAGGCUCACAAAGCACACAUAUAUGACUAAACUCAACUUUUGCCACUAACGUUUAUUACAAAGGGGGACUUCCUACUUCUUAAACAUGGUGUGACUACAACGGCAUCUAGGGUAGCAUCUCUUGCGUGGAGUUAGGUGAGGUAUGUCCUCCACCUCAUUGAUCUUAGGUAAUCCACCACGACUUCUCCACUCAUCAAUCUCAUCAAGGGCUUCCUCAUAGUGUUGCCAUACUUCUGCCAAUUCCAGUUGACUAUCUUCUAGCUUUUGAUGCAUGACUUGGAUAGUCAAAGCCAUCUCCUUUAGUUGUUCAUUCUGCUCCAAGUAGGGGUCAGCCAUCACACAUUGCAAAUUGCUUGGUGGACGACGAGGUAGAUACUUUUGUUUGUCAUUCUUCCUCUCUUCGCAGUGCUUUCCAUGAUAUGCCAGAAGAGCUUGAUGGGCAGCAUCAGAUAUGCUAGCAUGCUUGCUGAAACGGUCACUGGGAGACGAAUGAAUGGAUUCCACCACGCAUGAACCAGUAAACUCAUUCCACCUUGUGAUGUGUGCUUCUGUGCUCCAGUGGCUCUCAUACUUAGGAUGAGUCCACUUAGUGCACUUAUACUCCACCUUGGCUUGCUGUUCAGGAUAAUGGUCUUGUAGUAUACGCACAAGCCGAGGGUGAAAGAAAUCUUCCCCACUAAAGGAUGUGGUAAAGUACUCCUUUCGCCAACCAAUAUGUCUUGAUGGGACAGGGCGAGCUUCCUCAUACUCUGGUUCCGUUAAGCCAUAGAUACCCCGAGUUAGGCAUGGUCUUCCAGAGUUGCUGCAAGCAAUCUUCUCGUUACGAACCAUCUAUGGAAUUAGACCAAGAGAGAGUUAGAAUAGAAGCAAUACUUUUAGAAAAGAAUUAGGUGACAGAAGCAUAAGAAUUUUAGCAAUAGCAAGGGUGAGAUAGUAAGCAAGAAUGUAGUGAAGCAAAGAUGACUAAAACGACCAUUACUAUCUAGGCUUGCAUCCUACAGUCAGCAUUGCUCUGAUACCACUUUGUAGCACCCGGUUUUAAGAACAAAACCAGAUACACACCAUAUGUGAGCCCAGGAAGUCAAAUCUCACAUAUAGCCACAAAUAGGGGUAAUAUCAAUAGACAAUGCUUAUAUAUAACGAACUUAGCAUAAAAGAUAUAACCUUAGAUAGCAAACAGCGGAAAGACACUCCGUUCUUCAGGUGAAAGCUCCAAAUCCAUAAGGACAACUGACUGGUUGAGCACAGGCCUAAAAUCUUUUCCAAGCUUGCAAUAUGGUACCCAUCCAGGAUUUUUAUCCAAAUAAAAUGUAAAGGCAAGCGUAAGUACAUCUCGUACUCAGCAAGAAUAACAUAGGGUUCAUGAGGCUCAAAGGCUAGACACUGGUUGAACUGCAUGUAGCUUUUAGUUGUCACAGUUUUAGCAUAUGAGUAGCAUCAAGUUGUCAAAUCCCGUAUUAAACUCAUGAUUAGGUAAAGUGAAUAAAGAAUAGCAUAAACAACAUAUUAACAAUAAUAACAUUAAUGGUUUGCCAUUAGUGAUCAUUUUUUCUGUAUUGGUCCAAGGCCGCUCGUGACCGUGAGCACGGCUGAUAUAUCAGUUUUACACUCUGCAGAGGUUGUACACUUUCACUGUGAGUCAUGAUUUACUCUUUCCCCCGAGGCCCGUCAACCUCUUAGCCCACUACCAAGGAAGACCGGCAGGGUUCACUAUGAAGCCUUUCAAAGGUUCGUCUAACAAGUUAGGACCGCUUGUUUUCUUUAGUAGUCUGUGUAACUCACCCGCAGGAAUCCACGGUCUGCUAUCCCCCAUUUGUGCCACAAGGGUAACCACUAACAAGCUAGAAAAGGCCAUCAUACUGAGCUAAAGCCAGAGCCAUGUAGCCCUCACAGUUGUACUGUAUGUCCCGGAUGGUCAGAUACAGAUAAGUCCUUAAGGAGAGAAACCAGAGCACCAUAAGGUAGACCAAUGCUCCGGCCCUCUUUUCCAAAGUUGCUAAAAAGUCAUAUUUUAAUGUUUAUUGCAUAUUCCAUUAAACAAAUUACAAGAUCAUGGUUUAGUGGAGCACUAGCAUAAGCUACCCAAUGCAAAACCAUAGGUGACAAGGUAUGAGAUCAAUACUAGGAAAUCCUUAGCAAGGAGAAACAUGCAAUAUGAAUUGUCUGAUUAAAGUUAUUAGGAAAUAAGGAUGAUCCUAUGCUAUACUUGCCUUGAAACUCAGAUCCUUCUUUUGGUUCCAAACCUUCCACAAUCUGCUUCUUGAACACCACGUAAAAGCUCACCGACUAAACUCAGUCGUCACAUCAACAACAAUCAUCCAGAGGCAAUCAUACAAAGCAAAACAAACAUAUAAUUAGAACAAUACACCAACAGUAGCAAAUAAAGAUAAAAAGUUUAUAAAACAAAUCUACAUCGCUCUACGAUCACACAGACGUAAAGAUCACGAAAAUCGGAGCUAUAACGAAGAAGUUAUGAUUUUCCUAAGAUUUCCUUUAAUAAAAUAAUAGAUUAAAACUAAGUUCAGAUUUAAAAAUUUGGAAGCAUGUAUAACAGAGCUACUAAUCUAUAGAUUACGCAAAAACGAAUCUAACGCAAUUUGAACGGAUCAAAUCGGAGUUAAAACGAAGAAUAUAUGAAUUUUCUAAGAUUUUCUGUAGAAAAACAAUUAAUUAGAUUGGGUCACGGAAUUAAAAAGUUUCAACUGAGAAAACAGUGUUACUAACACGUAGAUCUUUUGAAUACAAAACCAACGCAAUUUGAACGAGUCAAAACGGAAUUGAGAUGAAUAUUUUAUGAGUAAAACAAAUCCAGUGGCAAUGUGGUAAUUUGCUGAAAACGUAUUUUUGAAUAAAACCAGCACGGAGUACGUUUUUAAGCUAUGAAAGCGUAUUUUUAAUCUGAGCGGACGGGAAUACUCUUUCAGAGUUAGGAAGCGUAUUCUGGAAAUCCGCAAAGGACUGCGGGUUUACUCUUUAAAAACAUUGGGGUUUCUUUUGCAAAAUUCAUGGCCGAAGGGGUAUCCUUCGAUUUAGGCCGUCGGAUCGCGAAUGGGUGGCUAAGAUUAGAUCGGGGGGAAGAGAGAAGACCGCUGGCCGGAGCUGGGGUAGGCCGCGGCGGCGCCAUGGCCGGAGUUGGCCGGCGUUGCUCAAUCGAGCGACUCAAAGCGCUAGAACGUGAACCAAAAACACCAGGACAUGGAGAAACUUACCGCGAGCUCACCUAUGGCUAAAACGGAGUCGAGGAGCGGCUCGGGCACGCUCGCGAAGUAGGAAGGCGGACGGCGACCUCUGUGAAAGUUCGGCGAGGUUACACGGAGCAUAGAGAGCAUGAAAACGCGAGAAAGAAAGCUUGGCGGUGUCGCAAGCACGAUAAGAAGCUCGAUAUGGAGCUUACGGGGGCAAAGCUACGGCACUGCGGAAUUUCGAGCGCGGCGCGGAUCUCGGCGGCGUUCUAUGGCUCGGCUGCGGCGGCUGCUCGACCUAGAGUUGGGGCAGUGGGGUUUGGCGGAGCUGUGGCGCUAUUUAAGGCCCCCUCGGCGUGCGGGGCAAGCCAACCACGAGGAUCACGCGCGGCCGUUGCUCAAACUCGGGCAGAAUCCGACUCCGUCACGAGGUGGAAGAAAGCCCUGAUAGGUGGGCCCCACCUGUCUGCGACUCAGGGCGCGGGACCUGCUUGUCAGUGGAAGGAGAGAGGGGAACGGAUGCUGGCGCGGGGGGGGAAAAGCUGGGUUGCGGCUCCUGCGCGCCUUGGGCCGAGAAGAAGAAGAAAAAGGGGGGGGGGAGGAAGGAUCUGGUCCUUCGGGCCGAAUUCAAUGAGAGGGAGGAGGAGAAAAUAAAUCUCUUUUGUUUCUUUUAAUACUAUUUCAAAUUUAAUUUUGAAAUCUGUUUGAAACAUAUUUUUGAACCUUAGUCAAAACCACUCAUUACAAUAAAUCAAAUGCAAAGACAUGAAUGCUCAAACAAGUUACUAGCUCCUAUGGUAAAUUUUAAUUUAAAGAAAAAUAUUAUUUUUCCUAUAUUUUAUGAGCACAAAAAUACACAAUUAAAACCAUUUCUCCUAUUUUGGAAACGUGCAAAUUUUAGCGUGUUACACCAUAUCUCGUUAGCAGGAAGGAUAGGGUUUAUAGGUGCGGGUUGAACAUCCUCUGUGGUGUCUAGAUUCCGUUAGCCUCCCAAAUAGAACAGUAAAUCAUCCUUACCAAGGUUAGAAGGAGAUUACGGUUGUAGUCUUCUCUAUUUAUCACUCACAUCGAGAAACAUUCUUUGUUGCCUAAAGGGUUAGUAGUAAUAGACCGGGUUAGUCAAAUGCACUCUUUCUCCUAGUGGUAAAAAAAUAAAUACGAUACUCUGGAUAACUUCCCGGGUGAAGUGCUCACCGAUAUCCGUGCGCUUGCGGAUCAAUUCCUUAUUGCGUUCCCAAAUAUCAACAGGGGUUAGUCCAACAAAAUAUCCAAUAUCUACUAUAGCAUACCAUCGGCUCAAAAAUUAAUCUAGACACUAUGUCUAAUUUGAUUUAGGAGGGCAUUUUAACCUAAGCACCAUGCUUAAUUUAAAAUCCCUUAGAAGUAAGAUCAUCAUUCCUAAACUAAGCACCAUGUUUAUUUAAGAGAUAAAUGAAACUACUCCAAACCUAGACAUAUACUGAAGCAAAUAAAGGUAGCAUGGGAGCAUUUAUAGAGAUCUACUCAAGUGGAGAUGAAGUAGUGUGAUUAGUAUUUAACAAAUUGAGCAUUUCUCAAAGGUAGGGACAACCAACAUAGCAACAUGACAAAUGAUGUUUUUAUGUAAAGUACUCUACCAAGCUUAAAUUUUGCAAAAUUCAAGUUUGGAUGAAUUUAAUUCAAUGUUGUAUGAUGAUUGCGUUGAUGCAAAAGUGGAUCUGCAAACACAAAGGGCUAAUACCCGAUUUCAAACGUUAAGGCGUGCCAGCCGAUUUGACCUUACUAUCGGCAAAGGUGAUAACUCGAAUACUUUGGUUCCGACAACAGCGAUGCGCCCGGAUGCCACGGCCAAGAGGUAUUCACGCGGAACUCGAGAAUACGCCGAGCUUAAGUCGACGAAUUCCUAAGAACUCGUAAUAGAAAGGAAAAUAUAACGAAGUCGUCAAAAAAGUAGAUGCUGGAAUAUGAGUAAAAACUUGUGUUUGAUUGAUUGAUAGAUUGUUCAUUACAAGGCCCUAGGGUCUACAUUUAUACCCUGCUCAAAGAGCUACAAUCAGACACGACUAGGACUCGAAUUCCAAAUUAAACAGAAUCCGUAUACAAAACGAUUUAAAUAACUAAGAAAAACACAGAACUAGCCUUCCGUGACAAACCGGGACACCACCAUGGACCAAUCGGCAACCUUAACGUUCUCCUUCCGAGUCAUCGGCAGACUCCUCAUCGUAGCCAUCGGCAAAGGCUAACGCUGACCAUCGGCAUGAACGCGUCACCACUCAUGGACUUAGUCACAUUCAGCUGUCUCUUCAUCGGCAACCACCUUCAUCGGCAACUCCACUGCAGACCAGUUACUAUUGCCCCAUCUUGCCGAUCUAUACUCUACCGAUCCCUGGGUACGUGUCCAAAAAUGGUGUCAACACAUGCCCCCCAAUUUCGGAGUAUAAAACCAUUAAUGCUCCGAAAUUCUCUGCAGUAAUGAUGCCUUUCCGCAAUUAAUCCUCUCAAUUUGGUAACCGACCGUUGAAGUCGAGCAACUCUGGCCCGAUCCUUCUGCAGAUUCCUCGAAUUCCUCAACCUCCCAAACUAGACAUCUCCACUUUAUUCGCCCAUCGGCAAUAUUGCCGUUAAAGGGAGCUGCCGAUGGACCGACCAGGAAAUCCCGCACAGUGAAAUAUCUCCAGAUUAUGACCGCUUCCUGUCAAAUCACCUGCACAAUCCCUUGAUUACCGUGCGAACAGUUACCAUAUCCACCUGAGUAUCCUUGGAUUUCACGGAUACGGCGAAGAAAUAAGUCAGAUUUGCCCUUGCCCGUUUUGUCCUAUAAAUAGUUCCAUCUCGGGUACUCCUUCUUCAUCGCAUCAUUCUACAUCCCCAACUUUGCUUUUCUGGCGGCGGCACUGUUCGAGAGCCCCAAGAACUCCAACAAGAACCUCCUCCAACAACCCCCAAGUUCUCAAUCUUCUCCCCUGCGAGGAGAUGGCCAUCAACUUCGUCGUUCCUGAGGUCAGCGUACUAUUCUUUUUCCUGCACUUUCAUUGUAUGCCUGUUUAUCCGCAGUCUAUCUUACUGAAUUCUUUUUUUUCUUUUUGUUCUUCUUUUUGCUCCCAAAAAUUUCUAGGAUUUGGCCAAUAAAAUCGUUAUUCCUACCGAUCAACCCCACCUUCAAUGCCUUGGUCCACUAGGAAAUUUGGAUCCCACCGAUCUUAUAAAUGCGGAGACAAACAGAAUCCCUUUUAGAGACGAGAAUUUCUCUUUAGAUCUAUGGAAGGAUGCUUUCCGUUCCUGGCCCAAUCCUACCAAGGGAUGGAAAGAUUGGUUCCUGAGAGUCAGUAACUCAAAUGAGGUCCAAUGGGGUGAACGGAAACUGGAUCAGUGCAUCAGAUUGUCUCUUGCCGAUAUGCAGAGAAACGAGUCGUUACUGAUAGCUGCCUCAAACUUUUGGUCAGACACACUUAAUGAUUUUCUUUUCGGCCAUGACCCCGCUUCUCCCACUCUUGCCGAUGUGCUUAUGCUCACUGGCUUAGAUGUAUCCACUGCCGAUAGUAGUCAAAUAUUUGACACCCAACCUAGCGCUAAGGUGGAAACUCGCUCUAUCGGUGGCUGGUCUGGGUAGAUUCAGAAGUACCGUAGAACAGGGCCUAUCAACAUAAAGGAACAGACCACCUUCCUGAACAUGUGGUUAGACAAAUUUGUAUUCUGCGGUCGAUCGGCAGGGCCAACCUCUGUCUACCUAUCGACAGUAGAGAGAUUAGCCAAUGGUGGCCGAUUUCCCCUCGGCCGAUACCUGCUUGGUUCUGCCUAUCAUCUUCUCCAUCAGGUAGCCCAGAAACUACUGCUUGGUCAGUCCAUCGGCAACUUAGGGGGCCCUUGGUGGUUCAUCAACAUGUGGCUUAGCCUCCAUAUGCACAAGCGACUGGGAUUCGACCUCUUCGCACAGCGUUUCCCUAGGGAUAUAGCAGAGGAUCAUGAGUUGGAUGAAGAAGAAUCGGCAACCCGUCCUCCCUUAAACUAUGGUGAAGCUGUCAUAGCCUUGCCUGGUACUGGAGGCAACGGAGAUCAAGUCAGCCGAUUCUUUUAGACUCUUUAUGAGGGUUUGACCAAAGAGCAGUGAGCAUGGAUGCCUUAUGAAGAUCCAGACACCAGAUUUCCUCUCACCUUUCACCCCUUCGACGAUGCUCUCAAUAAAGAUCAUGAUGUGAUGAUGGCACUUAUCACUCCAAGAGCUAUACCAGUAAACUUCUUUGGCAGUGGGAAAGCCUCCAACCAAACCUAUGAAUUCUACAACCCAUCGGCACUAGCCCGUCAACUAGCUUUUGGUCAGCUGCCGAUUGCACUCUGUUAUGCCGAUGUGAUAAAACCGAGGGAAACCAUCACUAGUCUUCUCAAAUGGACUAGAAUAGCUCAAUUGCCACCAAAUGCCAACACAGAUGCUGAUCUAUCAGAUUGGAUCCCGUCCCUCUUCAUUACUCGGGCAUAAAAACAAUUGUGGGAAGAAUGGAAAGAGCAUUUGUUCUGCAAAUCGGCUCUCACGUACCGCGGCAUGAUCGACCCCCAGUACAAAGUCCCCGACAAUACUGUAAGUAUUUCUAAACCGAUGUACUAAUCCUUUCACUUUUACUUCCAUCGGUAACUCACUUUCUGUGUUACAUUACAGGUUGAUAACACUCCCCCAUCGGUCAGCAGGAGUGGUAAGCCGAUUGAGCUCCUUCCAUCGGGUCCGAUUUCUUUGAUCGGCAACAACUCUCCAUCCCUGGCCGCUAUAAUGCAUCAGGGUGUACGUCUCAAGAAAGUCACCACCAAGCGGACGAAGGCAUCUCCAUCGGUAGCUGCCUCUACUUUAGCACAACCUUCAAGGUAAAUUUUCGAAUUCUUGUACCCAUACCGAUUCCAUUCUUACAUCUGUUACACUUGUACUCACAAAUUUUCAUUGUUGUAUCAGCAAACUGGCACAUCGGCAAAGACCAGAGGUGUGACUGCCAAUGCCCCCCAGUCCAGCCAACCAAAGAGGAAAAGCUCCAAGAGUACCAGAACCCAGGCAAAGCGCCAGAGAACAGCAAUACCUUCUCCUCCUCGAAGAUCACCGAUCUCGGUGGAAUCUUCUCCCUCUUCUCCAGAAGUCCAAAUACAACAAGCACCAUUUCCCCCUCAGCCACAAGAAGAACCCCACACAGAACAACUCCUACUAGAGGAACCUCAGCUAGAAGACACAUUGGCUGACGUGCACGAGAAAACCGCCGAUCCAGCAAGCCUGAUCAUAGCAUCGGUAGUUUCCUCAAUCCAGACAAGCACUGUACCCUCUCAAGGUAACAUAUUCUCUAUGAAAUCAUUGCCGAUGAACCUACUUUUCCCGUCUUAUAAUUACUUCUGUUAAUCUUUCAGCUGACAUAGUCCCAUCGGCAACCCCAGCCGAUCAGCCCGUGGUUCCAUCGGCAUCAUCUAGUCAGAGGCCAGAGAUUGCCCUAAAACAAGUAAGUUACCCAAUCUAUCUGUAUUAUUUAUCAAUACUUGACCAUAGAAUAACUUAUUUUAUUUCCUUUUCAGGAAUAGGACUCUCCUGACAGUUUGUUCUCCUUUGCCAUCGGCAUCUCUGAAGAUGAAGGCGAGGAGGCAAGUUCUUCUCGAGCUAUUGGAAUCUCAUCGGCAGAAAUCAGAGCAAAGUUAGAAGAAUUGUCGGCCCUCCUUCACCAAGACAUGGCCCAAUUGGUCGACGACUCUAAUCCAGCCAAGGCCUUGUUCAAGACUCUCAGAGGUCAAAUCUCUGCCGAUGCCGAGGAAGUCCUUUUUCAGGCUGCACACCUAGAGAGUUGUCAGCUGCAGUAUCAAAAGGCUGCCCAGCGUCUUGCCGAUAGAGCUGCUCACGCUCAACUCUCAGAGGAGAUGAUGAAAGUGAAGCUCCUUGCCAAUGAGAAGCAUAAGAGCAUCGGCAUUCUGAAAUCCUAAGGAGACGUACUGAAGCAGAAGAUUUUUGAUCUAUUGGCGAGAAGGGAAGCUCUGUUGGCUGAACUCAGACAAGUGGAAGAAGCUCUAUCCCAAGCCCAACAGGAAGAAAGCCAACUGCCUGAAGCAAUCGAAACUCUUGAACAAGAGCGAAACGUCCAGGCUCGUAAAGCACUGCAGAUGAAGAAGAAGCUGAAGCCGGUGGAGGGCUCUGCCGAUGAUGACAUGAAGGAGAUAGAAGAAGCCAACCAGAUCCGUCUGCGCGCCAUAUCGACGAUCCAGGCUUUGUUAAACAUAUGAAUUCCUCAUCGACGGCACACUUUGCUCUUUUCUCUUAAUUAAUUUGGUCUAGCUGAUAGGACUGUUAUCGGCAUCUUUUAGAAACACUAAGUCCGGCUCCAGACACAGUUUGAUCCAGCCGAUAGGAAUGUUAUCGGCACUUAAACUUUUAUGCAUCGACCCAUAUGCUCAGGUAAUAUUUCUUUAGAUAUUUGCCAUUUAAUGCCCUGGGAAAUUCAACUCCUUCGAGAGUUUCUAAGAUAUAGGUGUUGACGGUCCUUAAGUACUAAAAUUAAUAAUCAAAUAAACAUGAAAAAGGAUCAAUAUGAAACAAACAUCUAGAAUUAGGGUUUUAUCUGAUAGAAUUCCACGAGCUUUGGUGUUUAUCUAUUUCUACAGGGGGUUAUCAGAGAAUAUGGAGAGAAGGCCCACAUGUCAUGUUUACAACGAGAUAAUUACAUGCCGCGCAAUUUUCUUCAAUCUAGAAAAGUCCAGAAGCCACGGGAACGAACGAGAAGGGAAUCGGGCUCGGGGGCGGGGCGCCCGCCCACCCCCCUUGGGCGCCCGCCCUGGCCAGGAGUUGGAUCAGGACUCUGCUUCGGGGCUAAACUCCACCAACCUAAAGGAUCAAUCUAAAUCAUACAAUCAAUGUCGGUUUGAUCUGACGGCCCACAUUCACUUGAAGGGACUAUAAAACCAAGGCCUCUCCCCCCCGGAGGAGAGAGGAGAAGAGAAGAAAUCAUUAUUCAGAGGUAGCCAUCAAAGUUAGGGGUUUAGAGCUUCUCUCCCACAGAGAAUUAGAAUUAGCUACUCCCUAAUCCUUCAAGUUUAGAGGUUUGAUUAGAUAGCAAUUAGAGAAGUAGAGCACUACGCUCUGGAUUCGGAUCUUCGGUAAUAAAGAUUGGUAUUAUUCAUAUCUUUCUCUAAUUCUUUGUUCUAAUUGCAUUAUGUCUCUAAUUAUUAUGUUCUUAGUUUGCUCUAGUUCUAUAUUUGAUAUAGUUCUAAUUGAUAAUGAGUUUAUGUAUAAGUUUGCAAAGCGCUUAGCUCUUGACGCGAGGGAGUUAGGUGAUAGAUCACAUGUGAGCGUGGUUCUUAGAUGUUAUUUAUCUGCAAAUGUAUCCUAUUGGCCGGGUCAUGUGGUAGUUCGCGAUAGUGACAGUUUCGUUGAUUCUUAUAUAGUCCACCCUCCGUUGAUAGGACAGGCAGAACCGAUAUUGUGGAGUAAGUCUUGCGAUGCUUUGAUUUACUUUAUCAAUGUUCCUUAUACAUGAAUGAAGAGUAUUUUAUGCUAUAUAUGAUCUUGUAGAUAACUAGAGUAGAUUAUGACUUAGUAGUUAGUAGAUAACUUAGAAUCCAUUCUCUAGCUAAUCCGACAUCACCUACAUAUAUGAGGAGUAGUCUAUUUUCUAAUCGUUGUGUUAUUUAUCCCUUGAACUUAUAAUUCAUUAUCAUUAUCUUUAUGGUUUACCACCUGCUAAAGUAAGUGACUGUGUGGCGAGUUUCUCAUUAGUAAUCAUGUUCUUGCAAGUUUAUCUCUAGUCUAUGCCUUGAUAGAUUUUGCCCUUAAUUUAAUCUCCUUAGUUCUCUCGAGCAAAAUUAUAAAUAACGAUACCUGGAAUACUUAUCCUGGUGAAAUGCUACAAUGAGGUGUUUUAUCUAUGCUCUUGCGGAUAGAAUAGAUUAUUUUCUAGAGAGCCUUUACAUUUAUAAAUACCGUUGUACACUAUGGCACCAUGCUGGGGAUGACAACCUAUUAUCUAAGUGGUGUUAGCUAGUGUCAACAAGCAUUUCUGGCGCCGUUAUUCAUAUAAAAUAUUAGACUAGACUAUAGAGAAAUAAUUGCAUAAAAACAGCUACUAAGUGAGAAAUCAUAACAAGGCACCUCUGCUUUGGCAGGUUCACCCUGUUGUUUUUCUAUGUUUAUAUUUUUAUAUAGGGUAUAUCAGGAUUGACUUUGGGUACAUGCAACUCUUCAUUAUGAGAACCAAAGCAAUCAAGAGAAGAAGAAGCUAGCUACCAAUUGCUGAAGCUAUGGCACAGAAGACCCUACAAGAAUUCUCUGCUCCAAGCCUUAAGAACAUUCCAACUGGUCCAAGAUUUUCAGUAGAAGGAGUACCUGAGUUUGAGCUCAAGUCAAGCCUCAUCAAUUUGGUGCAAGCUACACAAUUCAGUGGCAAGGCACAUGAAGAUGCUAGUGCACACUUGCAGAAUUUCUUAGAGAUUGGAAGCACAAUCCACAUCAACGGAGUUGACAAAGAUGUCAUACUGCUUUGCCUUUUUCCAUUCUCACUAGAAGGGAAAGCGAGGAAGUGGUUCUACACUCAUCAAGAUAACAUCAACAACUAGACGAACUUGUCAGAAGCCUUUCUAUCAAAGUUUUUCCCUAUAGGCAAAACAACUGCCUUAAGAGGAAAUAUUGUCAGUUUCCAACAACAGAAGACAGAAGCCAUUUCAGAAGCAUGGGAGCGUUUUCAAGGAUACAUAUCAGACUGUCCUCAACAUGGAAUGGCGACAUGGUUACUUAUGCAGACCUUCUACCAUGGAUUAACCUAGAAGGCUCGUGAGUGCCAAGAUGCAUCUGCUAAAGGAUCAUUCUUGGAGCUUACAACUGGAAAAGCAGAAAUACUUUUGGAUAAGAUAGCAGAAAAUCAAAGCUGGUUCCAAGAUAAAGCUCAACAGUGCCAUCAAACUGAAGAAAUACCAGAAGAAGUAAAUGCAUUAUCAACUAAGAUGGAAAAUUUGCUCCAUUGGAUUGACCAAAGGGCCAAGAUCAAAGAAGAUCAAAGGGCCAUUCAGACAGCAUACAAAUAUCAACCAACUUCGAGUCAACCCAAUAGCAAAGGUAAAGAAUAUAACUACUAGAGGAGGCAAAGCCACCAGAGAUCCCCCAUACCCAAAAGAGAAACAAAGAACAUCAGCACCAGUGCAACCAGCAGUGAUAGAAGAAGAAAGCCCAGUUGAAGCAGAAGAUCUGCUACAACCACCAAGAACUGGAGAAAUGAGGAAAGAUUUUUACGACACCAACUAUUUGCCAUUUCCCAGAAGAAACACAGGACUGCAGUCGGAUGAACAGUUUGGUAAGUUUGUAGAGGUCAUUCAGAAAUUAUAUGUCAACAUACCUCUGCUCGAUGCCAUACAGGUACCUACAUAUGCAAAGUACAUCAGAGAUAUUCUUAACAAGAAGAGACCACUGCCCACCACUGAGGUUAUCAACCUGACAGAAGAAUGUAGUGCGGCCAUCCUCAAUAAGCCACCAAAGAAGAAGGAAGAUCCCGGAUGUCCCACUAUUGACUGCUCGAUCGGAAACCAACACUUCAACAAUGCACAUUGUGAUCUCAGAGCAAGUGUCAGUGUGAUGCCAGCAUCAGUCUACAAAAAGCUUGAGCAUGCGACCCUAGAACCAACAUCAAUGUGCCUACAACUAGCAGAUCAAUCGGUUCGACACCCGUUGGGCAUCGCCGAGAACAUUCUAGUCAAGAUCAGAGAUUUCCUGGUGCCAGUAGAUUUCGUAGUACUGGACAUGAGUCCCGACUCAAAAGUGUCCAUCAUCCUUGGAAGGCCAUUUCUGAGCACUGCCAAUGCCCACAUUGAUGUUGGGAAGGGAGAAAUUAAGUUCAACAUAAACGGUCAAGAAGAACACUUCACAUUCAAGCCCAGACCAGAGAGAGACCCUACAGUGAAGGAAGUUCAUGAAGAACCACUGGAGACACCAUCUCCGGAGGAAGGUAACUCAGAAAAUUAAAAGAUUUGGAGGUCCAGCUUGGGGGACCUAAAAAUCCCAAACCCUCACCGGGAGGUAAAUCGGUAUUUAUCCGCAUUAUUAAUUUUCUCAUAUUUAAAUUCUUGCAUAAUUAAUUCUUGCAUUAGUCAUAUAUAUUCAUAGCAUUAUUAUAAUAAUCAAAAGCCCCAUAUAAAUAAUAUUCAUGGUGUGUAACAACCCAUAUUUAUUAAUUAUUAUGGAGGCACAAAAAAAUAUUUUCCAUUAUCAUUUUAAUUUUCAAUUCUCAUAGAUUUUCCUGCAUUAUAUUUAAUUAUAGUAACCUUCUAGAAGCAUGACCCACACUCUUUGGGUCCCACAUGUCAUACACUUCACCUCACAUACAUCCAUCACAUAAUUUCAUCCACCAAUAUGUUUCCACUCACCAGACAUCUUUCCACCGUCCAACCACCACCAACACAAUAUUAUUCUGCGUGAGAUCAAAGCAAGGAAGCAAGUGGAGGAGGCACACCCAGGAUGGACACCAGGGGUGGGCGCCCGCCCACCUACCCAGGGCGCCCGCCCUGUCCCCUGCUCAGCUUAUAAAAGGCCACCUCCAGCUUCCCUUCUCUUCACACACACAUUUCAGAAAACCUUGCAAGCUCAGUUUCCAGAGAAUAGCUCUGAGUGUGAGAAAGUUGGGAGUUCUUUUGAGUGAGAGAGUGAGUAUCACCUAGUAAGUAGUUGUCUAAGCGGAAGUAAAAGUUGUUUAGGGGGAGGUUCUGCCAAAAUAGAAACUUAUCUUGAACGACUAAACUACUGACAUUCCGGACAACUGACCACUAACAUUUUCUCUCACAUUUCCACUAGUUGUGUUUUUGCCAACUUUUGUUUACAGGAUGUUUAAGAAGGUGAAGAACGCAUGGAAGGCUCUCAAGAACAUUGGUACAAGGAGUUCAUCCCGACACUCCUCACACCCAUCAGAGAUGAGCGUCGAUCCGACACUCACACAGGCUCCGUCAUCUUCAUCUGGUCAGCAAGUUAAGGUCCUUCUCAAGAUAGGAGACCUUGGACUGAAGACCCGAAGAGAGAAGGAAGUCUAUCAGCAAUUGAAGAACAAAUAUUUCAUUCACACCCCUACUCUUGAUCCAAUCUUACUACAAGAAACAAGUAUGGACACUGAAUUCGACUUAAUUUUUCAGAUGAUAGGUUGGACAAAUUUUUGGAAUAUAACUGAACUGGGUUCUCGUCUUCUCACCCUCGAAUUUCUUUGCACUUUACAAUACUAUGAGGGGGGAAUUGUUUUUCAAAUGUUCAAACAGGAGAUUAUGUUGUCUUGGAUAGAGCUGAGCGACCAUCUUGGUUUCUCUUCAAGAUGCAUCCUGAACAUUGACUCCAAUUUACCCAACUUUGAGAGACACCAGUUUUGGAGAGAAAUAUCUAGAGAUAAUUUUUAUAGUUAAGCCCGAACCAGUGACAUGGAACACCCCACUCUUAGGAUGUUCCACAAAUGGCUUGGGUACAAUCUUUUCUAUCGCGAUGAUAUUAGGAAAAUAAGAGUAGGAGAUUUACAACUUUCAUAUGCUGCUAUUAAUAAAGUACCCACUUCACCUAUUACACUAUUAAUUUCUCAUUGGCUUAGUGUACGUAGUCUUCAGGGACCAGUAGGAUGUACUUCACUUAUCACUCGUCUAGCCUUUAAUCUUCACUUACUAGAAAACUCAUCGUUGGACUUCAUAGAUGAGUUAAGAAUUUAUCAUGGCUAUGACAUAUUUAGACAAGUUCGGAUGUUAAAGAAAGAAGGGAAUGUAAUGUAUAUGCUAUAUGAUGAUAAAGGCAAGAUUCGGUUACCUAACCCGAAGCUUGGCCUCUAUGUUGUGCAAAACUUUUUGAUUGAGAUUGCAGCAACACCAGUGAACCAGAGAACUCCACAGCGAUAACAAAACUACCUACCACAGCCAUACUUGCUAUAACAUCUUUUACUAUAUUUACAUUGAGUUUGAUCGAGCUGUGUAGACCCUUAGGAGCUUUUCAUAUGGUUAAAUUUAGAUAUUCACUUGCACACAUCUACCACAACAUUCAUCACCAAUCAUUAAAAUUGCUAAAAAUAUUAUCACUCACUGUCCCAAGUAUUGUUAUACUCUCUAUCUAAAAAGAUUCAAUGCAGAAGAGGCAUGGGUUAUGCAAAAAUAUACGAGGAAAUAAAAAGGGGCAAGUGCCCGGAACCUCGAAAAAGAAAGAAAAAUAGUGAGACGAGAGGUAAAAAUGGACUAGUGUCCGAAGUAGAAUUAGGGGUACAAAGACGCCCACUUGAGUGAAAAAAUGAACAAGUGUCCGACAGUAGAAUUAGGGGUAUCUAUUACCCACCUGAAAAAAAAGAGAGAGAAAAAGAUAGCCCAUGUUCUCCCAAAGCAAAGAUCAAAGAGGAGGAGAGAUAGCAAUAUGAGGAGCAAUGAGAAGUAAGUUUUAUUAUCACUUAUAUAUAUCUUCACCAUCACUAUCAUUUAUUCCAUCACACAUGCACAUCUUGAUUUAAUUAUAUGCUGAGUUCCUUUGGAUCCAUGGCUCGAUUAGACAACAUAUGUAUGAGCUGUUCUUCACUCCUAUGAGCUCCACUUAAAUGUUUCAUUAGCUAUAGGUAAGUGACAUUGUGGUAAGGAUCCACAAAAACCACAUAUAAAGAGACUUGAGAGAUCAUUGCUGGGAACUCUGAGUUUUAUUUUGAAAACUUAUGAAAAACUCUAGAACAAAGGUGAAGUAUAGACAAGAGGAAUAGUGCUUGACUUAAUUAUUUUGUAUUUCGAUUACUUAAAACUUAAGUGCAGACACUAAGCUCUUUAACCCUUCACUCUAAUCUGGAAGAAUUUUUUAUGUAAAAGCAUGUGUGCCUGUGAGGAAAGAUAACAUCGAAGCAACUUCUGAUUCGUCUAAGUUUAGCUAUUUGCUCAGGGACGAGCAAAGGGUAAGCUUGGGGGAGUUUGUUGACGGUCCUUAAGUACUAAAAUUAAUAAUCAAAUAAACAUGAAAAAGGAUCAAUAUGAAACAAACAUCUAGAAUUAGGGUUUUAUCUGAUAGAAUUCCCCGAGCUUUGGUGUUUAUCUAUUUCUGUAGGGGGUUAUCAGAGAAUAUGGAGAGAAGGCCCACAUGUCAUGUUUACAACGAGAUAAUUAUGUGCCGCGCAAUUUUCUUCAAUCUAGAAGAGUCCAGAAUCCACGGGAACGAACGAGAAGGGAAUCGGGCUCGGGGGCAUGGCGCCCGCCCACCCCCCUUGGGCGCCCGCGCUGGCCAGGAGUUGGACCAGGACUCUGCUUCGGGGCUAAACUCCACCGACCUAAAGGAUCAAUCUAAACCAUACAAUCAAUGUCGGUUUGAUCUGACGGCCCACAUUCACUUGAAGGGACUAUAAAACCAAGGCCUCUCCCCCCGUAGGAGAGAGGAGAAGAGAAGAAAUCAUUAUUCAGAGGUAGCCAUCAAAGUUAGGGGUUUAGAGCUUCUCUCCCACAGAGAAUUAGAAUUAGCUACUCCCUGAUCCUUCAAGUUUAGAGGUUUGAUUAGAUAGGAAUUAGAGAAGUAGAGCACUACGCUCUGGAUUCGGAUCUUCGGUAAUAAAGAUUGGUAUUAUUCAUAUCUUUCUCUAAUUCUUUGUUCUAAUUGCAUUAUGUCUCUAAUUAUUAUGUUCUUAGUUUGCUCUAGUUCUAUAUUUGAUAUAGUUCUAAUUGAUAUUGAGUUUAUGUAUAAGUUUGCAAAGCGCUUAACUCUUGACGCGAGGGAGUUAGGUGAUAGAUCACAUGUGAGCGUGGUGCUUAGAUGUUAUUUAUCUGCAAAUGUAUCCUAUUGGCCGGGUCAUGUGGUAGUUCGCGAUAGUGACAGCUUCGUUGAUUCUUAUAUAGUCCACCCUCCGUUGAUAGGACAGGCAGAACCGGUAUUGUGGAGUAAGUCUUGCGAUGCUCUGAUUUACUAUAUCAAUGUUCCUUAUACAUGAAUGAAGAGUCUUUUAUGCUAUAUAUGAUCUUGUAGAUAACUAGAGUAGAUUAUGACUUAGUAGUUAGUAGAUAACUUAGAAUCCAUUCUCUAGCUAAUCCGACAUCACCUACAUAUAUGAGGAGUAGUCUAUUUUCUAAUCGCUGUGUUAUUUAUCCCUUGAACUUAUAAUUCAUUAUCAUUAUCUUUAUGGUUUACCCCCUGCUAAAGUAAGUGACUGUGUGACGAGUUUCUCAUUAGUAAUCAUGUGCUUGCAAGUUUAUCUCUAGUCUAUGCCUUGAUAGAUUUUGCCCUUAAUUUAAUCUCCUUAGUUCUCUCGAGCAAAAUUAUAAAUAACGAUACCUGGAAUACUUAUCCUGGUGAAAUGCUACAAUGAGGUGUUUUAUCUGUGCGCUUGCGGAUAGAAUAGAUUAUUUUCUAGAGAGCCUUUACAUUUAUAAAUACCUUUGUACACUCUGGCACCAUAAUGGGGAUGACAACCUAGUAUCUAAGUGGUGUUAGCUAGUGUCAACAAUAGGCGUUGCCAGGAGCAGAUCGAUUUAUCCGAUAGGGACCCUCUCAAUUAGGAGACCACUUCCCAAAUUUUGAACUUUUAGUCCCGAUCGGUAAUACUAGCUUCCAUACUAAGUCUCCAUCGGCAAACUCCUUAGCUUUUACCUUCUUAUCAUACCUUCUAGCAACUCUCUUCUUAUUUUCUUCUAUACUCAUCAGAGCCCUUAGUCGAUGCCUUGCUAGAUCAUCCAACUCGUCUGUCAUCAAAGUAGCAUAAUCAUUGGCAGCCAAUUGAUCUUGUAAAGAUAGCCGCCUAGACCCAGUCUUAAUUUCCCAAGGUAACACUGCAUCAUGCCCAUACACCAAUUGAUAAGGCGAAACUUUGUUCGAUCCAUGACAAGCCAUCUGAUAUGACCAUAAAGCUUCAUUUAACAACGUGUGUCAUCUCCUAGGAUUUUCUUCAACCUUCCGUUUAAUGAGCUUGAUGAUUCCUUUGUUAGAUGCCUCGGCCUGCCCAUUAACUUGAGCAUAAUAAGGAGAAGAAUUUAAUACUUUAAUUCCCAUACCGACUGCAAAAUCAUCAAACUCCCCUGACGUAAACAUAGUACCCUGAUCGGUAGUAAUUGUUUGAUGAAUUCCAAAUCGGUAGAUAAUAUGCUCUUUCACAAAAUCAAUCAUAUUGGCCGAUGUAACUUUCUUCAAAGGAAUAGCUUCAACCCAUUUGGUGAAAUAAUCGGUGGCAACCAAAAUAAAUUUAUGUCCUUUGCUGGAUGGCAGAUAAAUCUGGCCGAUCAAGUCAAUAGCCCAUCCUCGGAACGGCCAAGGUUUAAUAAUGGGAUUCAUGGCCGAUGCGGGUACCCUUUGAACAUUGCCAAACUUUAGACAUCCUUGACACCCAUUGAAAUACUUAAAACAAUCCUCAAGUAUAGUCGGCCAAUAAUACCCAUUUCUUCUGAUCAUCCACUUCAUCUUAAAUGCCGACUGAUGUGCUCCACACACUCCCUCAUGGAUCUCUCCCAUCAAACUUCUAGCCUCAUCAUCACCUAAGCACCUAAGAAGAAUCCCAUCAAUAGUCCGAUAAUAUAACUCAUCUUCAAGGAGCACAUACUUGGUAGCUUGAAACCGAACACGUCUCUCAACUUUCUUGGACGGAUCCUUUAAAUAAUCAAAGAUUUCUUUUCUCCAAUCAUCGGCACUGAUUGCCGAUACUGUGUUUAUCAUGGGCUGAUAUCCUGAGGCAUGCUGAGCCAAUCGAUUAGCCUCUUCAUUAUGCAACCGAGGAACAUACUCUAAUCGGAAAUCCUUGAAUUCCGUUAACAGUUGCAUACUCCUUUCGUGAUAAGUUAUCAGGACUUCGCUUCGGCAUUCAUAGCUUCCAGCCAAUUGAUUUAUAACCAGCAUAGAAUCCCCAAAGAUUUCAACAGCAUCAGCAUGAACUUCCCUUAGUAUUUCCAAUCCCUUUAUCAAAGCUUGAUACUCAGCUUGAUUAUUUGUUGACGUGGCAACAAUCGGCAAGGAGAACUCAUACUUCUUUCCCCGAGGGGAAAUUAACACUAUGCCGAUCCCUGCCCCCGGUCACACGUGGAUCCAUCAAAGAAGAGCGUCCAAGGUACAAUUUCCAAAGUCUCCACUGUACCGCAAUGUUGAGUUACAAAAUCGGCCAUAAUCUGUCCCUUAACCGCUUUAGCCGAUUCGUAACGCAAAUCGAAUUCCGACAGUGCCAAAAUCCACUUACCGAUCCUACCACUCAUAAUCGGCAUAGACAGCAUAUAUCAGACCACGUCAUCUUUGCAUAUGACAGAGCAUUCUGCCGAUAACAAAUAGUGCCUCAACUUAAUAAAUGAGAAAUAGAGACACAAACAUAACUUUUCAAUGGCCGAAUAUCUGGUCCCAGCAUCAACCAAUCUCCUGCUUAAAUAGUAAAUCACACGUUCCUUCCCUUCAAAUUCCUGAAUUAAAGCCGAACCGAUGACCAUCCCAUCGGUAGACAAAUACAACCUGAAGGGCUUUCUUUGCUGAGGUGGAAUCAGAACUGGAGGAUUUACCAAAUAAUUCUUGAUUUCAUCUAAGGCCAAUUGUUGCUCUUUCCCCCAGACGAACUCUUGAGCGGCUUUCAACUUAAGUAAAGGACUGAAAGCACGAAUUUUACCAGACAAAUUAGAUAUAGACCUCCUAAUAAAAUUUACCUUGCCGAUCAAGGAUUGAAGCUCAGUCUUGUUGGUAGGAGCAACUAUUUUGUUGAUAGCAUCAAUGGAUCUCCAACUAACUUGAAUCCCCCUUUGAUGCACCAUGAAACCAAGGAAUUGUCCUGCCGAUACACCAAAUGCACACUUAUUGGGAUUCAUCUUUAAACCGUGCUUCCUUGUGCAUUCUAACAUCUUUCGCAAAUCGCCAAGAUGCUUUAUGAAGUCUCCAGACUUAACCACCACAUCAUCAAUAUAAAUUUCCACCAGCUUGCCGAUGAACUCAUGAAAUAUAAAAUUCAUAGCCCUCUGAUAAGUAGCACCAGCAUUUUUCAAGCCAAAGGUCAUGACUAUCCAUUCAAACAACCCAACAUGACCAGGACAUCUAAAUGCAGUCUUUGGAAUAUCCUCUUCAGCCAUGAAUAUCUGAUUGUAUCCUGCAUUGCCAUCCAUAAAGCUGAUGAUCUGAUGCCCAGCCGUAGCAACAACUAGUAGAUCAGCAACUGGCAUUGGAUAGCCAUCCAUCAGUGUAGCUUUAUUAAGAUUUCUGAAAACAAUGCAGACCCGAAGCUUCCUAUUUUUCUUGUAAACCGGAACAACAUUGGAAAUCCACUCGGCAUACCGACACUGCUGAAUAAAUUUAGCUUCAAUAAGUUUGGUUAUUUCAGCCUUAAUAUCAGGAAGAAUAUUAGGAUUACAUCGGCGAGCUGGCUGUUGAUGUGGCCGAAAUCCAGACUUGAUAGGCAACCGAUGUUCAACAAUCGAUCGGUCCAAACCAGGCAUCUCUGUAUAAUCCCAAGCAAAGCAAUCUUUAUAUUCUUUUAACAAAUCGGUUAAUUGCUGCUUACACUCAGAAUUUAACUUAGCUCUAAUAAAAGUAGGUCUAGGCUUAUCACCACUACCUAUAUCUACUUCUACCAAAUCAUCGGCCUAUGUGAAUCCCUGGCCCAAUUUUCCAUCAUCGGCGAACCUAUCCAUUAAAACCCUUCAUCAGAACUCACUGCUUGGACCGGUGGAAUUUCAUAAUCAGCAACUUUGAGAAAAUCCUUCUCCCAAAUCUCUCUCGAGAUACACCUAGUCCUUUCAUAAGUGUCUGCUUCUACCGAUGCAAUGACAUAAGAAGAAUCCCCCGGUACAAUCUCAAUCUUGUCACCUACCCACUGGACCAAGCACUGGUGCAUUGUAGAUGGGAUGCAACAAUUGGCAUGAAUCCAAUCUUUUCCACUGAUCACGAAGAAAGUUGUCGGCAAGGUUUUGCUGCCAAUGGUCAACUCAACGCAUAUUGCCCCCUUAACCAGAGACACAUUUCCCUCGAAGUCCUUUAACAUCAUAUCGGUCUUGGUCAAAUCUUGAUCCCCUUUUUCAAGCUUCCGAUAUACUGCGUAUGGCAUGAUGUUGAUAGCGGCUCCACCAUGAAUUAAUAUCUUGGUCAUUGGCUGACCAUCAACCCUUCCUUUGACAAACAAAGCUUUAAGAUGCUGCCUUUUGUUGAUAUUUGGUAACGCAAUAAGGAAAUGAUCCGCAAGCGCAUGGAUAUCGGUGAGCAUUUCACCCGGGAGGUUUUCCAGAGUAUCGUAUUUAUAUUUUUACCACUGGGAGAAAGGGUGCAUCUGACUAACCAAAUCUAUUGCUACUACCCCUUUAGGCUACAAAGAAUGUUUCUCGAUGUGAGUGAUGUAUAGAGAAGACUGCAACCGUAGUCUCGUUCUAACCUUUGUAAGGAUGAUCUACUGUUCUAUUGGGAAAGCUUACGAAAUCUAGACACCACAAAGGAUGUUUGACCCGCACCUAUAAACCUACCCGUCCUGCUAACAAGAUAUGGGAUACAAAGGUAACUCGGAAAUGUCACGUUCCUCGCUACUACCACGGUCCAGCUAGUCAGGGGAUAUCUAUGAGUACCCUAGCCUAAACACCACGUUUAGGCUAGCAAUGAUUACUCUAAUACUCAACCGGAAGAGGAUUAAAGUAAACUUAUAAACCAAAGAACAAUAAAACAAGAACUUACUAGAAUUAGAAGUCAAAUUACUGAAGAAUCUUAGAAGCAAGCCUCGUGUUAUGAGACUUGAUCCCACAGGUACAACUCGGAGUAGACACCGACAGGCCGGCCUUCCUCCGAUCUACACCUCCACUCUAUCUCUCUCAAUCUAGUAGAAACUAGAAGAUCUAUUUCUACUUACAUUGGUUGCUGUGCCUAAAAAGAAAUAUUAUUUAGAGAAGAGGUUUUCCUUCGAGGGCACCCCUCAAUCUCUAUGAUAAUUUCUUGUCUUCUCCAGGGGCCAGGGGGGGUCUCCUUAUAUAGUCCUCCACCUCUAUGCGUUUUUGGGUCGGUAGGCGAUGUGGUACUACAUUAUCCUUGAUCCAUUAGGUCGGUGGAACAUCGUGUGCGAAGAGAGUCCCGAACGGAGUCCAGGACAGGGCGGGCGCCCAGGGAAAGAGGGCGGGCGCCCUGGGCCUGGCCCCUUUCGGCCUCUGCUUUCUUCCCGUGGCUUCUAGAGUCUUCUAGAUGAUAGAAAAUUGCACGGUGCGUUGAUAUCUCUAUGUAAUCCCGACGUGUGGGCCUUUCUUCCUUAUUUCCUGAUAACCCCCUGCAGAAAUAGACAAACACCAAAACUCGUGGAAUUCUGUCAGAUAAAACCCUAAGUCUAGGUGUUGGUUGCAUUUGGAUCCUUUUCUUUAUUUAUUUGAUGAUUAUAUUUGGUACUUAAGGACCGUCAACAACUCCCCCAUGCUUACCUCUUGCUCGUCCCUGAGCAAGGAUGAACUCAAGAGUUUCUGCAGUGGUUUCAUGCCUUAAAAGUACACACGCAUUGAAGCAAGAUCUCAUCUCUGAGUUAGAAUAAACUGUUAAGACUUAAAACUUACUAAUUUUACCUUUCACCAUGGGGCUUGUAACCGUCACUUGUGUCUUGAGCAGUUAAAAGAUAGAACGGUCAAGUCAAGCACCAUGUCUCUUAUUUUUGAUCAGCUAUAGCUCUGGAGUUUUUGUAGAUUUUCAAAUAAAACUCAGAGAUUCCUUAUAUGACUCUCUCAAAUCUCUCUUUUGUGGUAUUUCUGGAUCCUUACCAGGGCAGUAAUGAUAUAUGCCUUCUCUCAAAGUAUGUGGUAUUUUUGGUAUAAUGCAUAGUGAUAUUGCCUUCUCUCUCACCCUACUCUAAUAAGGUUUUGAUAUAUGGAGCUCAUAGGUGGGAGAUAGAUAAUACAUACUUACAAGACAUUUAUUGCAUAGUCAAACCAUGGAUCCAGAGAAACAAGUCAAUAAGUCAAAUCAAGAUGUGCAUGUGUGGCGAGUGAAUGGUGUAUGGUCAUGAUGGUGAUAACAAUGGUGAAAGUCUAAUUCUACUUUUGCUCUUUUGAGGGGAUACAUACCUUUCUUGCACUUUGAAGCUUUUUCGGGAGAAUGAGAUGCUUUAUAUUUUAUUUUUCUUUCCUCUCAGGUGGGUAUCUUGUACCCCUAAUUAUACUGUCGGACACUUGUCCAUUUUUACUUCUCGUCUCACUUUUUCUUUUCUUCGAGGUUCCGGGCACUUGCCCCUUUUUAUUUUCUCGUAUAUUUUUUUCCCUUUUUUCUUUCUCUUUUUUUAGAGCUCUCAUCUCCUGAAAUAAUGUAGCAAGUGGUAGUAACCAAAAUAACUGGAGCAUUUAUUUCACAGGGAAUAACAGGGAUAGGAAAAUGUUUUUGGCUGUUCUCUCCAGGAUUAGGAGUAGAAUAAUUUUAGGUGAAUCUGGAGUUGGAAAUGAGUGGAUAUAUGUGGAUGGUACUUCUGGAGUAGAAGUAACAUGUAUGAGUGAACGUGCAAGUGAAUCUUGAUUUUAACCACAUGACAAGCUCCUAAGGGUCUACACAGCUUGACCACACUCAAUGCUCAUAAGCAGUAAAAAGUAAAUAUGUGGCUCAAAGUCUAGCAAGCAUGUAUAUAUGGCUGUGGUAGGAAUUUAAACUCUCAUCAUAUAGGAACUCAUCAUGUGAUAUUUUAAAGAUUUUUCAAAGAUAAAAUUCUCCAGAAUUCUAGCAUCUCUAGGAACAGAUAAACAGCAGCUCAACCUUCCCAUAUUGUAUCCGCUAACAACUUAGACUUUAGAUCAAGUACUCUUCCCACAAGUUUAGGUUUAGAGCAAGCUUUAAAUUAUAACAGUUAUGCCUAAACUUGAGAGAGAUUUCAAUAUUUAGAACUAGUCAUAGAAGAGCAACUAUUCAUCAUUUCCAUGUGAGAGCUUAUCAUGAGGGUUCAUAGCAAACUUUAUUUAUUUAUUUAUUUAGCAAACUAAGCAAAGAUAUAUAUAAAAGCACAAAAUCUUUAUUUGGGUUUUUAUGAUUAUGCAUCGUUUUAUUAUUUGAGUAAAGUAUAAAGCGAGUAGAAACACUUAGCUGGAUAAAUGGGGGUGCUCUCCCCCAAGCUAGAUUUUGACGUAAUUUCUUCAAAUGUAGCUAGUAGGUGAUGGAGGUGUAUUUGAAUGUCGGUAGCACCCUGACAGCGAUUAGGAUGUCCUCCGUCUGCUAGUCUUCUUUGAUCCUUGAAUUCUGUGGAGCUCAAAUAGACAACAAAGCUUUGUGGAACUGGUUAAGUGUUAGCAUAAAUAUCUAGCCUUUAUCAUGUUGAGCCUCCUCAAUAAAUGUUACUUAUUUAGCAGGAUCAUGCACAUAUUAUUUUUAUAUUUUUAUUCUAAGAUGAAAACUUAUUUAUUUUAUUUUUAUGCCACCACAGUGAAUGUACUUAUGGGUUUUAUGCCAUGAGCAUACUCACAUGGGGCUUACUAUUUUUUAACAUUUUUAUUUUCUUUUCAAGAUAGCAUGAACCUGAUUAACUAAGGAAACUAUAAUUGAAUAAUUGAAAGGAAAAGGAUAACUACCAAGUUUACCUCUUGGCAAGGCGUUCAGUGUUUUUUAGUCCUCCGAAUGGGACUCCUUGUGUUUUCAGUCGUCCUAGGAUUCGCUAGGUGGCGUAGUCGGUGAUUCCAGCGGCGCCUCUUCUUCGUGUAUAACUAUCUUCUCUUUCCACACCUGACUCGGUGCUACGGUCUCCUCAGGACAGUUCUGUUCAAGCUGUAUGUCUUCCGACCUUACCACUUCUCCUUCGUAAUCUGCUCAUCCGUCCAUGACGAUUUGCCUCCUCUGGUUGCGGUUGCGUUAUCUUCUUCUUGUCCUGACCUGCUUAGAAUCUUCAACUAUAUAGUUAGAAUCAUUAGAGUAGUGGCGUACCUUCUUAGAGGGGAAGUGCAUGUGGACUUCUCCGGUUCCAAUAUAGAUGAUGGCUUUGAUAGUGUUGAGGAACAGUCUUCCAAGGAUGGUGGGUGGAUCGUACUCGUCUUGUCUCAUGUCAAUGAUCUGAAAAUCAUUUGGAGCUGAAUAUAUAUUGGUUGUAGGGGCAUGGUUCCAUGCAGGAGCUGAUAAGUGACUGCGACCAUUAUGUUGUCGUCAGAUCCGGUGUCGUAGAGUGUCUUCUAAAAAGAGUAUCCAUUGAUUGUGCAUUCGAUGCUUGGAACACCAGGGUCGUCCUUCUUGAUCAAGAAAGGUGACUUGAGUCGACGAUCUUGACCUCCUUGAGCUGCAGUGACUAUCUUAGCUGACUCGGUCCAGAUUUGCUUGUUCCUGUUCCUCCUGUUGGUCCUCUUCCUUGGUUCAUGUCGGGAUUGCUCUGAAGUUUGUGUAGUCUUGUUCUCGAAGGAAAGUCUCCUUCUUCCCCUUGAUGUAGAGACUGAUCUUGGCAUCAUUAGCGUAGAUGACAGCUCUAGUGUUUAGGAAUGGCCUCCCUAAGAUGAUGGGUGCCCUCUCCUCAGUACCAGUCUCUAUCACCACGAAGUUUGCUGGAGCGUACAAGGUACCAACUCGGACACAGAGGUUCUUCAAUAUUUCCUUUGGGAAACUAAGUGCCUGAUCUCCAUUGUGUUUGUGCUCGUAGAUCCCGGCUCUUCACUUGGUGGAAUCUGGGAGUUGUAAAACUCCUCCGUGUUUUGCUUGAAGUGUACCUGUUCAUAGAGACAAGGCAGAGAUCAAGUGCAUAGGCCCUGUUGGUGGAAAACACCAACAGAACCAGAAGUGUAAUUGUUCUUCUCUAACCUUAAGCAUAGUGAGCAAGACAAAGUUGAUGGAUAAUAAGAUCAUGAGUGUAGUAUUUAAAACAUUUGUCAGAUCAGAUUGAUCGACCUAAUGUAAAGAUAAUCUAUCUAUGUAUAUGUCUUAUUUCUUUAUAUCUUCCCAAAGAUUGAAUGUGCAACAUUUUAGCUUAUAUGAUUGGGAGUGUGAGAUCACGAAGGUAUCACUAAGAACAAAGAUUAAAGGACUAAACAUGUUGAAUUAAUUUAGUUGGUUAAUUUGGAGUUACAGAUCAUACAUGUAGCUAAAAGUGCAUUAUCUUCUUGAUUAAAAGAUAGGACCUCAGCUAUAGAAAAGGGUUGGUUUUGACCUAUUGCAAUCAACUCCGGACUCAGAUCAUAAUUAGGGGCAGGACUUGUUGACUCCCAUGGUCUAUGGUUGGUCUCUGAAGGUGCAAGAAAUUCAAUAAUAGGUAUGGAAUUUAAGUUAUCCAUAAAGAUAAAAAUAAAAAGAUAAAGGAAAAAAAGUAUAAAAGUAUAAUACAAGAUAAUAGCAAGAUUCAAAGUUAUCUCAGCAAACCGUCUUUCUCCCCGGCAACGGUGCCAGAAAUGCUUGUUGAUAUUUGGUAACGCAAUAAGGAAAUGAUCCACAAGCGCACGGAUAUCGGUGAGCAUUUCACCCGGGAGGUUUUCCAGAGUAUCGUAUUUAUAUUUUUACCACUGGGAGAAAGGGUGCAUCUGACUAACCAAAUCUAUUGCUACUACCCCUUUAGGCUACAAAGAAUGUUUCUCGAUGUGAGCGAUGUAUAGAGAAGACUGCAACCGUUGUCGGUGUUUUCCCCACGGGGGGUCACACCAAUGAGUAAAUUUGUAUGCGUGCUCCCUUUCCAAGAUGGUGAUGUAGGAAGGCACAGAGAUUUAUCCUGGUUCGGGCAAGAGAAGGCCCUACGUCCAGCGGGGGGAGAGAGUUUGUAUUAUCUUGCACCUAAGUGCUUGUACAGGGGUGAAUACAAGCGCAGUAUGAAGUGUGUCGUUCUACUGCGUAUGAGCGUGGUGUUAUAUAUUGUGUUCUGUUCCUGAGUCCCUCCUUUUAUAGUUCCAAGGAGAGACCCAGGGUACAUGUAUAGGCGUCAGAAUAGGAGUCGAUAGCAGUAUGGAGCGCUGACCUACUCGAGGCUUCCGUACCGACAUAGACUCGAGCCGUCCCGUCUUAAUAGCCUGGUGAUGAUUACGCGUGCCUCUGCAUUCUGCUCUGCGCGCCGUCUUGUACUGGUUCAACGGUCGCAUGCUCGUACGGUUUGGUGGCAAAUCCGGCGGAGUGGUUGCGGCGUGACCAAUCGACGUUCGACCGUCCCCAGGAAGGAACCAUGUUAAGUCGAGGGUCGGACGCCGUACGACGUCCUGACGUCGGAGCGCUGACCUUGGCUACCUCGAGGGGGUCUUGAUUAGAUGUGCCAUCUCUGUUUCCCACGUCCUGACACGCCCUGGGCCGUUUGGUGGGGAAGGCUGCAAAAAGAUCGAUGGGACGGAUGCCUGUUCCCUAUCACGCCUCCCGUGACCCGUGUGUUAGGUGGGGAAGCAUCAGGCGCAUUUAAUGCCCCGGCUCGCGUGCGCGUGUCAGGCGGCGGGCGGCGUCCUUGCGCUCGACGCCUCCCGGUUCGCGUGAGCCUGUUCCGUAUUCGACGGUAACCAGAGCUCGACGCCUGAUUGAUUCGCUUGACGCUAUUUCCGUCUUCGAGGCUGUGGCCGUCGAUGGCUGCACAUACGUACGGAUGGAGCGUCGAAUCAAGGGUCUCGUCCUACCUACGGAUAACCUCGUUAUAUGUAUUGGUGAGGGUACCCCUUGUUGAUACCCUCGACAGUAGCCCCUGAGUCUCCAUUCGAGCGCUGGCGCUCGAGUGGAGACUUUUGCCUUUACGGUCGAACUUCCGUGGGGGCGCGCGAGCGACCCCGCGGGGGUAGCCCUCGAGCCCUCGAGGGAGUUUUUAACUCCUUCGAGGGUUAUUUUGCCAAAUUCGCAGAAACGCUGUCGACACCAGUGGUGGAAGGUUCUGAUCGGCUUUGCCUUGCGUGGAGGUUUCGACGUACUCUCGAUAGAGCGAGCGUCUUCCCCCCAGAUUGAGUUCCUAGCGGGUAGUCCAAGUGAGAACGUGUGCCCUUUUCGAGGGGGUCAGCUGUAGCCCGGAGGCGUUCUCAUAAAGCUGGGUUGACGUGGUCGGGGAUACCGGUCUCAUUCGAUAGAGUCCAGCGGCUCGAUGCCUCCCGUCGGGGGGAUUCCUCUCGACUGUCUCGACCCUACCUUGGACAUCGCCAGCGAGUCUUCGAGGCGGACCUCGAUCUUCGACCGCUCGCUGGAGAUCCCUGACUCUGGUGCUCGAGAUCGGCUGUCGAACCCUUUCGGUGGGCCAGCCUGCGACCUCUCGAGGCUUUCGCGGGUACGCCCCUUGGCUUACAAGGGAAGGAAGUGGCCGUGGCGGUUCGCCUUUUUGCCCGUUGGGCGCACCUUUUUAGGCGGGUGACGUUAUGACAUUGUAUCUGCAUGGAAUUCGGAGCGCCCGGCCUGCGAAGGGGGAAAGACUGUUAGGUAGCGCAUUUAUGGGGGGACGUUACCUCAUUUCUCGGAUCUGUCCGUUGGCAGAUCUUGGCUUAUAAAUACGCCGCGGCACCGCCGCCGUUCUUUCUUCUGCCUCCCAUCUUCACUCUUGCCUUAGCCUUCUUGCCUCCCUAGCUCUCUCGCCAUCUCACGCGCACACGACUCCUCGAGCAGUAGCGGGUCCACCGUCCCUCCGGUCGUGAUGCCUGUAAGACUCGUCGCCGCCGACGACUGGCGCCCGUCGUCGAUGAUGGAGCGCCGGUUGUUAGAGCUCGAGAAAGAGGGACUGCUGCGCCGCCGUACCUCGUUAUCGUCGCCAGAGUGGAUCGCGCCGCCGGCGAAUCACAGGGAGCCCCAGCCGCCCGAGGGCUACGUGGUGUCGUUCGCCAAGUUCCACCGCCAUGGCCUGGGUGCGCUCCCUAGCCGCUUCAUGCGGGCCCUCUGCUUCCACUAUGGGGUGGAGCUCCAGCACUUCUCCCCGAACGCCAUCACCGUUGCGGCGGUCUUCGCCGCCGUGUGUGAGGGCUACUUGGGGAUGAUGCCGCACUGGGAGCUGUGGCUCCACCUCUACAGGGGCGAGCUUUUCCAUGCCCCCACCGGAACCACGGGCGUAAGGAAGCCUGUGCGGGCGGGAUGCCUCAACCUUGUGCAGAAGACGGGGAAGACGGACAGGCCGCGGGAGUACAUCCCGGUAGGGUUAUCGACCAACCACGCCGGCUGGGACUCCCAGUGGUUUUACCUUCGGAACGACGACAACCUCCUGCCUUCCUACUCGGGCCGUCUGAUUAUGGAGCGUCCAGCGGACUGGACAUACGGCGUCGUCCAAGCUCAUCAAUCUCGGCUCGACCCCCUCCUCGACGCCAUGAAGAAGCUACGCUCGGAGGGCUUGACCGCCGCCCUCGUCCUCUCGGCCGUCCAUCACCGGAGAGUUCUCCCUUUGAUGUCUCGGCCGUUGAGGAUGGAUGAGAUGGGCCCUGGCGUCUCAUCUUGGGACCUCGAGGCGUGCCGGAUGUCCAACGAGGCUCCGGCGGAUGACGAAGUCGCGGCCCGAGUCAGGGCUGCAAUUGCCGGUGAUUUUCAGCCGGAGCAUGUUAACGGCUUCCCCAUGAGGCCAGAUGCUGGCUCGAUCGACCCGGUAUGUUUUCUCCAUGCGCGCAGCCUCGAUUCUGGGUUUCUUUUCCUCCCCUCUCUUUCUCUUUUCUAAGUCUGCCUUUAUUUGGACAGGGACGGAUUGACGUCCGGUCCUCGAGGCCUCCGAUAAAGGAGGACGAGGUCGAUCGCGACAAACGGCGCCAAUCCGCCGAAAAGCUAAAGUCCGCCAAGGACUCUACCAAGAAGGGGGAGAAGAAGAAGAACCUCGACCAUCAAGCGUUAGAGGCGCGUCGAGCAAAAUCCAGGCAGAGGGGGAGCCUGAGGAAGAAUCCCCCAACGACGAUGAUGACGACGGCGACGACAGCGACGAUUACGAGGGGAUGGCGUCACGCCUUGACCGAAUCCUCGAGGGUCCACCUCGAGGUGAUGUCGACGCUCCUCGGACGGAAGUUCCGACGGGGGGUCCAGGCGGAUCCCACCGUCCGCGCGCCGACACCCCUCCUGCGCCCGCGGCUGGUCAGGUCGCCCCGCGCCCUCCUCCCGUGCCCAAGACGGGUGGCCACGCUAGGUCCCAGGCGACGGGGCCACUGACUCGCGGUCGCGCCGCGGCCUCCGACAAAGGAGAGGCCGGUCGCAAGAUCGCCAGUCCCGGCGCCCGCCAGGCGGGAACUGACGCGCCUGGGCCAGCGCCUGCCCUCGAGGGGUCUGGAGCCCUGACGCGGGGUGGCUCGAGGCCCACCGGUCGGGGCGGCGGGAGGCGAGCUGUUCUCCUUGUGGGGUAAGCCUUUUCGAUGUCGUGGCUUUUGUCUUCCUCCUCUUCCGCCUUUCCUCAUAUGCUGAUCUUUUUCGCGCUCAUUUCUUUCUUUUCUCAGGCUAAAGCGGACCCUCGAGCAGGCCCAGCCGUCCAUGGCGAAGAGGCUUAAAGCGGGUGCCAUCCCCAAGGAGCCAGGUUUGUGGCUUACUUUUGGGAUCUAUGAUGCUCUUGCGCUAACCAUCGUAGUCACCGGCCUUUAUUCUUUAUUUUGUAGGCUCCUCCGACUUCCAACCUCCAGUAGGCGCUGAGAGUGCUCCGCCUCGUUCCGAGCCUACCCCGUCGCUGCCGGCGUGUGGUGAGGCGCCCCAGACGCAAGUGCCGGAGGGAGCCCCCGAGCCUCCUCGAUUGGGGGUCGAGGGGGAACCCAUCACCAUCAGUGAUAUGUCUGAUGGUAACGAAACGCCUGGAUGCGCCCGCCCUAUGGAGGAGGAAGCGUCGACCUCUCACGUCACGGGACCAACUCCCUGGCCCGUCAGCCUCCGCGCCCUCGAGGAGCAGAAGAAGAGGGAGGAAGAUGAAGAGCGGGAGCGUGAGGCGGCGCGGCAGCCGCAGGAGCGGGGCCGCGGGUGAGAGCCGCAGGAGCAUGAGGCGCAGCAACAGCAGCAGCAACAGCAACAGGAGCAGCAGGCCGGCCCCGGCCCCUGUUUUCAUGAUUGACCCAUCAAAAUACAUCGUCCGCAGCUCCGCCUGGACCUGAGUCGGGGGAACCUGGGAGUCUGUCCAAUCCGCGAUGAAGUCUACCAGGGCCUGCGAUUUGAUGGCCUUGCGAGGCGCGUAAGUGAGAGUCUCACUCAUGAGCUCGACCGACCAUUUUGCUAUUCUUCCCGUGGCCUCUUUGCUCUGGAUUAUUUCGCCUAAGGGGAAAGACGAGACCACCGUGAUGGGGUGGCCAAGAAAGUAGUGUUGCAGCUUACGGCGGGCAAGGAUUACGGCAUAGAUCAGCUUCUGGAUUUGGGGAUAACGUGCCUUGGUCUCCGAAAGCACCUCGCUGAUGAAGUAGACUGGCCUCUGGACUGGUAGCGCAUGUCCCUCCUCCUGCCUUUCGACCACCACCGCUGCGCUGACGACCUGGGUCGUCGACGCAACGUAGAGGAGCAGCGGUUCUGCAGGUUGAGGUGGGACAAGGACUGGUGCUGAGGUCAGCGUCUUCUUCAGCUUUUCAAGCGCUUCCUCGGCCUCGGGGGUCCAAGAAAAACGCUCGACGUUCUUCAAAAGUCGAUACAAUGGUAACGCCUUUUCUCCUAGUCUCGAGAUGAAACGGCUUAGAGCCGCCAGGCAUCCCGUGACUCUCUGCACACCCUUGAUGUCCCGGAUCGGCCCCAUUCUCGUGAUGGCUGAGACUUUCUCGGGGUUGGCCUCGAUGCCACGCUGCGAAACAAUGUAGCCCAGGAGCAUGCCUCGAGGCACGCCGAAAACGCACUUCUCGGGAUUGAGCUUGAUCUGGUUGGUGCGUAAAUAGCUAAAAGCGAUCUCGAGGUCCUGGAUCAGGUCCCCUCGCCGCUUUGACUUGACGACAUUGUCGUCGACAUAGGCCUCGACUGUCGACCCUAUGUGUUCACCAAAAACGUGGAGCAUGCAACGUUGGUAUGUAGCUCCCGCGUUUCAAAGCCCAAAUGGCAUGGUCACAUAGCAAUACAUCCCAAAAGGCGUGAUGAAAGAGGUCGCGAGCUGGUCGGACUCCUUCAUUUUUAUUUGGUGGUAACCAGAAUACGCAUCAAGGAAAGAAAGGGUUUCACAUCCCGCGGUAGAAUCGACAAUCUGAUCAAUACGUGGCAAUGGAAAAGGAACUUUUGGACAUGCUUUAUUUAGACUAGUAUAAUUGACACACAUCCUCAUUUUGCCAUUCUUUUUCUUAACUAAUACAGGGUUUGCUAACCAGUCGAGAUGAUGAACCUCCUUGAUGAAUCCAGCCGUCAAAAGCUUGUGGACUUCCUCGCCAAUGAUCUUGCGCUUCUCCUCGUCGAAUCGGCACAACCGCUGCUUCACUGGCUUGGAACCGGCUCGAAUCUCCAAGGAGUGCUCGGCGACUUCCCUCGGUAUGCCUGGCAUGUCCGAGGGACUCCAUGCAAACAUGUCGGCGUUUGCACGGAGAAAGUCGACGAGCACAGCUUCCUAUUUGGGGUCGAGAUCGGCGCUGAUCGUCAGCACCUUGCCGUCGGAGUUGUUGGGGUCGAGUGGGAUCUUCUUGGUUCCUUCUGCCACCUCGAAGCUGCCCGCGUGGCGCUUGGGCUCUGGAGCCUCAGCGGCCUGGGCUUCGAGCUUCGUGACGAGCUUGGGGGAGUUUUCGACCGCCUCCCCAUACUCGACGCACUCGACGUCGCACUCGUACGCGUGCUCGAAGGAGGAGCUGACGGUGAUGACGCCUUUGGGACCGGGCAUCUUCAGCUUCAAGUAGGUGUAGUUGGGUAUAGCCAUGAACUUGGCGUAGCCCGGGCGUCCAAUGAUGGCGUGGUACGUGCCUUGGAAUCCAACCACUUCAAAGGUGAGGGUCUCCUUCCUGAAGUUGGCCGCUGUGCCAAAGCAGACCGGUAAGUCGAUUCAAUCUACUGGUAGCGCCUUUUUCCCUGGCACGACGCCAUGAAAACCGCCGGCGCUUGGUUGGAGCUUCCCUCUAUCUAUGCCGAGGAGGUCGAGGGUCUCGAGGUAGAUGAUGUUGAGGCUGCUCCCACCAUCCAUCAGCACUUUUGAGAGCCGUGUGUUGAUGAUGAUCGGGUCGACGACGAGCGGGUAGACACCUGGGGCGACUACCUUGUCGGGGUGGUCCUCUCGAUCGAAAGUGAUGGGAGUGCUUGACCAGCUGAGGUACUGGGGCAUCGCCAUUCUUGCCGCGAAGACCUUGCGACGCUCCCUUUUGUGCUGCCUCAUGGUUAACUGAGUCGAGGGCCCACCGUAGAUCAUGUAGCAGUCGUGGACGGUGGGGAAGCCGUCGUCGUCUUUGUUGUCCUCCUUGUUGCUGCCCUUCUCUUUCUUGGAGUUGUCACGCGCAUCUUUCUUGAACCCCAGACCAUCGAAAUGCUUUUUCAGCAUACGACAGUCCUUGAGCUUGUGGUUGGCGCCUCCCUUAUGUUAAGGGCACGGUUCUUCUAGCAUCUUGUCGAAGACGCCUCCCUCCGGAGGGCCUCGAGGCUUCUUUCGUUCCAUGGCGGCGACAAGGUUGUCGUCGGAAUCCUCCUGCUAGAACUGCCGUGCUUUCUGCUUCUUUUUAUUCUUCUUGAGGCCCCGACUGGGGGUUCCAUCUUCAUCGGCGGGCCGCUUGCCUUUCCCCCCUUCACAGUUGAAGAAGGCGCCGACUGCCUCCUCCCCUGCCGCGUAGUUUGCCACUACGUCCAUCAACUCAUCGACGGUCUGAGGGCGAUUUCGGCCCAGUUCCCGCACUAAGUCUCGACUGGUGGUACCAGAGACAAAAGCCAAGAUGACGUCAUGGUCGGGGAUGUGCGGCAGCUCAGUGCGCUGCUUCGAGAAGCGUCGAGCAUACUCCCGAAGAGUUUAUCCUGACUUCUAUUUGCACUUUCUGAGGUCCCACGAGUUCCCGGGCCGUAUGUAGGUCCCUUUGAAAUUACCCUCGAAAACCCUAACCAGAUCAACCCAGUUGUGGAUCUGAUCAGCGGGAAGUUCCUCGAGCCAUCGACGGGCGGUGUCGGAGAGGAAUAGCGGUAGCUGCCGGAUGAUGGCUCGAUCAUCCCCUCGAGCUCCCCCCAACUGACAGGCCAACCUAAAAUCAGCUAACCACAAUUCUGGUUUGGUUUCGCCGUUGUAUUUCGUGAUGCUGGUCUUGGGUCGGAACGGACUGGGUAGGGGCGUGCUGCGGAUCGCCCUACUGAACACUCGUGGGCCCGGUGGCUCGGGGGCCAUCCGAUCUUCGUCGCUGUCGUACCUCCCACCGCGAUGCGCGCUGUAACCGCGUUCUUCCGCGUCUCCGUGCUGGCGGCAUCGAUUCUCUUCGAUGUCAUGCCGCGCGUCGUGUCGAUGCUGAUUGUCGAUGGGGAGAACGAGAGUGGUCUUUCUGCCUCGAGGUGGAGGCUGUUGAUGGACUGACACCUCCUUUUCAUUUUGAGGUUGUUCGUCGCGCUUUUUAGUGGCAGCUCCUCGUCGUCGAGAAGCUGAGCUUUCGGCUUGUUGAACUGCCGCCACCUGGAGCAGGGUCUGUACCUCGUCUCGAAUGCGUCGAGCCUGGGAGUUCGAUGGCUCUGGCAUGUUGCGCAGCAGCAUCAUCGCCGCCACUACGUUUUGGCCUGCUCGAGGGAAGCGGCUGACGGGCCGCUCUGGCUCUACGUCUCCAAUGAUUUGUCGAUGCACCUCUCGAGCACGCCUGCGAACACUUCCGCCCGGCGGAUAUGGCAAGUCUUGCUCAAGGAUUUGCUCAAGCAGGACGAGGCGCUCUCGGUCUUCGUCAAGCUUCAUCUUGAGCUCUCGCAGCUGCGCUAGCUGUGCAGCCUUGUCUUCUUGUGGAGGGGGGUCGACCUGCCCGUCGUUCCCAGGCGUCCUGGGGUCUUCUCGUGCCAUGGGGGCCCGACCGCCCGCAGCAGCAUCUCGCGUCUCGUCGGUAGUUUCUACCGCCCCGUCGAUGUGAUAGCAUUCCCUUGUAGGGUCGUAGCUAUCGGUUUCGGAGUCGGAGUCCGGUUCGGCGGCGUAGAAACAUCCACGUCCCUCCUCCAGCAGCCGCUGCCUGAGUGAGGUGAUCGUGUAUCGUCCGGGGCCUAGACGACGGAGGCCUCGUACCCGAGAAAGAUCCGGAAGCUCGGACGCCGGCCGCUACGCUUCAGUGUCAUGUGGGAGGACCAUUGGUCUUUCCACGUACGUCUGGGCGUUUGGGCAUAUCUUCCUGGCGAGCGACGCCGCGGCGUUGUCCAAUCCGAAUGGCAGUGCCCUUCUUGGAGUGAACAACCCGUGUGGAAGCAGCCUAGCAGCGGUGUUGAGAGUGCGUGGGAUGCGUCCCCUCUCGUUGUUGUGCGGUGCUGAGCCGUCGCGCUCGUUGCUUCGACACAUGGUGCUGCCGACUUGUGGCCCGCUUCUUGCUUCACACGAGUUGUUGGUCGUGAUGAAGCAGAGGGGCCGCGGUGGUGCUGUCCGCGCCUCUUCUUAGGUGGGGAGGCGUGGUGGUGAGGGCGUCUCGGGGCCCUCAACCGUGCUGGCGCAACGCGGGCUCCUCCAGGUCCUCUGACUGAGAGCAAGAUCAUGUCGUAGCCGGAGCCCGUAGACAUGAACUCGAGACUCCCAAACCAAAUCACCGUGGAGCGUGGAAUCGGCGAGGCGAGAGUAGCCAUCUGGAAAGGAGUGGGAAAUCGAUGAAAAAACACGCAGGACCCCUACCUGGCGCGCCAACUGUCGGUGUUUUCCCCACGGGGGGUCACACCAACGAGUAAAUUUGUAUGCGUGCUCCCUUUCCCAGAUGGUGAUGCAAGAAGACACAGAGAUUUAUCCUAGUUCGGGCAAGAGAAGGCCCUACGUCCAGCGGGGGGAGAGAGUUUGUAUUAUCUUGCACCUAAGUGCUUGUACAGGGGUGAAUACAAGCGCAGUAUGAAGUGUGUCGUUCUACUGCGUAUGAGCGUGGUGUUAUAUAUUGUGUUCUGUUCCUGAGUCCCUCCUUUUAUAGUUCCAAGGAGAGACCUAGGGUACAUGUAUAGGCGUCAGAAUAGGAGUCGAGAGCAGUAUGGAGCGAUGACCUACUCGAGGCUUCCAUACCGGCAUAGCCUCGAGCCGUCCCGUCUUAAUAGCCUGGUGAUGAUUACGCGUGCCCCUGCAUUCUGCUCUGCGUGCUGUCUUGUACUGGUUCAACGGUCGCAUGCUCGUACGGUUUGGUGGCAAAUCCGGCGGAGUGGUUGCGGCGUGACCAAUCGACGUUCGACCGUCCCCAGGAAGGAACCAUGUUAAGUCGAGGGUCGGACGCCGUACGACGUCCUGACGUCGGAGCGCUGACCUUGGCUACCUCGAGGGGGUCUUGAUUACACGUGCCAUCUCUAUUUCCCACGUCCUGACACGCCCUGGGCCGUUUGGUGGGGAAGGCUGCAAAAAGAUCGAUGGGAUGGAUGCCUGUUCCCUAUCACACCUCCCGUGACCCGUGUGUUAGGUGGGGAAGCAUCAGGCACAUUUAAUGCCCCGGCUCGCGUGCGCGUGUCAGGCGGCGGGCGGCGUCCUUGCGCUCGACGCCUCCCGGUUCGCGUGAGCCUGUUCCGUAUUCGACGGUAACCAGAGCUCGACGCCUGAUUGAUUCGCUCGACGCUAUUUCCGUCUUCGAGGCUGUGGCCGUCGAUGGCUGCACAUACGUACGGAUGGAGCGUCGAAUCGAGGGUCUCGUCCUACGUACGGAUAACCUUGUUAUAUGUAUUGGUGAGGGUACCCCUUGUUGAUACCCUCGACAACCGUAGUCUCAUUCUAACCUUUGUAAGGAUGAUCUACUGUUCUAUUGGGGAAGCUUACGGAAUCUAGACACCACAAAGGAUGUUCGACCCGCACCUAUAAACAUACCCGUCCUGCUAACAAGAUAUGGGAUACAAAGGUAACUCAGAAAUGUCACGUUCCUCGCUACUACCACGGUCCAGCUAGUCAGGGGAUAUCUAUGAGUACCCUAGCCUAAACACAACAUUUACGCUAGCAAUGAUUACUCUAAUACUCAACUGGAAGAGGAUUAAAGUAAAUUCAUAAAACAAAGAACAAUAAAACAAGAACUUACUAGAAUUAGAAGUCAAAUUACUGAAGAAUCUUAGAAGCAAGCCUCGGGUUAGGAGAUUUGAUCCCGCAGGUACAACUCGGAGUAGACACCGACACGCCAGCCUUCCUCCGAUCUACACCUCCACUCUAUCUCUCUCAAUCUAGUAGAAACUAGAAGAUCUAUUUCUACUUACAUUGGUUGCUAAGCCUAAAAAGAAAUAUUAUUUAGAGAAGAGGUUUUCCUUCGAGGGCACCCCUCAAUCUCUAUGAUAAUUUCUUGUCUUCUUCAGGGGCCAGGGGGUCUCCUUAUAUAGUCCUCCUCCUCUAUGCAUUUUUGGGUCGGUAGGCGAUGUGGUACUACAUUAUCCUUGAUCCAUUAGGUCGGUGGAACAUCGUGUGCGAAGAGAGUCCCGAACAGAGUCCAGGACAGGGCGGGCGCCCAGGGAAAGAGGGCGGGCGCCCUGGGCCUGGCCCCUUUCGGCCUCUGCUUUCUUCCCGUGGCUUCUGGAGUCUUCUAGAUGGUAGAAAAUUGCGCGGUGCAUUGAUAUCUCUAUGUAAUCCCGACGUGUGGGCCUUUCUUCCUUAUUUCCUGAUAACCCCCUGCAGAAAUAGACAAACACCAAAACUCGUGGAAUUCUGUCAGAUAAAACCCUAAGUCUAGGUGUUGGUUGCAUUUGGAUCCUUUUCUUUAUUUAUUUGAUGAUUAUAUUUGGUACAUAAGGACCGUCAACACCUUUCAUUGUCGGCAGGCUUUUCAAAGAUAGUUGUCAUCGGAUCCAGAGCCAACUGAGCUAUCUGGUCGGAAAACUCCAACUCAUCAUCGCUGGACGGCGCAAGGAAUGCCAUCGGCAAUAUAAAUACCAUGUUGACAUCUGCCGAUGGCCCUUUCCCCUUAGGAUCUAAUCGUUGUUGAUCCCCAGAUUGGCCAGAGUUCUCGCCUUUGUUUAGCUCUUCUCGCCUUUCGCGUUGCAGUCUUCUUUUCUGUGUUUUAGUCAACCCCUCUGGGCACCAUGGGGGAAGUGGUGACUGCCUUGCCGAUGGACGACGAUGUUCCCUUGACUCCAUCCGAUAAGUGUUGGCGUCCCUGCAAAAUACGAACUCAUCGGGAACCCGUGCAUUAGCCAUCUCCUCAAGCUCUUACUGGUUCCUGGGAAAAUAUUCAACACGAUCACCAAGUCUAUCGUGCACACUGAGCCUGCCCCCUAAUCGAUCAUGCACCGACGCUCUCCCCCUAAUCGGCCCAUUAAAUCGCCGAUCAUCAUUGUGAUAACGCCGGUCGGAUUUGUCAUACCGAUCAUAACCAUUGCACUCAGGGCAAUCUCUAACGGUAGGCAGCUUGAUGUUCUACUCCCAGCAAUGGAUAAAGAAUGGGCAGUUCCAGUGAUCCUUUUGCCGAUUCCACUCCUGUCGGCGUCUUUCUUCUUCCCGAUGAUAGUUUUCUUGCUGGUGCCGAUACCGAUCCUCACGUUGCUGCCAUGUUUCCCGAGGCCUUCUAUGAGUUAUCACCAUUCCAGAUCGGGGAGGCCUUCCCGAGUUAGUUCCCUCCUGGAUCAAGCCUUUUCCUUUUGCAUCGGCAGUAGUGAUCUGAUGCUGAGGAUCCACCGAUGCACUUCUUUUAGCUGCUUUCGAUGUCAAGUCCUUGGCCUUUCCCUUAGCAUCCAGCAUAUUUGUUGGGAAAGGAUGUUGAUCAAUCUUCAUCGGCUUCUGAGUUUUGGAGCUAUCAAAUUUGAUCCUCCCAGAUUCUAUAGCCGAUUGCAGCUAUUGUCUAAAAAUUUUGCACUCAUUGGUGCUGUGAGAGGUUGCAUUAUGCCACUUGUAGUAUUUCAUCUUCUUUAACUCUUCAGCCGAUGGAAUCACAUGAUUGGGCGACAACUUGAUCUGGCCUUCCUGAAGUAGGAAGUCAAAUUUCCUGUCGGCCUUGGUGAUAUCAAAUGCAAACUUCUUUGGCUCCUUAUGCCCGAAAGGGCAAGACAUCGGCUUCUUAUUCUUUACCCAUUGUGCCAAGCCGAUGACUGGUUCUUCAUCAAAAUCUGAGCUUGCUGCCUCAUCAACAAAUGACACCUUUUUCUUCCAAGCCCUCUUAGGUUCAAACGGCUUAAUAUCCUAGUCGGAAAUCCUCUGGACCAAGUGGCUCAGGCUCUCGAAAUCUUGAGAAGCAUAUUUGUCCCUGAUAUGUGGCAACAAACCCUGGAAAGCCAAAUCGGCUAGCUGCCAAUCAUCUAAAACUAGACUAUAGCAUUUAUUCUUGACCUCCCGCAACCUCUGCACAAAACCUUCAACCGAUUCAUCAUUGUGCUGUUUCAAUCUGACCAAAUCAGUAAUCUUCUUCUCAUGGACUCUAGAAAAGAAGUACUUGUGGAACUGCUUCUCUAGAUCGGCCCAAGUAAUCACUGAGUUGGGAGGUAACGAAAUAAACCAGGUAAAAGCCGAUCCAGACAAAGACGAUGAAAACAAAUGAACCCUCAAUUCAUCCCUGUUAGCAGCUUCUCCACAUUGGAUGAUAAACCUGUUGAUAUACUCCAUGGUUGACGUAUCAUCCUGUGCAGAAAAUUUAGUGAAAUCUGGAAGUGGAAUCAAAUCGUACGCAGGAGGAUACGGUGUCCGAUAAGAGUAAGUGCUGACUUUGGGUUUUAUCCCAAAUUGGUCCCUCAUUACUUCAGCUAUCUUAUCGGCCCAAUAGGCAUCAGCAUCUUGCCGAUGGGGUGGUUGUGGAUCCGGUGCCUGCUGAUACACUUCCACGUGUCGCUGAGGCGCACGAUCUGCAUGGAACAUGGGGUUGAUUGUCUGACCACCAAACUGUUGUCCAAGAUUCAUCGGCUGGUUGGGCAAACCUUGAUUGUGGAACCCGGGGUAGAUCUGGCCUUGCUGGAACCCUGAAGCUUGAUGAUUUUGUUGGGGCAUUUGUGGAAAGACUUGCUGCCCAGGCCAUCCACUAUUGGCAUUCAUCGGCAUAGGUCCUGCCGAUGACUGGUAAUUGGGCAUCAUCAUUGAAUUGACAUACCCUGGCUGAGUCAUAAACCUCUGCUGUGUCGGCAUUGAAUCUGCUGAUGCGUUAGGCAUCUGGAACGUUGGAGCUUGAGAAUUCCCAGUGUAAGGUCUUGGAGUAGUAGUUGUAGUAUACUGGGGACUCUGAUUCAUCGGCAUAUUUGGAGGUGCCGAUGCCAUAGGAGCCUUGCCCCUCAUAUCAGCUGUUUGAGAUGUACUAGGUGUCUUCAACAUGAACCCUAGAGGCAUACCAAAACCCCACCAGUUAGGAGGAACAGAUCCCGACAUUGCCGAUGCCAACAGGUCUGUGGUGAGCUUGAUCGACUCAUCUGAUGUUGAUGUAUUGGCCGGCAUUGGCGUGGAUUGCGCGUUAGUGACUCCUAACGUGCUUGGAGGAACAGCUGUUUCUGCGCCCGCAGCGGCUGUCGCAGCCGAUGGAGCUGUGACAACUGGUGAUCCCGGCUGAUGAUGAGAAGGACCAACAUAAUUUGGUGGCAAUUAUCCUUCUUUAAAAGUUCUAGCCACGACAUUGAAAACCGUAUUGGACAGCACACCAGCUUGAUUGAUCAAGGCACGGUUAAUAGCACUAUCAACCAUGUCUUGAAGUUUACCAGGAUUGGCUUCAAAAGUAACCUGCCGAGGCAUCGGCAGUGCUUCCCUCUGGAUCACCUCGCCACUCCUGUUUAUGCUGAAGGACUUGAGACAUUGUUGCUUGUAAUCCUCCAUAGCCUUUGCAAUAGCUUGCUUCUGCUCAUCUUUGAGAUUAGCUUCCGUCACGGGGAUGACAUUCUCCAAGUCGAAAUCGCUAGUCGCCAUGUCGAUCUUGGUCUUGAAUCUGGUCCCACCGAGCGUGCCAAAAGAUGUGUUGAUGCAAAAGUGGAUCUGCAAACACAAACGGCUAAUACCCGAUUUCAAACGUUAAGGCGUGCCAGCCGAUUUGACCUUACUAUCGACAAAGGUGAUAACUCGAAUACUUUGGUCCUGACAACAGCGAUGCGCCCGGAUGCCACGGCCAAGAGGUAUUCACGCAGAACUCGAGAAUACGCCGAGCUUAAUUCGACGAAUUCCUAAGAACUCGUAAUAGAAAGGAAAAUAUGACGAAGUCGUCGAAAAAGUAGAUGCUGGAAUAUGAGUAAAAACUUAUGUUUGAUUGAUUGAUAGAUUGUUCAUUACAAGGCCCUAGAGUCUACAUUUAUACCCUGCUCAAAGAGCUACAAUCAGACACGACUAGGACUCGAAUUCCAAAUUAAACAGAAUCCGUAUACAAAACGAUUUAAAUAACUAAGGAAAACACUAAACUAGCCUCCCGUGACAAACCGGGACACCACCAUGGACCAAUCGACAACCUUCAUGUUCUCCUUCCGAGUCAUUGGUAGACUCCUCAUCGUAGCCAUCAGCAAAGGCUAACGCUGACCAUCGGCAUGAACGCGUCACCACUCAUAGACUUAGUCACAUUCAGCUGUCUCUUCAUCGGCAACCACCUUCAUCGGCAACUCCCCUGCAGACCAGUUACUAUUGCCCCAUCUUGCCGAUCUAUACUCUACCAAUCCUUGGGUACGUGUCCAAAAACGGUGUCAACAGAUUGGUUGGACAUACCUUGUGCUUGUCAUUCAUCCGAUCUUCUUGCUCCAAUCUUGGAAAGGUUGGUGACAAGAAUACCCGAAGAAAUAUUUUUACAAUUAUCCUUAUAUGCUCAAUAAACAAGGUAGUGUUGCAAAUAAUUAAAAGCUCAUGUUACGAUCUGAUCAGUGCUUAUUUUAGGACACUAAGCUUGUCCUUGGGAAACCAUCAAUUUAUGUCGGCGAAGUGGUUUCCCUUCCAACGCUGACCUAUAUCAAGAUCAACUCAACGAGAUCUGCAAUAUUUAUUAUAGACAUAUGCAUCGACAACAGCCCUUUUAAAGUUUUUAUAAAUAGAAAGAAAGAGGGGGUUGGAGAUCUCAAGUGUGGUGAUGUCGGAGAGACCAAUAGAUUGGGAAGAUGUUGCAUAUGAGCAUGGAGUAAACGAAGUAGCUAUGAAAUAAAUUCCAUGCUCAUUAAUGUUAUCUUCGUCUCCAAUCUGAAUGCUCGGAGUUUCUCCUAGAUUGGUCUCACCUAUGUCCUCUUCUGUAGUUGGAUGAAUCUCAUCUUCAAAGGGAGUCAACAACUCACCAUUUGAAAUUGAGGCAAAGUCAGAAUCCAUUAAGGCUUCUUGCUUAUCCAUCCAUUCUACACAUUCUAGCCAUUUAGAACUUGUGAUCAGGAAAGGGGAGGUGUUAGAAUUUUCUAUAUGGCUUAGCUCUCCUUCUAUGACAUUACUUGACAUGUCAUCCUCAUGGUCUUUAUGACUCCUAUGGUUUGAUCGUCUUGAUGGAUUGUUAGGAUCAUCGUGAGACUUGAAAGGAGAGGGAUAAGAGGGGUCUCUAAGGUCAAGGAUGGAUUUAGAAUUUGUGAACAUGGAAGGGGAGCAGAUAGAAUCUUCUAUAUGGUUUAGCUCUCCUUCACUUGAUAUGUCAUCCUCGACUUCUUCAUAACAGGAACGAGGACAUUCUCUAAGAGAACCAUCAUUGUAAGGAUUUGAAUUAUCUAUGAUUGAAAGUCUCUUAUGGAACCAGAAGUCUAAACCAUCAGUAUCUGAAAGAUUUAAGGUCGGAAUUCCUUUCUCCCUUGGAGAAUUUUGGGGUAUUGAUGGUUUAGGAUCGAUAGCUAAAGUUUGGGAUUGAAGUGGUUGUGAUCUAGCUAUCGAAACUUCCUCUUCUUGUUUAGCAACUGGUUCUUUCUCUUUCUCAGGGAUAUAAAUGCUAGGAAACUUUCCACUCAAUGAAUCAAUUAAAUCCCUAGCUUCACUAGCGGGUAGGUGAUAGAAGGAUCCUCUAGAGGCUGUAUUCAAGGUUUGCUUAUUUUCCCUACUAAGGCCCUCAAAAAAGUGAAUUAGAAGAACUUCUUUGGAAAUAGAAAGCUUUGGGCCAGUGAGAGUAAGGUUAAUAAAGCGGUCCCAUGAUUUGCCAAGAGAUUCUUCUUCCAGUUGUAUAAAAGUGAUAAUCUCACGCCAAAGUUCCACCACUUUGGAGAUUGGAAAAUAUUUAAAAAGAAAACUAUUAUAUAACUCCUUCCAAUCUCCAUGAACACUCUCUACUUUGAGUUUGUACCAAUGUCUAGCUUUUCUUGUUAAAGAGAACAGAAAGAGCUUCCAUUUAAGGGUCUCAUCGGACAUGCCUUCUAUGCGAAGGAGGUCACAGACUCGAUAAAACUCUCUUAGGUGUGUGUAUGGGUUUUCCUCACCUUGUCCUGAGAAAGGUUGUUUUUGAACAAAUUCUAUGUAUUCGGAGUCUAUCUCAAAACUAGAUGCUACGAUAGGCUUUGAAGAUUUUGGUGGUUCGAGAUGUGUGCCGUAGGUCUAUUAAAUUCAUAGAUAGACAUGUUUGAAUUCAUGAUAGACUAGAGAUCAAGGAUUAGAUAACAAGAAAGAAUAGCAGAGAUAAGGCAAAGGAUAAAAGGAAAAGUAUUUUUUUUAUUUUUUUUAGAAAAUGAUUAAGCUAGUUCGUAGUCAACUUAGCAACCGUUUCCCUGGCAACGGCGCCAAAAAAGCUUGUUGACACUUGCUAACACCACUUGAAUACUAGGUUGUCAUCCCCAGCUUGGCACUAGAGUGUACUAUGGUAUUUAUACGCACACAGAUAAUCCGCAAGCGCACGGAUACCGUUGAAGCUUUUACCCAGAUAAAGGUUUUAUCGUAUCCACAGGGAAACAGGAGAACCAACUACGCUCUAACUUAACCUAGAUAGAUAGAUAGGUGUAAAUAGGAAAGAUGGUAGAAUUGAAUAAGAACAAUAUUAAAGGUAAGAUAACAGUGAGUGAUAAUAUGGGAAUAAAGAGUUGAGUAAUCUAGUAUAUGGGCGAUGGUAGCAGAAUAGAGAGGAUAACUAUGGUUUCUCUACUUCAAAGGGGUAUGUCUAUGUCUGGGAUGAACCACGUGAUAAGAAUACACCACAAAGGAUGCUUAUCCAUAGGCCGAUAAACCCUACCCGUCCUGCUAACAAGAGGUGGACUACAGGGGACCAAAGUAACUGUCACCUACGCGGCCUACCACAUGAUCGAGCUAGACAGGGGAUAUCUGUUGACACUUGCUAACACCACUCGAAUACUAGGUUGUCAUCCCCAGCAUGGCACUAGAGUGUACUAUGGUAUUUAUACGCACACAGAUAAUCCGCAAGCGCACGGAUACCAUUGAAGCUUUUACCAGGUUAAAGGUUUUAUCGUAUCCACACGGAAACGGGAGAACUGAUCUAUGCUCUAACUUAACCAAGAUAAGUAAAUAGGUGUAAAUAGGAAAGAUGGUAGAAUCGAAUAAGAACAAUAUUAAAGGUAAGAUAACCGUGAGUGAUAAUAUGGGAAUAGAGGUUAGAGCAAUUCUAGUAUAUGGGUGAUGGUAGCAGAAUAGAGAGGAUAACUAUGGUUUCUCUACUUCAAAGGGGUAUGUCUAUGUCUGGGACGAACCACGUGAUAAGAUUACACCACAAAGGAUGCUUAUCCAUAGGCUGAUAAACCCUACCCGUCCUACUAACGAGAGGUGGACUACAAAGGACCAACGUAACUGUCACCUUGUUGACGGUCCUUAAUGCUCAUAUUUAACCAUCAAUUAAUCAUAGAAAAGGAUCCAAAUGCAACCAACACCUAGACUUAGGGUUUUAUCUGACAGAAUUCCACAAGUUUUGGUGUUUGUCUAUUUCUGCAGGGGGUUAUCAGGAAAUAUGGAAGAAAGGCCCACACGUCGGGUUUACAUAGAGAUAUUAACGUGCCGCGCAAUUUUCUAUCAUCUAGAAGACUCCAGAAGCCACGGGACCGAAGCGGAAGCCGAGAGGCCUCAGGGACAGGGCGCCCGCCCUAGUCCUGAGGGCGCCCGCCCACCUCUUUCCACCAAUCAAGGUGAAGUUCGAGGAUCAUGCUCCACCGACCUAAUACUUCAAGGAAAACCACACGAUCAAUGUCGGUUUGAUCCGACGGCCCAGAUUCACUUGAAGGGACUAUAAAACCAGACCCCCCUGGCCCCUGGAGAUCAUACCUCUUCUACAGAAUCAGAGCUAGGGUUUCAAUUCUUCAUCCAAGUAGAGAGGAUCCCUCUAGUUCUUCUAGUUCUACCUCUAGUUCAUCUAGAUCUAGUUCUAGUUCAUCUAGUUCUAGUUCUAGUUCCUCUAGUUCUAGUUCUAGUUCUAGUUAGUUCUAGUUGUAAUCUAGAAAAUAGGGAGAGAGAAGAGGAGAGCGGAGGAGGAGCCGGAUCUGUCGGAUCUUCCUCAACAUUGUACUUUUGCAGCAUCUGGUUCGUUCUUCAUCGUUCUCCAGGUUCUUCAAUUCAUAACUCCUGAGUUCUCUAAUUAUUUUUAUUUACAUUCAAGUUAUUUAUUGGAUUCCCGCUUGCAUCAAGUGCUCUAAUCUUUGAAACAUUAGAGUAGUAAUUAAUAGAUUAGACGUGGUGUUUAGUCUUGCAAUUACCUGGAAUUGCACCCAAUCCUACGGAUUGUUGUGGUAGCCCUAGGGUAGUGACAGCCCUAACGGUCGACGUAUUCCACCAUGUUCGGAUCGGUGUUUGUAGGACCGUAGUCAGACCUUCCUAGCCCCCUUCUCAUCUCUUUCCAUGGUUAGUGCUCUGAUGUCCCGAUAUAGAUAAUCUUGAAGUAAUUCUUGAUUCUUAGAUCAACUAGAGAACUCUCAGGAAACUUCCUCUCUUCCUACCAAAAAUAAUUAUAUAGUUAUCCUUGGGCGAUCUUGGAUCUUAAUUAGUACACUCACGUUCUCUGUGGAAAAUCGAUACUCUGGAAUACUCCCGGAUGAAGGCUACAUCGGUAUCCGUGCGCUUGCGGAUUUUUCUGUUUGCGUUUAAAAUACCCAACAAGCUUUUUGGCGCCGUUGCCGGGGAACGGUAGCUGUGCUAGUUUCGAACCAAGUCGUCCGUGUAUCCUUUUUCUUUUCCCUUUUUACCACACUCACCUUAUCAUUUUCACCAUACCACAUGGAUUUCACUCUAAGCAUUAAUGAGCCUGGAAUUUAUUUCAUAGCCACUUCAUUUACUCCAUGCUCAUAUGCAAUAUCUUCACAAUCCAUUGGUCUCUCCAACAUCACUACAUUCGAGAUCUCCAACCCCCUCAUCCUUUCUUUUUAUAAAAACUUUAAAAGGGCGGUUGUCGAUGCAUAUGUCUAUAAGAAAUAUUGCAGAUCUCGUUGAGUUGAUCUUGAUAUAGGUCAGCGUUGGAGGGGAAACCACUUCACUGACACAAAUUGAUGGUUUUCCAAGGACAAGCUUAGUAUCCUAAAAUAAGCACUGAUCAGAUCGUAACAUGAGCUUUGAAUUAUUCGCAACAUUACCUUGUGUGUUGAGCAUAUAAGAAUAAUUGUAAAAAUAUUCCUUCGGAUAUUCUUGUCACUAACCUUUCCAGGAUUGGAGCAAGAAGAUCAGAUGAAUUACAAGCACAAGGUAUGUCCAACCAAUCAUCAUACAACAUUGAAUUAAAUUCAUCCAAACUUGAAUUUUGCAAAAUUCAAGCUUGGGGGAGUACUUUACAUAAAAACAUCCUUUGCCAUGUUGCUAUGUUGGUUGUCCCUACCUUUGAGACAUGCUCAAUUUGUUAAAUACUAAUCACACUACUUCAUCUCCACUUGAGUAGAUCUCUAUAAAUGCUCUCAUGCUACCUUUAUUUGCUUUAGUAUAUGUCUAGGUUUGGAGUAGUUUCAUUUAUCUCUUAAUUAAGCUUGGUGCUUAGUUUAGGAAUGAUGAUCUUACUUCCAAGGGAUUUUAAAUUAAGCAUGGUGCUUAGGUUAAAAAAAGCCCUCCUGAAUCAAAUUAGACAUGGUGUCUAGGUUGAUUUUUGAGCCGAUAUUAUGCGAUAGUAGAUAUUGGAUAUUUUGUUGGACUAACCCCUGUAGGGAAACUUUCAAUAUCGACCUGGGAAGUCCUGAGAUUGUUGGGUAUUUUAAACGCAAACAGAAAAAUCCGCAAGCGCACGGAUACCGAUGUAGCCUUCACCCGGGAGUAUUCCAGAGUAUCGAUUUUCCACAGGGAACGUGAGUGUACUAAUUAAGAUCCAAGAUCGCCCAAGGAUAUAUGAUUAUUUUUGGUGGGAAGAGAGGAAGUUUCCUGAGAGUUCUCUAGUUGAUCUAAGAAUCAAGAAUUACUUCAAGAUUAUCUAUAUCGGGACAUCAGAGCACUAACCACAGAAAGAGAUGAGAAGGGGGCUAGGAAGGUCUGACUACGGUCCUACAAACACCAAUCCGAACGUGGUGGAAUACGUCGACCGUUAGAGCUGUCACUACCCUAAGGCUACCACAACAAUCCGCAGGAUUGGGUGCAAUUCCAGGUAAUCGCAAGACUAAACACCACGUCUAAUCUAUUAAUUACUACUCUAGCGUUAUAAAGACUAGAGCACUUGAUGCAAGCGGGAAUCCAAUAAAUAAUUUGAAUGUAAAUAAAAGUAAUUAGAGAACUCAGGAAUUAUGAGUUGAAGAACCUGGAGAACGAUGAAGAACGAACCAGUUGCUGCAAAAGUACAAUGUUGAGGAAGAUCCGACAGAUCCGGCUCCUCCUCCGCUCUCCUCUUCUCUCUCCCUAUUUUCUAGAUUACAACUAGAACUAACUAGAACUAGAACUAGAGGAACUAGAACAAGAACUAGAUGAACUAGAACUAGAUCUAGAUGAACUAGAAGUAGAACUAGAAGAACUAGAGGGAUCCUCUCUACUUGGAUGAAGAAUUGAAACCCUAACUUUGAUUCUGUAGAAGAGGUAUGAUCUCCAGGGGCCAGGGGGGUCUGGUUUUAUAGUCCCUUCAAGUGAAUCUGGGCCGUUGGAUCAAACCGACAUUGAUCGUGUGGUUUUCCUUGAUCCUUUAGGUCGGUGGAGCAAUAUCCCGAAAGAGAGUCCUGAUUGGUCUCUGGCUGAGGGCGGGCGCCCAGUCCCUGUGUCCUCUCGGCCUCCGCUUCGGUCCCGUGGCUUCUGGAGUCUUCUAGAUGAUAGAAAAUUACGCAGCACGUCAAUAUCUCUAUGUAAACCCGACGUGUGGGCCUUUCUUCCAUAUUUCCUGAUAACCCCCUGCAGAAAUAGACAAACACCAAAACUCGUGGAAUUCUGUCAGAUAAAACCCUAAGUCUAGGUGUUGGUUGCAUUUGGAUCCUUUUCCAUGAUUAGUUGAUGGUUAAAUUUGAGCAUUAAGGACCGUCAACAAGCUCCCCCAAGCUUAACCUUUGCUCGUCCCUGAGCAAAGAUGAACUCAAGAGUUUCUGCAGUGGUUUCAUACCUUAAAGAUAUACAUGCAUUCAAACAAGAUCUCAUCUCUGGGUUAGGGUAACUGUUAAGAUUUAAACUUACUCAUAUUACCUUCCACCAUGGGGCUUGCAACCGUCACUUGAGUCUUGAGUAGUUAAAAGAUAGAACGGUCUAGUCAAGCGCCAUGUCUCUUGUUCUUCGAUUAACUAUAGCUCUGGAGUUUUUGCAGAUUUUCAAAUAAAACUCAGAGAUUCCUUGUAUGACUCUCUCUAGUCUCUCUUUUGUGGUAUUUCUGGAUCCUUACCAAGGCAGUAAUGGUAUAUGCCUUCUCUCAAAGUAUGUGGUAUUUGUGGUAUAAGGCAUAGUGACAUUGCCUUCUCUCUCACCCUACUCUAAUAAGGCUUUUGAUAUCUGGAGCUCAUAGGUGGGAGACAGCUAAUACAUACUUACAAGACAUUUAUUGCAUAGUCAAACCAUGGAUCCAGAAGAACAAGUCAAUAAGUCAAAUCAAGAUGUGCAUGUGUGGCGAAUGAAUGGUGCAUGGUAAUGAUGGUGAUAACAAUGGUGAAAGUCUAAUUCUACUUGUGCUCUUUUGAGGGGAUACAUACCUUUCUUGCUCUUUUGAAACUUUUUGAGGAGAAUGAGAUGCUCUAUAUUUUAUUUUUCUUUUCUCUCAGGUGGGUAUCUUGUACCCCUAAUUGUACUAUCGGACACUUGUCCAUUUUUACCUCUCGUCUCACUUUUUCUUUUCUUCGAGGUUCCGGGCACUUGCCCCUUUUUAUUUCCUCGUAUAUAUUUUUUUUUGCUUUUUUUUCUUCUUUUUUUUAGAGCACUCAUCUCAUGAGAUAAUAUAGCAAGUGGUAGUAACAAGAUAACUUGAGCAUUUAUUUCACAGGGGAAAAACAGAAAUCUUUUUGGCUAUUCUCUCCCGGAUUAGGAGUAGAAUAUUUUUGGGUGGUUCUGGAGAUGGAAAUGGAUGGAUAUAUGUGAGUGCGUACUUCCGAAGUAGAAGUAGCAUGUAUGAGUGAACGUGAAAGUGAAUCUUGAUUUAACCACAUGACAAGCUCCUAAGGGUCUACAAAGCUUGACCACACUCAAUGCUCAUAAGCAGUAAAAAGUAAAUGUGUGGCUCAAAGUCUAGCAAGCAUGUAUAUAUGGCUGUGGUAGGAAUUUAAACUCUCAUCAUACAGGAACUCAUCAUGCAACAAUUUAAAGAUUUUCAAAGAUAAAAUUCUCCAGAAUUCUAGCAUCUCUAGGAACAGAUAAACAGCAGCUCAACCUUCCCAUAUCGUAUCCGUUAACGACUUAGACUUUAGAUCAAGUACUCUCCCCACAAGUUCAGGUUUAGAGCAAAUCUUAAUUAAUAACAGUCAUGCCUAAACUUGAGAGAGAUUUCAAUUUUUAGAACUAGUCAUGGCAGAGCAACUAUACAUCAUUUCCAUGUGAGAGCUUAUCAUGAGGGUUCAUAGCAAACUUUAUUUAUUUAUUUAUUUAGCAAACUAAGCAAAGAUAUAUGUAUAUAAGCACAAAAUCUUUAUUUGGGUUUAUAUGAUUAUGCAUCUUUUUAUUAUUAGAGUAAAGUAUAAACGUGAGUAGAAUACUUAGCUGGAUAAAUGGGGGUGCUCUCCCCCAAGCUGGAUUUUGACAUAAUUCCAUUUGAUGUAGCUAGCAAGUGGUGGAGGUGUAUUUGAAUGUCGGCAGCACCCUGACAGCGAUUAGGAUGUCCUCCCUCUGCUAGUCUUCUUUGAUCCUUGAAUUCUGUGGAGCUCAAAUAGACAACAAAGCUUUGUGGAACUGGUUAAGUGUUAGCAUAAAUACCUAGCCUUUAUCAUGUUGAGCCUCCUCAAUAAAUAUUACUUUCUUUGGUAGGAUCAUAAAUUUAUUUUUAUAUUUUUAUUUUUAUAGGACAGGAAUAUAUUUAUUUUAUUUUUACGCCACCACAGUGAAUAUACUUAUGGGUUUUAUGCCAUGAGCAUACUCACAUGGGGCUUACUAUUUUUAACAUUUUUAUUUUCUUUUCAAGAUGAUGUGAACCUGAUUAACUAAGCAAAACUAUUUUAAAUAAUUGAAAGGAAAAAGAUAACUACCAAGUUUACCUUUUGGCAAGGCGUUCGGUGUUUUUAAGUCCUCCGAACGGGACUCUUCGUUUUCUCAGUCCUCCUGGGAUUCGCUGGAUGGUGUAGUCGGUGGUUCCGGCGGUGCCUCCUUUUCAUGUAUAACUAUCUUAUCUCUCCACACCUGACUCGGUGCUACGGUCUCCUCAGGACAGUUCUAUUCAAGUUGUAUGUCUUCAGACUUUACCACUUCUCCUUCAUAGUCUGCCCAUCCGUCCUUGAUGAUUUUGCCUUCUCUGGUUGCAGUUGCAUCGUCUUCUUCUUGUCCUGACCUGCUUAGAGUCUUCAACUAUAUAGUUAGGGUCAGUAAAAUAGCGGCGUACCUUCUCAGAGGGGAAGUGCAUGUGGACUGCUCCGGUUCCAAUGUAAAUGAUUGCUUUAACGGUGCUGAGGAACGGUCUCCCAAGGAUGAUGGGUGGAUCGUACUUGUCUUCGACCUUUCGGAAUGUCUGAUCUGCCAUCUGGAGCUGAAUGUAUGUUGGUUUCAGGGGCAUGGUUCCGAAUAGGAGCUGAUAGGUGACUGGGUCGUCCUUUUUGGUCAGGAAUGGUGACUUAAAUCGACGAUCUUGACCUCCUUGAACUGCAGUGACCAUCUUAGCUGACUCAGUCCACAUUUGCUUGUUUCUAUUCCUCCUGUUGGUCCCCUUCCUUGGUUCGUGUCGGGAUUGCUCUAAGACUUGUGUAGUCUUGUUCUUAAAGGAAAACAUCUCCUUCCUUCCCUUGAUGUAGAAAUUGAUCUUGGCAGCACUAGCGUAGAUGACAGCUCCUGAGGUGUUCAGGAAUGGCCUCCCUAGGAUGGGUGCCCUCUCAUCAAUACCAGUCUCUAUCACCAUAAAGUCUGCUAGGGCGUACAAGGUACCAACUCGGACAUAGAGGUUCUUCAAUAUUCCCCUGGGCAUAAUGUUGACACUGGAGCCAAAGUCGCAGAGUGCUUCUAGGAAGUCCACCAUGCCGAUGAAGAUCGAGAUGACGGGGCAUCCUGGAUUGUCUCUCUUGACCGGCAGAAGGUCAGUAAUUACUUCCACAAUGGGGUUACUCUAGUAGUUACAUCCUCAAGCAUCUCAGGGUAGUGAUUGCCUGAGUGUCCAGUAUCUCCAGUGUGUUUGUGCUCGUAAAUCUAGGUUCUUCACUUGGUGGAGUCUGGGAGUUGUAAAAGUCCUUCAUAUUUUGCUCGAAGUGUACCUGCUCAUAGAGACAAGGCAGAGAUCAAGUGCAUGGGCCCUGUUGGUGGAAAACACCAACAGAACCAAAAGUUAAUUUGUUCUUCUCUAACCUUAAGCAUAGUGAGCAAGACAAAGUUGAUGGAUAAUAAGAUCAUGAGUGUAGCAUUUAAAACAUUCGUCAGAUCAGAUCACUCAACCUAAUGGAAAGAUAAUCUAUCUAUACUUAUCUCUUUUUUUUUAUAUAUAUCUUCCAAAGAUUGUGUGUGCAACAUUUAGUGUGGGAUCACAAAGGUGAAAGGACUAAACAUAUUGAAUCGAUUGGCUUGGUUAAUCUAGAAUUGUAAAUCAUACAUGUUUGUCUCUUUUAUUCAUGUGAAUGCUAGAACCAAGGAGAAGCUUAUAGAAGUGAUAGUCAAGUACCUUAAGAUGUUACCUUACUUGAAGAGUGAUGGUACAGUAUCACCUUGUGGAAGCUUUCCUCUCUUAGCGGUUGUGCAUCAUGUUUUUGGCACCCUCCAUGGAUCAUCUCUUGUGAGCUAUGCCUUCCUUGUGUAAAUUGUUAAACUUCAUGUGUGUCUCUCUUUGUCUCCAUUGUGAGUUUAUCUCAGGACUUCCCAGGUCGAUAUUGAAAGUUUUCCUGCAGGGGUUAGUCCAACAAAAUAUCCAAUAUCUACUAUAGCAUACUAUCGGCUCAAAGAUCAACCUAGACACCAUGUCUAAUUUGAUUUAGGAGGGCAUUUUAACCUAAGCAUCAUGCUUAAUUUAAAAUCCCUUGGAAAUAAGAUCAUCAUUCCUAACUAAGCACCAUGCUUAAUUAAGAGAUAAAAGAAACUACUCCAAACCUAGACAUAUACUAAAGCAAAUAAAGGUAGCAUGAGAGCAUUUAUAGAGAUCUACUCAAGUGGAGAUGAAGUAGUGUGAUUAGUAUUUAACAAAUUGAGCAUGUCUCAAAGGUAGGGACAACCAACAUAGCAACAUGGCAAAGGAUGUUUUUAUGUAAAGUACUCCCCAAGCUUGAAUUUUGCAAAAUUCAAGUUUGGAUGAGUUUAAUUCAAUGUUGUAUGAUGAUUGGUUGUACAUACCUUGUGCUUGUCAUUCAUCCGAUCUUCUUGCUCCAAUCCUAGAAAGGUUAGUGACAAGAAUACCCGAAGGAAUUUUUUUUACAGUUAUCCUUAUAUGCUCAAUACACAAGGUAGUGUUGCAAAUAAUAAAAAGCUCAUGUUACGAUCUGAUCAGUGCUUGUUUUAGGACACUAAGCUUGUCCUUGGGAAACCAUCGAUUUAUGUCAGUGAAGUGGUUUCCCCUCCAACGCUGACCUAUAUCAAGAUCAACUCAACGAGAUCUGCAAAAUUUAUUAUAGACAUAUGCAUCGACAACUGCCCUUUAAAAGUUUUUAUAAAUAGAAAGGAAGUGGGGGUUGGAGAUCUCAAAUGUGGUGAUGUUGGAGAGACCAAUGGAUUGUGAAGAUGUUGCAUAUGAGCAUGGAGUAAAUGAAGUGGCUAUGAAAUAAAUUCCAUGCUCAUUAAUGCUUAGAGUGAAAUCCAUGUGGUAUAGUGAAAAUGAUAAGGUGAGUGUGGUAAAAAAGGAAAAGAAAAAGGAUACACGGAUGACUUUGUUCGAAACUAGCACAGCUACCGUUCCCCGGCAACGGCGCCAGAAAGCUUGUUGGGUAUUUUAAACGCAAACAGAAAAAUCCGCAAGCGCACGGAUACCGAUGUAGCCUUCACCCGGGAGUAUUCCAGAGUAUCGAUUUUCCACAGGGAACGUGAGUGUACUAAUUAAGAUCCAAGAUCGCCCAAGGAUAACUAUAUGAUUAUUUUUGGUGGGAAGAGAGGAAGUUUCCUGAGAGUUCUCUAGUUGAUCUAAGAAUCAAGAAUUACUUCAAGAUUAUCUAUAUCGGGACAUCAGAGCACUAACCACAGAAAGAGAUGAGAAGGGGGCUAGGAAGGUCUGACUACGGUCCUACAAACACCAAUCCGAACGUGGUGGAAUACGUCGACCGUUAGAGCUGUCACUACCCUAAGGCUACCACAACAAUCCGCAGGAUUGGGUGCAAUUCCAGGUAAUCGCAAGACUAAACACCACGUCUAAUCUAUUAAUUACUACUCUAGUGUUAUAAAGACUAGAGCACUUGAUGCAAGCGGGAAUCCAAUAAAUAACUUGAAUGUAAAUAAAAGUAAUUAGAGAACUCAGGAAUUAUGAGUUGAAGAACCUGGAGAACGAUGAAGAACGAACCAGUUGCUGCAAAAGUACAAUGUUGAGGAAGAUCCGACAGAUCCGGCUCCUCCUCCGCUCUCCUCUUCUCUCUCCCUAUUUUCUAGAUUACAACUAGAACUAACUAGAACUAGAACUAGAGGAACUAGAACUAGAACUAGAUGAACUAGAACUAGAUCUAGAUGAACUAGAAGUAGAACUAGAAGAACUAGAGGGAUCCUCCCUACUUGGAUGAAGAAUUGAAACCCUAACUUUGAUUCUGUAGAAGAGGUAUGAUCUCCAGGGGCCAGGCGGGUCUGGUUUUAUAGUCCCUUCAAGUGAAUCUGGGCCGUUGGAUCAAACCGACAUUGAUCGUGUGGUUUUCCUUGAUCCUUUAGGUCGGUGGAGCAAUAUCCCGAAAGAGAGUCCUGAUUGGACUCUGGCUGAGGGCGGGCGCCCAGGAAAGGUGGCCGGGCGCCCUGUCCCUGUGUCCUCUCGGCCUCUGCUUCGGUCCCGUGGCUUCUGGAGUCUUCUAGAUGAUAGAAAAUUGCGCAGCACGUCAAUAUCUCUAUGUAAACCCGACGUGUGGGCCUUUCUUCCAUAUUUCCUGAUAACCCCCUGCAGAAAUGGACAAACACCAAAACUCGUGGAAUUCUGUUAGAUAAAACCCUAAGUCUAGGUGUUGGUUGCAUUUGGAUCCUUUUCCAUGAUUAGUUGAUGGUUAAAUGUGAGCAUUAAGGACCGUCAACAGAGAUAAACUCACAUUGGAGACAAAGAGAGAGACACAUGAAGGUUAACAAUCUACACAAGGAAGGCAUAGCUCACAAGAGAUGAUCCAUGGAGGGUGCCACAAACACGAUGCACAACCACUAAGAAAGGAAAGCUUCCACAAGGUAAUAUUGUACCAUCACUCUUCAAGUAAGGUAACAUCUUAAGGUACUUGACUAUCACUUCUAUAAGCUUUUCCUUCGUUCUGGCAUUCACAUGAAUAAAAGAGACAAACAUGUAUGAUUUACAAUUCUAGAUUAACCAACCCAAUCGAUUCAAUAUGUUUAGUCCUUUCACCUUUGUGAUCCCACACUAAAUGUUGCACACAUAAUCUUUGGAAGAUAUCUAUAAAAAAAGAGAUAAGUAUAGAUAGAUUAUCUUUCCAUUAGGUUGAGUGAUCUGAUCUAACAAAUGUUUUAAAUGUUACACUCAUGAUCUUAUUAUCCAUUAACUUUGUCUUGCUCACUAUGCUUAAGGUUAGAGAAGAACAAAUACACUUUUGCUUCUGUUGGUGUUUUCCACCAACAGGGCCCAUGCACUUGAUCUCUGCCUUGUCUCUAUGAGCAGGUACACUUCGAGCAAAAUAUGAAGGAGUUUCACAACUCCCAGACUCCACCAAGUGAAGAACUUAGAUCUACGAGCACAAACACACUGGAGAGACUGGACACUCAGGCAAUCACUGCCCUGAGAUGCUUAAGGACAUAACUACUGGAGUAACCCGUGGAAGUAAUUACUGACCUUCUACCGGUCAAGAGAGGUGAUCCAGGACGCACCGUCAUCCCGAUCUCCAUUGGCAUGGUGAACUUCCCAGAAGUACUCUGUGACUUUGGCUCCAGUGCCAACAUUAUGCCUAGGACUUCAUGGUGAUAGAGACUGAUACUGAUGAGAGGGCACCCAUCAUCCUAGGGAGGCCAUUUCUGAACACCUCGGGAGCUGUCAUCCACGCUAGUGCUGCCAAGAUCAGUGUCUACAUCAAGGGAAGGAAGGAGACGUUUACCUUCAAGAAUAAGACUGCACAAAUCCUAGAGCAAUCCCGACUUGAACCAAGGAAGAGGACCAACAGGAGGAACAGGACCAAGCAAAUGUGGACCGAGUCAGCUAAGAUGGUCACUACAGUUCAAGGAGGUCAAGAUCGUCGAUUCAAGUCACCUUUCUCGAUCAAGAAGGACGACCUUGGUGUUCCAAUCAUCAAGUGCACAAUCAACGGAUAUUCUUUUCAGAAGACACUCUACGACACCAGAUCUGACGUUAACAUAAUGGCCGCAGUCACUUAUCAGCUCCUAUGUGGAACCAUGCUCCUACAACCAACACACAUUCAGCUCCAAAUGAUUUUAAGGUUAUUGACAUGGGAGAAGACGAGUAAGAUCCAACCAUCAUCGUUAGGAGACCGUUUCUCAGCACUGUUAAAGCAAUCAUCUACAUUGGAACCGGAGAAGUCCACAUGCACUUCCUCUCUGAGAAGGUACGUCGUUGUUUUACUGACCCUAACUAUAUAGUUGAAGACUCUAACCAGGUCAGGACAAGAAAAAGACGACGCAACCGUAACCAGAGGAGGAAAAUCAUAAAGGGCGGAUGGGCAGACUACGAAGGAGAAGUGGUAAUGUCUGAAGACAUACAACUUGAACAGAACUGUCCUAAGGAGACCGUAGCAUCGAGUUAGGUGUGUAGAGAGGAGAAUGUUAUACACGAAGAGGAGGCGCCGCCGGAACCACCGACUACGCCAUCCAGCGAAUCCCAGGACGAUUGAGAAAACGGAGAGUCCCGUUCGGAGGACUUAAAAACAUCGAACGCCGUGCCAAGAGGUAAACUUGGUAAUUAUCCUUUUUCUUUCAAUUAUUUAAAAUAGUUUGCUUAGUAAUCAGGUUCAUGCUAUCUUAAAAAGAAAAUAAAAAUGUUAAAAAUAGUAAGCCCCAUGUGAGUAUGCUCAUGGCAUAAAACCAUAAGUACAUUCACUGUGGUGGCAUAAAUAUAAAAUAAAUAUAUUCCUGUCCUAUAAAAAUAAAAAUACAAAAAUAAAUUUAUGAUCCUACUAAAGAGAGUAACAUUUAUUAAGGAGGCUCAACAUGAUAAAGGCUAGAUAUUUAUGCUAACACUUAACCAGUUCCACAAAGCUUUGUUGUCUAUUUGAGCUCCACAGAAUUCAAGGAUCAAAGAAGACUAGCAGACGGAGGACAUCCUAAUCGCUAUCAGAGUGCUACCGACAUUCAAAUACACCUCCGCCGCCUGCUAGCUACAUCAGAAGAAAUUACGUCAAAAUCCAGCUUGGGGGAGAGCACCCCCAUUUAUCCAGCUAAGUGUUCUACUCAUGUUUAUAUUUUACUCAAAUAAUAAAAAGAUGCAUGAUCAUAAAAACCCAAAUAAAGAUUUUAUGCUUAUAUAUAUAUCUUUGCUUAGCUUGCUAAAUAAAUAAAUAAAUAAAGUUUGCUAUGAACGCUCAUGAUAAGCUCUCACAUGGAAAUGAUGAAUAGUUGCUCUACCAUGACUAGUUCUCAAAAUUGAAAUCUCUCUCAAGUUUAGGCAUCACUGUUAUGAAUUAAGAUUUGCUCUAAACCUGAACUUGUGGGGAGAGUACUUGAUCUAAAGUCCAAGUUGUUAACGGAUAUGAUAUGGGAAGGUUGAGUUGCUGUUUAUUUGUUCCUAGAGAUGCUAGAAUUUUGGAGAAUUUUAUCGUUGAAAAUCUUUAAAAUGUUGCAUGAUGAGUUCCUGUAUGAUGAGAGUUUAAAUUCCUACCACAGCCAUAUAUACAUGCUUGUUAGACUACGAACCACACAUUUACUUUUUACUGCUUAUGAGCAUUGAGUGUGGUAAAGCUGUGUAGACCCUUAGGAGCUUGUCAUGUGGUUAAAUCAAGAUUCACUUGCACGUUCACUCACACAUGCUACUUCUACUCUAAAAGUACCAUCCACAUAUAUCCAUAUCCAUCUCCAGAACCACCCAAAAAUAUUCUACUCCUAAUCCGGGAGAGAAUAGCCAAAAACAUUUCUGUUUUCCCCUGUGAAAUAAAUGCUCAAGUUAUCUUGUUACUACCACUUGCUAUAUUAUCUCAUGAGAUGAGUGCUCUAAAGAAAAAAAAAGAGAAAAAAAAGAAAGAAUACGAGGAAAUAAAAAGGGGCAAGUGCCCGGAACCUCGAAAGAAAAGAAAAAGUGAGACGAGAGGUAAAAAUGGACAAGUGUCCGACAGUAGAAUUAGGGGUACAAGAUACCCACCUGAGAGAAAAAAAAGAAAAAGAAAAUAUAGAGCAUCUCAUUCUCCUCAAAAAGUUUCAAAAGAGCAAGAAAGGUAUGUAUCCCCUCAAAAGAGCAAAAGUAGAAUUAGACUUUCACCAUUGUUAUCACCGUCAUACACCAUUCAUUCGCCACACAUGCACAUCUUGAUUUGACUUAUUGACUUGUUCUUCUGGAUCCAUGGUUUGACUAUGCAAUAAAUGUCUUGUAAGUAUGUAUUAGCUGUCUUCCACCUAUGAGCUCCAGAUAUCAAAACCUUAUUAGAGUAGGGUGAGAGAGAAGGCAACACCACUAUGCCUUAUUCCACAAAUACCACAUACUUUGAGAGAAGGCAUACACCAUUACUGCCUUGGUAAGGAUCCAGAAAUACCACAAAAGAGAGACUAGAGAGAGUCAUACAAGGAAUCUCUGAGUUUUAUUUGAAAAUCUGCAAAAAAAAAACUCCAGAGCUAUAGUUGAUCAAGAACAAGAGACAUGGUGCUUGACUAGACUGUUCUAUCUUUUAACUACUCAAGAUAGAAGUGACGGUUACAAGUCCCAUGGUGAAAGGUAAAUGAGUAAGUUUUAAGUCUUAACAGUUUACUCUAACCAGAGAUGAGAUCUUGUUUAAACGCAUGUGUAUCUUUAAGUUAUGAAACCACUGCAGAAACUCUUGAGUUCAUCUUUGCUCAGGGACGAGCAAAGGUUAAGCUUGGGGGAGCUUGUUGACGGUCCUUAAUGCUCAUAUUUAACCAUCAAUUAAUCAUAGAAAAGGAUCCAAAUGCAACCAACACCUAGACUUAGGGUUUUAUCUGACAGAAUUCCACAAGUUUUGGUGUUUGUCUAUUUCUGCAGGGGGUUAUCAGGAAAUAUGGAAGAAAGGCCCACACGUCGGGUUUACAUAGAGAUAUUAACGUGCCGCGCAAUUUUCUAUCAUCUAGAAGACUCCAGAAGCCACGGGACCGAAGCGGAAGUAGAGAGGCCUCAGGGACAGGGCGCCCGCCCUAGUCCUGAGGGCGCCCGCCCACCUCUUUCCACCAAUCAAGGUGAAGUUCGAGGAUCAUGCUCCACCGACCUAAUACUUCAAGGAAAACCACACGAUCAAUGUCGGUUUGAUCCGACGGCCCAGAUUCACUUGAAGGGACUAUAAAACCAGACCCCUCCUGGCCCCUGGAGAUCAUACCUCUUCUACAGAAUCAAAGCUAGGGUUUCAAUUCUUCAUCCAAGUAGAGAGGAUCCCUCUAGUUCUUCUAGUUCUACCUCUAGUUCAUCUAGAUCUAGUUCUAGUUCAUCUAGUUCUUGUUCUAGUUCAUCUAGUUCUAGUUCUAGUUAGUUCUAGUUGUAAUCUAGAAAAUAGGGAGAGAGAAGAGGAGAGCGGAGGAGGAGCCGGAUCUGUCGGAUCUUCCUCAACAUUGUACUUUUGCAGCAUCUGGUUCGUUCUUCAUCGUUCUCCAGGUUCUUCAAUUCAUAACUCCUGAGUUCUCUAAUUAUUUUUAUUUACAUUCAAGUUAUUUAUUGGAUUCCCGCUUGCAUCAAGUGCUCUAAUCUUUGAAACAUUAGAGUAGUAAUUAAUAGAUUAGACGUGGUGUUUAGUCUUGCAAUUACCUGGAAUUGCACCCAAUCCUACGGAUUGUUGUGGUAGCCCUAGGGUAGUGACAGCCCUAACGGUCGACGUAUUCCACCAUGUUCGGAUCGGUGUUUGUAGGACCGUAGUCAGACCUUCCUAGCCCCCUUCUCAUCUCUUUCCGUGGUUAGUGCUCUGAUGUCCCGAUAUAGAUAAUCUUAAAGUAAUUCUUGAUUCUUAGAUCAACUAGAGAACUCUCAGGAAACUUCCUCUCUUCCUACCAAAAAUAAUUAUAUAGUUAUCCUUGGGCGAUCUUGAAUCUUAAUUAGUACACUCACGUUCUCUGUGGAAAAUCGAUACUCUGGAAUACUCCCGGGUGAAGGCUACAUCGGUAUCCGUGCGCUUGUGGAUUUUUCUGUUUGCGUUUAAAAUACCCAACACACCUACGCGGCCUACCACACGAUCCAGCUAGACAGGGGAUAUCCACAAGUAAUCUAGGUCUAAGCACCUCGCUUACACCUAUAAUACAACUCUAACCUAUAGCGUCCUAUAGAUUAGAAGUACUCAGAAGAGUUGUGAACCAGAACAUACAUGAUUAGUAAUUGCAUAAUGAAUUAGAAGUAGAUUACCAGAGUCAUCCCAUGAGCAAGCUUGAGCUUGAUCAUGACGAAGUAUAACCGGAGGAAGAACCGACAGGCCGGCCUCUCCUCUAAUCCUCCUUCGCUCUCCAUCUCGCUACUAUCUAGAUCUACUCUAGUUUAGAGAAGAGAGGAGAGCUCUCAUCUCUAAACCCUAGCUUUUGCUCUGUCUAUGAAUAAUGAAUAAUGAUCAAGGGGUGCCUCCUCCAGGGGCCAGGAGGUCUGGUUAUAUAGUCUCCUCAAGUGAACCUGGGCCGUCGGAUCAAACCGACAUUGAUUGAACGGUUUUUCUUGAUCCUUUAGGUCGGUGGAGAUCUCCCGAGAGAAAGAGUCCUGAUUGGGCUCCAAGUCAGGCGGGCGCCCUGCCUCUGGCCCCGUUCGGCCUCCGCUUCCUUCCCGUGGCUUCAGGAGUCUUCUAGAUGUAAGAUAAUUGCACGGCACGUUAAUAUCUCUAUGUAAUCCUGACGUGUGGGCCUUUCUUCCGUAUUUCCUGAUAACCCCCUGCAGAAAUAGACAAACACCAAAACUCUUGGAAUUCUGUCAGAUAAAACCCUAAGUCUAGAUGUUGAUUUCAUUUGGAUCCUUUUCUUUGUUUAUUUGAUAAUUAAAUUUGAUACUUAAGGACCGUCAACAAACUCCCCCAAGCUUACCUCUUGCUCAUCCCUGAGCAAGGAUAGACUCAGCAAUGGAUCAGAAGUUGUUGCAAUAUCUUAAAAAUUUGACGGUACACAUGCUUUUAAAUAAGAUCUCAUCUCUGAGUUAGAGUAAACUGUCAAGAAUUUACAUACUUUACCUUUCACCAUGGGACUUGUAACCGUCGCUUCUGUCUUGAGAAGUUAAAAGAUAGAACAGUCUAGCCAAGUGCCAUGUCUCUUAUUCUUGAUCAGCUAUAGCUCUGGAGUUUUUGCAGAUUUUCAAAUAAAACUCAGAGAUUCCUUGUAUGACUCUCUAAAUCUCUCUUUUGUGGUAUUUCUGGAUCCUUACCAAGGCAGUGAUGGUAUAUGCCUUCUCUCAAGAUAUGUGGUAUUUGUGGUAUAAGGCAUAGUGACAUUGCCUUCUCUCUCACCCUACUCUAAUAAGGCUUUAAUAUCUGGAGCUCAUAGGUGGGAGAUAAAGUAUACAUACUUACAAGACAUGUAUUGCAUAGUCAAACCAUGGAUCCAAAGAAACAAAUCAAUAAGCCAAAUCAAGAUGUGCAUGUGUGGCGAAUGAAUGGUGUAUGGUGAUGAUGGUGAUAACAAUGGUGAAAGUCUAAUUCUACUUUUGCUCUUUUGAGGGGAUACACACCUUCCUUGCUUUUUGAAACUUUAUGAGGAGAAUGAGAUGCUCUUCUUUUUCUUUCCUCGGAGGUGGGUAUCUUGUACCUCUAGUUCUACUGUCGGACACUUGUCCAUUUUUACCUCUCGUCUCACUUUUUCUUUCUUUCGAGGUUCCGGGCACUUGCCCCUUUUUAUUUCCUCAUUUAUUUUAUUUUUUUUCUUUUCUUCUCUUUUCUCUUUUUUUCAGAGCACUCAUCUCUUGAGAUAAUAUAGCAAGUGGUAGUAGCAAGAUAACUUGAGCAUUUAUUUCACAAGGGAAAACAGAAAUAUUUUUGGCUAUUCUCUCCCGGAUUAGGAGUAGAAUAUUUUUGGGUGAUUCUGGAGAUGGACAUGGAUGGAUAUAUGUGGAUGGUACUUCCGGAGUAGAAGUAGCAUAUGUGAGUGAACGUGCAAUUGAAUCUUGAUUUAACCACAUGACAAGCUCCUAAGGGUCUACACGGCUUGACCACACUCAAUGCUCAUAAGCAGUAAAUAGUAAAUGUCUGGCUCAAAGUCUAGCAAGCAUGUAUAUAUGGCUGUGGUAGGAAUUUAAACUCUCAUCAUACAGGAACUCAUCAUGCAAUAUUUUAAAGAUUUUUCAAAGAUAAAAUUCUCCAGAAUUCUAGCAUCUCUAGGAACAGAUAAACAGCAGCUCAACCUUCCCAUAUCAUAUCCGUUAACAACUUAGAUUUCAGAUCAAGUUUUCAUCCCACAAGUUUAGAUCUAGAGCAAGCUUUAAAUUAUAACAGUUAUGUCUAAACUUGAGAGAGAACUUCAAAUUUUUAAAUUAGGUAGGGCAACUAUUCAUCAUAUCUAUGCUAGAGUUUUAUUAUUAAGAUUCAGAUUAGCAUAGCCACUUUAUUUAUUUAUUAAACACACUAAGCAAAAGAUAUAUAUAUAAGCACAAAAUCUUUAUUUGGUUUUUCAUAGUUUAUGUAUUUUAAUAUUCUAACAUAAUAUAAGAUAGGUAGAAAUACUUAGCGAGCUAAAUGGGGGUGCUCUCCCCCAAGCUGAAUUUUGAUGUAAUUUCUCUUGAUGUAGCUAGCAGGUGGCAGAGGUGUAUUUGAAAGUCAGCAGCAUUCUGAUAGCGAUUAGAAUGUCCUUCGUCUGCUAGUCUUCUUGAUUCUUAAAUUCUGUGGAGCUCAAAUAGACAACAAAGCUUGUGGAACUAAUUAAGUGUUAGCAUAAAUAUCUAGCCUUCAUCAUGUUGAGCUUCCUCAAUAAAUAUUACUCCCUAUUUUUAUAUUUUUAAUUUAUAAAGCAGAAAAGAAAUAUUUAUUUUAUUUUUAUGCCACCACAGUGAAGGUACUUAUGGGUUUUAUGUCACUCGUAUACUCACAUGGGGCUUGGUAUUUUAUAACAUUUUUAUUUUCUUUUCAAGAUAGCAUGAUUAACUAAUAAUCUAUUUAAGGAAAGUAAAUAAUUAAAGGGAAAAGGGAAUGCAGAAAGGAUAAAUAUGGAUAACUACCGAUCUUACCUUUCGGCGAGGGUUCAAUGUUUUAAGUCUUCUUAACAAGACUUCUCACCGUGUUCAUUCUUCAGGUGCGUCAUUUGAUUCAGGUGCGGACCUUGACGUCUGCACCUCUUCGUUUGCCCAGCAGUUCGAAGUGCGGCGUUGGCAGUAUCCUGCUCAGUGUGUUUGUGCUCGUAGAUCCAGGUCCUUCACUUGGUAGAGUCUGAGAGUUAUAAAACUCCUCCGUGUUUUGCUCGAAGUGUACCUGCUCAUAGAGACAAGGCAGAGAUCAAGUGCAUGAGUCCUGUUGGUGGAAAACACCAACAGAACCUAAAGUGUAUUUGUUCUUCUCUAACCCUAAGCAUAGUGAGCAAGACAAAGUUGAUGCAUGAAAAGUUCAUGAGUGUAGCACUUAUAACAUUUGUCAGAUCAGAUCGCUCAACCUUAUGGAAAGAUAAUCUAUCUAUGUAUAUGUCUUUUUCUUUAUAUCUCUCAAUGAUUGAAUGUGUAACAUUUUAGCUCAUAUGAUUAGGAGUGUGGGAUCAUGGAGGUAGUACUAAGAACAAGGAUUAAAGGACUAAACAUGUUGAAUCAGUUGGGUUGGUUAAUCUAGAGUUGUAAAAUCAUACAUGUUUGUCUCUUUUAUUUAUAUGAACGCUAGAACCAAGGAGAAGCUUAUAAAAGUGAUAGUCAAGUACCUUAAGAUGUUACCUUGCUUGAAGAGUGAUUGUACAGUAUCACCUUGUGGAAGCUUUCCUUUCUUAGCGGUUGUGCAUCGUGUUUGUGGCACCCUCCAUGGAUCAUCUCUCUAUGAUGAAUGAGCUAAUGUCUUCUUGGUGCAAUUGUUAAACUUCAUGUGUCACUCUCUUCGUCUCUGAUGUGAGUUUAUCUCAGGACUUCCCAAAUCGAUAUGAAAAGUUUUUCUGCAGGGGUUAGUCCGACAAAAAUAUACCAAUGUCUACACAAGCAGUUUUUAGUUCAAUAACCGAACUUAGACUCCAUGUCUAAUCAGAUUAAGGAAGGCUGUUUAACCUAAGGAUCAUGCUUAAUUUAAAAGCCAAUAGAAGUAUGUGCAGUACUUCCAAACUAACACUUACUAGUAAAUAGACAAAGGUAACAUGACAGCAUUUAUAGAGAUCUACUUAAGUGGAGAUGAAGUAGUGUGAUUAGUAUUUAACAAAUUGAGCAUGUCUUAAAGGUAGGGACAACCAACAUAGCAACAUGGCAAAGGAUGUUUUUAUGUAAAGUACUCCCCCAAGCUUGAAUUUUGCAGAAUUCAAGUCUGGAUGAAUUUAAUUCAGUGUUGCGUGAUGAUUGGUUGGACAUACCUUGUACUUGCUUGUCAUUCAUCUGAUCUUCUUGUUCCAAUCCUGGAAAGGUUAGUGACAAGAAUACCCGAAGGAAUAUUUUUACAAUUAUCCUUAUAUGCUCAAUACACAAGGUAAUGUUGCAAAUAAUUAAAAACUCAUGUUAUGAUUUGAUCAGUGCUUAUUUUAGGACACCAAGCUUGUCCUUGGGAAACCAUCAAUUUAUGUCGGCGAAGUGGUUUCCCUUCCAAUGCUGACCUAAAUCAAGAUCAACUCAACAAGAUCUGCAAUAUUUAUUAUAGACAUGUGAAUCGACAACUGCCCUUUUAAAGUUUUUAUAAAUAGAAAGGAAGAGGGGGUUGGAGAUCUCAAAUGUGGUGAUGUUGGAGAGACCAAUAGAUUGGGAAGAUGUUGCAUAUGAGCAUAGAGUAAACAAAGUGGCUAUGAAAUAAAUUCCAUGCUCAUUAAUGUUAUCUUCGUCUCCAAUCUGAAUAUUUGGAGUUUCUCCUGGAUUGGUCUCACUUAUGUCCUCUUCUAUAGUUGGAUGAAUCCCAUCUUCAAAGGGAGUCAAGAACUCACCAUUAUAAAUUGAACCAAAGUCAGAAUUCAUUAAGGCUUCUUCCUCAUCCAUCCAUUCUACACAUUCUAGCCAUUUAGAACUUGUGAUCAGGAAAGGGGAGGUGUUAGAAUUUUCAAUAUGGCUUAGCUCUCCUUCACUUGAUAUGUCAUCCUCGACUUCUUCAUAACAGGAACCACGACAUUCUCUAAGAGAACCAUUAUUGCGAGGAUUUGAAUUAUCCCUGCUUGAAGGUCUUUUAUGGAACCAGAAGUCUAAACCAUCAGCAUCUGAAAGAUUUAAGGUCGGAAUUCCUUCCUCCCUUGGAGAAUUUUGGGGUAUUGAUGGUUUAGGAUCGAUAGCUAAAGUUUGGAAUUGAAGUGAUUGUGAUCUGGCUAUCGAAACUUCUUCUUCUUGUCUAGGAACUGGUUCUGUCUCUUUCUCAGGGAUAUAAAAGUUAGGAGACUUUCCACUUAAUAAAUUAAUCAAAAUCCAAGCUUCACUAGUCGGUAGGUGAUAGAAGGAUCCUCUAGAGGCUGUAUUCAAGGUUUGCUUAUUUUCCCCACUAAGGCCCUCAAAAAAGUGAAUUAGAAGAACUUCUUCUGGAAUAGAAAGCUUUGGGCCAGUGAGAGUAAGGUUAAUAAAGCGGUCCCAUGAUUUCCUAAGAGAUUCUUCUUCCAGUUGUCUAAAAUAAAUAAUCUCACGCCGAAGUUCCGCCACUUUGGAGAUUGGAAAAUAUUUAGAAAGAAAACUACUAUAUAACUCCUUCCAAUCUCCAUGAACACUCCCUAUUUUGAGUUUGUACCAAUGUCUAGCUUUUCCCGUUAAAGAGAACGGAAAGAGCUUCCAUUUGAAGGUUGUUGACGGUAUUUAUACCAUGUUUUCUACUAUCAUAACCGUCAACAUAAGACUCAUUUUGGGAGAAAACAACCAAACAAAGUAGUAAUAUAGGUACAUAUAACCUAGUUCCACAUGUACAUGCUACUAUUUGGUUGCAGGAGUAAGAACAGGUACUUUUCAAGGGUCCAAACACUAAGAAGGGGUGAAUAACUAAAGAUCAGUGACACCAGUAACCAAGACAACAUUAUAGUCAUGAAGAGGAAGACAUGUAGGACAGGGCUGACACCCUAACCCCAUAGAAUUGGGGUCGGGCGACCCCACUUUGGUGGGUCCCACAGGUCAGCUCAACUCCACCGACAUCAGAGAGCGUCCAGGACACUGCAGGUGGGCCCAACCAGCCAGAUAGGGGGUCGGCCGACCCCACUUCAUGGCGGUUCCAGGGUCGGUUGGCCUCCCACCGACCUUGCCCACAUGUUGCACAUGUUAGUUUGCCUCUACCGUUGAUCAGAUGGCGGUUGUGAAGUCGGUUUGAUCCAAUGGUGCAUGAUGAAGAUGACGCGGAUCGCUGACGUGGCACCGGAGUAGCCCCUACUCCAUCUCCCACUAUAAAUACCCCCCUAUUCCUUCACUUAAGAGUCAUGUAUCUUAGGAGUAAACUACUUUAGUAGCUUAGUGCUAUCAUAGUGAGUAGAGAGUGAGGAGUUCCAAGGAGGAGUCCUGGCCUGUCGGGAGUCUUCUUCGCGGAGCACCUCAGCGGAAGCAGGUCUUCUUGUAAGUCUUACUUCUGAGUCUUUUCUAGUAUUUAAUAUUUGGUCUGGUACUUUAAGUAUAAGAAUCCUUUACUGGCACAUUGCUUGAUCUUGAGUGCUCUUAGCUUUAGCUAAGCUUAGGGUAGCAAGAGCUAGUUUAGACGUGGUGUCUAGACUACUUCUUGCCAGUGUGGACUCCUUGUCGCAGUUGUGUAGACACCUAGUGUGAGAGUGACAGUCCUCGCUAGGCGGAAAGCUCCUCGCAUCUGUUGUAGGCAAGUUGCAAAUAAUAGUUGGGCUGAGCAGGGUAGUCGCUUAGGAGACGGGGAGGUGAAAAACCUCAUUAACUCAAUCCUCCUUUUCGGGUAUCGCCCUCAGUAAAGAGUUAGGUGAAAAACAUUGACUAUACUUAAUUACCAAGACCAGGCAUUAAUACUAGUUAGACCUCUCUACCCCAUUAUCCUAGACCCUUUGAUCAUCACCUAACGAUCUAAAGCCUAGUUAAUUCACUUCGCGUUCCCCGUGGAAAUCACGAUACCUGGAAUACUCCCGGUGAAGGCUACAUUGACUACCGUACGCUUGCGGUAUAACCGUUUGCCACUUCUGGUGUCAACAAGCUUUCUGGCGCCGUUGCCGGGGAACGGUAGCUGUUUUAACUAGGACAAAAAAAUCGUUAAGUUAUCUUUGUUUGAUUUAAAACUUUAUACACAUAUCCAAAUGGAUCAAACAACCCUCUUCGAUUACGCUGCUCCAACGGGCGCUGAGUUGGAGCCAGCGAGUUCAUCAAAAGCCAUUUUGGCCUGUCACUAUGAGCUUCGCCCGAGUCUCGUAGCGAUGGUUCAGGAGAAUCCCUUUUCGGGAGAAGGAGAUGAAAAUCCUUACACACACCUACGAGAUUUCGAACAACUUUGUUCAUGCAUCCACAUCCAAGGGAUGAGGCGAGUUACCCUCAAGUGGAAGCUCUUUCCGUUCUCUUUGACAGGAAAGGCCAGACGGUGGUACACUCGCUAUGCAGGUAGUGUAGGAGGAGAAUGGGAAAAGCUACAAGCCAAAUUCUGCCUCACCUACUUUCCCAUCUCUAGAAUAGCUCGUCUCCGUAGAGAAGUCCUAGACUUCAAGCAAGAAGGGAAGGAGUCUCUAGGUGCGGCCUGGGCGCGUCCCACCGACUUAACAUCAUCUGGCCCAGACUUAGGUAUAACCGAGCCAAUUCUUAUGCAACAUUUUUACAUCGGACUUAGCCAACAAUUCGCACAAUUCCUUGAUUUAGCCUCCAAGGGAGCAUUCCUUCAUUUACCUAUCAGUGAAGGUAAGGCCAUUCUUGGGACUAUUCUCGAGAAUACCCCUUACACUGAUGAUCAUAUUGAAGCUCCUGAGGAAGAUCGAACUCCUAGGGAUGAACCUUCGACAGCCAAAACUCCUUUAGCCGCAACCCAAGCUGUCGAACCUGAACCAAUACCACAAGCACCUCCAAGGGAAGAAGUAAUUCAUCCCUUGGAUUACCCACUUAACAUCGAGACUGAUCUAUUUGCCGAUUUUGGCAAUGUCUCGAAUCAACCUGUGCAAAGGAGAUCUACAGCACGCAAAGCUCCGAAUAGCCAUAUCCCAGCUCAUCUUGAGGCUGGUUACCUCAGGGCAACUGCCCAAGAACUCACGGCUAUUAUGAGUAAUGAAUGGGUUAGAGAAGCUGAGACAUCAUCUGAUGUCAUCAAACUUCUUUCGAGUUUUACACCCAUUCCCUGUGUCAUAAACUCCACUCCUAUAGAAUCCCUUUAUGACCCUGCUGUAGGAGUAAGCCUAAUGUCCAAAUCAUUAGUACUGACACUCCUAGGCGAGGAACCAUUAACCCCGACCAGCAAAUUUCUUAAAUUACCCUCUGGGGAAAUGGUCGAGAGUUGUGGGAUUGCGCAGAAUAUUCCUGUCUCCAUUAACAAAGUCAACAUUCUGCUAAACUUCUUUAUCUUUGAUAUGAAAGAAGUUGACUUGUUAAUCGGGCACCCCAUCAUGAGGUUCCUAAAUGGAUUUCAUGAAGGGCGUUUCAAGGGUAACCUCGGGAAGGGCUUAGACCUUUCUAUGCCUUUUGCCGGCUCUAUUAAUUCUAAAGCCGAGACCCCGCCUGAGCCUGACCCAAUAGAGGAGGUGAUAUCGGCAUCUCUUCUGGACACUUCUCAGCCUGACUUAGAAGAAGACGCCGAAAACUUCAUCCAAGAAGAAGAGAACAAAUUAGAAGAACCAUUAGACUUGGAUGAAUCUAAACCACCACCAAAGCCCUCUAUAGAACUUAAGCCACUUCCCUCUGGACUUAAGUACGCCUUCCUUAAUGGUGAUAGAGAGACUCCGGUAAUCAUUAGUGAUCAACUGACAGAGGAAGAAGUCACCAAACUCAUCACCGUCUUAGAAGAACGCCGCUCUGUCUUAGGAUACUCGUUAGAAGACCUUAAGGGAAUUAGUCCUGCACUCUGCACUCAUCGCAUCCCUAUUGAACCCGAUGCUAUACCUUCCAGGGAGCCUCAGAGAUGGCUAAAUAAUGCGAUGAGAGAAGUUGUGAAGAAAGAGGUCUUAAAACUAUUGCAUGCGGGCAUAAUCUACCCUGUUCCGAACAGUGAGUGGGUCAGCCCCGUUCAAGUAGUUCCUAAGAAAGGAGGAAUGACGGUCGUUAAAAAUGACAACAAUGAACUCAUUCCUCAACGGACCGUCACGGGAUGGAGAAUGUGCAUAGACUACCGAAAACUUAACAAGGCCACUAAGAAAGACCACUUUCCGUUGCCAUUCAUCGAUGAGAUGCUGGAACGGUUAGCCAAACACUCUUUCUUCUGCUUCCUUGAUGGGUAUUCGGGUUACCAUCAAAUCCCAAUCCAUCCCGACGACCAAAGUAAGACUACAUUCACAUGCCCCUACGGAACAUAUGCAUAUAGGCGCAUGUCUUUUGGCCUAUGCAAUGCUCCUGCCUCUUUUCAAAGGUGCAUGAUGUCCAUCUUCUCCGAUAUGAUCGAGGAAAUCAUGGAAGUUUUCAUGGACGACUUCUCCGUCUAUGGGAAAACUUUUGAUGAUUGCCUAAAGAACCUGGACCGAGUCUUACAAAGGUGCCAAGAGAAGCACUUGAUCUUGAACUGGGAAAAGUGCCAUUUUAUGGUUCGAGAAGGGAUAGUGUUAGGACAUAGAGUGUCCGAACGUGGGAUAGAGGUAGAUAGAGCUAAAAUUGAAGUUAUAGAACAGCUCCCUCCUCCCACAAAUGUUAGGGGCGUCCGUAGCUUUCUUGGCCAUGCAGGCUUUUAUAGAAGGUUCAUACAAGAUUUCUCUCAAAUUGCUAGACCUUUAACAAACCUGUUAGCUAAGGAUGCACCCUUUGAUUUUAAUGAUGAGUGCUUGGAUUCCUUUUACUAUCUUAAGAAAGCACUUAUCUCUGCACCAAUCAUUCAACCCCCUGAUUGGUCGCUACCUUUUGAGAUAAUGUGUGAUGCUAGUGAUUACGCUGUAGGUGCUGUCUUAGGACAGACUAAAGAUAAGAAGCAUCAUGCAAUAUCUUAUGCUAGCAAAACACUAACAGGACCACAGCUGAAUUAUGCAACAACUGAAAAAGAACUGUUGGCUGUAGUGUUUGCUAUAGACAAGUUUAGAUCUUAUUUAGUUGGAGCAAAGGUGAUUGUUUACUCUGAUCACGCAGCUCUAAAAUACUUGCUCACUAAAAAAGAUGCUAAACCAAGAUUAAUAAGAUGGAUCCUACUACUCCAAGAAUUUGACUUAGAAAUUAGAGAUAAAAAGGGAGUAGAAAACUCGGUAGCCGAUCACUUGUCUAGGAUGCAAAUCGAGGAUAAACAGGAUCCACCUAUCAACGACUACCUUCGAGACGACACACUCCUCCGAGUUUCAGAAGCCUACCCAUGGUAUGCAAACAUAGUCAACUACCUGGCGUCCGGAUACAUACCACCUGGGGUAGACAAGAAGAAGCUUGUUAAAGAGAGUAGGGUGCACCUAUGGGACGAUCCUUACCUCUACAGAGUCUGUCAAGAUGGCAUACUCAGGAGAUGUGUUCCCAUGGACGAGGCAGUAAAAAUAAUGGAAAAAUGCCAUGGGGCAGAGUACGGAGGCCACUAUGGAGCAUUCAGGACCCAUGCCAAGAUAUGGCAGAGUGGAUUCUACUGGCCUACCAUGUACGAAGAUACAAAGAACUUCGUGAGGAGAUGUGCAAGGUGUCAGAAGCAUGGGAUCAUCAAUACUCGUGAUGCAAUGCCACUCACAAACAACUUACAAGUCGAGAUAUUCGAUGCUUGGGGCAUAGACUACAUGGGGCCAUUCCCUUUGUCACAAGGGUGUGAGUACAUCCUAGUGGCAGUAGACUAUGUGUCCAAGUGGGUCGAAGCAAUGCCCUGCAGAGCAGCCGACUCUACACAUUCGAUAAAGAUGUUCAAGGAAGUCAUAUUUCCACGCUUCGGCACCCCCAGACUAGUUAUCAGUGAUGGAGGGAGCCACUUCAUUGACAGAAGAUUCCGACGGUUCUUAGCUGAAGUGGGGAUAAGGCACAACAUUGGAACACCCUAUCACCCUCAAACGAGCGGACAAGCAGAAACAUCUAACAAACAAAUCAAGAACAUUCUGCAGAAGACUGUCACUAAGAUGGGAACCGGCUGGAAAAGCCAUCUACCAGAUGCACUUUGGGCAUACAGGACCGCAUACAAGACCCCAAUUGGUAUGACACCAUACCAACUUGUAUACGGUAAGACAUGCCAUCUACCGGUAGAGCUAGAGCAUAGAGCUCACUGGGCAAUCAAGAAAUGGAACAUGGAUUUGCCCUCGGCCGGAAGAAAUAGAAAGCUCCAAAUCUCCGAACUAGAAGAAUGGAGAGAUAAAGCCUAUCACAAUGCCAGGAUCUACAAAGAGAGAACAAAAAGAUGGCAUGAUAAAAGGAUCAAGCAAAAGGAAUUUCAUCCUGGGGAUAAGGUUCUCAUGUUCAACUCAAGGGUCAAGUUAUUUGGCCAUGGAAAGCUAAGGAGCAAAUGGGAAGGACCAUUCUUCGUUGUUGACGCCGCGACUCAUGGAGCGGUAACACUGCGGGACGACGACGGCAACAUCUUUAAGGUAAAUGGUCAUCGUCUUAAAGUUUUCCAUGAACAUGAACCUUUAGAAAAAGAAGUUGAUAUGAUAGAAUUUGAAUCUGACAUAAAGUCUUAAAAUCCACAUGUCCUUCUUUUUACCUCCUUUUGUUAAAAAAAAAAUUUUGCUAAACCAAUAUAUUUAGUUCCUUUUGUUUGGAAAUAGGUUUUAAAAGGGUUUUAGAUGAUGUAGGAUCGAAGUUGGGCCGCCGAACACCCCAAAUGGGGGUCGGCCGACCCCUCUUCUAGGGGUUUUGGCCCAAGGCGGAAUAGGUUUAGAAAGAGGGGAAUGAAUAGAGUUCGGUGGUGAAAUUCAAAAUCCUGAAAUAUAGGGGUCGCCCGACCCCCAAUAUUUUGAGUUUUGAAAUCCCCUGGAGUCUCGGAUCGUCCCUCAAACGUUCCACGACGCUCCUUUUCAAAAUUCAAACUCUCAGGCUCCAAACACAUCUAUUUAUCCCCCCUCUUCUUCUUCUUCCUCCUCUCAAUUCAUUCCUUCUCAUCUUCACCUCGAACCAGACUCUCCUAGCCUCCAUUCCUUGCCAAGAGAUCCAUCUCCAUGGCUCCUCCAACUAAAUCUUCCAACCAAGCCAUUCGCUCCAACUCCCCACGUCCGCAAAGGUCUCUAACUGAGAGCCUGGAGUUUGCCCUAGCCGUCAACGUGCUGGAGCCUGAACCACUAGCCAUGGUGCCGCCGGCUGGAGGGCCGACGGGCCCCAUGUGGGGGUCGCCCGACCCCAAGAGGGGUCGCCCGACCUCGCCCCGGGUGACCCAGCGCUCCGCGUCGGCCUCUCGUUCGCUCACACCGUGCAGGGGCAUCGGCAAGUCCCCUGCUCGAGCCGUAACGCCGGUUCGACCUACCACGGGCCAACUUGCGCUACGGGAGAAGGCGCCGAUGGCCACCAAGCAGGCCAUCACCAUCUCAUCCGACACGAUCCACACCUCUUCCUACUCGCCGUCCACCCCAACCUUUUGGAGGAACCACCAAGUGGUGGGCGGUGGGCCGGGAAAGGGGAAGGUGCUGAUCCCGCCGUUGAACUCUAAGGAAAAGAUGGAGUUGCGAGAGUCCUUUGACUCGUCAGCAAGUCCAUCCAUCCGGCGGAAGAUGGAUCCACCUCCGAUCAACGGUGCGCCUGGCAAAUACGAAGAAGAUCCAGAAAAAGGCGACAUCGAGAAGCUCCUGGAAGUCACAGCUAGCCUUAGAAAGAAAAAUAGGAUCUUAGAGGAGACAGUGUCGGAGCUCAGGAUGGAGAAUCUUGAGUUAGAAGAUCACUUCCGCCACCUGCGCAUUAGCACCAGCGCUAAAAUCAAGCGUUUGGCACAAGCAAUUGGGCGGGAGGAUCUCCUCAAACCUCCAUCUCCCUAAAUAAAUUAGUUAGUUUAGGUUAUAGGCACUAUUUGAUUAUUUAGGUUUGAUUACUCAAUUUUAUUUUCCAAUUUGUCACUUUGAAUUUCACAAUGUAAAAGUGCCUAUACAAUUGAAAUUUGAUUUAAUAGAGUUGUUUUUGGUCCUGCUGGUGUGUUGCCACCAGCAGGACGUCUGCAUUUGAUCAUCUCUCUCUGUUGUAAGUUCAGCUGCACGAAAACCGCAAGUGUGGGGGGGUCGCCCGACCCCCCAACUUCAUCUCUGAACUGCCGUGAGCAUGGAACAACACUGCAUACACCUCGGCACGUCAUGGCACCAAAAACAGGCGCGAUGAGGGGGUCGCCCGACCCCCUUUCUAUGGCAAAAGGAAACGACACAAGUGCAGAAAGACUUCCCGAGGGACGUAGAAUCGAGUGGCAGGGCCAGGAACCUCCAGGUGGGGUCGGCCGACCCUUCCAUGGAGCCCUGGGCCCACCAGGAAGCUUCUAUACGACGAAACACAUCUUUCCUGCCCGGUUUGCUAACUCUUCCCCCUCUCAGUCUGUCCAAUUCUUUACCAUUGUGUCACAAUUAAAAUAAAAUUUGAUAGUUUAAACUUGUUUGCAAAAUAAAAAGUGAACUGGUUCAUGAUUUAAGAGAAAUUGUGACAUAAAGUAUAGUUCUUACAAUUGUUCAUCCUCAUGGGUAAAAAUCUAUAGGAACCAUAUUGACUAAGUUGUUGAUGAAAGUGAUAUAACUCUUGGCUAAGAAUUCAUAACACUUCUAUUCAAGGUACUUAGAGAUUUGUUUCAAAAAUAUCACAAAACCAUAGUAUCAUUUACUCCUCAUUAGCAAGAAAUUCCCACCAAAAGCCAUACACUUAGAUAUUCAAGUAACCAUUUUAUGAAAUGCAACCUGCUUUUGUAAUGAGUUUUGUCAAAACCUUGUUGACCCUAGUGAGAGUUGUAUCAUAGUCACAAGAUCAAGAUCACGUACACACCACAUAUAUAUAUGCUGCUUCUACACUGGAAGUACACAACCACAUGUAUUGUGCAUCCACUAAAUAGGUUGCUCCAUACUCUAAGUGUUAGAACACCUCUCUAAAUAUUGUUUAGAAAAUGAGACAUAAAAGGCUUGGCAAAAUAAAAGAAAAAGAAAAAAUGGACAUGUGCAAGUCCAUGAAGUAUUUAAAAAAAAAAAUUUGAGCACAUAAAGCUCGAAGAAAAAGAAAAUCUAGCCAUGUCUCAAUAUACAAGUAGAGAGAGUGUAGCAAAUAAAGGAGCAACCUAGUCCACCAUAUAACACACUUGCACAUAUUGAUCUAUGACUAUGACACUCCUCUCUUUGGAUCCUUGUUUUUGACUUAACCAUAUUUGCAAAGUAGAGUAUGCUACCUUGUUUAUCCCUACCAAGCCCCAUAUAAGCCUAUAGUUAUAGGAUGAAACAAGUUGGCAUUCAUGCCUUGGCGAGGACUACUAAAAAAAAAACUUUGAGUGAUCUAGAGCGCUAAAUGAGGAGUAGGAUUGAACUAUGUGACUUAUUUUAAAAAGUGUCAUAAAAACUCUAAGUACCAAGAAUAUGAAAUUGGAAUUUGAUCUUGUUCUGAGAGUUGUUCCUUUUCUCAACCUCUGAAGGAUAUAUGCUAGACACUUACACAAAAACCCAUUUGGAUGAACUAUGUUCGAACUAGCAUUUUAUGCUCACUACUAUCUUAAGUUAGAAACCAUUGAUCACUCAUUUUUAACCUUUACUCGAGGACGAGCAAAGACUCAAGUGUGGGGGGUCUUGUUGACGGUAUUUAUACCAUGUUUUCUACUAUCAUAACCGUCAACAUAAGACUCAUUUUGGGAGAAAACAACCAAACAAAGUAGUAAUAUAGGUACAUAUAACCUAGUUCCACAUGUACAUGCUACUAUUUGGUUGCAGGAGUAAGAACAGGUACUUUUCAAGGGUCCAAACACUAAGAAGGGGUGAAUAACUAAAGAUCAGUGACACCAGUAACCAAGACAACAUUAUAGUCAUGAAGAGGAAGACAUGUAGGACAGGGCUGACACCCUAACCCCAUAGAAUUGGGGUCGGGCGACCCCACUUUGGUGGGUCCCACAGGUCAGCUCAACUCCACCGACAUCAGAGAGCCUCCAGGACACUGCAGGUGGGCCCAACCAGCCAGAUAGGGGGUCGGCCGACCCCACUUCAUGGCGGUUCCAGGGUCGGUUGGCCUCCCACCGACCUUGCCCACUGUUGCACAUGUUAGUUUGCCUCUACCGUUGAUCAGAUGGCGGUUGUGAAGUCGGUUUGAUCCAAUGGUGCAUGAUGAAGAUGACGCGGAUCGCUGACGUGGCACCGGAGUAGCCCCUACUCCAUCUCCCACUAUAAAUACCCCCCUAUUCCUUCACUUAAGAGUCAUGUAUCUUAGGAGUAAACUACUUUAGUAGCUUAGUGCUAUCAUAGUGAGUAGAGAGUGAGGAGUUCCAAGGAGGAGUCCCGGCCUGUCGGGAGUCUUCUUCGCGGAGCACCUCAGCGGAAGCAGGUCUUCUUGUAAGUCUUACUUCUGAGUCUUUUCUAGUAUUUAAUAUUUGGUCUGGUACUUUAAGUAUAAGAAUCCUUUACUGGCACAUUGCUUGAUCUUGAGUGCUCUUAGCUUUAGCUAAGCUUAGGGUAGCAAGAGCUAGUUUAGACGUGGUGUCUAGACUACUUCUUGCCAGUGUGGACUCCUUGUCGCAGUUGUGUAGACACCUAGUGUGAGAGUGACAGUCCUCGCUAGGCGGAAAGCUCCUCGCAUCUGUUGUAGGCAAGUUGCAAAUAAUAGUUGGGCUGAGUAGGGUAGUCGCUUAGGAGACGGGGAGGUGAAAAACCUCGUUAACUCAAUCCUCCUUUUCGGGUAUCGCCCUCAGUAAAGAGUUAGGUGAAAAACCUUGACUAUACUUAAUUACCAAGACCAGGCAUUAAUACUAGUUAGACCUCUCUACCCCAUUAUCCUAGACCCUUUGAUCAUCACCUAACGAUCUAAAGCCUAGUUAAUUCACUUCGCGUUCCCCGUGGAAAUCACGAUACCUGGAAUACUCCCGGUGAAGGCUACAUUGACUACCGUACGCUUGCGGUAUAACCGUUUGCCACUUCUGGUGUCAACAAAGGUCUCAUCAGACAUUCCUUCUAUGCGAAGGAGGUCACAGACUCGAUAAAACCCUCUUAGGUGUGUGUAUGGGUUUUCCUCACCUUCUCCUGAGAAAGGUUGUUUUUGAACAAAUUCUAUGUAUUCGGGGUCUAUCUCAAAACUAGAUGCUAUGAUAGGCUUUGAAGAUUUUGGUGGUUCGAGAUGUGUGCCCGUAGGUCUAUGAAAUUCAUAGAGAGACAUGUUUGAAUUCAUGACAGACUAGAGAUCAAGGAUUAAAUAAGAAGAAAGAAUAGCAGAGAUGAGGCAAAGGAUAAAAGGAAAUAUAUAUAUAUAUUUUUUAUUUUUUUUUUAGAAAAUGAUUAAGCUAGUUCGUAGUCAACUAAGCAACCGUUGAAGAUUUUACCCGGUUAAAGGUUUUAUCGUAUCCACAGGGAGACGGGUGAACUGAUCUACGCUCUAACUUAACCAAGAUAAGUAAAUAGGUGUAAAUAGGAAAGAUGGUAGAAUCGAAUAAGAACAAUAUUAAAGGUAAGAUAACAGUGAGUGAGAAUAUGGGAAUAGAGAAUAGAGCAAUUCUAGUAUAUCGGCAAUGGUAGCAGAAUAGAGAGGAUAACUAUGGUUUCUCUACUUCAAAGGGGUAUGUCUAUGUCUGGGGCGAACCACAUGAUAAGAUUACACCACAAAGGAUGCUUAUCCAUAGGCCGAUAAAGCCUACCCGUCCUGCUAACGAGAGGUGGACUACAGAGAACCAACGUAACUAUCACCUACGCGGCCUACCACACGAUCCAGCUAGACACGGGAUAUCCACAAGUAAUCUAGGUCUAAGCACCUCGCUUACACCUAUACUACAACUCUAACCUAUAGCGUCCUAUAGAUUAGAAGUACUCAAAAGAGUUGUGAACCAGAACAUACAUGAUUAGUAAUUGCAUAAUGAAUUAGAAGUAGAUUACCAGAGUCAUCCCAUGAGCAAGCUUGAUUAGAGCUUGAUUAUGACGAAGUAUAACCGGAGGAAGAACCGACAGGCCGUCCUCUCCUCUAAUCCUCCUUCUCUCUCCAUCUCGCUACUAUCUAGAUCUACUCUAGUUUAGAGAAGAGAGGAGAGCUCUCAUCUCUAAACCCUAGCUUUUGCUCUGUCUAUGAAUAAUGAUCAAGGGGUGCCUCCUCCAGGGGCCAGGGGGUCUGGUUAUAUAGUCCCCUCAAGUGAACCUGGGCCGUCGGAUCAAACCAACAUUGAUUGAACAGUUAUUCUUAAUCCUUUAGGUCGGUGGAGACCUCCCGAGAGAAAGAGUACUGAUUGGGCUCCAAGUCAGGGCGGGCGCCCAGGGCAGGAGGGCGGGCGCCCUGCCUCUGGCCCCGUUCGGCCUCCGCUUCCUUCCCGUGGCUUCUAGAGUCUUCUAGAUGUAAGAUAAUUGCACGGCACAUUAAUAUCUCUAUGUAAUCCCAACGUGUGGGCCUUUCUUCCGUAUUUCCUGAUAACCCCCUGCAGAAAUAGACAAACACCAAAACUCGUGGAAUUCUGUCACAUAAAACCCUAAGUCUAGAUGUUGAUUUCAUUUGGAUCCUUUUCUUUGUUUAUUUGAUAAUUAAAUUUGAUACUUAAGGACCGUCAACAAUAUCCACAAGUAAUCUAGGUCUAAGCACCUCGCUUACACCUAUACUACAACUCUCACCUAUAGCGUCCUAUAGAUUAGAAGUACUCAAAAGAGUUGUGAACCAGAACAUACAUGAUUAGUAAUUGCAUAAUAAAUUAGAAGUAUAUUACCAGAGUCAUCCCAUGAGCAAGCUUGAUUAGAGCUUGAUCAUGACGAAGUACAACCGGAGGAAGAACCGACAGGUCGGCCUCUCCUCCAAUCCUCCCUCGCUCUCCAUCUCGCUACUAUCUAGAUCUACUCUAGUUUAGAGAAGGGAGGAGAGCUCUCAUCUCUAAACCCUAGCUUUUGCUCUGUCUAUGAAUAAUGAAUAAUGAUCAAGGGGGUGCCUCGUCCAGGGGCCAGGGGGUCUGCUUAUAUAGUCCCCUCAAGUGAACCUGGGCCGUCGGAUCAAACCGACAUUGAUUGGACGGUUAUUCUUGAUCCUUUAGGUCGGUGGAGCAUAAUCCGCGAGAUUGAGCGUGAUUGGCCGAAAUAGGUGGGCGGGCGCCCUGUCCCUGAGCCCUCUCGGCUUCCGCUUUGUUCCCGUGGCUUCUGGAAUCUUCUAGAUGAUAGAAAAUUGCGUGGCACGUUAAUAUCUCUAUGUAAACCCGACCUGUGGGCCUUUCUUCCGUAUUUCCUGAUAACCCCCAGCAGAAAUAGACAAACACCAAAACUCGUGGAAUUCUGUCAGAUAAAACCCUAAGUCUGGGUGUUGGUUGCAUUUGGAUCCUUUUCUUUAUUUAUUUGUUGAUUAUAUUUGGUACUUAAGGACCGUCAACACCGACACCAGCCCAAGUCAUCGAUGGACCGAUUACACGUAGUCGUGCAAAGAAGCUACAACAAGAGGUCCACGCGCUACUUUGUGAGAUUCAUUUUAAUAUUAAUGAGACUUAUAUACUACCUAAGUGUUGUACCUUGAUUGUACUCAGGUAUAUAGAAGAAGAGAAGGAUGAAUCGGACCCUGAAGAACGGACCAGUGCAAGUUCCAGAAGAAGUAAAAAACGGACCAGUGGAAGUAAAAAAUGGAGCACUGCAAAGAAAUCUUCAUAACUUUUUACUCACAAAAGCUAUGAAUGUCCAUGAGUACUUGUUGGAAAGCUUGACGAGUCUACUUUCCAAUGAAUCUAGUGGCGAAUAGUUUCGGUACACCAUAAUGCCUGCAAACCAGAAUUAGUACAGACUGCUUAGAAGGUCAACAGUCUGUCGUGACAGAAUGUUGGUACAAUUUGCCAAGCAAAACUGUACCAAUCUACAAUGUUUCAUGCUGGUUGGCAUACAUUGCUGGAAAGCUCUUUGAGUCUAGUUUCACACCCAAGAAACGGUUCAUCAUUUGGACUUCCCAAAAAGUUAUGGUCAGUUUAUUAGAAACUGCUCUGGAGGCCAAUGAAAGGUCCUUGUUUGGUUUUGGUAAUUGAGUGACAACUUAGGUGGACUAAUAGUAUUUAUGUCAGAUAUACAGGAGAUUAGUCCACAGAUGGAUAUGUGAUGAUAAAGGAACUCAUUGCAUAUGAGACAUGACAUGGAGUCAUGUGACCAAGGUGGAGAAGAUCAAGAUGAGGCUUGGCUCGAUGGACUAGUUGCAAGUGUGAAGGGCAAGUCAGAGGCUUUGAAGCGAGGGACCGCAUGUGACGGUGAAGCUUGUGCAAGACUUGGCACCAAUGGACCAAGGCAAUGGUGAAGAGCAAGUGAGGUCAAGAUUGAUGAACCAAUACGGUCAUGUGAUGAUAUGAAGUGGAUCAUAUCAUUUGUGACUGGUUGGUGCAUGUGUUGCAUCAACAUUGAAGGAGAUGGAAUGAAAUACGCAAGGCAAAGGUAUAACCUAUAGGGCAUUUCAUUUCACCGGUCUAAAUUGAGUAGAGAAGUGCUUGACCGGAUUUGGGAUAGAUAACCGUACUUUAAAGAGGGGAAAUCUUUAAUUGCAAUGGUUAUCUAGUGCCACUAAGUGUGAGUCUCUUUUGCAUAUAAAUAGCGCUUAGUGACGUGGUGAGAAUACUUGAGAAAGCCCUAAAAAUUAUUUGUGAAAUGCUAACUUAAGUGCUCAAUUGUUUUUGGUACUUUGUGGGAAAGUUAGCACCUUAAAAAAAGGGGUUUUGAGUUGGAAAACCGAGCUAGUAGUCAUGCCCAAAUAGCAAGUGGUCGAUCGGAAUUAUUCACUGCCCUACCUAGAUAUUCUAGUGUUUGUGCUUGCAACAGAGAGGGGUCGAUCGGAAUUAUUUCCUACCCGCACUGGAAUUUUUCCGAUUGAGCUCAGAUCUAACCCACGCCAACGGUCAAAAGUGUGUUCGCCUGGUAUUAUUUCCUACCCGCACUGGAAUUUCCUGCGAGGCUGAAUCUGACCGUUGGGAGCGCGAGCUGAGGUAUUUGGGGCUGCUGUUGCCCUCUUCCUCCUCACUUCUCUCCCCAUUUUCUCACUUUAGGAGAGCAAGCAAGUUAGGGUUCUUCCUCUCCUCUCUCUCUCUCCCAUGGAUUUGAGCUGAAAUUUCUUAGAAAUAUUGAGAGCCCUUUGUGGGUGUGGAUGAGAGGUUGAAGAUCCACCUUUUCCCCUUCCUCUCCCUCUCAUGCUUGGUGCUAUUUUGAGUGAGGGAGUGAGAGCCUAGUGUGUGCUUUCGUGAUUUGCAUUUGGUGACACUAGGAAAUCUUUGUGAUUGGGGAUUUCUUGUUACUCUUGGUGAUUGCCAUCACCUAGACGGUUUGGUGGAUUGUGAUUCCGUUUGAAGCACGCGAGAAGACUGUGCGGUCCUCCGGAGGAGGAUUUGUGAGGGGUAAGGUGCUCACCCCGCGGGGAUCGCGAAGAGUAACUCUAGUGGAUUGCUUGUGGCUUGGAGGAUCCCCAUCUUGAGAGUGGAUGUGCGGCACCCACUGAGGGUUUGGCUUUGGAAUACCAAUUAGCUCGUGAUCCAUCAAGUGGGUGUAUCGCCACAACGAGGACGUAGCUUGGUGGCAACCAAGUGAACCUCGGUAAAAAUCACUGUGUCAACAUUGUCUACUCUUCUCGGUGGUUUGCAUUCGACUUACACAAGCUUGUAUUUACAUUCUAUAUCUUAUGCUUGUGUAGAUGCUCUUGUAACUAGUCUUGCUUGUGUUGCUUGAAAGUUACCUUCUUGCUUGUGUAGCUAGAAGUAGUUCCCUUGCGUGGCUAAUUUGGUUUGUGUAACCUUGUUAGUCACUUUGCUUAGUUUGUGUAACUAAGUAAGUUGCGCUCUCUAAUUUGGCAUUAGUUGCCUUGUUAUUGAGCUUGCUAGUGAGCUUAGGAGCUUCGUGCUUUUGCUUACUAGUUGUAUAGGAGCUCCCCGGUUUGCAAAGUACUAGUGGCAUAGGUUUGUGUGACCUUGCUCCUAGAAUUGGUUAGAUGAGCUCUUGCUAAGGAAGCACCUUGUUUUCUUGUUUAUGAUCUUUUAUAAGGUGCUAGAGAACUUAGAUAGAGGGGUGUAGUCUUGGCUAGACCGAUAGUUUUAAUUCCGCAUUUAUUUCGGUUAGCCGGUGCAAUAAGUUUUAGAAAGGACUAUUCACCCCCCCUCUAGUCCGCCAUCUCGACCCUUGUUGGGUAUUUUAAACGCAAACAGAAAAAUCCGCAAGCGCACGGAUACCGAUGUAGCCUUCACCCGGGAGUAUUCCAGAGUAUCGAUUUUCCACAGAGAACGUGAGUGUACUAAUUAAGAUCCAAGAUCGCCCAAGGAUAACUAUAUAAUUAUUUUUGGUGGGGAAGAGAGGAAGUUUCCUGAGAGUUCUCUAGUUGAUCUAAGAAUCAAGAAUUACUUCAAGAUUAUUUAUAUCGGGACAUCAGAGCACUAACCACAGAAAGAGAUGAGAAGGAGGCUAGGAAGCUCUGACUACGGUCCUACAAACACUGAUCCGAACAAGGUGGAAUACGUCGACUGUUAGGGCUGUCACAACCCUAAGGCUACCACAACAAUCCGCAGGAUUGGGUGCAAUUCCAGGUAAUUGCAAGACUAAACACCACGUCUUAUCUAUUAAUUACUACUCUAGCGUUAUAAAGACUAGAGCACUUGAUGCAAGCGGGAAUCCAAUAAAUAACUUGAAUGUAAAUAAAAGUAAUUAGAGAACUCAGGAAUUAUGAAUUGAAGAACCUGGAGAACGAUGAAGAACGAACCAGUUGCUGCAAAAGUAUAAUGUUGACGAAGAUCCGACAGAUCCGGCUCCUCCUCCGCUCUCCUCUUCUCUCUCCCUAUUUUCUUGAUUACAACUAGAACUAACUAGAACUAAAACUAGAGGAACUAGAACUAGAACUAGAUGAACUAGAACUAGAUAUAGAUGAACUAGAGGUAGAACUAGAAGAACUAGAGGGAUCCUCUCUACUUGGAUGAAGAAUUGAAACCCUAACUUUGAUUCUGUAGAAGAGGUAUGCUCUCCAGGGGCCAGGGGGCCUUGCUUAUAUAGUCUUUUCAGAUGAAUCUGGGCCGUCGGAUCAAACCGACAUUAAUCGCACGGUUUUCCUUGGUCCCUUAGGUCGGUGGAGCACGAUCCGCGAAGUUGAAGCUGAUUGGUUACUGUAGCUGGGCGGGCACCCAAGGGGGGAGGGCGGGCGCCCUGCCCUCGGGCCCGAUCGGCCUCCCGUUCGUUUCCGUGGCUUCUGGAGUCUUCUAGAUGGUAGAAAAUUGCGCGGCACGUUAAUAUCUCUACGUAAACCCGACGUGUGGGCCUUUCUUUCAUAUUUCCUGAUAACCCCCUGUAGAAAUAGACAAACACCAAAACUCAUGGAAUUCUAUCAGAUAAAACCCUAAGUCUAGGUGUUGGUUGCAUUUGGAUCCUUUUCCACAAUUAGUUGAUGGUUAAAUGUGAGCAUUAAGGACCGUCAACAAGCUCCUCCAAGCUUAACCUUUGCUCGUCCCUGAGCAAAGAUGAACUUAAGAGUUUCUGCAGUGGUUUCAUGCCUUAAAGAUAUACAUGCGUUCAAACAAGAUCUCAUCUCUAGGUUAGGGUAAACUGUUAAGAUUUAAACUUACUCAUAUUACCUUUCACCAUGGGGCUUGUAACCGUCACUUGUGUCUUGAGCAGUUAAAAGAUAGAACGGUCUAGUCAAGCGCCAUGUCUCAUGUUCUUCGAUUAACUAUAGCUCUGGAGUUUUUGCAGAUUUUCAAAUAAAACUCAGAGAUUCCUUGUAUGACUCUCUCUAGUCUCUCUUUUCUGGUAUUUCUGGAUCCUUACCAAGGCAGUAAAGGUGUAUGCCUUCUCUCAAAGUAUGUGGUAUUUUUGGUAUGAGGCAUAGUGACAUUGCCUUCUCUCUCACCAUACUCUAAUAAGGUUUUGAUAUUGGAACUCAUAGGUGGGAGACAGCAAAUACAUACUUACAAGACAUUUAUUGCAUAGUCAAACCAUGGAUCCAGAGAAACAAGUCAAUAAGUCAAAUCAAGAUGUGCAAGUGUGGCAAAUGAAUGAUGCAUUGUAAUGAUGGUGAUAACAAUGGUGAAAGUCGUUUCUUGCUCUUUUGAAACUUUUUGAGGAGAAUGAGAUGCUCUAUAUUUUCUUUUUCUUUUCUCUCAGGGGGGUAUCUUGUACCCCUAAUUCUACUGUCGGACACUUGUCCAUUUUUACCUCUCGUCUCACUUUUUCUUUUCUUUCGAGGUUCCGGGCAAUUGCCCCUUUUUAUUUCCUCGUAUUCUUUCUCUUUUUUUUCUCUCUUUUUUUAGAGCACUCAUCUCAUGAGAUAAUAUAGCAAGUGGUAGUAACAAGAUAACUUGAGCAUUUAUUUCAAGGGGAAAAACAGAAAUCUUUUUGGCUAUUCUCUCCCGGAUUAGGAGUAGAAUAUUUUUGGGUGGUUCUGGAGAUGGAAAUGGAUGGAUAUAUGUGAGUGCGUACUUCCGAAGUAGAAGUAGCAUGUAUGAGUGAACGUGCAAGUGAAUCUUGAUUUAACCACAUGACAAGCUCCUAAGGGUCUACAAAGCUUGACCACACUCAAUGCUCAUAAGCAGUAAAAAGUAAAUGUGUGGCUCAAAGUCUAGCAAGCAUGUAUAUAUGGCUGUGGUAGGAAUUUAAACUCUCAUCAUACAGGAACUCAUCAUGCAACAUUUUAAAGAUUUUCAAAGAUAAAAUUCUCUAGAAUUCUAGCAUCUCGAGGAACAGAUAAACAGCAGCUCAACCUUCCCAUAUCAUAUCCGUUAACGACUUAGACUUUGGAUCAAGUACUCUUCCCAUAAGUUCAGGUUUAGAGCAAAUCUUAAUUAAUAACAGUCAUGCCUAAACUUAAGAGAGAUUUCAAUUUUGAGAACUAGUCAUGGUAGAGCAACUAUUCAUCAUUUCCAUUUGAGAGCUUAUCAUGAGGGUUCAUAGCAAAUUUUAUUUAUUUAUUUAUUUAUUUAGCAAACUAAGCAAAGAUAUAUAUAAGCACAAAAUCUUUAUUUGGGUUUAUAUGAUUAUGCAUCUUUUUAUUAUUUGAGUAAAAUAUAAACAUGACUAGAAUACUUAGCUGGAUAAAUGGGGGUGCUCUCCCCCAAGCUGGAUUUUGACGUAAUUUCUCCUGAUGUAGCUAGCAGGUGGUGGAGAUGUAUUUGAAUGUCAGCAGCGCCCUGACAGCGACUAGGAUGUCCUCUGUAUGCUAGUCUUCUUUGAUCCUUGAAUUCUCUUGGCAAGGCAUUCGGUGUUUUUUAAGUCCUCCAAACGGGACUCUCCGUUUUCUCAGUUGUCCUAGGAUUCGCUGGAUGGCGUAGUCGGUGGUUCCGGCGGCGCCUGCUCUUCGUGUAUAACUAUCUUCUCUCUACACACCUGACUCGGUGCUAUGGUCUCCUCAGGAUAGUUCUGUUCAAGUUGUAUGUCUUCAGACCUCACUACUUCUCCUUCGUAGUCUGCCCAUCCAUCCUUGAUGAUUUGCCUCCUCUGGUUGUGGUUGCGUCAUCUUCUUCUUGUCCUGACCAGCUUAGAGUCUUCAACUAUAUAGUUAGAGUCAGUAAAAUAGCGGCGUACCUUCUCAGAGGGGAAAUGCAUGUGGGCUUCUCUGGUUCCAAUGUAGAUGAUUGCUUUAAUGGUGCUGAGGAACGGUCUCCUAAGGAUGAUGGGUGGAUCUACUCGUCUUCUCCCAUGUCAAUAACCUUCAACCUUCCGGAAUGUCUGAUCUACCAUCUGGAGCUGAAUGUAUGUCGGUUUUAGGGGUAUGGUUCCGAAUAGGAGCUGAUAAGUGACUGCGGCCAUUAUGUUGACGCCUGACCCGGUGUCGCAAAGCUUCUUCUGGAAGUUGUAUCCAUUAAUGGAGCACUAGAUGCUUGGCAUACUUGGGUCGUCCUUUUUGGUCAUGAAUGGUGACUUAAGUCGACGGGCUUGUCCUCCUUGAACUGCAGUGACCAUCUUAGCUGACUUGGUCCACAUUUGCUUGAUCCUAUUCCUCUAGUUGGUCCUCUUCCUUGGUUCAUGUCGGAAUUGCUCUAACAUUUGUGUAGCCUUGUUCUUGAAGGAAAACGUCUCCUUCCUCCCUUUGAUGUAGAAACUGAUCUUGGCAGCACUAGCGUGGAUGACAGCUCCUGAGGUGUUCAGGAAUGGCCUCCCUAGGAUGAUGGGUGCCCUCUCAUCAGUACCAGUCUCUAUCACCACGAAGUCUACUGGAGCGUAUAAGGUACCAACUCGGAUGCAGAGGUUCUUCAAUAUUCCCUUUGGGGAACUUAGUGUCCGAUCUGCAGGCUGCAAACACAUAGUUGUUUCUAGUAAAGGAUGUGGAAAGAAUUUUUCAUAGAGUACCCUGGGCAUAAUGUUGACGCUGGAGCCAAAGUCGUAGAGUGCUUCUAGGAAGUCCACCAUGCCGAUGGAGAUCGGGAUGACAGGGCGUCCUGGAUUGUCUCUCUUGACCGACAGAAGGUCAGUAAUUACUUCCACAAUGGGGUUACUCCAGUAGUUACGUCCUCAAGCAUCUCAGGGCAGUGAUUGCCUGAGUGUCCAGUAUCUCCAAUGUGUUUGUGCUCGUAGAUCUAGGUUCUUCACUUGGUGGAGUCUGGGAGUUGUAAAAGUCCUUCAUAUUUUGCUCGAAGUGUACUUGCUCAUAGAGACAAGGCAGAGAUCAAGUGCAUGGGCCCUGUUGGUGGAAAACACCAACAGAACCAAAAGUGUAUUUGUUCUUCUCUAACCUUAAGCAUAGUGAGCAAGACAAAGUUGAAAGAUAAUAAGAUCAUGAGUGUAGCAUUUAAAGCAUUUGUCAGAUCAGAUCGCUCAACCUAAUGGAAAGAUAAUCUAUCUAUAUUUAUAUUUUGUUUAUAUCUUCCAGAGAUUGAAUGUGCAACAUUUUAGCUUAUAUGAUUAGGAGUGUGGAAUCACAAAGGUGGAAGGACUAAACAUAUUGAAUCGAUUGGGUUGGUUAAUCUAGAGUUGUAAAUCAUACAUGUUUGUCUCUUAUAUUCAUGUGAGCUUAUAGAAGUGAUAGACAAGUACCUUAAGAUGUUACCUUACUUGAAGAGUGAUGGUACAGUAUCACCUUGUGGAAGCUUUCCUCUCUUAGUGGUUGUGCAUCGUGUUUGUGGCACCCUCCAUGGAUCAUCUCUUGUGAGCUAUGCUUUCCUUGUGUAAAUUGUUAAACUUUAUGUGUCUCUCUCUUUGUCUCCAAUGUGAGUUUGUCUCAGGACUUCCCAGGUCGAUAUUGAAAGUUUUCCUGUAGGGGUUAGUCCAACAAAAUAUCCAAUAUCUCCUAUAGCAUACUAUCGGCUCAAAGAUCAACCUAGACACCAUGUCUAAUUUGAUUUAGGAGGGAAUUUUAACAUAAGCAUCAUGCUUAAUUUAAAAUCCUUUGGAAGUAAGAUCAUCAUAACUAAACUAAGCACCAUGCUUAAUUAAGAGAUAAAUGAAACUACUCCAAACCUAGACAUAUACUAAAGCAAAUAAAGGAAGCAUGAAAGCAUUUAUAGAGAUCUACUCAAGUGGAGGUGAAGUAGUGUGUUUAGUAUUUAACAAAUUGAGCAUGUCUCAAAGGUAGGGACAACCAACAUAGCAACAUGGCAAAGGAUGAUUUUAUGUAAAGUACUCCCCAAGCUUGAAUUUUGCAAAAUUCAAGUUUGGAUGAAUUUAAUUCAAUGUUGUAUGAUGAUUGGUUGGACAUACCUUGUGCUUGUCAUUCAUCCGAUCUUCUUGCUCCAAUCCUGGAAAGGUUAGUGACAAGAAUACCUGAAGGAAUAUUUUUACAAUUAUCCUAUAUAUGCUCAAUUCACAAAGUAAUGUUGCAAAUAAUUAAAAGCUCAUGUUACAAUCUGAUCAAUGCUUGUUUUAGGACACUAAGCUUGUCCUUGGGAAACCAUCAAUUUAUGUCAGCGAAGUGGUUUCCCCUCCAACGCUGACCUAUAUCAAGAUCAACUCAACGAGAUCUGCAAUAUUUAAUAUAGACAUAUGCAUCGACAACCGCCCUUUUAAAGUUUUUAUAAAUAGAAAGGAAGAGGGGGUUGGAGAUCUCGAAUGUGGUGAUGUUGGAGAGACCAAUGGAUUGUGAAUAUGUUGCAUAUGAGCAUGGAGUAAAUGAAGUGGCUAUGAAAUAAAUUCCAUGCUCAUUUCUGCUUAGAGUGAAAUCCAUGUGGUAUGGUGAAAAUGAUAAGGUGAGUGUGUGUCGAGGGUAUCAGUCAGGGGUAUCCUGACUGAUGCAUAUAACGAGAUUACCUUUAAACAGAUCGAGGCCCUCAACUCGAUGUUCUAGUCAGCUGUACAUGCGGUCGUCGACGGCCGCAACCUCGAAGACGGAAAAGGCGUCGAGCGAACCGCUCAGGGGGCGAGCACCAACUACCAUCGAAUACGGAUGUGGGCUCGAGCGAACCAGGAGGCGUCGAGCGCAAGGACACCAUCCGCUGCCUGACACGCGCACAAGAGCCCGGGCAUUUAAUGUGCCUGCCGCUUUCCCACCUAACGCGCCGGUCACAGGAAGCGUGAUGGGGAACAGGCACCCGUCCCAUCGUUCUUUUUGCAGCCUUCCCCACCAAAUGACCCAGAGCGUAUCAGGGCGCGAGAAGCCGGAAUGGAACGUCUAAUCAGGACCCCCUCGAGACGCCAAAAGUCAAAACUCAGGAAAGCAAGGCGCUGCAUGGCAUUCGACCCUCGACUAGACAUGUUUCCUUCCUAGGGAAGGGUUGGGCGUCAACUGACAGCACUGCCACCACUCUGACGUAUCAGCCGCCACGACGUACAAGCGUGCAACGGACGAACUGGCCCAAGACGGCGUACAGAGCGGGAUAUGAGGGCACGCGUAAUCAUCAUCAAGCUACCAUGGUAAGACGGCUCGAGACCACGCCGGUACGGAGGCCUCGAGUAGGUCAGCGUGCCAUGCCUCUAUUGACCCCUACCCUGUCACCUAUACAUGUACCCUAGGUCUCUCCUUGGAGCUAUAAAAGGGGAGGCCCGGGAAUGAACGCAGGACAUCACGCAAGACAACACUCAUACGCAGUAGAACUUCCAUACUACACCUCAUUCCAUACCACACUUGUAUUUGCCCCUGUACAAGCACUUAGGUGCAAGAUAAUACAAACUCUCCUCCCCCGCUGGACGUAGGGCCUUCUCUUGCCCGAACCAGGAUAAAUCUUUGUGUCUUCUUGCAUCACCAUCCGGAAAAGGGAAGCACACAUACAAAUUCACUCGUUGGUGUGACCCCCUGUGGGGAAAACACCGACAGUUUGCGCGAAAACACCGACAGUUGGCGCGCCAGGUAGGGGUCCUGCAUGUUUUUCAUCGAUUUCCCACUCCUUUCCAGAUGGCCACUCUCGCCUCGCCGAUUCCGCGCUCCACGGUGAUUCGGUUUGGGAGUCUUGAGUUCAUGUCGACAGGCUCCGGCUAUGACAUGAUCUUGCUCUCGAUCAGAGGACCGGGAGGAGCCCGCGUUGCGCCGGCACGGUUGAGGGCCCCGAGACGCCCUCGACACCACGCCUCCCCCCACCCAAGAAGAGGCGUGGGCAGCAUCAUCGUCACCCAUCUGCCCCGUCGCGACCGGCAGUUCGCGCUAGGCAGGAGGUGACACAGGAGCCGACAGCGCCACGUGCCGGAACUGUGAGCAUGGUGGCCCAGCAUCACACGACGACAAGAGAUGACGCGCCCCGCGCGUUCUCUCCCACCGCUAGGUUACUUCCACAUGGGUUGUUCGCUCCGAGAAGGGCGCUACCGUUCGGAUUGGACAACGCCGCGACGUCGCUCGCCAGGGCAAUAUGCCCAAACGCCCAGACGUAUGUAGAGAGACCAAUGGUCCUCCCACGAGACUCUGAAGCACAGCAGCCGAUGUCCGGGCUGCCAGAUUUCUCCCAGGUACGAGGCCUCUGGCCCUGGCGAUACACGAUCACCUCGCUCAGGCAGCGGCUGCUGGAGGAAGGACGUGGAUGUUUCUACGCCACCGAGCCGGACUCCGACUCCGAGACCGAUAGCUACGACCCUACUAGGGAAUGCUAUCACGUCGACGGGGCGGUAGAAACUACCGACGAGACGCAGGAUGCGGCUGUCGCUGGUCGAGCCCCUGCGGCAAGAGAAGACCCCAGGACGCCUGGGAACGACAGACAGGUCGACCCAUUUCCACAAAAAGAUAGGGCCGCGCAGCUCGCGCAGCUACGAGAGCUCAAAACCAAGCUCGACGAGGACCGUGAGCGCCUCGUCCUGCUCGAGCAAAUCCUCGAACAAGAUUUACCCUACCCGCCUGGCAGAAGUGUUUGUAGACGAGCUCGAGAGGUACACCGACAAAUCGUCAGGGACACAGAGCCAGAGCAGCCCGUCAGCCGCUUCCCUCGAGCAGGCCAGAACGUAGUGACAGCGACAAUGCUGCUGCGUAACAUGCCAGAACCAUCGAACUCCCAAGCUCGACGCAUUCGAGACGAGGUGCAGACCCUGCUCCAAGUGGCGGCAGUUCAACAAGCCGAAAGCUCGGCUUCUCGACGUCAAGGAGCUGCCACUGAAAAGCGCGACGAGCCAGCCCAAAACGAGAAGGAGGUGUCGGUCCAUCAACAACCACCUCCCCGAGCAAAAAAGAUCACGCUCGUCCUCCCCGUCGACAACCAGCGUCGGCACGACGCACGACGUGACAUUGAGGAGAAUCGACGCCGUCGGCAUGGAGACGCGGAAGAGCACGACUACAGCGCACAUCGCGGUGGGAGGUACGACAGCGACGAGGACCGGAUGGCCCCCGAGCCACCAGGCCCACGGGUGUUCAGCAGGGCGAUCCGCAGCACGCCCCUGCCCAGUCCGUUCCGACCCCCGACCAGCAUCGCAAAAUACAACGGUGAAACCAAACCAGAGUUGUGGCUGGCCGAUUUUAGGCUGGCCUGUCAGCUAGGAGGUGCUCAAGGAGACGAUCGAGCCAUCAUCAGGCAGCUACCGCUUUUCCUCUCCGACACCGCCCGUCGGUGGCUCGAGGAACUUCCAGCUGAUCAGAUUCACGACUGGGUGGAUUUGGUUAGGGUUUUCGAAGGUAAUUUCAAAGGGACCUAUAUACGUCCUGGGAACUCAUGGGACCUUAGCAAAUGCAAGCAGAAGUCAGGAGAAACUCUUCAAGAGUACGCUCGAUGCUUCUCAAAACAGCGCACCAAGCUACCACAUAUCCCCGACCACGACGUCAUCCUGGCCUUUGUCUCUGGUACCACCAAUCGAGACUUGGUGCGGAAAUUGGGCCGAAAUUGCCCUUAGACCGUCGAUGAGCUGAUGGACGUGGUGGCAAAUUACGCAGCAGAGGAGGAAGCGGUCGGUGCCUUCUUUAGCUGUGAAGGAAGGAAAGGCAAGCAGCCUACCGAUGAAGAUGGGACCUCCAGUCGAGGACCCAAGAAGAACAAGAAGAAGCAGAAAGUGCGGCAGUUCCAGCGGGAAGAUUUCGAUGACAAUCUUGUCGCCGCCAUGGAACACAAGAGGCCUCGAGGCCCUCCAGAUGGAGGCAUCUUCGAUAAGAUUGUAGAAGAGCCAUGCCCUUACCAUAAGGGAGGAGCCAACCACAAGCUCAAGGACUGUCGUAUGCUGAAAAAGCAUUUCGACGGCCUGGGGUUCAAAAAGGAUACACGCGACGACCCAAAGAAAGAGAAGGGCGGCGACAAGGAGGGCAACAAAGACGACGACGGCUUCCCUGCCGUUCAUGAUUGUUACAUGAUCUAUGGUGCGCCCUCAAUGCAGUUGACUACAAGGCAGCGCAAGAGGGAACGCCGUGAGUUCUUCGCAGCAAUAAUGGCGGUGCCCCAGUUCCUCAGCUGGUCGAGCACCCCCAUCACCUUCGAUCGAGAGGACCACGCCGACAAGGUGGUUGCCCCGGGUGUCUACCCGCUCGUCGUCGACCCCAUCAUUGUCAACACCUGGCUUUCAAAGGUGCUGAUGUAUGGCGGCAGCAGCCUCAACAUCAUCUACCUCGAGACCCUCGACCUCCUAGGCAUCGACAGCGGGCGGCUCCAACCAAGCGCCGGCGGUUUCCAUGGCGUCGUGCCAGGAAAGAAGGCUCUACCGGUGGGUCGAAUCGACCUCCUGGUUUGCUUUGGCACGGCAGCCAACUUCAGAAAGGAGACCCUCACCUUUGAGGUGGUGGGGUUCCGGGGCACGUACCACGCCAUCAUCGGGCGCCCAGGCUACGCCAAAUUCAUGGCUAUACCCAACUACACCUACUUGAAGUUGAAGAUGCCCGGCCCUAAAGGCGUCAUCACCGUCAGCUCCUCUUUCGAGCACGCUUACGAGUGCGACGUCGAGUGCGUCGAAUAUGGGGAGGCGGUCGAGAACUCCAACGAGCUCAAGCGCCACGCGGGCAGCUUCGAGCCAGCGGAGGGAACCAAGAAGAUCCCACUCGACCCUAACAACACCGACGGCAAGGUGCUGACGAUCAACGCCAACCUCGACCCCAAAUAUGAAGCUGUGCUCGUCGACUUUCUCCGUGCGAACGCUGAUAUGUUUGCAUGGAGUCCCUCGGACAUGCCAGGCAUACCGAGGGAAGUUGCCGAGCACUCCUUGGAAAUUCGAGCCGUUUCCAAGCCAGUGAAGCAACGGUUGCGCCGAUUCGACGAGGAGAAGCGCAAGAUCAUUGGCGAGGAGGUCCACAAGCUUUUGACGGCCGGAUUCAUCAAGGAGGUUCACCAUCCCGACUGGUUAGCAAACCCUGUACUAGUUAAGAAAAAGAAUGGGAAAAUGAGGAUGUGUGUUGAUUAUACAAGUUUAAAUAAAGCAUGUCCGAAAGUUCCCUUUCCAUUACGACGUAUUGAUCAAAUUGUUGAUUCUACUGCGAGAUGUGAAACCCUUUCUUUCCUUGAUGCAUAUUUUGGUUAUCAUCAAAUAAAAAUGAAAGAGUCCGACCAGCUCGCGACCUCUUUCAUCACACCUUUUGGGAUGUAUUGCUAUGUAACCAUGACGUUCGGGCUCUGAAACUUGAGAGCCACAUACCAGCGCUGCAUGCUCCAUGUGUUUGGCAAACACAUAGGGUCGACGGUCGAGGCCUAUGUCGACGACAUCGUCGUCAAGUCAAAGCAACAGGGAUACCUGAUCCUGGACCUCGAGAUCACUUUCAGCUGCUUACGCGCCAACCAGAUCAAACUCAACCCUGAGAAAUGCGUUUUCGGCGUGCCUCGAGGCAUGCUCCCGGGAUACAUCGUUUCCCAGCACGGGAUCGAGGCCAACCCCGAAAAAGUCACGGCAAUCACAAGAAUGGGGCCGAUUCGAGACAUCAAGGGCAUGCAGAGAGUCACGGGAUGUUUAGCGGCGCUGAGUCGUUUCAUCUCGAGAUUAGGAGAAAAAGCGUUGCUGCUGUAUCGACUUCUAAAGAAGGUCGAGCGAUUCUCUUGGACCCCCGAGGCCGAGGAAGCCCUUGAAAAUCUGAAGAAAACGCUGACCUCAGCACCAGUCCUGGUCCCACCUCAACCUGCGGAACCACUGAUCCUUUACGUUGCCUCGACGACCCAGGUCGUUAGCGCAGCCGUGGUGGUCGAGAGGCAGGAGGAGGGGCAUGCGUUGCCAGUCCAGAGGCCGGUCUAUUUCGUCAGCGAGGUGCUCUCGGAGACCAAGGCACAUUAACCCCAAAUCCAGAACCUGAUCUAUGCCGUAAUCCUCGCCCGGCGCAAGCUGCAGCACUACUUCCUCGGCCACCCUAUCACGGUGGUCUCAUCCUUCCCCCUAGGCCAGAUAAUCCAAAGUAGGGUGGCCACAAGAAGAAUAGCCAAAUGGUCGGUCGAGCUCAUGAGUGAGACUCUCACUUAUGCGCCUCGCAAGGCUAUCAAAUCGCAAGCCCUGGUGGAUUUCGUCGCGGAAUGGACAGACUCCCAGCUUCCCCCGACUCAGGUCCAGUCGGAGCUAUGGACGAUGUAUUUCGACGGGUCUCGCAUGAAGACCGGGGCUGGGGCCGGCCUGCUAUUCAUCUCGCCCUUGGGCGUUCAUAUGAGGUACGUCAUCAGGAUACAUUUUGCCGCAUCCAACAAUGUUGCAGAAUACGAGGCCCUUGUUAACGGUCUGAAGAUCGCCACCGAGCUUGGAGUUCGACGCCUAGAUGUUCGAGGCGACUCCCAACUCGUCAUCGACCAAGUGAUGAAAGCCUCAAGCUGCCACAACCCGAAAAUGGAGGCGUACUGCAAAGAAGUCCAUCGACUCGAGGACAAAUUCCACGGCCUCGAGCUCGUCCACAUCGCCCGACGCUACAACGAGGCGGCCGACGAACUCGCCAAGAUCGCGUCAACCCGAGGCACGGUACCACCUGACGCAUUCUCAAGAGAUCUUCACAAGCCAUCCGUCGACUUGGGCUCGGGGGCUGGCGUCGAUGCCACUCCUGCUCAGCAAACCGGCACCGUCGAUACACUAAUGAUGGCAGCCGAGGUAAUGGAAGUGGAACGACGGCCCGGUCGACCGUUCGACUAGCGCACACCGUUCCUCGACUGCCUAAUCCGCUGUGAGCUGCCAGAAGAUUGAUCCGAAGCCCGCCGUAUUGCUCGACCGGCCAAGUCAUGUGUGAUUUAUGGCGAGGACAAUGAGCUAUAUCGACGAAGCCCGACGGGGGUCUUGCAGCGUUGCAUCACCGUGGAAGAAGGCCGGAAACUCCUCGAGGACUUGCACUCGGGGGCUUGUGGCCACCACGCUGCUCCACGGACUCUCGCAGGGAACGCCUUCCGACAAGGUUUCUACUGGCCAACGGCCGUAGCAGAUGCCAUCGAGGUCGUACGCUCAUGCCAUGGGUGCCAGUUCUAUGCCAAACAGACACAUCUGCCUGCCCACGCUCUUUAGAUGAUCCCCAUCACAUGGCCGUUUGCGGUGUGGGGGCUCGACUUAGUAGGGCCUCUACAAAAGGCAAAAGGAGGGUACACCCACUUACUAGUGGCUAUAGACAAGUUCUCCAAAUGGAUCGAGGCUCGACCCAUCACCAACAUCCGCUCUGAACAAGCCGUCCUUUUCUUCACCGACAUCGUCCACCGAUUUGGGAUUCCCAACGUCAUUAUCACUGACAACGGCACUCAGUUCACUGGCAAGAAGUUUUUGGACUUCUGCGAUCAACAUCACAUCCGUGUGAACUGGUCUGCAGUGGCCCACCCUCGAACUAACGGCUAGGUCGAGCAUCCCAACGGCAUGAUUUUGCAGGGGCUCAAACCAAGGAUUUACAAUCGCUUGAAGAAAUUUGGCAACAAGUGGGUUGAGGAGCUUUCCUCGGUCCUAUGGAGCUUGAGGACGACGCCAAGCAAGGCCACAGAAUACACCCCAUUCUUCAUGGUCUAUGGCUCCGAGGCCGUGCUCCCAACGGACCUCGAGUAUGGAUCCCCUCGACUCAAAGCGUACAACGAGCAAUCAAAUAAGGACACUCGAGAGAAUGCGGUCGACCAGCUCGAGGAAGCUCGAGACAUGGCCCUCCUCAACUCCGCCAGAUACCAGCAGAAACUUCGACGCUACCACGACAAACACGUGCGCAAGAGGGACUUAAGUGUGGGCGACCUUGUCCUGCGACGGCGGCAAAGCAAUCAAGGACGCCACAAGUUGACUCCACCUUGGGAAGGCCCAUACGUGGUGGCUGAGGUCUUGAAGCCAGGGACAUACAAGCUAGCGGACGAAAAUGGGGCAAUCUUCACCAAUGCGUGGAACAUCGAACAACUACGUCGAUUCUACCCCUAGAAUUUCCAAACAUUUAUGUUCCUACGAACAUUCUGUACCAAGGCCUUGUAUAUGGAUGAAUGAAUAAAUAAAGUCUUUUCCUCAAGCAACUUACCUUUUCACAAGUCUCAACGUUAGAAGGGGGUAUCUACUAUGACCCAUCAUAGUCGACACCCCCUCGGGGGCUAGCAAGGGGGGACCCCCCAAAUGUCAGAAAAACCAAGAAAUCCUUUCGUUCCUAUCGGCAAUCCCAUACGGUUGAGUAGUAAGGGUACCUCGAGCCCCUUAAGGACCGAGAAGCAACGAGCCUGAGAACUCCUACGCCCCCGGGCUAUGGAAACUCUACUCGCCUCCUCACCCUUGAGGUAAUCGAGAUCGCCUCGAACAAAAGACCAAGUGAGAAAAACAAACAUAGGCGCAAAAAAGGAAUAAAGGAGCUUCAAGAGGAAAGACAGACAAACAUUUAACAAUCACUAAAGGACAUUGUAUUACUGAAAGACAAGAUGAUAGAGUACUAUACAAUGGGCCCCAGGCACCCAAAGAAGGCUCGCAGGCCUUAGUCCACAUCACGGUCCUCACCACCCUCGCCCGCGCCUGAGCUAGUCUCAGGAGGAAGUACCUCGGGCUCGAACAGCUUAGCCAACCUCUCCCCAGGAACCUCGGCGUCGUCAAUCAAGGCGUGGAGCCUCUCUUCAUUCUCCGCGUCGGUCUUGGAAAUAUCAGUGACAAAGCCGUGGGACACCACCUCCAUGUCAUAGGAAAAGCCUAAGCAGACAACCGCCAUUGCCCGCUUUACCCAGAUGUGGAGGGCAUCCCGCACCCGAUCUCUCAGCGCCGCGCCUAAGUAGCACAGCUGAUCGACCAGUGCGUCGCCUCGAACCUCCUCCUUCGACUCGUCCAUGGGCUCGACUUCCCAAGAGGUCGAGAGAUCGCUUAUCGCCGUCCGCAGUCGACGGUUCAAAGCAACCUCCCCCUCGAGCUGAGCCUGGGCGUUGCGAGCCUCGGCUUGGGCGGCCAGAAGCUUAUCCUUAAGCCCUGUGAACACCAAUGCAAAAAACGUUAGAAAAAACCAAGCACACCUCGAAAUGGAAUUCCGACAAUAGAAACAUACCGCGGAUGCUCUCCUCCAGGACCGUGUUCUCGCCAACCAAUUUAGUGUUGGCCCUCUCGAUCUCCCUGUUGGAGCGGGCCAGCUCAGUGUUGGCAACACGCAGAUCUUCGAUCGCUUUGCCGGCUUGAGCAAUGGCCCCAUUCUUCUCCAAUAGCUCUCCCUUCAGAUGGUCGAUGUCAUCGGAGAGGCUACGAGACCGAGCCCGCUCUGCUUCGAGGUCUUCGAGGGCCUUCUUCUUGGCUUCCUCCGCAGCGCUCCUGGCGAUCUCGCCGCUCACGUGCUCCACCUUCAUCCUCUGGAAGGACUCUCGAAGGGAGUCCAGGUUAGUCUUGAGGAGGCCCUUCUCCUUGUCCAGAUCAGCAAUGACGUUCUUAUAAGACAUGGCCUCCUCCCGGGCUUUCGAGGCGGCCUCCUCGACCAUCAGAGCCCGCUCCCUCAGCAGCACGGCCUCUUCCUCAGCCUUCCUUGAGGCCUCUCGAGCCUCAACCAGGGCAGCUUCCCUCGCCUUCUCCUCCUCCUCGAGCGCUAUAAGGUCUUUAUAUGCUUUAAGGAGUUUCUCCUGCGACUCGAGGAGUUGGUCCUUAAGGACGGGGAGCUGCUCCCAGCCGCCUCUUGUGGCAUGAAUGAAGCUUGACUUGAUACGGGAGGUCUCUUUCAUAUCCUAUGAACGGGUGGUCAAACAGUUAGAACACAAGACCAAAAGCUCCGUGAAGAUUAAGGACCAAAAAGCACUUACAAAGUAGGCCGGCCCAAGCCCGUUAUUGAUGACGUCCGCUAGGAGCCCCACCACGUGCUUCAUCCAAAGGCGGAGCUCCUCGAUGUGUUCCCACUUCUCAGCCUCCUUCCGAUCGUCCAGGAAGAUGUUAGGCUUGGACGGAUCGGUGGAAGCACGGAUGCGGAUCUGAUCGGGGCACCAGUUUUCCAUCUCCAGGUCAGCCCGCGCCUUGACGCCGUGAAUGAGAUCCUCGACAGCUUCGAGGGAUCCCCCAUGGUGAAGGAACAAGUCGACGAGGGAAGGGAACCACCCGUCGUCGCCCACCGUCAUCCAGGUGUCGUCCUUGCUACCCGAUGUCCCGGCCUCGUCUUCCUCGGCAGGAAUGCGGUCCUCCCACGCCCGGCGCUCUCGGAGGAACCCUGGGGCGAUCCCGUCCAUGCCGUAGAUCGUCCUCCUGAUCUCGGACUCGGGGUCGACGGGGGUGCGCAUCAUGCAGGCAAGCGUCACCACACCGUCCGCCCGCCCCGACUCUGCCGGGAUCGCGGCGGGCGCCCCCGGACGGAGCCACGCUGGGGUUGGAGGGCUGAAAACCGGCAGACCCUCUUCCUGGUCCUCGGGCUCUUGCGGCACCGGUAAUACCAGAUGGGGCGGACUUUGGGGAGGAGGCUCGAGCGGUCCCCCCAACGGCUGGCCCCCCUGUUGCUGCUGCUGCUGCCUCUCGAGCUCUUGUGACCCUUGUUGACGGCCCUGCUCCUGCAGCUGCCGUUGCGUCUCCUGCUCUUGCAGUUGAUGCCUUGCCUCUCGCUCCCGCUCCUCCUCUUCCUCCUUCUUCCUCUGCUCCUCGAGGGAGCGAAGACCGGCAGGGCAGGGCGUCCGUCCCGCGACAAGAGAGGUCGAGGCCUCCUCGUCCAUAGGACGGGCAUCCCUCGACGUCCCGUUGCCACCAGAUCCAUCACUGAUGGUAAUGGGCUCCCCCUCGACCCCCGAUCGAGGAGGCUCGGGGGUUCCCUCUUGUCGUUGGGACUGGGGCGCCUCGGCCUGUUUUGGCGACGACGGGGCAGACUCAGGGCGGGGUGGAGCACUCUCAGUGCCGGUCAAAGGCCGAGGGUCGGAGGAGCCUGUAAUACGAGAAACAAAAGCCAGUCACUAUGAUGACCAACGUAAGAACAACCCCAGUCCCAUGAACAAGCCACAGACCUGGCUCCUUGGAGGCUGCUCCCACCUUGAGCCUCUUCGCCAUCGAAGGCUGGGCCUGCUCAAACGUCCGCUUCAACCUGAGGAAAGAAGAACGAGCAUAAAGAAUACCAUAAUACGAGAAAACAUGAAGAAUCAGGAGAAUAAGAAUCACCGCGUCGAAAAACUUACCCCACAGGGAGUGUUGAUAUUUGGGAACGCAAAAGGAAUUGAUCCGCAAGCGCACGGAUAUCGGUGAGCACUUCACCCGGGAAGUUAUCCAGAGUAUCGUAUUUAUUUUUUUACCACUAGGAGAAAGAGUGCAUCUGACUAACCGGUCUAUUACUACUAACCCUUUAGGCAACAAAGAAUGUCUUUCGAUGUGAGUGAUAAAUAGAGAAGACUGCAACCGUAGUCUCCUUCUAACCUUGGUAAGGAUGAUCUAUUGUUCUAUUGGGGAGGCUAACGGAAUCUAGACACCACAAAGGAUGUUCAACCCGCACCUAUAAACCCUAUCCUUCCUGCUAACGAGAUAUGGUCUGCAAAGGUAACUUGGAAUUGUCACGUUCCUCACUAUCUCUCUCAAUCUAUUAGAAACUAGAAGAUCUAUUUCUACUUUAUAUUGGUUGCUAAGCCUAAAAAGAAAUAUUAAUUAGAGAAGAGGUUUUCCUUCGAGGGCACCCCUCAAUCUCUAUGAUAAUUUCUACAUGUCUUCUGCAGGGGCCAGGGGGUCUCCUUAUAUAGUCCUCCUCCUCUAUGCGUUUUUGGGUCGGUAGGCGAGGUGGUACCAUGUUUUCCUUGAUCCAAUAGGUCGGUGGAACAUCCCGUGCGAAGAGAGUCCUGAUUGGCAUCCAGCAGGGGGCAGGCGCCCAGGUCACCAGGGCGGGCGCCCUGGGCCUGGCCCCUUUCGGCCUCUGUCUUCUUCCCGUGGCUUCUGGAGUCUUCUAGAUGGUAGAAAAUCACACGGUGCGUUGAUAUCUCUAUGUAAUCCCGACAUGUGGGCCUUUCUUCCUUAUUUCCUGAUAACCCCCUGCAGAAACAGAUAAACAACAAAACUCGUGGAAUUCUGUCAGAUCAAACCCUAAUUCUAGGUGUUGGUUGCAUAUUGGUCCUUUCCAUUGUUUAUUUGAUAAUUAAAAUUGAUACUUAAGAACCGUCAACAAAUACCCCCAUACUUUGGCUUUUACUCGUCCUCGAGAAAAGGAUGGUUAAGAAAAAUAUCUGGGGUAAACAUUUUAAAGCAUUCUUUAUAUUUGCAGGGUGUUAAAAAUUUCACUGUGUACCAUAGUCAGGAAAGUUUAUGGUUAAGAGUAAAGAUCCUUUCUUCUCAAUCCUGUCACUUGGAGUUUUUGUAUAUUUUUGAAAGAAAGUUAGAAUACCAUUUUAUCCUCAUAGGUUCUUCUCAGAUCACUCAUUAUCUUUUAUAUAUCUCACUGAGGUUGUUUUAAUUUGCAAAAAUUCUCAAGCAUACUUACUUUGCAUUUAUUGCCUGAUCAAAACGGGAUCCGAGGAGGGAAAUGUCAUACUCUUAGAUCAAAGACUUUGGAAAUUAAAAUCUUUGUCAACUCUUGCUGGCAUAUUGCUUAUUAGAGGGAACAUGGGCUAUCAUUUUUUUUAAAUGGAUACCGAGGUACCCCUAAUUCUACUGCCGGACACUUGUCCAUUUUUUUCUGCGAGGUUGUCGAGCACUUGCUCCUUUUUAUUUCCUCGAAUCAUCUCUAUUUUUGCAUAGCCCAUGCCUCUAAUGCAAUAAUACAUCGGAAGAGUGAAUAUUUCUGAAUAAAUGUCUUGAUCUUAGGAGCAUGAUAAAUCUCUCAACAAGGGUCUAACUCAUUUUGAACAAACUCAAUACAGAGUAGAUAGCUUCUAUAAUCAUAAUUAAUAUUUUCAGUUUCAUCAGGCAUAUAAAACACUGAGGAUGGUAGCUAGAAUUUUGAAUAUUUUGAAAUAAAUUCUCCAAGUAGCAAUGAUAUCAAGAAUAAGAAACUCAUACUCUACCAUCACAUAUUCCAUAUUGACUUAAGUAACACAGGGUUUUAAAAUGAUUUUAUAAUAAUUGCAAGUUUUCAGGAAAUAUCACAGAUUGAGAUUAAUCAUGAUUAGAAAUAUUUUAAUCUUUUUAAUUUAUCAUGUCGGAAACAAUAUUCUGCAUAAUCCAAAAUAUGUGUAAAGUAAAGUGUGCAGAGUGUGUACCUGAAUCGUGGAGUGGUGUGGUCGGAGUGUGUUUGGCAUGUCGAGGGAUCUCCCCCAUACUUGUUUUCUUCUUUCUUGCACAAAAAUAAAGUAGAGACACACAAGACAUAAUAAUAAUAAUAAUAAUACUCUUUAUUAAUCUUGAGGCAUUUAUUACAAAAGACUAGUAGCAAACUGAUGAUAAUAGUAAACUGAUGAUAAUAGUAAACCUAAACCGAUUUUAAAGAUAGAUAACUAAGAUGCAUUGCCUCAAGGUCUAAUCUAGAUAAAUUAGCGGCGCUCUAAUUCCCUAAUCUUCUUGUUGGCACUGGCAAGAUCCUGCCUAAGGCCUAGUAUAACGGUGUUGUGGUUAGAGAGCUGCCUAGUGAGGGAAUUUAUCGAGGACUGGAGGUCUAUGAUAACUCUGUCUAGUCUAUGAACGUCCUCAUCAAUAUCCAUUAUAGUCUUGCGACGCUUGGGAGGUGUCUCAAAAACAAUGAGAGCGUGCUUCAGGGCUGCCUUUGGCUGCUCUAAUCCCUUCAAAGUAAGGCCUUUCUUCCUCCGUAGUGUAGCGAAUACUGCUGAUCUCACCGCUCCGGUUUGUCUUGACUCCAACGACCCACUCAUUGGGUCUAGGUGGAAGGAUCCUUGUGCCGGUUGGCACCUUGAUAGUGGUCUUCGUCUUGGAUGAUGAUCCUUUGAGGAGUAGGGGUUGUGGCGGUGCGGUGAGAACUGGUUGAGCAUGGUAAGAUUGGGCGGAGCUGCGUUGGCGUAAUGGCAUGGCUUCUGGCUGUCGCUCUGUGUUGGCCGGGACGAGAGCACGGGCAUCGGGGUCUUCCACAGGCUCCAUGCUAAGGUUAAAGGGGACCACUUCCCAAUCUUCGUGGUACUUCUCGGCCAUUGGAGCAGCAAGGAACUAAUCAAGCUCUAACUGAAGAAGAGAAGGCUUGGUGGCUUGGUGUUUGAAAACUAAGGUCAGGGGUCUGUUUAUAUAGGGGUCAAAAAGUGCCUCUAUGGGUUGUUCGGGUUGCUCCCAUCGAUGUGCGUGCGAAACUUUCCAUCUAAGGGAUUAUUCAAAUUACCAUAAGUGCAUUUUCCAUAACAGAUAAAAUCGGGACCGAGGGGGAACAGGAGCUGGGCGCCCGCCCACCUGAUCUGGGCGUCCGCCCUCUCUCUGGCCCCUCUGUGGGCCCACUUCCUCGAGCGCGUUUCUAGAUGCGAAAUUAUUUAGAAAAUAUAUAUAUAUGACCCAAAAACAUCAGACUAAAAAGGUCGGGCUUUAAUUCUCCAUAGGAAAGUAAAAAUGGACUACGUCUAUUUCUUCUAAUUCAUUAUUGGGCUCUAAAAAUAAUUUAAGACGUUGACCAUUUACCUUGAAUAACGUACCUUCGUCAUUUUGAAGUGUGAUAGCUCCGUGGGAUGAUGAAUUAAUUACCUUGAAUGGUCCUUCCCAUUCGCUCCGGAGUUUUCCAUGCCCGAAAAGCUUUACCCUGGACUUAAAAAUUAGUACCUUUUCUCCGGGUGUGAACUCCUUCUUCUUGAUUCUCUUGUCAUGCCACCUUUUGACUCUUUCUUUAUAGAUCUUUGAGUUGUGAUAUGCCUUCUCUCGCCAUUCUUCCAAUUCCGAUAGUUGCAUUCUUCUAUAAUCUCCAGCAACAUCUAGGUCCAUAUUCCAUCUCUUUAUGGCCCAGUGUGCUUUGAACUCUAGUUCAACGGGUAGGUGGCAAGUCUUCCCGUACACAAAUUGGUAUGGAGACAUUCCAAUUGGGGUCUUGUAUGCUGUCCGGUAUGCCCGUAGUGCAUCGGGUAACUUGUCUUUCCACGCCGUUCCCAUUUCAUUUACUGUCUUUAGAAGAAUAUUCUUGAUUUGCUUGUUGGAAGUUUCUGCUUGGCCACUUGUCUGAGGAUGAUAGGGGGUAGCGACGUUGUGACGGAUUCCAUGUUUUGAUAGAUAUUGCUUGAAGCGUUUGUCGAUGAAUUGUGCUCCUCCAUCACUUAUCACUACUCUGGGGAAUCCAAAUCGUGGAAAUAUAAUUUCUUCAAACAUCCUCUUUGAACUGACGUUGUCGGCAUGCUUGCAAGGUAAUGCCUCUACCCUCUUGGAGACAUAGUCAACUGCCACCAAGAUGUACUCACACUUCUUUGAUGGAGGAAAUGGACCCAUGUAGUCUAUUCCCCAGACAUCAAAGAGCUCAAUCUGAAGGUUGUUGGUGAGUGGCAUUGCAUCCCUUGUAUUUAUGUUUCUGUGUCUUUGACAUGGCCCACAUCUUCUGAUAUAUUGCUUCGUGUCUUCAAACAUUGUAGGCCAGUAGAAUCCACACUGCCAGAUCUUUGAAUGCGUAUGGAAUGCUCCAUAGUGACCUCCAUAUGGUGAUGAAUGACAUCUGUCGAUGAUCUUCCAUCCUUCCUCAGUGGUCACACAUCUCCUAAGUAAGCCAUCAGAGCAUACUCGGAAGAGGUAUGGCUCAUCCCAUAUAUGUGAACGACUUUCUUGAAUAAGCUUCUUCUUGUUUGCUCCUGGUGGUACAUACCCUGAAACCAUAAAAUUAACAAUAUCUGCAUACCAGGGGUCAGACCUGUUAAUAACGUAGAGCAUGUCAUCCCGGAGUAAAUCAUUGAUGGGGGUUUCCUGUGGAUUCUUAAAAUACAUUCUAGACAAGUGAUCAGCAACAGAAUUUUCUACUCCCUUUUUAUCUUUUAUUUCUAAGUCAAAUUCUUGGAGUAAUAAGAUCCAUCUAAUCAGGCGAGGUUUAGCAUCUUUUUUAGUGAGCAAAUAUUUUAGUGCAGCAUGAUCAGUGUAAACAAUUAUUUUAGCUCCAACUAAAUAAGAUCUAAAUUUAUCAAUGGCAAAGACAACAGCCAGAAGCUCUUUUUCAGUGGUUGUAUAAUUAAGUUGAGCUCGUGUCAAAGUUUUACUGGCAUAAGCAAUUGCAUGAUGCUUCUUAUUUUUAGUUUGUCCUAAAACUGCCCCCACAACAUAAUCACUAGAAUCACACAAAAUUUCAAAAGGCAACGACCAAUCAGGGGGUUGAAUGAUUGGUGCAGAGAUGAGUGCUUUCUUUAAUAAAUUGAAAGAUGUUAGACAUGCAUCAUCAAAUUCAAAAGGAGCAUCCUUCGCUAGCAAAAGAGUAAGUGGUCUAGCAAUAAAUGAAAAAUCUUUUAUGAAUCUACGAUAAAAACGAGCAUGGCCAAGAAAGCUUUGAAUCCCUUUUAUAUUCACAGGUGGAGGUAGUUGUUCAAUUACUUCAAUUUUAGCUUUGUCUACCUCAAUACCUCUUUCAGACACGUGUCCCAGCACUAUUCCUUCCCUAACCAUGAAAUGACAUUUUUGCAAAAACCUUGUCUAAGUGCUUUUCUUUACAUCUUUGCAAAACCUUGUCUAAGUUUUCAAGACAACUAUCAAAAGUUUUUCCAUAAACAGAGAAAUCAUCCAUGAAAACUUCCAUAAUCUCUUCAAUCAUAUCAGAAAAUAUAGACAUCAUGCAUCUUUGAAAAGAAGCUGGUGCAUUACAUAACCCAAAAGACAUUCUACGAUAAGCAUAAGUUCCAUAUGGGCAUGUAAAAGUGGUUUUGCUUUGAUCAUCGGGAUGGAUCGGGAUCUGAUGAUACCCUGAAUAUCCAUCUAACAAACAGAAGAACGAAUGGUUUGCUAACCGCUCUAGCAUCUCAUCUAUAAAAGGUAAAGGAAAGUGAUCCUUUCUCGUGGCUUUGUUUAGUUUUCUAUAGUCUAUGCACAUCCGCCAUCCUGUGACGGUGCGUUGCGGAAUUAGCUCGUUCUUUUCAUUCAUAAUAACAGUCAUGCCUCCCUUUUUAGGCACAACUUGAACUGGGCUUACCCACUCACUGUGCGGCACAGGAUAUAUAAUCCCUGCAUGCAGCAACUUUAUAACUUCCUUUUUAACUACCUCUCUCAUAGUGUUAUUAAGUCUACGUUGGGGUUCUCGAGAGGGUGAAACAGAAGGAUCUGUUGGAAUACGAUGGGUACAAAUCAUAGGACUGAUUCCUGUAAGAUCUUGGAGUGAGUAGCCGAAAACUGAGUGAUGUUUCUCAAGAAUGGUCAUUAAUCGCAGAGUUUGAACCUGAGUGAGUUUAUCGCUAAUGAUCACAGGAAACUCUGGAUUAUUGUUUAGGAAAGCAUAUGUAAGACCGGGUGGUAAAGUUUUAAGCUCUAUGGGGGGUCUAGGUGUUUCUGCAAACUCAUCUAAGGGUUCAGGUUUAGAAGGUUCGGUUUCUUCUUCUGUGAAGAAUGGAGUUUCGUCUUCUAAGUCUGGUUCAUCUAAAAGCUCUAGAGAUGCAGCCUUUACCUCCUCCAUAGGAUCAGGCAAAAAAUAUGAUUCGGCCUUAUUAUUUAAGGAGUGUGAAAUUGUUAUUGGGAAUUUAAAGGUUUUUCCAAAAGAAAUGUGUAGCUUUCCAGUAUGACCUUCAUAAAGGAGUCUUCUAAAAGGUUGUCCUAUCAACAGGUCGAAGUCCCAUGUAUCAAAGAUAUAGAAGUUCAAAUGAACCAUGGAGCCUUCAACCAUAAGAGGUAAGACAUUAAUAAUUCCAAGACUGGGGACUAAUCGUCCCGAAGAUUCCUUUAUGACCUUCGUUGUGGGGGUUAAGACAAGAUUUUAAAAUAUUUUAAGCGCAAAAGAUUCAGACAUGAUGUCGAUCCCCACAACAGGAUUAUAAAGAGCAUUAAAUCGAUCAGAAUUAUAAGCACAGCGUAUAGUUAUAGAGGGUGUGUCCAAACGGAUCACAUUAGAGGAAAGCUCUGAUUCCUCCUACCAUUCGCUACUCAUGACUGAGAUAAGCUCUCUCAAUUGAUAUUCACUUGGUAAAUAAAUGCUAAACUAGCCGUUUUGGGGUUUGUUAAUAGAAUGGUAGUUUGAAAUGUUUCCAAAAUCGGCAAAAAGAUCGGAUUCUAUAUCCAGCAUUAAGUCCGGUGGUGGAUUUUCUUCCUCUUGUGGCUCAGAACUUGGGAUAGCUAAAGUAGCUGAAGAAUUUGGCAGAGUGUCUACAUCGGCUUCGUAGGUUUCAUCAUGAAGGGUAUUAUCCAUCUUAGCUUCUAGGAUUCUAUCUAGGAUCACUCUAGCUUCAUCUGUAGGGAUGCGAAAGAAAGAACCUCUAGACAUUGUGUGUAGCAUUUGUUUGUGAUUUUUCUGAAGACCUCGAAAAAAGUGAAAUAAAAGAACAGGGUCUUCAAGAUUAAGGUUUGACCAGAUUCUAAAAGAUCAGAAAAACGUUUCCAAGAUUUUCCCAAAGUUUCAUUAUCUUUUUGUUUAAAAGAUAGGACUUCGAGUCUAAGGUUGGCUAUACGGUCAAGGGAAUAGAAAUCUAGACAAAAGUUGGCUCGUAAAACUCCCCAUUCACCUUGUUGUUGACUUACCUUCUGACUGUACCAUUGUCUAGCUUCUCCCCUUAAAGAAAAAGGAAAAAGCUUCCAACGUAAAGUUUUAUCAGAAAUGCCUUCAAUACGAAGACAAUCACAUGUUUGCUCAAAAUCUCUAAUAUGAAGGUAAGGGUUUUCGUCUUCCUUUCACGAAAAAGAUAGGUUUUGAAUCAUGGCAAUCAACCUAGAACUUAACUUAUACUGGGAUGUUUGGAUAGGCUGUGAUGAUUCCCAUGGUAAAAGGUUAGUUACUGAAGGGAUCGCAGACUCAUGGAUCGAUUUAGAAUUUUGGUUUUCCAUAAGGUAAGAGUAAAGAAAAUAAAGAAAGAAUAUAAAAGAUAAGAACAGAUAAAAGUAUAGAUACAAACUAGUAGUAAGACUCAGGUUAUCUCAGCAACCGUCUUUCUCCCCGGCAACGGCGCCAGAAAUGCUUGUUGAUAUUUGGGAACGCAAUAAGGAAUUGAUCAGCAAGCGCACGGAUAUCGGUGAGCACUUCACCCGGGAAAUUAUCCAGAGUAUCGUAUUUAUUUUUUUACCACUAGGAGAAAGAGUGCAUCUAACUAACCGGUCUAUUACUACUUACCCUUUAGGCAACAAAGAAUGUCUUUCGAUGUGAGUGAUAAAUAGAGAAGACUGCAACCGUAGUCUCCUUCUAACCUUGGUAAGGAUGAUCUAUUGUUCUAUUGGGGAGGCUAACGGAAUCUAGACACCACAAAGGAUGUUCAACCCGCACCUAUAAACCCUAUCCUUCCUGCUAACGAGAUAUGGUCUGCAAAGGUAACUCGGAAUUGUCACGUUCCUCACUACUACCACGGUCCAGCUAGUCAGGGAAUAUCUAUGAGUACCCCAGCCUAAACACCACGUUUACGCCAGCAAUGAUUACUCUAAACUCUACGCGAAGAGAUUAAAGUAAACUCAUAAACCAGAAGAACAAUAAAACAAGAAUGUCGACGAAAGCUAGUCGGCAGUCUACCUUGGGGUAUACCCACGGUAGUAGUUUAUCGGUAGACGGUGCGCAAACUACGAACUCGGUGGUGACGCAAGACACGGACAAGCUUUUUAUCCAGGUUCGGCCGCCAAGUUGGCGUAAUACCUACGUCCUGCGUCUGGUUGUAUUGAUUUGUGUUGAGAGAAUAUGAUGUGUCCUAGGGGGGUCCCUUGCCCCUCCUUAUAUAGUCUGGAGGGCAGGGUUACAGAUCUGGAAACUAAUCCUAGUCGGUUACAAUUGCCAUGGAUAAUUGGAUAUCAAUUCCUAUUCUAACCGACCAGAAUCCUGCUUGAUCUCCACAUCUUGUUUCCUUGCGCGGAACUCCAGGUUGUCGGAUCAAGCUUUGGACUCGUCUCGUAAUGGGCCAAGCCUCCUGGCCCAAGUCCAGCCGUAAGGGUAUAGGGGUUUAUACCCCCACAGCUAGUCCCCGAGCACCAUGUAUUAUGGUGUAACACGCCGUCUUGAGCUUCUUCGAUCAGUGAGGCUUGACGUCUUCAGGAAAAUUGCCCGAACAGUUGCAACGGUAUUUUGACCAACUCAAAAGACAGUUGAUCAACAUUGACAUCGAAGAAGCAGGUUCAAAGAAGCAGGUUGUUCGAAGAAUGCAUGGUGCUCUAAAUUAAAAAAGAUUUCUUUCCUGGUGAAGUGUGCCCACUUUACUUUUUUGAAAGGUAUAAACAUCAAAAAAGCAAGCAAAUUCACCGCAAGGUGAAGUGUGCCCACUUAGUCCCCGAGCCUGGUAGUAGGUGACGCAGGCACGUGGUGCUAGGGUCAAAACAAAAGUCCUCAAAGAAAUUCUGUAACUGAGAUGCAUCGCCAGAUGCAUCGUUCCGAGCUUGCUGGAAGGCGAAGUAUGAGCCUUGUAGCAAGGUCUAAAAAGUGGAAUUUACCAGUCUGACUGCAAUUGAAUAGAUUAGUCGACCAGUCACCAAGCACCAAGUGCUUUUUAGAAUUCUGUGUCGCUGUACUGUACGACCAGUCCCCGAGCAUCGAGUGCUCGGUGGUCGGUGCAGUUCUUUAAAGCGUCUAGCUGAUAGACUGGGCGACCAGUCCCCGGGCGUCGAGUGCUCGGUGGUCGGUGUAGUCCUUUAAAGCUUCCAGCUGAUAGACUGGACGACCAGUCCCCGAGCGUCGAGUGCUCGGUGGUCGGCGCAGUCCUUGAAGUUCCGAGCUGAUAGACUGGGCGACCAGUCCCCGAGUGUCGAAUGCCCGAUGGUCGGUGCAGUCCCUGGAUUGUUGACUUUCUGGCGUAUGUGUCUUCUUGUUUUUUGAAAAGAUCUUCCCAGUUAAAGUUGACGUGACGAGGCCUCCUGACGGGGUGUCAGACGGAUGCAUGAAAAGUUGCGCCUGGCAACUGUGCAGCCGCCUUUGCAUGGUUUGAGAAAAGGAAACCAUCAAUUGGUACGAAAAAUCCGCCGCAUUAAUUGUCUAUAAUCAUUGUAAACUGAAACGCCGCGUCCGCCGCAUGGCCCGCCCACUUCCCGAGAAUUCGGGAAGUGGGAGAGGUGGAGUUGCGGGUUAUAAGAGCCUGAUAGUUCCGCCUGUACUGCUUACCCUGCCAUUGCUUUCAAACCUUCCGCUCUCAUCUCCCCCAAUCGCCUGCGUCUUCCUAACUCAAGCCCACAUUCGCACCUCUAAUGGCGAAGAGCGACUCCAGGAAGAGGGCCGAACUGAUGGCCAAGGAGUGGAAGAAGUCUCGCAGCACCACAAAAUCUCUUGGUGACCUCGUCGAUAUGGGGCUCCUGCACGGCCCGGAGCUCGGCGGCUGGAGGGCACCGGAGGGGGAGAGCUACCCCGACCCUCGCGCCGGUGAGAUCGUUGUAUUUGAAGAUUUCAUUAAGAGGGGCUUUGGUGUUCCUGUUCAUCCUUUUCUUCAAGGUCUUCUUUUGUACUAUGAGAUCGGGAUUUGCAAUCUGCACCCGAACUCAAUUCUCCUCAUUUCCACUUUUAUCCACCUGUGCGAAGCCUAUGUUGGCAUAGAGCCGCACUUCGAUCUUUUUCGGUAUCUUUUCUGCUUGAGGAAGAAGGGAGCAGUUGGAGGCUCCAAGGUUGCAGGUGGAGUAUACCUCAACCUUCGUGAUGGAAUGAAGAAUCGCUACCUGCACUGUCCAUGGAACACUUCCUUGACCGAAUGGUACAGGAAGUGGUUCUACAUCAGGGAGGAACCGGGCAGCUCCACAUUCUGCGACGUGGGAUACAUUCCUGAGAAGAGGAUGAGCUGGACCGACCGCCCGGAGUUCGACGGUCCAGUGGCGGAUCUCAUGAAGCGGAUCGACUGGUCGCGCCUGGACGGGCUUGGCGUGGUCGGCAACUUCAUUUGUCGUCGGGUGAUGCCCUGCCAGAAGAGGGUGCACUCGGCGUACGAGUAUGCCGGAAGCGUGGACCCGACCAGGAUGCGGCCAGAGAUCUUGGAGAAAGCGGAGGUACAACAGCUGUUGAACGAGAUGUUUAACUUCGCGGACGGAGGCUUCAUCCGUGGCAGUGAUCGGGUGCAAGCCUUCAAGUUAGGACGACCAGCACCAAAGGUAUGUAGCAGAUUAUUUUGUUUUAGCAUUCGUAUAUCGUCGGCAGCUGACUCAUCUCUGUUGCUUUUGCAGAUCGGCGAUGUCGACCGGUGCACAGUGUAUGUAUCACUGGCACCGGGGAUGGAAAAUCCUGCGGGAGAAGACCCGCCAGAGGAGGACGCUGCUCGGUGUACUCAUUACACCAGCAGUGAAGAGGACCAAGCCCGCCCCGUCCCGACCUCCGAGGAGAGGGUAGCGGGGAAGAGGCCAUUGCCGGCAGAUCCUUUGCCGACACCGGAGCUGCCGGCAGAUCUACCGGCGGAGAGCAGCCAAGCACCGAAGCGUCGUCGGCUCGUGCGGAUCGUUGACGACGACGACGACGACGAGGAGGCUGCGCCGUCGUUGGUCCGACGGCCCCGGGGUCGCCCAGAUAAUGCGCCGGCCGCUACUGAUCGAGUGGCCAGCGACGCCCCUGCACCGCAAGUUGUCGAGACGGGGGCGCAGGUGCCGACCGGCCGGGCGAGGAGGAGGUUCACCGCCACCCACCGUCGAUCAGACCUGUAAGUGUUCGACUUACGUAUUUUGGACUCCUCUUUGAUUUUUUUUUUUUGAAAUUACACUUUUGUUCCUGUAGUGCGGCGUCGGAUGUCGACCCCGGCCAGGCUGCCAGCCAAGGGACGGGCGAGCCAGUCCAUGCUGCUGAGGAUACGGCCCCCCAGACCACAGAGCAGCCAACAGCUGCAGUCGCGCCUGGGAGCACCGAGGGGCUCCCGUCCGCGGCACCGACUACGACAGGCAGCCCGACCAGGGCUGGAGAGGCUCCCCCAACUGGCUUCUUAGAGGAGGGAAGAUCUCCGACCGCUCCACCUACCGGGGGGAGUGAAGUCCCCACGCCGCCCCGAGCAGGAGCCUCUUCGGCUGCGGGCUCCCCAGGUCUGGUCCGAGGACCAGUAAUACCUGGGACCACCACCGGGGGUGACGCAGCACAGGAGGAGGAAACCCGGGCGGCCUCCGAUGAUGAGGUGGAAGAGAUUGAGGGUCGUCCCCGUGAUGGCCGCCAACACGUGUAUGUGUGGCGCCAACGCGGGGAUCACUUUAUCGGGCAUGAGGAGCUCGCCGAGACCGAAGAGGCCGCCAGGGUGGAGCGCGCGGCCAAACGCCUCGUCGACGAAGUCAAGGUAAGCGACCUUUUGUACUGCUGUACAUUCUAUGCCGUGUUUUGCAUGGUCGUUAUAUACUCGCUUUGUAGGGCGCAAUGAAAACGGCAAAGUAUCGGAAACGGUGCUUUGACCAGAUAGAAGGCAUCAUGGCCGAGAACAAGGCCCUUGCCGCGGAGGUAGACCGGCUGCGUUCGGAGGUCGGGGAGAAGGUGGCCGAGAUGAGUGCCCAGGAGGAGCGUCGUCUCGACCUCACUCGUCGCUUGGCCGACCAGUACCGGCAGCGAGAAGGUUAGUCACACGCUCCGAGCAGCUUUGCGUACUUGUGUAGUUUGCUUUACUGACCAGUUUAUGGUUCACACAGACUUGGAGGAGGAGGUGGCGCGCCUCCGACAAGAGAAGGAGCAGCUCAGCCAACAGCUCGCCGGUGCGCUGGAGUCCGGGCGGCGAGCAGGAGAGGAAUUGGGCCGAAAGGACCGGGAAUUAUCUGGUAAUGGGUGCCGCCUUGUCAGCUGCUGCUUGUCGCCCCUUUGUUUGUUUAGUAUGCCGAAAAUAACGCCUUGUUUCGUUUGCAGUGCUCAAGGUGAACGCCAAGAAGCACCUGGAUGAUCUGAUCAAGGACCGGGACUCCUGGAAGGUCAACUGUUGCAGGAUCUGGAAGGGAGUGUCCCCGGUCCUAGACCUGAUCAGUCCCGAGCUCCCGGAGAGCCAGCCCCGCGCGCCGCAGUUGACCCCGGUCGAGAAGGCGCAACGGGCGUGGGACUGGCUCCAGCAGUUUGUGAAGGACGCUGGGGAGUUUGCCGGUGCGCACGUCCUCAGCAUGGUGCGCGCCCACUACCCCCUGGUCGACUUGAGCAGGCUGGAGAAGGGGUACCCGAAGGAAGUCGGCCCUCAGGAAGCGGACGAACUUCGGGGUAGUCUGCUGGACUUGUCGUCGACGGUGAUCGGCGACAUCAAUCUGUGCGGAACGGCCACUCCUCCAGACCAGCCGAGUUCAGAUAGGUCGGCCAGGGAGUUGUCGGGCGCGUCCGUUGCGGGAGAUGGGCGGUCGACGCCUGCGGUCUCGACCAGCCAGGCGCCGGUGGCCCCGACCCCUUCGUCCGGGCAGCAGGGCCAGGCGGGUGAUCAGCCCGAGCAGCUAGGCCAAUAAAGUAGUCCGUAGGAAUAGACUAGUGUCUGCCCGUCAGGGUAUUUAUUGUAAACUUUGUGUGUAAAGUUUGUAAUAAAGUUUGUUUUUUGUCAUGACUGUUGUUUUGAGCGCUGUAAGAAUAUCUGAGUGACGUGUCACCGUAUUCGUCUCGGUAGUCGCUAGGAGCAUCCAUUGCAGGAGUUUUGCCGAGUGCUGUGUGCGACAAGGUAUAGGCAAAAAAUAGAGAAUUUCAUUAUCAAAAAUUAUAAGAUACUUACAGAGGAAAGUUAUCAAAACUUUAUGGAUAGAAACGUCGCAGUUUGUCGAUGUGCCAAGAGUUAGGCACUCGUGUUCCGUCUGGCUAUGCCAAUCUGUAGGACGUGGGUCGUGUGACCUCGGUCACCACGAAAGGUCCUUCCCAGGGAGUGGAUAGCUUGUGCAUUCCCUCCUGGCUUGUUUUCCAUCGAAGUACCAGAUCGCCGACCACAAAGGAACGGUCUUUGACGUUCCUGUUGUAGUAUCGCCUGACUGCCGCGAGAUAUUUUGCUGUUCGGAGGCAAGAAUCUAAACGUUUUUCCUCCAUGCAAUUGAUUUCGAGUUCUCUGGCGUUGUCGGCGGUCGCCUGGUCGAAGUGUUCGAUUCUAGGGGAUCCGAAGUGUAUGUCGGACGGCAGGACCGCCUCUGCACCGUACACCAUGAAGUAAGGAGACACCCCUGUGUUUCGACUGGUCUGAGUUCGGAGGCCCCAGACCACUGCCGGCAAUUCUUUCAUCCAUCGACCGGGUGCUCUGUCGUUUUCGGUGUACAACCUUUUCUUUAGGGCGUCAACGAUCAUUCCGUUAGCACGUUCAACUUGACCGUUGGCACGUGGAUGUGCCACUGACACGUAUUUUAUGACUAUGCCUCUGUCAUCGCAGAAGUCCCAAAAGGUGGUGCCAGUAAACUGAGUGCCUAGGUCGGUGAUUAUGCUGUUCGGGAUGCCGAAUAUGUGUAUGAUUUGAUUGAGGAACUCCACAGCCUUCUCGGAGGUUGCCUUGACUAUGGGCAUGUAUUCAAUCCACUUGGAGAACUUGUCGAUUAACACGAAGACAAACUUGAAAUUGCCCGGGGCUGGUUUAAAUGGUCCGAUCAUGUCAAGCCCCCAGCAAGCAAAGGGCCAAGACGACGGGAUGGUUUGAAUUUCAUGGGCAGGUACAUGGGUCCUCUUAGCGAAAAACUGACAUCCUUCGCAAUGUCGAACCAGUUUUUCUGCGUCGCCGACCGCGGUUGGCCAAUAAAAACCUGCUCGGAAAGCCUUUCCGACCAACGUUCUAGAUGCGGCGUGAUUGCCGCAGGAUCCAGCAUGUAUGUCCUCUAAGAGCUUGAUACCAUCAUCUUGGGGUAUGCACUUGAGCAGUACUUCGGAGCUUGCGUUUUUCCGCAUGAGUUUUCCGUCGACCAGGAUGUAGUUCUUUUAUCGUCGGAUGAGGCGCUCGUUCUCUGUUUUGUCCUGAAAACCUGUCCCGUCUAAUAUGUAUUUGAUGAACGGGGUACGCCAGUCACGCCCACCGGUUGUCGGAGUGGCGUCGUCUAUGAGCAUUGCCUCGGUGGGUUGCUUGUCGACUAGGGAGGAGCCUACGCUCGGCUCAUGGAUGUCCUGGACGAAAAUACCCCGCGGGAUUUGGGCCCGAGAUGAGCCUAACUUUGUCAGCGAUGGGCGGCCCAGUAUGGCGUGAUAGGUCCCGUCGAAAUCCGCGACUACGAAGUUGAUGAACUCCGUCCGGAAGUGGUCGGGUGUGCCGAAUUGGACAGGCAAUGUUAUCUGUCCAAGGGGCACUGAACUUUGACCUGGCAAAACCCCCCAGAAUUGGGCGUCGUAAGGUUUUAGUUGUGCCGAUAAUAUCUUGAGGGCGGGCAGGCUGUUGCGGAAGAGGAUGUCGAUGGAGCUUCCCCCGUCCACGAGCACGCGCUCGAAUCUGAUGCUAUUGAUGCAGGGGUCAAGAAUCAGUGGGAAACGACCCGGUUCUGGGAUAGCGGCCCACUGGUCCUUCCUGCUGAACGAGAUCUCCCUGUGGGACCACGCGGGAAAUUUCGGAUCUGCGAUCAGCCCGUCCGUGCUGUCUAUGUUGAGGCAGGCUCUCUUUAACAGCUUUCUUUCUCGCUUGGACUCAGUGGAGACCUUGCCCCCGAAAAUGGAGUGGACCACGUCAGUGGGGCUGACGUAUUAGUGUCGGGGGUCCCUAUCUUGGUCCUCAUCCUCAUCUUCGUGGUCGUGCCCGUCGCGCUUGUUAUUUUUCUUGGCGGAGUCCUCUUGGGCGGCCCGCCGUGUAUAGAUACUUUUGAGGACGCGGCACUCUUCCAUGGUAUGGUUGGACUUUGGGUGUAGCUGGCACGGUCCCUUCAACGUUUUGUUGUAGUCGUCUUGGUAGUCCCGUCGUCCAUUGGGACGUUUGACCGUAUUUACUUCGUGGUCUUAGUCGCGAGGGCGCUUUCCUCUGAAGUCGUCGCGGCUGUCGCGCCGCCGAUCCCAACCCUCUCGGUGAUCGCGGUUGUCGGAGCGGCGGUGAUUUCUGUUAUCGUAGCGACCACGACCGUCAUCUCGCCGGGAAGGCUGGUCGGGGCCUCUCGCAUCGUCUCGGAUUAGUUUUUCUGCGUCAUCGGCAUCGGCGUAAUUUUUAGCAGUGGCGAGGAGCUCUGCUACCGUUGAUGGGCACUUACGCAACAGCUUGUUCCUCAGCGCUUCAUGGAAACGCAAGCCCUUGAUAAAGGCUGAGAUGGCCUCGUCAUGAGAAAUCUUCGGGAUUUUGAGGCGCAUAUCCGAGAAUCGUCGGAUGUAAUCGCGCAGAGGUUCAUUCUUCCUGUCUCUUAUCCUUUCAAGGUCAUACUUGUUUCCGGGCUGCUCGCAUGUGGCGAUGAAGUUGUCGAUGAAAGCCUGGCGUAGCUCUUCCCAAGAGUCGAAGGAGUCCUCGGGCAAGCCGAGAAGCCACUGAUGACCAGCCUGGUCGAGGACUACGGGGAAGUAGUUAGCCAUGACGUGCUCGUCUCCUGCCGCUGAUCGGACGGCGAUUUCAUAGAGAGUGAUCCAGUUCUCUGGAUUUUCCUUGCCGUCGUAUUUUUUAAGUUUUUCGAGCUUGAAAUUGCGGGGCCACACGACCUGGCGGAGGUGUGAGGAGAACUGUCUUAGGCCCGGAGGACCGUGGGUCGCAUCGUACUCGAUGCGGCGCAGGUUUUCGUGGACUGCUCUCUCUGCGGCGCGCCUAUUGAUGCGGUCCCGGGCAUCUUUGGAAGGGAUGUUGUGGCGGAGAUCCCUGUGUUGAUCUUCUUCUUGGCCGCGUACGCCAUGAAUUUGCUUGCGGCGGCCAUCGGCGUCCCGACCACCAUCGUCGCGCCGCGAGUCCCCUCGACGGUUGUCGGGGGAGCGGCUGCGGUGACGCCUGCUGGGUGAGACCUGGCUACGAUUAGUCUGGUCGGAGGCGGCUUCCGUAUAAGAGACGUCCUGGACUCUCUUGAGCAGAGUGGCUGUCUGUCCCAUUGCGGCGAUCAGGUGUGCUCGGAUGCUGGUCCGGACUCCCUGGCAUUCGGGGGUGUCAGGAAGCCGAUCCAGGUUGGCCAUGGCGACAGCCACGUUGGCGCUUGGCGUUUUGUAGACUGGCUGGUCCCCGACCAUGUCAAAGGCAUCGUUGAGGUUAUUUGGUGGCAUCUGUUGUUGCUCGUCCGCACGCCGUCGGGCGCGAUCGGCGUUACGCUGUUCGCGGAGUUGCCUCUGGUCAUCUGUUUCUCCGUCAACGGCCGGUUCCUCGGCGCUGACAUUGAACACAAUAUCCCCUCGCCGGGGGGGAAUAUCGGGAAUCGGUCGAAACCCGGAGGGUGUGAAGGAAAAUCCAGGUCGUAGCCCUCGUCUUCGGUGUUUAUAACCUCGGUGGGGACGGAGCCGGUGCUUGAGUUGGUGCUGGAAACCUGGCCGUCCCGUAGCUCUCGGAUUGUCACCAUGUUGACAUGGUGACGAUUGUUCCUUGUCGGCGACCAACCCGCCUUGCUGAAAACGGAUUGGACAUGCUGUGAGUAAACAGAGGCCGAGUUGUUCAGGCCGCAAGGAUAGUCUUCCUUCUUGAGCUCGACGGAUCGUCCUGAGGGGGUUGAGGUUAUCGUCAGGGACGUUCCCAGCCGUUCGUGUGUGGCGACACGAGUUGGCCGGUGGGAUUUCGAAAAAUCCGCUCGAGCAGCUUGGUCGGGCCGGCGCAGAACUCCAUCUAUUAGUUGGGAGACUUCGAGUAGCUUGGAGUCAGCGCGAUCGAGCGCUUGGAGGAGGUCCGAGCAGUCGAUCUCCUUUCCCUUGUAGAGUGGGAACGGUGGUCGGGCGCUUGGUGCCGUCAUGCGUGUGGUCGGAGACGGCGUGAUCUCAGAUUGGAUCUGGAUCUCUUUCGGAACCGUGGUCGCGAAGCCGCCGCUGCACGUCGUCCACGUGAUCUGGCCGACGGUGAACGUGAGGCCUUCGGGCACGGUCGCGGAAGCUGGGAUCGUGACCAUCUUGUUCGCCGGAAAAGUUGCACGCACACCCCCUACCUGGCGCGCCACUGUCGACGAAAGCUAGUCGGCAGUCUACCUUGGGGUAUACCCACGGUAGUAGUUUAUCGGUAGAUGGUGCGCAAACUACGAACUCGGUGGUGACGCAAGACACGGACAAGCUUUUUAUCCAGGUUCGGCCGCCGAGUUGGCGUAAUACCUACGUCCUGCGUCUGGUUGUAUUGAUUUGUGUUGAGAGAAUAUGAUGUGUCCUAGGGGGGUCCCUUGCCCCUCCUUAUAUAGUCUGGAGGGCAGGGUUACAGAUCUGUAAACUAAUCCUAGUCGGUUACAAUUGCCAUGGAUAAUUCGAUAUCAAUUCCUAUUCUAACCGACCAGAAUCCUGCUUGAUCUCCACAUCUUGUUUCCUUGCGCGGAACUCCAGGUUGUCGGAUCAAGCUUUGGACUCGUCUCGUAAUGGGCCAAGCCUCCUGGCCCAAGUCCAGCCGUAAGGGUAUAGGGGUUUAUACCCCCACAAAGAACUUACUAGAAUUUAGAAGUCGAAAUACUGAAGAAUCCUAGGAGCAAGCUUCGGAUUAGGAGAACUUGAUCCCGCAGGUACAAGCUUGGAGUAGACACCGACUGGCCGGGCUUCCUCCAAUCUACACCUCCACUCUAUCUCUCUCAAUCUAGUAGAAACUAGAAGAUCUAUUUCUACUUUACAUUGGUUGCUAAGCCUAAAAAGAAAUAUUAAUUAGAGAAGAGGUUUUCCUUCGAGGGCACCCCUCAAUCUCUAUGAUAAUUUCUUCAUGUCUUCUCCAGGGGCCAGGGGGUCUCCUUAUAUAGUCCUCCUCUAUGCGUUUUUGGGCCGGUAGGCGAGGUGGUACCAUGUUUUCCUUGAUCCAAUAGGUCGGUGGAACAUCCCGUGCGAAGAGAGUCCUGAUUGGCAUCCAGCAGGAGGCGGGCGCCCAGGUCACCAGGGCGGGCGCCCUGGUCCUGGCCCCUUUCGGCCUCUGUCUUCUUCCCGUGGCUUCUGGAGUCUUCUAGAUGGUAGAAAAUCACGCGGUGCGUUGAUAUCUCUAUGUAAUCCCGACAUGUGGACCUUUCUUCCUUAUUAUCUGAUAACCCCCUACAGAAACAGAUAAACAACAAAACUCGUGGAAUUCUGUCAGAUCAAACCCUAAUUCUAGGUGUUGGUUGCAUAUUGGUCAUUUCCCUUGUUUAUUUGAUAAUUAAAAUUGAUACUUAAGAACCGUCAACAGGGAGAACGGCUCGCCUGACGGUACCUCGACCAGUGGGUCUCGAGCCACCCCGCGUCAAGGCCCCAGGCCCCUCGAGGGCAGGCGUUGGCCUUGGCCCAGCGACUCCCGCCUGGCUGACACCGGGACUGGCGCUCCGGCGGCCGGCAUCUCCCUUCUCGGAGGCCGCGGCACGACCGCGGGUCAGCGGCUCCGUCGCCUGGGGCCUAGCUUGCCCACUCACCUUCGGUGCAGGGGGAGGCUGUGGGCGCGGGGCGGCCCGACUGGCCGUGGGCGCAGGAGGGGUGUCGGUGUGGGGGCGGAGGGCGCCCGCCCUACCCCCCUUGGCGCCCGCCCUCCUCUACUGGCCAAUCAGCACGAGUCUCGCGGAUCAUGCUCCACCGACCUAAUGGAUCAAGGAGAACCGUUCAAUCAAUGUCGGUUUGAUCCGACGGCCUAGAUUCAUUUGAAAAGACUAUAUAAGCAAGGCCCCCUGGCCCCUAGAGAGAACAAUCCAAUUAUUCAUUAGCAUAUUUUCCAAACAGAAUUCAGAGAGAGAGGUUCCUUAGGGUUCCCACCUCAUAUGGCGUAGCAUCCAAUGUGAGAGUAGACUAGUUCUACUAGAUUGAGAGAGAUAGAGUGGAGGUGUAGAUCGGAGAAAGCCCGGCCUGUCGGUGUCUACUCUGAGGUUGUACCUGCGGGAUCAAGUCUCCUAACCCGAGGCUUGCUCCUAGGAUUCUUCAGUAUUUUGAUUUCUAAAUUCUAGUAAGUUAUUCGUUUUAUUGUUCUUUGGUUUAUGAGUUUACUUUGAUCUCUUCGCGUAGAGUUUAGUGUAAUCAUCUCUAGCGUAAAUGUGGUGUUUGGGCUAGGAUACUCAUAGAUAUCCCCUGACUAGCUGGACCGUGGUAGUAGCAAGGAACGUGAUAUUUCCGAGUUACCUUUGUAGCCCAUAUCACGUUAGCAGGAUCGAUAGGGUUUAUAGGUGCAGGUCGAACAUCCUCUGUGGUGUCUAGAUUCUGUGAGCCUCCCCAACAAAACAGUAGAUCAUCCUUACCAAGGUUAGAACGAGAGUGCAGUUGUAGUCUUCUCUAUACAUCACUCACAUUGAGUCACAUAGUUUGUAGCCUAAAGGUUAGUAGUAAUAGACCGGGUUAGUCAGAUGCACACUUUCUCCUAGUGGUAAAAAUAUAAAUACGAUACUCUUGAUAAUAUCCUGGGUGAAGUGCUCACCGAUAUCCGUGCACUUGCGGAUUAAUUUUGAUUGCGUUACCAAAUAUCAACAAGCAUUUCUGGCGUCGUUGCCUCGGAGAAAGACAAUUUGCUAAGAUAACCUUGAGUCUUACUACUAGCUUGUAUUUAUACUUUUAUCUUAUCUUAUCUUUUUACAUUCUUUAUUUUCUUUACUCUUACCUUAUGGAAAACCAAGAUUCUAAAUCGAUCUAUCCAUUUGAAACACCUUCGGAAACUGAACUUUUACCAUGGGAGUCAUCACAGCCUAUCCAAACAUCCUAGUAUAGGUUAAGUUCCAGGUUGAUUGCCAUGAUUCAAAACCUAUCUUUUUCAGGAAAGGAAGACGAAAACCCUUAUAUUAGAGAUUUUGAGCAAACAUGUGAUUGUCUUCGCAUUAAAGGCAUUUCUAAUAAGACUUUACGUUGGAAGCUUUUUCCUUUUUAUUUAAGGGGAGAAGCUAGACGAUGGUAUAGUCAGAAGCUAAGUCAACAACGAGGUGAAUGGGGAGUCUUACGAGCCAACUUUUGUCUAGAUUUUUAUUCCCUCGACCGUAUCGGCGACCUUAGACUCGAAGUCGUAUCUUUUAAACAAAAAGAUAAUGAAACUUUGGGAAAAUCCUAGAAACGUUUUUCUGAUCUUUUAGAAUCAGGUCCAAACCUUAAUCUUGAAGACCCUGUUCUUUUAUUUCACUUUUUUCGAGGUCUUCAGAAAGAUUAUAAACAAAUGCUACAUACUAUGUCUAGUGGUUUUUUCUUUCGCAUCCCUACUGAUAACACUAGAGUGAUCCUAGAUAGAAUCCUAGAAGCUGAGAUGGAUAAUAACCUUCAUGAUGAAACCCACAAAGCCGAAGUAGACACUCUGCCAAAUUCCCCAUCUACUUUAGCUAUCCCAAGUUCUGAGCCACAAAAGAGAGAAAUUCCACCACCUGAUUUCAUGCUGGAUAUAGAAUCUAAUCUUUUUGCCGAUUUUGGAAACAUUUCAAACUACCAUUCUAUAGACAGACCCCAGAAUGGCAAUUUUAGCAUUUGUUUGCCAAGUGAACAUCAAUUGAGAGAGCUUAUUGUAGUCAUGAGUAGCGAAUGGUUGGAGGAGUCAGAGCUUUCCUCUGAUGUUAUCCGUUUGGACACACCUCCUAUAACUAUACGCUGUACUUAUGAUUCUGAUCAAUUUGAUGCUCUCUAUAAUCCUGUUGUGGGAAUCAACAUUAUUUCUGAAUCUCUUGCACUUAAAUUAUUUAAUAAUUUGGUUUUAACCUCCACAACAAAGGUCAUAAAGGAAUCUUCGAGACGAUUAGUCCCCAGUCUCGGAAUUAUUAAUGUCCUACCCUUUAUGGUAGAAGGCUCCAUGGUUCAUUUGAACUUCUAUAUCUUUGAUACAUGGGACUUCGACCUAUUGAUAGGACAACCAUUUAGAAGACUUGUUGAUGCAAAACUGGUCUGCAAACACAAAGGGCUAAUACCCGAUUCAAACGUUAAGGCGUGCCAGCCGAUUUAACCCUGCUAUCGGCAAAGGUGAUAACUCGAAUACUUUAGUCCUGACAACAGCGAUGCGCCCGGAUGUCACGGCUAAGAGGUACUCACGCGGAACUUGAGAACACGCCGAGCUUGAGUCGACGAAUUCCUAAGAACUCGUAACAAAAGGAAAAAGUAUGACGAAGUCAUCGAAAAGUAAAUGCUGGAAUAUGAGUAAAAACGUGUGUUUGAUUUCUUGAUUGAUUUAUUGAUUACAAGGCCCUAGGGUCUACAUUUAUACCCUGCUCAAAGAGCUACAACCAGACACGAUUAGAAUUCGAAUUCCAAAUUACACGGAAUCCGUAUACAAAACGAUGCAAAUAAUUAAGGAAAUAACAAAACUAUCCCUCGUGACAAACCGAAACUCCUCCACAUAACGACCGGCAGCUUCCAGACUCCCUCUUUGCAUCAUUGGCAGACCCUUUGCCAUAGUCAUCGGCAGACUUUCUUAUCUAGCCAUCGGCACCAUAUUACUGCCUGUGGACUUAAUCACGUUCAACCUCUCCCUCAUCGGCAACCAUCCUCAUCGGCAACCCACUUUGUAAACAUCGUACUGCCACCUUAUCCUGCCAUCCCAGACACGUGCCCAAAAACGGUGUCAACACAUGCCCCCCAGUUUCGGAGUAUAAAACAUUAAUGCUCCGAAAUUCUCUGCAGUAAUGAUGCCUUUUUCCGCAAUUAAUGCUCCUAAUCUGGUAACCGACAACCUCAAUCUGAACAACUCUGAUCCUAUUCCUCCGCAGAUUUCUCGAAAUCCCCAACUUUCUAAACGGGCAUUUUUUCUCAGCCGUACAUCGGCAACAAUACCAUUACAAAGAUCUGCCGAUGUUCUGACCAGGAUAUUCGCACAAACGGUUACUUCCCCUCUAUCUGCCCAUCGGCAAUAUGACCGUUGUAGAAUAUUGCCGAUGGACCGACCAGGAGAUCUCGCACAGUAAAAUAUCUUCAGAUAAUGACCGCUUCCUGUCAAAUCACCUGCACACAAUCCCUGGAUUACCGUGCGAAUAGUUACCAUAUCCACCUGAGUACCCUCGGAUUUCUCGGAUGCGGCAAAGAGAUAAGUCGGAUUUUCCCUUGCCCAUUUUGUCCUAUAAAUAGUUCCUUCUCGGGUACUCCUUCCCCAUCACACCAUUCUACUACCCAACUUUACUUUUCUAGCGGCGGCGCCACCAAAAACUCCCAAGGUCUCUGACAAGUACCCCUCUUCACCAACUCCGGCGCCUUCAAACACUUCCUUCGCAGCAGGAUGGCCGUCGGGUUCGUCGUCCCUGAGGUCAAAUCUCCACCCCGUCUUCUGUAUUUUUCUUCAUAUCCCUGUUCACUCGCAAUCCAUUUUACUGAACAUCUUCCUUUUCUUUCCUCUUUGUAUUUCUUUUUACGCCCAAAAUCACUAGGAAUUGUCCAACAAAAUUGUCAUCCCCACCGAUCAACCACACCUUCAAUGCCUCGGCCCUCUAGGGGACCCAGAUCCAACUGACCUUCUCAACGCAGAAAUCAACAGGAUCCCCUUCAGAGCCGAAAAUUUUUCCUUAGAUCUGUGGAAGGACACCUUCCGCUCUUGGCCCAGCCCAACUGUAGGGUGGAAAGACUGGUUCUUGAGGGUCAGCAACUCUAAUGAAGUUCAGUGGGGUGAAAGGAAUCUAGCCCAAUGCAUCAGAUUGUCCAUUGCCGAUAUGCAUAGAAACGAGUCACUGCUGAUAGCUGCAUCCUACUUUUGGUCAGACACCCUCAAUGCUUUUGCCUUUGGCCACGGCCCUGCUUCUCCUACUCUUGCCGAUGUAGCCAUGCUUACUGGUCUAGAUAUAUCUUCUGCCGAUAGCACCCACUUUUUUGAUACUGCCCCUAGUGCCAAAGUGGAGACUCGCGCUAUCGGCGGUUGGUCGGGGUACAUUCAGAAGUACCGUGGGAAAGGAUCUGUCACCAUAAAGGAACAAACCACCUUUCUGAACAUGUGGCUGGACAAGUUUGUAUUCUGUGGUCGAUCGGCAGGACCGACUUCUGUCUACCUAUCGGCAGCAGAAAGACUGGCUAACGGUGGCCGAUUCCCUCUCGGCCGAUACUUGCUUGGCGCUGCUUACCACCUUCUCCAUCAAGUAGCCCAGAAACUUCUGCUCGGCCAAUCCACUGGCAACUUGGGAGGCCCCUGGUGGUUUGUCAACAUGUGGCUCAAUCUGCAUCUGCACAAGCGUCUCAACUUCAACCUGUUCACACAGCGUUUCCCAAGAGAUAUAGCUGAAAACCAUGUAUUGGGUGAAGAGGAAUCGGCAACACGCGCCCCCUUGAACUUUGGCGAAGCUGUCAUAGUUCUGCCUGGUUCAGGGGGUAAUCCAGAUCAGAUCGGCCGAUUCUUCCAGACUCUGUAUGAGGGUUUGACCAGAGACGAACGACCAUGGUUGGCUUAUGAUGACCCAGAUAGCAUGCUCCCUCUGACCUUCAAUCCAUUUGAUGAAGCUCUCGACAGGGACAAUGAGGUGAUGAUGGCAAUUGUGACUCCCAGAAUCAUUCCAGUGAAUUUCUUUGGUAGCACAAAAACCUCCCCUCAAACUUACGAAUUUUACAAUCCAUCGGCAUUAGCUCGCCAGCUAGCUUUCGGCCAGUUGCCGAUUGCACUUCCUUAUGACGAUGUGAUAAAACCCAGAGAAACUAUCAACAACCUUCUUGAGUGGACUCGAGCAGCCCAACUACCACCAAACGCCGAUAUAGAUGUAGAUCUGUCAGAAUGGGUCCCGGCUGCUUUUAUCACUCAGGCAUACAAGUUAUGGUGGGCAGAAUGGAAAGAGCAUCUGUUCUGUAGAUCGGCACUUUCAUUCCGCGGCAUGAUUGACUCCGAAUACGAAGUUCCUGAUGACACUGUAAGUAAUUCAAACCAACGUUUCGUUUUCUCAAUAUUACCUCCAUCGGCAGCUUACCCUUGUAUUCCUUUUGCAGGUUGAUAAUAUUCCUCCGUUGGUUAGCAGGAGUGGCAGGCCGAUCAACUUGUUUCCAUCAGGCCCGAUUUCCUCAAUCGGCCACAAUGCUCCCACUCCAGCUUCCAUCGUGCAUCGGGGUGUACGCCUCAGGAAAGUCACCACCAGAAGAACCCAGACAUCACCAACGGUAGCUGCUCCCACUCUCGCGUGGGCUUUCAAGGCAAUUUGUCAAAUCUUUUCCUUUAUGCUGACUAUCUUUAUAUCGGCUAUAUUUAUGCUUAUAAACUCUUGUUCAUUAUUGCAGCAAACCGGCGCAUCGGCGAAAGCCAGGCGUGAGAGUACCGAUGCCCCCCAGUCUAGCCAACCCAAGAGAAAGGGCACCACGGGUGCUAAGACUGGAACAAAGCGCCAGAAGGUAGCAAUCCCCCCUCCUCCUCUGGUAUCUCCAAUUCCGGUGGAAUCUUCUCCUUCUUCUCCAGAAGCCCAGCCACAGCAAGCACCAUCUCCCCCACCUGUGCAGGAAGCACCACAGAUAGAAGAACCCCAACAGGAAGGAUCUCAAACAGAAGAUACAUCAGUUGACAUGGGUGAACAAACAACUGGCCCGGUGAGUCCAGUUAUACCAUCGGCAGUUCUCCCGGUUCAGACAACCGUUGUCCCUCCUCCAGGUAACAUACUUUAACAAUAUCGCUACCGAUGAACUUAUUCUUAUUUAGUCUCAUAACUCCUUUUGUCUUCUUUCAGUUGAUAUUGCUCCAUCGGCAAUCUCAGCCGAUCAACCUGUAGCUCCAUCGGCAUCUUUGGCCGAUCAGCCUGUAGCUCCGUCAGUACUUCUCAGUCAAAGACAAGAGAUCGCCUUGAAGCAAGUAAGUCACCGUUUACCGUUAGCAUUAUUUGCCGAUUCUCUGAGUAUGAGCUAAUUUUGCUUUCCCUCCCAGGAACAAGAUUCUCCCGAUAGCCUGUUCUCCUUUGCCAUCGAUCUCUCUGAAGAAGAAGGUGAAGAAGCAAGCUCUUCUCAGACGGUCGGCAUCACAUCGGCAGAGAUCAGGGUCAGGCUGGAAGAAUUGUCAGCUCUCCUUCACCAAGACAUAGCGCAAUUGGUUGAUGAUUCUGACCCUACCAAGACCCUGUUCAGAACUCUCAGAGGCCAAAUCCCAGCCGAUGUUGAAGAAAUCCUGUUCCAAGCCGCUCAUCUGGAGAGUCGCCAGCUGCAGUACCAGAGAGCUUCUCGGCGCCUUGCCGAUAGAGCCGCUCAGACUCAACUCUCCGAUGAAAUGAGGAAAGAGAAGCUUUUGACCGAUGAGAAGCACAAGGACAUCGGUAUCCUGAGAUCUUCUGGAGACGCGCUGAAGCAGAAGAUAUCCGAUCUAUCGGCAAGAAAAGAAUCCCUGUUGGCGGAACUCAAGGAAGUAGAGAACGCUCUGUCCCAAGCCCAACAGGAAGAGAGCCAAUUGCCAGAGACCAUCAGGCUUCUUGAGCACGAGCGAAAUGUUCAUGGUCGCAAGGCACUUCAACUGAAGAAGAAGCUGAAGCCGAUAGAAGGUUCUGCCGAUGACGACAUCAAGGAGAUGGAAGCAGCCAACCAAAUUCGGCUACGCGCUAUAUCGGCAAUCCAGACGCUGCUUAACACAUAGAGUUUCCAUCGGCAUUAUAUCUGCGCUUUCCUUCUUCCUCAGCUUUUAGUCUAGCCGAUAGGACUGUUAUCGGCACCUAAGCUUUUGAAACACCAAGUCUUGUCCCCAAGCAUUUGGAUCCAGCCGAUAGGAGUGUUAUCGGCACCUAAACUUCUAUGCAUCGACCCAUAUACUGGGGUAGUACUUCUUUAAAUAUUUGCCGUUUAAUGCUCUGGGAAAUUCAAUUCCUUCGAGGGUUUCUAGAAUGUAGGCAUUACCAGGAGCCGAUCGACUUAUCCAAUAAGGACCCUCCCAAUUAGGAGACCACUUUCCAAACUUCGAACUUUUAGUCCCAAUUGGUAAAAUUCAUUUCCAUACCAAAUCCCCAUCGGCAAACUCUUUAGCCUUCACUUUCUUAUCAUACCAUCUAGCAACUCUCUUCUUAUUUUCUUCUAUACUCAUUAAAGCUUUUAACCGAUGCCCUGCUAGAUCGUCCAAUUCAUCGGUCAUCAAAGUGGCAUAACCAUCGGAAGUUAAUUGAUCUUGAAAAGUUAAUCGCCUAGAUCCAGUCUUAAUCUCCCAAGGCAACACUGCAUCAUGUCCAUACACCAAUUGAUAGGGUGAUACUUUGGUCGAUCCAUGACAAGCCAUCCGAUAAGACCACAAUGCUUCACUCAAUAAUGUGUGCCACCGCUUAGGAUUUUCUUCAAUCUUUCGUUUAAUAAGCUUGAUAAUUCCUUUGUUAGACGCUUCGGCCUACCCAUUGGCUUGAGCAUAAUAAGGAGAAGAAUUCAACACUUUAAUUCCCAUACCGAUUGCGAAUUCAUCGAACUCCCCCGAUGUGAACAUGGUGCCCUGAUCGGUAGUAAUCGUUUGGGGAAUCCCGAAUCGGUAAAUAAUAUGCUCCUUCACAAAAUCAAUCAUAUUGGCCGAUGUGACUUUCUUCAAAGGAAUAACUUCAACCCACUUAGUGAAAUAGUCAGUGGCAACUAGAAUGAACUUAUGCCCUUUGCUAGAUGGUGGAUAAAUCUGGCCGAUCAGAUCGAUGGCCCAUCCCCGGAACGACCAAGGCUUUAUUAUAGGAUUCAUAGCCGAUGCGGGUGCUCUCUGGAUAUUACCAAACUUUUGACAACCUUGACAUCCCUUGAAAUAUUUAAAACAAUCUUCAAGUAUGGUUGGCCAAAAAUACCCAUUCCUUCGAAUCAUCCACUUCAUCUUAAAAGCUGACUGAUGCGCUCCACAUACUCCUUCAUGGAUUUCCCCCAUCAAACUUCUAGCCUCAUCAUCGCCCAAGCAUCGGAGAAGAAUUCCGUCGAUAGUUCGAUAAUACAAUUCAUUUUCAAGGAACACAUACUUGGUUGCUUGAAAUCGAACCCGUCUUUCAACUUUUUUGGAUGGAUCUUUUAGAUAAUCAAUAAUUUCUUUCCUCCAAUCACCGGCACCGACUGCCGAUGUCGCAUUAAUCAUUGGCUGAUAUCCCGAGGCACGCUGAGCUAACCGAUUAGCGCCUUCAUUAUGCAAUCGGGGAACAUGCUCCAAUCGGAAAUCCUUGAAUUCCUUUAACAGUUGCAUACUUCUCUCGAAAUAAGUUAUGAGAACAUCACUUCGGCAUUCAUAGCUUCCGGCCAAUUGAUUUAUAACCAACAUAGAAUCCCCGAAUAUUUCAACAGCAUCAGCACGAACUUCUCUUAACAACUCCAAUCCCUUGAUCAGAGCCUGAUACUCAGCCUGAUUAUUUGUUGAUGUGGCAACAAUCGGCAAGGAAAACUCAUACUUCCUCCCCUUAGGGGAAACUAAUACAAUGCCGAUUCCUGCCCCCCGGUCACAGGUAGAUCCAUCAAAGAAGAGCGUCCAGGGUACAAUCUCCAAGGUUUCCACUAGACCGCAAUGCUGAGUCACAAAAUCGGCCAUAAUCUGCCCUUUGACUGCCUUAGCCGAUUCGUAACUCAAAUCGAACUCCGACAGCGCUAAAAUCCAUUUACCGAUCCUACCACUCAUAAUCGGCAUAGAUAGCAUGUAUCGGACCACGUCAUCUUUGCAAACAACAGUGCAUUCUGCCGAUAACAGGUAAUGUCUCAGCUUGAUACAUGAAAAAUAUAAGCAUAAGCAUAGUUUCUCAAUGGCCGAAUACCUGGUUUCAGCAUCAAUCAACCUCCUACUCAAAUAAUAAAUUACCCUUUCUUUCCCUUCAAAUUCUUGAACUAAAGCUGAACCGAUAACCGAUCCAUCGGUAGAUAAAUACAAUCUGAAGGGCUUCCCUUGUUGAGGUGGAACUAGAACUGGAGGAUUUACUAGAUACUUCUUGAUUUCAUCCAGAGCCAACUGCUAUUCUUCUCCCCAAAUAAACUCUUGAUCGGCUUUCAAUUUAAGAAGAGGACUGAAAGCACGAAUCCUACCAGAUAAAUUCGAUAUAAAUCUCCUGAUAAAAUUUACCUUGCCGAUCAAGGAUUGGAGCUCGGUUUUGUUGGUAGGGGCCACUAUUUUAUUGAUGGCAUCAACGGAUCUUCGACUAAUUUCAAUACCCCUCUGAUGUACCAUGAAACCAAGAAACUGCCCUGCCGAUACACCAAAUGCACACUUGUUGGGAUUCAUCUUCAAUCCAUGCUUCCUUGUGCAUUCUAACACUUUUUGUAAAUCGGCAAGAUGCUUUGAGAAAUCUCCAGACUUAACCACCACAUCAUCAAUAUAAAUCUCCACGAGCUUGCCGAUGAACUCAUGAAAUAUAAAAUUCAUAGCCCUUUGAUAAGUAGCACCAGCAUUCUUCAACCCAAAAGUCAUGACUAUCCACUCAAAUAGCCCAACAUGACCAGGACACCUGAAUGCGGUUUUUGGAAUAUCCUCCUCCGCCAUGAAUAUUUGAUUGUAACCUGCAUUACCAUCCAUGAAGCUGAUGACCUGAUGACCAGCCGCAGCAUCAACCAGUAGAUCGGCGACAGGCAUUGGGUAUCCAUCCAUCGGCGUAGCUUUAUUGAGAUUCCUGAAAUCGAUGCACACCCGAAGCUUCCCGUUCUUCUUGUAAACCGGAACAACAUUGGAAAUCCACUCGGCAUACCGACACUGCCGAAUAAACUUAGCUUCAAUAAGUUUGGUGAUUUCGGCCUUAAUAUCAGGUAGAAUGUUAGGAUUACAUCGGCGGGCUGGUUGCUGAUGUGGCCGAAAUCCAGACUUGAUGGGUAACCGAUGUUCAACAAUUGAUCGGUCUAAACCAGGCAUCUCAGUAUAAUCCCAAGCAAAGCAAUCUUUAUAUUCCUUUAACAAACUAGUCAAUUGUUGCUUACUCUCAGGAUCUAAUUUAGCACUAAUAAAAGUAGGCCUAGGCUUAUCACCACUACCUAUAUCUACUUCUACCAAAUCAUCGGCCGAUGUGAAUCCCUGGCCUAAUUUUCCAUCAUCGGCGAAUCUAUCCAUUAAAAACCGUCGUCAGAACCGACUGCUUGGAUCGGUGGAAUCUCAUAAUCGGCAACUUUGAGAAAAUCUUUCUCCCAAACUUCUCCUGAAAUGCACCUGGUCCUUUCGUAAGUAUCCGCUUCUGCCGACGCGAUAACAUGAGAAGAAUCUCCUGGGACAAUCUCAAUCUUGUCACCUACCCACUGAACCAAGCAUUGAUGCAUUGUAGAUGGGAUACAACAAUUGGCAUGAAUCCAAUCUCUUCCCAACAAUAAGUUGUAAGCACCUUUUCCGCUGAUCACGAAAAAAGUUGUCGGCAAGGUUUUGCUGCCGAUGGUCAACUCUGCACAUAUCGCCCCCUUGACUGGAGACACGUUUCCUUCAAAGUCUUUGAGCAUCAUAUCGGUCUUGGUCAAAUCUUGAUCCCCUUUCCCAAGCUUCCGAUAUACUGCAUACGGCAUAAUAUUAAUAGCAGCUCCACCAUCAACUAGGAUCUUGGUCAUUGGCUGCCCAUCAACCCUUCCUUUGAGGAACAGAGUUUUAAGAUGCUGCCUCUCGUCAUCGGCAGGUUUCUCAAAGAUAGCCGUCAUCGGAUCCAGAGCCAACUGAGCUAUCUGAUCAGAAAAUUCCAACUCAUCAUCACUGGCUGGUGCAAGAAACUCCAUCGGCAACAUGAAGACCAUGUUGACACCUGCCGAUGGACCUUCCCUCUUAGUGUCUGACGGCUGCCGACUUCCAGAGUUCUCUCCCUUGUUUAGCUCUUCUUGCCUUUCACGUUGCAAUCUCCUUUUCUGUGUCUUGGUUAAUCCUCCAGGGCACCAUGGAGGAAGUGGCCUUUGCCUUGCCGUCGGGCGUCGGUUCUCCCUUGACUCCAUACGAUGCGUGUUAGCAUCCCUGCAAAAUAUGAAUUCAUCGGGAACCCGCGCAUCAGCCAUUCCCUCGAGCUCUUCUUGGUUCCUGGGAAAAUACUGGACACGGUCACUAAGUCUGUCGUGCCCACUAAAUCUGCCCCCCAGCCGGUCAUGAACUGACACCCUUCCUCUGAUCGGCCCAUUAAAUCGCCGUUCAUCAUCAUGAUAAUGCCUAUCGAUCCUAUCGUACCGAUCAUAACCGUUGCACUCAGGGCAGUCUCUGACAGUAGGAAGCUUGAUAUUUUCCUCCCAACAAUGGAUGAAGAAUGGACAAUUCCAAUGAUCCCUGUGCCGAUUCCACUCCUGUCGGCGUCUUUCUUCUUCCCGUCGAUAAUCUUCCUGCUGGCGCCGAUACCGAUCUUCCCGUUGUUGCCAUUUUUCUCGAGGCCUUCUAUGAGUUAUGACGAUACCAGAGCGAGGAAGCCUUCCUGAGCUAGUUCCUUCCUGGACCAAGCCUUUACUUCUUGCAUCGGCAGUAGUAACUUGAUGCUGAGGAUCUACCGAUGCACUCUUCUCAGCUGUCUCCGAUGUUAAGACCUUAGCCUUCCCCUUAGCAUCCAACAUGUUUGUCGGGAAAGGAUGUUGGUCUAUCUUCAUCGGCUUCUGGGCUUUGGAACUGUCAAACUUGAUUCUCCCUGACUCUAUAGCCGAUUGCAGCUGCUGUCUGAAUACUUUGCACUCGUUGGAGUCAUGGGAAGUUGCAUUAUGCCACUUGCAAUAUCUCAUCCUCUUCAACUCUUCUGCCGAUGGGAUCACAUGGUUAGGUGACAGUUUGAUCUGACCUUCCUGAAGUAGAAAGUCAAAUAUCCUAUCAGCCUUAGCGGUGUCAAAAGCAAACUUCUCUGGUUCCUUCUGCCCAAAAGGACAAGACAUCGGCUUCUUGUUUUUUACCCACUCUGCCAAGCUGAUUACUGGUUCUUCAUCAGAAUCUGAGCUUGUUGCUUCAUCAACAAAUGACACUUUCUUAUUCCAUGCCCUCUUAGGCUCGAAAGGCUUGAUGUCUUGAUCAGAAAUCCUCUGCACCAAAUGACUUAAACUUUCGAACUCCUGGGAGGCAUACUUGUCCCUGAUAUGUGGCAACAAACCCUGGAAAGCCAAAUCGGCUAGCUGCCGAUCAUCCAGAACCAGGCUAUAGCAUUUAUUCUUGACCUCUCGUAUCCUCUGCACAAAUCCCUCAACCGACUCAUCAUUACGUUGCCUCAACUUGACCAAGUCGGUGAUCUUCUUGUCAUGAACCCCCGAGAAGAAGUAUUUGUGGAAUUGCUUCUCUAGAUCGGCCCAAGUAAUUACUGAGUUGGGAGGUAAUGAUAUGAACCAAGUAAAGGCCGAUCCAGACAAUGAUGAUGAAAAUAGACGAACCCUCAAUUCGUCCCUGUUACCAGCCUCUCCACAUUGAAUAAUGAACCUGUUGACAUGCUCCAUGGUUGACGUGUCGUCCUGUCCGGAAAACUUUGUAAAAUCCGGUACCUUGUACCGAUGUGGAAGCGGGAUCAAAUCAUACGCGGGAGGAUACGGUGUCCGAUAAGAGUAAGUGUUGACUUUGGGUUUUAUCCCAAAUUGUUCCCUCAUUACUUCAGCAAUCUUAUCGGCCCAAUAUGCAUCAGCAUCUUGCCGAUGAGGCGGCUCCGGAUCUGGUACUUGGUGGCGAACCUCCACGUGUCUGUUGGGGACGUGAUCUGCGCGGAACAUUGUAUUGAUCACCUGUCCUCCAAUCUGCGGACCACCAAACUGCUGUCCACCGAUUGGCUGUCCUCCGAGUUGCUGUCCAAAAUUCAUUGGCUGGUUGGGAAUCCCCUGACCUUGGAACCCGGGAUAGACCUGCCCUUGCUGGAACCCUGUAGUUUGGUAACUCUGCUGGGGCGAUUGUGGAAAGGCUUGCUGUCCAAGCCAUCCAUUAUUAGCGUUCAUCGGCAUAGGUGCUGCCGAUGAUUGGUAAUUGGGUACCGUCGUUGAAUUGACAUACCCCGACUGGGCCAUAGGCCUCUGUUGCAUCAGCAUUGACUCUGCCGAUGCGUUGGGCAUCUGGAACAUUGAAUCUUGAGGAUUUCCAGUGUGAGGCCUUGCAGUAGUAGUUGUGGUAUACCGAGGACUCUGGUUCACCGGCGCAUUGGGAGGUGCCGAUGUCAUAGGAGUUUUGCCUCUCAUGUCAGUUAUUUGUGAUGUUCCCGGCGUCAACUCUGGAGGCAUACCGUAACCCCACCAGUUGGGAGGAAGAGUCAACCCUGACAUUGCCGAUGCCAACAUAUCUGUUGUCAGUUUAUGCUGCCCAACUGAAAUUUGUGGGUUGGUUGCCAUCGGCAUAGAUAGUGCACCAGUAGUCCCCGAUGUACUUGGAGGGACGGCAGAUUGUGCACUUGCAUUCGUCAAGGCAGCCGAUGGAGCCGUGACCUCUGGUGCCGUUGGCUGAUGAUGGGAGGGGCCCACAUAAUCUGGUGGGAUUUGUCCUUCCUUGAAAGUUCUUGCCACGGCAUUGAAAACCGUAUUAGACAGUACACCAGCUUGGUUGAUCAACGCUCGAUUGAUGGCAUUGUCAACCAUAUCUUGAAGCUUGCCAGGAUUGGCGUCAAAGGUAACCUACCGUGGUGCCGGCAGUGCAUCUUUCUGGACCACUUCGCCGCUCCUGUUUAUGCUGAAAGACCUCAGGCAUUGCUGCUUGAACUCUUCCAUGGCUUGGGCAAUAGCUUGCUUCUGCUCAUCCUUGAGGUUGGCCUCCGUCACGGGGAUGACGUUCUCUUGAUCGAGGUCAGAGAUCGACAUGUUGAUCUUGAUCUUGAAUCUUGUCCCACCGGGCGUGCCAAAAGAUGUGUUGAUGCAAAACUGGUCUGCAAACACAAAGGGCUAAUACCCGAUUCAAACGUUAAGGCGUGCCAGCCGAUUUGACCUUGCUAUCGGCAAAGGUGAUAACUCGAAUACUUUAGUCCUGACAACAGCGAUGCGCCCGGAUGUCACGGCUAAGAGGUACUCACGCGGAACUUGAGAACACGCCGAGCUUGAGUCGACGAAUUCCUAAGAGUAUGACGAAGUCGUCGAAAAGUAAAUGCUGGAAUAUGAGUAAAAACGUGUGUUUGAUUUCUUGAUUGAUUUAUUGAUUACAAGGCCCUAGGGUCUACAUUUAUACCCUGCUCAAAGAGCUACAACCAGACACGAUUAGAAUUCGAAUUCCAAAUUACACGGAAUCCGUAUACAAAACGAUGCAAAUAAUUAAGGAAAUAACAAAACUAUCCCUCGUGACAAACCGAAACUCCUCCACAUAACGACCGGCAGCUUCCAGACUCCCUCUUUGCAUCAUUGGCAGACCCUUUGCCAUAGUCAUCGGCAGACUUUCUUAUCUAGGCAUCGGCACCAUAUUACUGCCUGUGGACUUAAUCACGUUCAACCUCUCCCUCAUCGGCAACCAUCCUCAUCGGCAACCCACUUUGUAAACAUCGUACUGCCACCUUAUCCUGCCAUCCCAGACACGUGCCCAAAAACGGUGUCAAUAAGACUCCUUUACGAAGGUCAUACUAGAAGGCUACACAUUUCUUUUGGAAAAACUUUUAAAUUUCCAAUAACUCCUUAAAUAAUAAGACCGAGUCAUAUCUUUUGCCUGAUCCUAUGGAGGAGGUAAAGGCUGCAUCUCUAGAGCUUUUAGAUGAACCAGACUUAGAAGACGAAGCUCCUUUCUUCACAGAAGAAGAGGCUGAACCUUCUGAACCUAAACCCUUAGAUGAGUUUGCAGAAACACCUAGACCUCCCAUAGAGCUUAAAACUUUAAGACUUGGUCUUACCUAUGCUUUCCUAAACAAUAAUCCAGAGUUUCCUAUGAUCAUUAGUGUUAAACUUACUCAGGAGCAAACUAGCGAUUGAUGACCAUUCUUGAGAAACAUCACUCAGUUUUCGGCUACUCACUCCAAGAUCUCACAGGAAUCAGUCCUAUGAUUUGUACCCAUCGUAUUCCAAUAGAUCCUUCUGUUUCACCUUCUCAAGAGCCCCAACGUAGACUUAACAAUGCGAUGAGAGAGGUAGUUAAAAAGGAAGUUAUAAAGUUGCUGCAUGCGGGGAUUAUAUAUCCUGUGCCGCAUAGUGAGUGGGUGAGCCUAGUCCAAGUUGUGCCUAAAAAGGGAGGCAUGACUGUUGUUACGAAUGAAAAGAAUGAGCAAAUUUCAUAACGCACCGUCACAGGGUGGCGGAUGUGAAUAGACUAUAGAAAACUGAACAAAGCCACGAAAAAGGAUCAUUUUCCUUUACCUUUCAUAGAUGAGAUGCUAGAGCGAUUAGCGAACCAUUCGUUCUUCUGUUUCUUAGAUGGAUAUUCAGGGUAUCACCAGAUCCCAAUCCAUCCCGAUGAUCAAAGCAAAACCACUUUUACAUGCCCUUACGGAACUUAUGCUUACCGUAGAAUGUUUUUUGGGUUAUGUAAUGCACCAGCUUCUUUUCAAAGAUGCAUGAUGUCUAUAUUUUCUGAUAUCAUCAAAGAGAUUAUGGAAGUUUUCAUGGAUGGUUUCUAUGUAUAUGGAAAAAACUUUUGAUAGUUGUCUUGAAAACUUAGACAAGGUUUUGCAAAGAUGUGAAGAAAAGCACUUAAUCCUUAAUUGGGAAAAAUGUCAUUUUAUGGUUAGGGAAGGAAUAGUGUUGGGACACCUAGUGUCUAAAAGAGGUAUUGAGGUAGACAAAGCUAAAAUUGAAGUAAUUGAACAACUACCUCCACCUGUGAAUAUAAAAGGAAUUCGAAGCUUUCUUGGCCAUGCUGGUUUUUAUCGCAGAUUCAUAAAAGAUUUUUCAUUCAUUGCUAGACCACUUACUCUUUUGCUAGCCAAGGAUGCUCCUUUCGAAUUUGAUGAUGCAUCCCUAACAUCAUUCAACUUAUUAAAGAAUCCACUCAUCUCUGCACCAAUCAUUUAACCCCCUGAUUGGUCGUUGCCUUUUGAAAUUAUGUGUGAUGCUAGUGAUUAUGUUGUGGGGGCAGUUUUGGGACAAACUAAAAAUAAGAAGCAUCAUGCAAUUGCUUAUGCUAGUAAAACUUUGACAGGAGCUCAACUUAAUUAUGCAACCACUGAAAAAGAGCUUCUGGCUGUUGUUUUUGCCAUUGAUAAAUUUAGAUCUUAUUUAGUUGGAGCUAAAAUAAUUGUUUACACUGAUCAUGCUGCACUAAAAUAUCUGCUCACUAAAAAAGAUGCUAAACCUCGCCUGAUUAGAUGGAUCUUAUUACUUCAAGAAUUUGACUUGGAAAUAAAAGAUAAAAAGGGAGUAGAAAAUUCUGUUGCUGAUCACUUGUCUAGAAUGUAUUUUAAGAAUCCACAGAAAACCCCCAUCAAUGAUUCACUCCGAGACGACAUGCUCUAUGGGAUUAACAUGUUUGACCCCUCGUAUGCAGAUAUUGUUAAUUUUAUGGUUUCAGAGUGUGUACCACCAGGAGCGAACAAGAAGAAGCUUAUUCAAGAAAGUCGUUCACAUUUAUGGGAUGAGCCAUACCUCUUCCGAGUAUGCUCUGAUGGCUUACUCAGGAGAUGUGUGACCACCAAGGAAGGAUGGAAAAUCAUCGACAGGUGUCAUUCAUCACCUUAUGGAGGUCAUUAUGGAGCAUUCCAUAGACAUUGAAAGAUCCGGCAAUGUGGAUUCUACUGGCCUACAAUGUAUGAAGACACGAAGCAAUAUAUCAGAAGAUGUGGGCCAUGUCAAAGGCACGGAAACAUAAACACAAGGGAUGCCUCUCCACUCACCAACAACCUUCAGAUUGAGCUCUUUGAUGUCUGGGGAAUAGACUACAUGGGUCCAUUUCCCCCAUCAAAGAAGUGUGAGUUCAUCUUGGUGGUAGUUGAUUACGUCUCCAAGUGGGUAGAGGCACUACCUUGCAAGCACGCCGACAACAUCAGUUCAAAGAGGAUGUUUGAAGAAAUUAUAUUUCUAAGAUUUGGAGUCCCUGAAGUAGUGAUAAGUGAUGGAGGAGCACACUUCAUCGACAAACGCUUUAAGCACUAUCUAUCAAAACAUGGAAUCCGUCACAACGUCGCUACUCCCUACCAUCCUCAGACAAGUGGCCAAGCAGAGACUUCCAACAAGCAAAUCAAGAAUAUUCUUCAAAAAUAGUCAAUGAGAUGGGAACGGCAUGGAAGGACAAGUUACCCGAUGCACUCUGGGCAUACCGGACAGCAUACAAGACCCCAAUUGGAAUGUCCCCAUACCAAUUGGUGUACGGAAAGACUUUCCACCUACCCGUUGAAUUAGAGUUCAAAGAACACUAGGCCAUAAGGAGAUGGAAUAUGGAUCUAGAUGUCGCUAGAGAUCAUAGAAGAAUGCAAUUAUCAGAAUUGGAAGAAUGGCGAGAGAAAGCUUAUCACAACUCGAAGAUCUACAAAGAAAGAGUCAAAAGGUGACAUGACAAGAGGAUCAAGAAGAAGGAGUUCGCUCCCGGAGAUAAGGUAUUGCUUUUUAAUUCUAGGGUGAAGCUUUUCGGGCAUGGAAAACUCUGGAGUAAAUGGGAAGGGCCAUUCAAGGUAAUCAAUUCAUCAUCCCACGGAGCUAUCACACUUCAAAAUGACGAAGGUACGUUAUUCAAGGUAAAUGGUCAACGUCUUAAAUUAUUUUUAGAGCCCAAUAAAGAAUUAGAAGAAAUAGACGUGAUCCAUUUCUACCUUCCCAUGGAGAAUUAGAGCCCGACCUUUUUAAUCUGAUGUUUUUGGGCCACGUAUAUGUUUUUCGAAUAAAGUCUGCAUCUAGAAGCACGCUCGAGGAAGCGGGUCCACAGAGGGGCCAGGUACAGGGCAGGCGCCCUGAUGAUGAGGGCGGGCGCCCAGCCCCUGCCUCCUCUCAGUCCCGAUUUCCCCCGUCGCAAUAAACCCAUUUAUGGUAAACUAAAUAAUCACACAGAUGGAAGGUUUCGCACGCAUGGCGGCGGGAGUAGCCCGAGCAAACCCUAUAGGCACUUUUUGACCCCUAUAUAAACGGACCCCUGACGUCGGUUUUCAACACCAAUUUAUUCAAACCUUCUCUCCUUCUUCUAUUAGAGCUUGCUUAGUCCCUCGCUGCUCCAAUGGCCGAAGAGUUCCACAACGAUUGGGAAGUCAUCCCCUUCGACCUCAACAAGAAGCCCAAGGAAGACCCCGACGCCUACGCUCUCGUUCCGGCCAACACAGAGCGAUAGCUAGCAGCCAUGCCAUCACACCAGCGCAGCUCUACCAAUCCUACCAUGCUCAACCAGUUCUCACUGCACCCUUGUAGCCUCUACUUCUCAAGGGACAGUCAGCCAAGAAGGAGGCCAUCGUCAAGGUGCUAGUCGGCACAAGGAUCCUGCCACCCAGAGCCAAUGAGCGGCUCGUUGGAGUCAAGACCAACCGGAGCGGCGAGAUCAGCAGCAUCCGCUACACUACGGAGGAGGAGAGGCCUUACUUCGAGGGGAUUAGAGCAGCCAAAGUCCGUUUCAUCUCUCCAAAGGCAGCCCCGAAGCAUGCUCUCAACACUCUUGAGACACAUCCUAAGCGCCGCAAGACUAUAGUAGAUAUUGAUGAGGACAUUCGUAGGCUAGACAAGGUCAUCAUAGAGCUCCAGUCCUCGGUUAACUCUAUCACUAGGUAGCUCUCUAACCAAAACACCGUUAUACUAGGUCUUAGGCAUGAUCUUACUAGUGCCAAUAAGAAGAUCAGGGAGUUAGAGCGACGCUAAGUUAUCUAGAUUAGAUCUUGAGGCAGUACAUCUUAGUUAUUCUUCUUUAAAUUCGGUUUAGAUCUAUUAUUAGCUUCAGUUCAUCACUAGUCAUUUGUAAUAAAUGCCUCAAGAUUAAUAAAGAUUAUUAUUAUGUCUUGUGUGUCUCUACUUUAUUUUUAUGCAAGAAAGCAGAAAACAAGUAAGGGGGAGAUCCCUCGACAUGCCAACGCACUUCGACUACACCACUCCAUGAUUCAGGUACAUACUCUACACACUUUACACAUACACAUAUGGUGAGGUCGUUGUCCUGAUCUUCACGACAUAGGAUAACUAGCUGAAGAUCAGCCGAUAACUUGCUGCAAGCAGCGAGGAUAACUAGUGCAACCUGACGACACGCACAAGGAGCCAACCACCGUCUCUAUACGGCAGCCUGAACCAAGGAUUCGCCCAACCACACUCUCAAAGAACCAACCUACACAACCUGAACUCGAGGAUCAGGAGCACGGAUUGGGUGCCGAUGACGCGGCCGCUUCUGUAAUCUCCACGAAGGAAAACACAAGAGCAAAGGGGUAGAGAUCUCUCUCUGAAUUUGUUAGCACACAGCUGAACAAAGUGGUUUGUAUUCUCAAUAUCAUAAGACUUGGAUUACAAUGAGUCUUAGGGGGUAUUUAUACUAGCAACAGCCUUGCUAGAUAGGUAUGAAAACGAAAUAGAGUUUCUGAGGGAAGGCAAUGUGAAAGGUCCCCUCGAAAUGGAUUCCCGAAGUGGCUUCGCGUGACUGUUGGCCUCCAGAGCAGUUUCCAAUAAACUGACGAUAACUUUUUAUUGGGAAGUCCAAAUGAUAAACCAUUUCUUGGGUGUGAAACUAGACUCCAAGAGCUUUCCAGCAACGUAUGCCAUGCACCACGAAACUCUGUAGAUUGGUACAGUUUUACUUUGCAAGUUGUACCAACAUUCUGUCACGACAAACUGUUGACCUUCUGAGCAGUCUGUACUGAUUCUGGUUUGCAGGAAGUAUGGAGUAUCCAAACUAGUCUCCACUAGAUUCAUUGGAAGGUAGACUCGAAGACCUUUCCAACAAGUGCUCAUGGGCCUUCAUAGCAUCUCGAAAGUGAAAGUUAUGAUCUUUUCUUUCAACUGGUCCGUUCUGCACCGUACUGGUCCGAUCUGCCCUUCUUUCAACUGGUCCGUUCUGCACCGUGUUGUUCCAAUCCUUGCGAUCCAGGUCACCUCCCUCCUCAUGUGUAUACCUAAGCACAACCAAAGUAGAACACUUAGGUAGUAUAAUAUUCUCAUUAACGUUAAUAGAACUCUCACAAAGUAGCGCGUUCACCUCUUGUUGUAGCUUCUUGGCUCGGCUACGUGUAAUUGCUCUAUCAAUGGCUUGGGCUGGUGCCGGCGUAGUCGGUGUAGAGGUUGGCAUGGAAUUAAAGGGAGCAUGCUUGGUUGGGAUGUCCUCAUCAACAUAUAUCUUGGUUUAUGCAGAAUAUUGUCUCCGACAUGAUAAAUUAACAAGAUUAAAAUGUUUCUAAUCAUGAUUAAUCUCACUCUAUGAUAUUUCCUGAAAACUUGCAAUUAUUAAAAAUCAUUUAAAAACCCUAUGUCACUUAAGUCAUUUUAAGAUGGUAGAGUAUGAGUACCUUAUUCUAGAUAUCAAUGUUGCUUGGAGAAUUUAUUUCAAAAUCUUCAAAAAAUUCUAGCUAACAUCCCCAGUGUUUUAUAUGCCUGCUAAACCUAAAAAUAUUAAUUAUAAUAAUUAUAAAAGCUAUUUGCUCUGUAUUGAGUUUGCUUAAAACGAGAUUAGACCCAUGUUGAGAGAUUUAUCAUGCUCCUAAGAUCAAGACAUUUAUUCAGAAAGAUUCACUCAUCCGAAGUAUUAUUGCGUUAGAGGCAUGGGCUAUUCAAAAAUAUGAAUAUUUCAAGGAAAUAAAAAGGAGCAAGUGCUCGAUAACCUCGCAGAAAAAAUGGACAAGUGUCCGGCAGUAGAAUUAGGGGUACCUCGGUAUCCACCUGAAAAAAAAGUGAGAGAAGAAGAUGAUAGCCCAUGCUCCCUCUAAUAAGCAAUAUGCUAGUAAGAGUUGACAAGUUUUUAAUUUCUAAAGUCUUUGAUAUAAGAGUAUGGCAUUCUUCUCCUCGGAUACCGUUUUGAUCAGGCAACAGAUGCAAGGUAAGUAUGCUUGAGAAUUUCUGCAAAUUAAAACAGCCUCAGUGAGAUAUAUAAAAGAUAAUGAGUGACCUAAGAGAACAUAUGAGGAUAAAGGUACGCUAAAUUUCUUUUUAAAAAUAUACAAAAACUCUAAGUGACAGGAUUAAGAAGAAAGGACCUCUACUUUUGGCCAUAUUUUUCCCUGACUACGGUACACAGUGGAUUUUUACAACACCCUACAGGUAUGAAGAGAAUGCUUUACAAUGUUUUAACCCUAGAUAUUUUUCUUAACCAUUCUUUUCUCGAGGACGAGUAAAAGCCUAAGUAUGGGGGUGUUUUUUGACGGUUCAUAAGUAUCAAAUUUAAUUAUCAAAUAAACAAGGAAAAGGACCAAUGUACAAACAACACGUAGAAUUAGGGUUUGAUCUGACAGAAUGCCACGAGUUUUGUUGUUUAUCUAUUUCUGAAUGGGGUUAUCAGGAAAUAAGGAAGAAAAGCCCACAUGUCUGGUUUACAUAGAGAAUUUAAUGUGUCGCGCAAUUUUCUAUCAUCUAGAAGACUCCAUAAGCCACGGGAAUGAACGGGAGGCCGAUCGGGCUUGGGGGCAGGGCGCCCGCCCUAACCCCCGAGGCGCCCGCCCUACCCCCCGAAGCGCCCGCCCUCCUCUACUGGCCAAUCAGCACGAGUCUCGCGGAUCAUGCUCCACCGACCUAAAGAAUCAAGGAGAACCGUUCAAUCAAUGUCGGUUUGAUCCGACAACCUAUAUUCAUUUGAAAAGACUAUAUAAGCAAGGCCCCCUAGCCCCUAGAGAGAAGAAUCCAAUUAUUCAUUAGCAUAUUUUCUAGACAGGAUUGAGAAAGAGAGGUUCCUUAGGGUUUCCACCUCAUAGGGAGUAGCAUCCAAUGUGAGAGUACACUAGUUCUACUAGAUUAAGAAAGAUAGAGUGGAGGUGUAGAUCGGAGAAAGCCCGGCCUGUCGGUGUCUACUCCGAGGUUGUACCUGUGGGAUCAAGUCUCCUAACCCGAGACUUUCUCCUAGGAUUCUUCAGUAUUUCGACUUCUAAAUUCUAGUAAGUUCUUCGUUUUAUUGUUCUUUGGUUUAUGAGUUUACUUUGAUCUCUUCACGUAGAGUUUAGAGUAAUCAUCUCUAGCGUAAACGUGGUGUUUGGGCUAGGAUACUCUUAGAUAUCCCAUGACUAGCUGGACCGUGGUAGUAGCAAAGAACGUGACAUUUCCGAGUUACCUUUGUAGCCCGUAUCCCUUUAGCAGGAUCGAUAGGGUUUAUAGGUGCGGGUCGAACAUCCUCUGUGGUGUCUAGAUUCCAUGAGCCUCCCCAACAGAAUAGUAGAUCAUCAUUACCAAGUUUAGAACAAGAGUGCAGUUGUAGUUUUCUCUAUACAUCACUCACAUCGAGUCACAUAGUUUGUAGCCUAAAGGUUAGUAGUAAUAGACCGGGUUAGUCAAAUGCACGCUUUGUCCUAGUGGUAAAAAUAUAAAUACGAUACUCUAGAUAAUAUCCCAGGUGAAGUGCUCACCGAUAUCCGUGCGCUUGCGGAUUAAUUCUGAUUGCGUUACUGUUGGUGCAAAAGCUGAUCUGCAAUCACAAAGGGCUAAUACCCGAUGCAAACGUUAACGCGUGCCAUCCGAUUUGACCUUGCAAUCGACGAAGGUGGUAACUCGAACACGUUGGUCCCAACAAGAGCGAUGCGCCCGGAUGUCACGGCCAAGAGGUGCUCACGCGGAACUUGAGAACAAGCCGAGAUUGACUCGACGAAUUCUUAAGAACUCGUAGUAAAAAGAAAAUAUGAUGAAGUCGUCAAAAAAGUAGAUGCUGGAAUAUGAGUAAAAACUUGUGUUUUAUUGAUUGAUAGAUCAUUCAUUACAUUGCCCUAGGGUCCACAUUUAUACCCUGUCCAAAGAGCUACAACCAGACACAACUAGGACUCGAAUUCCAAAUUAAACGGAACCCGUAUACAAAAUGAAUCCUAAUAACUAAGGAAAACAUUAAACUAUCCACCGUAAUCGAUCAGGACACUGCCAUGAAUCAAUCGUCAACCUCCACGCUUUUCUUUAGGGUCAUCGGCAAACUACCUGUUACAGCCGUCGGCAAACACCGACACUGGUCAUCGGCAUGAAUACAUCACCACUUGUGGACUUGGUCAUAUUUGGUUGUUUCCCAAUCAGCAACCACCUUCAUCGGCAACUCCCCUAUAGACUAGUCACCAUUCCUCCACCUGCCGAUCUACAUCUUAUUAACUCUAGACACGUGCCCAAAGAUACGUGUCCAAAAACGUUGUCAACACAUGCCCCCCAAUUUCAGAGUAUAAAAUCAUUAAUGCUCCAAAAUUCUCCUCAUUAAUGAUACCUUUCCGCAAUUACUUCCCUUGAUUGAUAAUUAAUUACCAAAUCUAAACAACCUCGGCCUGAUUCUCCUGCAGAUUCUUUGAAUUCCUCAACUUCCCGAACUGAAUCUCUCCAGAACGCUCAUCGACAAUAUUACCGUUAGAGAAAACUACCGAUGGACCGACCACGCGAUCUUACACAGUAAGAUAUCUUCAAAAUCGUGACCGCUUGCUGUCAAAUCACCAGCACAAUCCCUUGAUUAUCGUGCGAACAGUUACCAUAUCCACCUGAACACCCUCGGAUUUCAUGGUUGCGGCAAAGAGAUAAGUCAGAUUUGCCCCUCCCCGUUUUGUUCUAUAAAUACUUCCUUCUCCGGUACUCUUUCUCCAUCUUGUCAUUCUACAGCCUCAAAUCCACCUUCCUGGUGGCGGCAUUGCCUGAGAACUCCAAGAACUCCAGUAAGGGCCUCCUCCAUCAAUCUUCCAAGUCUUCGAUCUCUCCUCUUCCUUGGGAAGAAAUGGCAAUCAACUUCAUCGUUCCUGAGGUCAGCCUACCAUCUCCUUUCUGUACUUUUUGUUGUACUCCUGUUCAUCUGCGAUUCUUUUUACUGAGGACCCUCCUUUUUUUUUCUUUUUGUUCCUUCAUCCUCAAAACUCUUUAGGAUUUGGCCGAUAAGAUCGUAAUUCCUACCGAUCAACCUCACUUCCAAUGCCUCGGCCUGUUAGGAAAUCUAGAUCCCACCGAUCUGAUAAAUGCAGAGACAAACAGAAUCCCCUUCAGAGCCGAGAACUUCUCCUUAGAUCUGUGGAAAGAUGCUUUUCGUUCCUGGCCUAGUCCUACCAAGGGAUGGAAAGACUGGUUCCUGAGAGUCAGUCAUUCAAAUGAAAUCCAAUGGGGUGAGCAGAAACUAGACCAAUGCAUCAGAUUAUCCAUUGCUGAUAUGGAGAGGAACGAGUCGCUGCUGAUAGCUGCCUCGUACUUUUGGUCAGACACACUUAACGCUUUUGUAUUCGGCCAUGGCCAUGCUUCACCCACUCUUGCCGAUGUACUCAUGCUUACUGGCUUACACAUAUCAACUGCCGAUAAUAGUCAUCUGUUUGAUACCAAGCCCAGUUCUUAGGUAGAGACUCACGCUAUCGGCGGUUGGUCUGGGUAUAUUCAGAAAUACCGAAAAACAGGACCUGUUGGGGAAAGGGAACAAGCCAUUUUAUUGAAUAUGUGGCUGGAUAAGUUUGUAUUCUGUCACCGAUCGGCAGGACCAACUUCUGUCUAUCUAUCGGCAGUAGAAAGACUGGCCAAUGGUGGCUGAUUUCCUCUUGGCCGAUAUCUGCUUGGCUCUGUUUAUCACCUCCUUCACCAGGUAGCUAAGAAACUCCUGUUAGGCUAACCCAUCGGCAACUUAGGGGGACCCUGGUGGUUCAUCAACAUAUGGCUUAGUGUUCACAUGCAUAAGCGCCUUCAAUUCAACCUUUUCACACAGCGCUUCCCCAAAGAUAUAGCCGAAGAUCAUGAGCUGGAUGAAGAAGAAUCGGCAACUCGCUCCCCCUUGAACUAUGGUGAAGCUACCAUAGUUCUACCUGGUACCGGUGGUAAUGAAGAUCAGGUUAGCCGAUUUUUUUAGACUCUUUAUGAGGGUCUGACCAAAGAACAGCGGGCAUGGAUGCCUUAUGAGGACCUAGACACCAGAUUUCCCUUGACUUUCCAUCCCUUUGAUAAUGCUCUCAACAAGGACCAUGAUCUGAUGAUGGCAAUCAUCACCCCGAGAGCUAUACCAGUGAACUUCCAAUCUUACCUAUGAGUUCUACAAUCCAUCGACAUUGGCUCGCCAAUUAGCCUUCGGACAACUGCCGAUCGUGCUCUGCUAUGCCGAUGUGGUGAAACCAAGGGAGAUCAUCACCAGUGGUCUUGAGUGGAUCAGAAUAGCUCAACUCCCACCAAAUGCCGAUACAUCAGAUAUCGACUUAUUAGCUUGGAUCCCAGCUCUAUUCAUCACACAGGCGUACAAACAAUGGUGGGCGGAGUGGAAAGAGCAUUUGUUCUACAGAUCGGCUCUUACAUACCGCGGUAUGAUUGACUCUGCGUACAAGGUCCCCGAAAACACUGUAAGUUUUCAACUGAUGCGUCAAUCCUAUUACUUUUGCUCUUAUCGGCAACUUACUUCCUCUGUGUUACAUAGGUCAAUGAUACUCCACCAUCAGUAAGCAGAAGUGGCAAGCUGAUCGAACUCCUCCCAUCGGGCCCGAUCUCCUUGAUCGGCAACAACGCACCAAGUUUGGCAGCUCUAAUGAACCGGGGUGUGCGUUUCAAGAAGAUCACCACCAAGCGGGUCAAGACAUCUCCAUCGGUCGCUGCUGCUGCUUUGGCGCAAGCUUUCAAGGUAGAAAGUUUUUAUCUCUUCAAUUUAUACCGAUUCCAUUCUAUACUUACACAGUUCUUUCAGGAUACAUCGGCUGCUAUGGUUACUUCAUCGGUAACUUUCACUGUUUCAACCAAAAUUCCAUCAAUACUCUGUUACAAUUGUAGUUAUGAAACUUUUAUUGUUGUAUCAGCAAACUGGAAAAUCGGCAAAGACCAGAAGUACCAAGACAACUGCCGAUGCCCCCCAGUCCAGCCAAGUAAAAAGAAAGGGUCCCAAGAGUACUAAGUCACAAGCAAAACGCCAGAAGACAGCAGCGCCUCCUCCUCCUCCUCCAGGGUCACCGAUUCAUGUGGAAUCGUCCCCUUCUUCACCAGAGACUCAGACACAACAAGCACCAUCUCCACCUCAGCCACAAGAAGAACCUCAGCUAGAAGAGACAUUAGCCGAUGUAAAUGAGCAGACCGCCGAUACAGUGGGUUCAAUCAUAGCAUCGGUAGUUUCCUCAAUCCAGACAAGCACUGCACCCCCUCAAGGUAAAGCAUUGUCUAUUAAAUCAUUGCCGAUGGACUUAACUUUCCAACUUAUGAUUAUCUUUAUUAAUUUUCAGCUGGCAUUGUCCCAGCGGCAACUCCGACAGAUCAACCUAUGGCACUACCGGCCUCAACUAGCCAGAGGCGGGAGAUAGCUUUGAAACAAGUAAGCUAUUUGAUUCAUCCUUUAUUUCACUAACAUUUAGUCAUCAAAUAACCUAUCUCCUUUUCUUUUUCAGGAACAAGAUUCUCCCGACAGCCUGUUUUCCUUCGCUAUCGAAAUUUCCGUUGAUGAAGGUGAAGAAGCAAGCUCCUCUCAAGCCAUCAGGAUUUCAUCAGCAAAAAUUAGAGCCAAGCUGGAAGAUCUGUUGGCCCUGCUUCAUCAAGAUACAGCUCAACUGGUUGAUGACUCUGAUCCAGCGAAGGCUUUGUUUAAAGCUCUCAGAGGCCAAAUCCCUGCCAAUGCCGAGGAGACUCUUUUUCAGGCUGCACACUUAGAGAGCCGCCAACUUCAGUAUCAAAAAGCUGCCCAACGCCUUGCCAAUAGAACCACUCAUGCCCAGCUUUUAGAGGAGGUAAUGAAAGUGAAGCACCUUGCCGAUGAGAAACACAAGAGCAUCGGCAUUCUGAAAUCCUCCGGAGAUACGCUGAAACAAAAGAUCUCCGACCUAUCGGCAAAAAGGGAAGCCCUGUUGGCAGAGCUUAAGCAAGUAGAAGAGGCUCUAUCCCAAGCUCAACAAGAAGAAAGUCAGCUGCUUGAAAUGAUCAAGACCCUCAAACAAGAGCGAAACAUUCAAGCCCGCAAGGCAUUGCAGAUGAAGAAGAAGCUGAAGCCAGUGGAGGGUUCUGCCGAUGAAGACAUCAGGGAGAUAGAAGAAGCCGAUCAAAUUCGUCUGCGCGCUAUAUCGGUGAUCCAAGCUCUACUGAAUGUAUAAUCUUCUCAUCGGCGGCGUGUUUUGCUCUUUCUUCAAAAACUUGUUGAUUGUUUUGGUCUAGCCGAUAGGACUGUUAUCGGCAUCCUUUGAAACAUCGCAUUCAGUCCCAGAUACAUUUCAAUCCAGCCGAUAGGAGUGUUAUCGGCACUUAAACUUUUAUGCAUCGACCCAUAUGCUCGGGUAAUACUUCUUUAAAUAUUUUCCAUUUAAUGCUCUGGAAAAUUCAACUCCUUCGAGAGUUUCCAAAAUAUAGGCAUUACCAGGAGCAGACCGACUUACCCGAUAAGGACCUUUCCAAUUGGGAGACCACUUGCCAAACUUUGAACUUUUAGUCCCAAUCGGUAAUAUUAGUUUCCAUACCAAAUCUCCAUCGGCAAAUUCCUUAGUAUUUACCUUUUUAUCAUACCAUCUGGCUACUCUCUUUUUAUUUUCUUCUAUACUUAUCAAAGCCCUCAGCCGAUGCCUUGCUAAAUCAUCUAACUCAUCUUUCAUUAAAGUAGCAUAGUCAUCGGCAGCGAGCUGAUCUUGAAAAGAUAGUUGCCUAUAUCCUGUCUUAAUUUCCCAUGGUAGCACGGCAUUGUGUCCAUACACUAACUGAUAAGGUGAAACUUUAGUUGACCCAUGGCAUGCCAUCCGAUACGACCAUAAAGCCUCACUUAGCAAUGUAUGCCAUCUUCUAGGAUUUUCUUCAAUCUUUCGUUUGAUGAGUUUAAUAAUUCCUUUGUUAGAUGCUUCGGCCUGCCCAUUGGCUUGAGCAUAAUAAGGAGAAAAAUUCAACACCUUAAUUCCCAUACCGAUUGCAAAUUCAUCAAACUCUCCCGAUGUAAACAUAGUACCCUGAUCGGUAGUAAUUGUUUGAGGAAUACCAAAUCGGUAAAUAAUAUGCUCUUUCACAAAACCAAUCAUAUCGGUCGAUGUAACUUUCUUCAAAGGAAUAGCUUCAACCCACUUAGUCAAAUAAUCAGUGGCAACUAAGAUAAAUUUAUGCCCUUUGCUCGAUAGUGGGUAAAUCUGACCAAUUAGAUCAAUAGCCCAUCCCCGAAACGACCAAGGUUUAAUAAUGGGAUUCAUGGCUGAUGUGGGUGCCCUUUGAAUAUUACCAAAUUUCUGACAUCCUUGACACCCUUUGAAAUAUUUAAAGCAAUCCUCAAGUAUAGUCGGCCAAUAAUACCCAUUUCUCCUAAUCAUCCAUUUCAUCUUAAAAGCCGACUGAUGUGCUCCACACACUCCUUCAUGGAUUUCACCCAUCAAACUUUUAGCUUCAUCAUCACCUAAACAUUUGAGAAGAACUCCAUCUAUAGUUCGAUAAUAUAAUUCAUCCUCGAGUUGCACAUACUUGGUAGCUUGAAAUCUGAUACGUCUUUCAACCCUUUUAGAUGGAUCCUUUAAAUAAUCAAUGAUCUCCUUUCUCCAAUCAUCGGCACCGAUUGCCGAUAACGUGUUUAAUAUGGGUUGAUAUCCCGAGGCAUGCUGGGCCAACCGAUUAGCCUCCUCAUUAUGUAAUCGAGGAACAUGCUCUAAUUGGAAAUCCUUGAAUUCCUUCAAUAGUCGCAUACUUUUUUCAUAAUAAGUUAUCAGAACUUUGCUUCAGCAUUCGUAACUUCCAGCCAACUGAUUUAUGACCAGCAUAGAAUCCCCGAAGAUUACGACAGCAUCGACACGAACUUCUUUUAAUAAUUCCAACCCCUUGAUCAAAGCUUGAUACUCAGCUUGAUUAUUCGUCGACGUGGCAACAAUCGGCAAAGAGAAUUCGUACUUCCUUCCCUGAGGGGAAAUUAGUACUAUGCUGAUUCCUGCCCCCUGGUCACAGGUAGAUCCAUCAAAGAAGAGUGUCCAAGGAACAAUUUCCAAAGUUUCCACUACACCACAGUGUUGAGUCACAAAAUCAGCCAUAACCUGUCCUUUUACUGCCUUGGCCGAUUCGUAACGUAGAUCAAACCCCGACAGCGCCAAAAUCCAUUUGCCAAUUCUACCACUCAUAAUCGGCAUAGACAACAUGUAUCGGACCACAUCAUCCUUGCAUAUAACAGUGCAUUCGGCUGACAGCAAAUAGUGCCUCAACUUAAUGCAUGAAAAAUAUAGGCAUAAAUAUAAUUUUUCUAUUGCUGAAUACCUGGUCUCAGCAUCAAUCAGUCUUCUACUUAAAUAAUAAAUUACACGCUCCUUCCCUUCAAAUUCUUGAAUCAAACCCGAACCGAUGACCAGCCCAUCGGUAGACAAAUAUAAUUUGAAAGGCUUUCCUUGCUGAGGUGGAAUCAGAACUGGAGGAUUUGUUAAAUAAUUGUUGAUUUCAUCCAAGGCUAAUUGUUGCUCUUUUCCCCAUACAAACUCUUGAUCGGCUUUCAAUUUAAGCAAAGGACUAAAAGCACGAACUUUACUAGACAAAUUAGAUAUAAACUGUCUGAUAAAAUUUACCUUACCGAUCAAAGACUGGAGUUCAGUUUUGUUGGUAGGAGCAACUAUUUUAUUGAUGGCAUCAAUAGAUCUCCUACUAAUUUCAAUUCCUCUUUGAUGCACCAUGAAACCAAGAAAUUGCCCUGCCGAUACACCAAAUGCACACUUAUUAGGAUUCAUUUUUAAACCAUGCUUCCUUGUGCAUUCCAACACCUUUCACAAAUCGGCAAGAUGUUUUGUGAAAUCUCUAGACUUAACCACCACAUCAUCAAUGUAAAUCUCUACCAGCUUGCCAAUGAACUCAUGAAAGAUAAAAUUCAUAGCCGUUUGAUAGGUAGCACCAGCAUUUUUCAAGCCAAAGGUCAUGACUAUCCAUUCAAACAGCCCAACAUGACCAGGACAUCUAAAUGCAGUCUCUGGAAUAUCUUCCUCAGCCAUGAAUAUCUGAUUAUAUCCUGCAUUGCCAUCCAUGAAGAUAAUUAUUCGAUGUCCAGCUGUAGCAUCAACUAGCAAAUCAGCAACUGGCAUUGGGUAACCAUCCAUCGGCGUAGCCUUGUUAAGAUUUCUAAAAUCAAUGCAGACUCGAAGCUUCCCAUUUUUCUUGUAAACUGGAACAACAUUGGAAAUCCACUCGGCAUACCGACACUACCGAAUAAAUUUAGCUUCAAUAAGCUUAGUUAUUUCGGCCUUAAUAUCACGAAGAAUAUUAGGAUUACAUCGGCGAGCUGGCUGCUGAUGUGGCCGAAAUCCAUAUUUGAUAGGCAACUGAUGUCAACAAUGGAUCGGUCUAAACCAGGCAUCUUAGUGUAAUCCCAAGCAAAGCAAUCUUUAUAUUCCUUUAACAAAUCGGUUAAUUGUUGCUUACACUCAGAAUUUAACUUAGCACUAAUAAAAGUAGGUCUUGGCUUAUCACCACUACCUAAGUCUACUUCUCUUAAAUCAUCGUCCGAUGUAAACCCCUGGCCUAACUUUCCAUCAUCGACGAACCUAUCCAUUAAAACUCCUCAUCAGAACCGACUACUUAGAUUGGUGGAAUUUCAUAAUCGGCAACUUUGAGGAAAUCCUUCUCCCAAAUCUCUCCCGAGAUGCACCUGGUCCUUUCAUAGGUAUCUGCUUCUACCGAUGCUAUGACAUAAGAAGAAUCUCCUAGGACAAUCUCAAUCUUGUCACCUACCCACUGAACCAAGCAUUGGUGCAUUGUUGAUGGGAUGCAACAAUUGGCAUGGAUACAAUCUCUCUCUAGUAACAGAUUAUAAGCACCCUUUCCACUGAUCACAAAGAAAGUUGUCGGCAAGGUUUUGCUGCCGAUGGUCAACUCGACGCAUAUCGCUCCCUUAACUAGAGACACAUUUCCUUCAAAGUCCUUCAGCAUCAUAUCGGUCUUGGUCAAAUCUUGAUCUCCUCUCCCAAGUUUCUGAUUUACUGCAUAUGGCAUAAUAUUAAUAGCAGCCCCACCAUCAACUAAUAUCUUGGUCAUUGGCUGCCCAUCAACCCUUCCUUUAAUGAACAGGGCUUUAAGAUGCUGCCUUUCAUUGUCGGCAGGCUUUUCAAAGAUGGCCGUCAUCGGAUCAAGAGCCAACUGAGCUAUUUGGUCGGAAAAAUCCAGCUCCUUAUCAUCACUGGACGGCGCAAGGAACUCCAUCGGCAACACAAAUACCAUGUUAACAUGUGUUGAUGGCCCUUUCCCUUUAGGGUCCGGUUGCUGCUGAUUUUCAGAUUUGCCAGAAUUCUCUCCUUUGCUCAAAUCUUCUCGUCUCUCACGCUGCAGCCUUCUUUUCUGUGUCCUAGUCAGCCCCUCUGGACACCAUGGAGGAAGUUGCGGCUGCCUUACCGAUUGCCGACGAACUCCUCUUGACUCCACUCGGUAAGGAUUGGCAUCUCUGCAAAAUAUGAACUCAUCGGGAACUCGUGCAUCUGCCAUCUCCUCAAGUUCCUCUUGGUUCUUAGGAAAGUAUCCAACACGGUCACCAAGUCGGUCGUGCACACUGAGCCUGCCCCCAGCCGAUUAUGAACUGAGGCUCUUCCCCUAAUCGGCUCAUUAAAUCGCCGAUCAUCGUUCUGAUACUGCCGAUUAGGUCUAUCAUACCGAUCAUAACCAUUGCACUCAGGGCAGUCUCUAAUAGUGGGCAACUUGAUGUUUUGUUCCCAGCAAUGGAUAAAGAACGGGCAAUUCCAAUGAUCCUUAUGCCGAUUCCAUUCCUGCCGGCGUCUUUCUUCUUCCCGACGAUGAUCCUCCUAUUGGCGCCGAUACCGAUCCUCACGUUGCUGCCAAGUCUCCCGAUGCCUUCUAUGAGUUAUCAUAAUGCCAGAUUGGGGAGGCCUUCCUGAGCUGGUUCCUUCCUAGACUAGACCCUUGCCUUUAGCGUCAUCGGUAGUAAUAUGAUGUUGAGGAUCCACCGAUGCACUUCUUUCAGCUGCCUCUGACGUCAAGACCUUGGUUUUUCCCUUAGCAUCCAACAUAUUUGUUGGGAAAGGAUGUUGAUCGAUCUUCAUCGGCUACUGAGCUUUAGAAUUAUCAAACUUGAUUCUCCCAGAUUUUAUAGCCAAUUGCAGCUGUUGCCUGAAAACCUUGCACUCAUUUGUACCGUGAGAUGUUGUAUUGUGCGACUUGCAAUAUUUCAUCUUCUUUAAUUCUUCAGCCGAUGGGAUCACAUGAUUGGGUGACAACUUGAUUUGCCUCAUCAACAAAUGACACCUUUUUAUUCCAUGCUCUCUUAGGCUCAGAGGGUCUGAUGUCUUGGUCAGAAAUCCUCUGCACCAAGUGACUUAGGCUCUCGAACUCUUGAGAAGCAUAUUUGUCUUUGAUAUGUGGCAGCAAUCCCUGGAAAGCCAAAUCGGCUAGCUGCCGAUCAUCCAGAACCAGACUAUAGCACUUAUUCUUAACCUCUCGCAACCUCUGCACAAAACAUUCAACCGAUUCAUCAUUGCGUUGCUUCAACCUGACUAAAUUGGUAAUCUUCUUCUCAAGAACUCCAGAAAAGAAGUAUUUGUGGAAUUGUUUCUCUAGAUCGGCCUAAGUGAUUACUGAGUUAGGAGGUAACGAAAUAAACCAAGUAAAAGCCGAUCCAGAUAAAGAUGAUGAGAACAAGUGAACCCUUAAUUCAUCUUUGUUAGGAGCUUCCCCACAUUGGAUGACAAACCUAUUAACAUGUUCCAUAGUUAAUGUAUCAUCCUGUCCAGAAAACUUGGUGAAAUCUGGUACCUUGUACCGAUUUGGAAGCGGAAUUAAGUCAUAUGCGGGAGGAUACGGUGUCCGGUAAGAGGUAGUGUUGACUUUGGGUUUUAUCCCAAAUUGGUCUCUCAUCACUUCAGCUAUCUUAUCGGCCCAAUAAGCAUCGGCAUCUUGCCGAUGAGGCAGCUGUGGAUCUGGCACCUGCUGAUAAGCUUCUACGUGUCUCUGAGGUGCACGAUCUGCAUGGAACAUUGGAUUAACCAUCUGACCACUAAUUUGCUGACCAAGAUUCAUUGGCUGGUUGACCAACCCUUGAUUCUGAAACCCAGGUUGGAUUUGUCCUUGUUGAAACCCUACAGCCUGAUGAUUCUGCUAAGGCAUCUAUGGAAAGACAAACUGCCCAGUCCAUCCACUGUUAGCAUUCAUCGGCAUAGGCCCUGCCGAUGACUGGUAAUUGGGCAUCAUCAUUGAAUUGACAUACCCUGGCUAUGUCAUGAACCUCUGCUGCAUCGGCAUUGAAUCUGCUGAUGCAUUAGGCAUCUGGAACGUUGGGGCUUGAGAAUUCCCAGUGUAAGGUCUUGUAGUAGUAGUUGUAGUGUACUAGGGAUUUUGAUUCAUCGGUGGAUUUGGAGGUGCCGAUGCCAUAGGAGCCUUGCCUAUCACGUCAGCCACUUGAGAUGUUCCAGGACCUUUUGCCAUGAAUUCUGGGGGCAUACCAUAACCCCACUAGUUGGGAGGAACAGUCCCUGACAUUGCCGAUGCCAAUAGAUCUGUGGCAAGCUUGAUUUGCCCAUCUGAUGUUGAUGGAUUGAUCGUCAUUGGUGUAGACUACGCAUUAGUGAUCCCUAAUGUGCUUGGAGGAGAAGUAACUUCUGUACCAUCAACGGCUGUAGUAGCCGAUCGAGCUGUGACCAAUGAUGUCACGGAACCGUCCAAAUUAUAAGAGCACAAGUACAAAAACAAUCGUCGAAGUGAUCAAUUUAUCAUACUUGAGCCCAUAUAAUUCUGGUAGUCCAUCAAAAUCACGAGGGAUUUCAAACCAACCAACAUACAAGCCAAGAUCGUAGUGAUUCAACAUAACAAGUCACACGUUACAUGCAUUUCACAAGUAGUUCAAGUAUAUCGGAGUUCGUUAAAAUUAUUACAACUCAAGUUUACAAAUAGCGGAAGCAAAGUAAUUUGAAACCAAUAUCACUUUUAUUUCAAAUACAUGCCUGUACCAUGGUCCAUUCCAACUAAAGCAUCAUAGAUGAGGUAAGUAGGAAGGAUCAUGCCCAUGAUCUUACUCCUUCCCUAUAGCAGGAGUCAUCCAAAUCUUGCAGUAGCUAUGAUACAUCACAACCUGAAACAAGUGGGAAUAAAUCCUGAGUACGAGAAUGUACUCAGCUAGACUUACCCGUCAUAAACCAGAAAUAAAUGACACCAAGGAGUAUGCAAGGCUGAUAUAUAAGUGGAGCUUGUUGGAUAACAUUUUGCAUAAAAAGCUUAAGUAUAAAUAGUUAAACCUUUCUUAUUUAGCAUCCAUUUAAUUCUCAUUAACCUAUCAACUAGAUUAGCACCUGUACUAUAGCAAUCACUUGAUUAAUAUCAAUCAAUAAUAACCAUAUCAGGUUUAUCAAGGUUGUGAUCAUCAUCAUCAUCAUAGAACCAUUAAGUUAUUUAGUGAAUGCUACGUUUGCCGCUGCUUUGUCAAGUUCUCACUAUCCGGGAGAGACGGCGAUUCGAAUAGAUUCCUAUCCAGCUGGAGGGGUAUUCCUAGCACUCACCCAAGCAUCCUCCGUCGGAGAGCAAACAGGUCACCUUUGGUACGACUCAGGAAUCGCGGUUCCGAUCAGCGCCGCACUCCCAGGGCUACCACUCUGCCAGGGAGGUCAGGAAUUUUAACUCACCUGCCUUUGGACUUACGCCAAUGGUCCCCCGCACACCGCACUUCCUCCGGUAGUGUGCACUUUAUACUUACCAGCCUUCCGGCCUGAGUCAUAUUACUAGGCUUCGUGGUCGGAAUGAGUUAUCCGGCCAACUAAGUGUUAGGCAUGCCUUCAACAUGACAAGAGGACGUACAACGGUCGGUCCUUAAUCGACACAGACGGGGAUAGAUCCACACCCAAGACCUCCAUGCCUUGUUGCUUCAAUAUCAUCAUCCCGCCCGGUCUCCUUUCAUAUUAUUAACACAUGGUUCUUUUCCACGAUAGCAAAUAUAGCCAACCAUGAUCUGGAAUCCACCUAUAUACUGCAGGUGACAGAAAAUCACCUGGCUUCUACCGAGCUAAGCAUGGCUAAGCAUAGACGUGAUCCUGACUAAUUAGGAUUCAGGUUAUAUAUAUACUGGACAAGGAAGGGUAUAUAUAUGCAGCAAGGGUUUCAUCCAACUCCUAUACUUAAUGCAACAAUACAUAUAUAACAUAUAUAUACUCAUUCACUUUCAGAAAGUAGGAGGCUUAUAAUGCUCCGGGGCUUGCCUGGAAUCCGACACAAGUCAAUUAAGUUAGCUUGCACCGUCUUGACGACAUCUAAGGUGACAACACUUGCGUAGUCCUUCCAUCAUCCCGAUAGGUCCACCAUCACGUCCUUCACGUGGUUCAUCUAGCGUACCUACAUGAGAUGCAACAUGCAAGUGCAUGAACGUAUAGAAGUGCAAUAGACAAAGCAUCACAAACAAGAAGCAUGGCAAGAGCAUGGUUACAAUAACAUACUUAAGCACAUCUCACUACUCAACUUAAUGAUUACACAACCAACAUGCUAAAACAACAAAGAAUGCAACCAAGUAUAUCAGGCAUGGCAUACAUGUUUCACAAGAUCUCAAGUGUAAUAACUUGGCCAUUAUCAAAGACAUGAGUCAUACAUAGCAAUAUACCAAGCAACAGCAAUAAAAGAAAUCUGCCAUUUUUAGGACUGUUAACAGCAGCUGAGUAAAUAAAUCAUAACUGGAGUUACACAACUCCAGAAGACAUGAAUUGAGACAUUCUGGAAAGCUUAAGCAAUUACCUACAUUUGAUAUUUAGACAUAAAAGCAUGAUUCGCAACUUAAGCUUGCUGAAAUUAUAAAUUUCCAGAAUCUGUCCCUGACAAACAGAGAGCAGCCAUUUCUGGAAUCCAACUUUGAACGGACAUAACUCACAAACCACAAGGCUAAAUAUUACCAAAUGAAUUAUCUACAACUUUGCUACAAACAAGAUUCCCAGAAAACAUCAUUUACAUAUUGUAAAUCAAACAGUUCCAGAAACUGUCCAGAAACAACAAUUGCAACAAUUAAUUAUUUAACUUAUGUUUCAAACAUGCAUUUGAGCAAAACCAUUGUUACCAAAAGUUUACACAUAGUUAAAGAACACCAGAAAACAUAGUGGUCACUACCAAAUAAAUUUAUUUAAUGCAUUUCUUAAUUUAUUUGGAUAAUAAGGUGAAUUAAAGAACAUAUACCAAAAGUACACAGUAAAUUCCACCAAAAUUACAGUAGCCUCUACAUACUAUAAAUAGACUAUUAUACAAAUUUCAUUGUAUUUUAACAAACAUAGCAGUCUCUAUGAAAAACACAAAUUGCUAUUGCAAUUAACCAUGUGAGAGCAAGAUAAAUCUAAAACUCACAUUUUCUUCAAACACAUGACCAUAAUAUAUAUCAACAUGAUACAACAAUAUCACAGAAUUGUACUGGAACACCAUUUUCCAUUUUUAGAUUUUAUUUAUAAUUAUAAAACAUUUAUCAAGCCCCAUAAAGACAUCUCUGUCUAAAACAUGGAUGGAAUCUAUCAUGCUUCAUUAAACAGCCAUAACUUGAGUUUCAUAAGUCCAUAAAUUAUGGUUAUGUACUUUCUAGAAAGCUUACUAAGUUGUGAACAACUUUGUUAUAAACAUCUAGAGCUAAAUCUACCGCUAACAAGGUCUUACAUUACAAACAAUGCAAUCCAGUCUGGGUUUAGACAGAAACUGGAACAGUACUUUAAACCACUAUAACUAAACAUGUGCUUAACCAAAAAUUGUGCCAUUCAUAUUUUUGGAAGGCUUAUGAAAAGUACUACAACUCAUAUAUUUUCAUCCAGGCAUGAUUCACAACCUAACUGAGCCAAACAAUAUAAACAUGCAGAACUACUCAGAAUAUGAGCAAAGCAACACAGGGCAUUUGUUAUUUUUAUAACUCUUAAUCUGUCAUUCCUAAAUUCAUGCAAAUUUAACCAGAUAUCAAAUAUUAUAUGAAAAUAAUGUUAAAAAUAAUACAGCGGUUAUGAAAAAGACAAAUAUAACAAGCAAUUAAAACCGAACUGCACAAAUCUAUUUUUACCGUUUAAACUUCAAACUAAAACAUGAAAUAAUAUAGAUCUACUGCAUAGAGAAUUUCACAAGGAUUCCAAAAAGGACACAUUUGCUAUUUUACGACUUUUCUACGAAUUACUAUGCAUUUUCAAAGUUCAUACAUGAAAUCUGAAAAACAAAAGAAAAGGAAAACAGAUCUUGCACCGGGAACCCUAGCUUUUCCAAGAAUCACGCCACAGCCUAGUAACACUAUUCAUAUGAGUCUUGGCUUCGCAUCUGGAACCCUGAGUUGUUUCUUAUUCUAACCCGAGGUCCCUCUCCGACGCAGCCACUGCCGGCUCACGCAGCCAUGACGAGUGGCCGGCAGCAAGAGGCGAGGCCACAACGAGCCGAGCCUAGGCCUGCGCACCCGUACCCCACGUGCAUGGCUUGGCUGCUGCAUGAAGCUGCAGAGCAGCAGCACCGGCGCCCAUGGAGGCUGGCUGUCCAAGUUGCAUGGCCGUUUCUGGAGUAAGGAGGAAACAGAGCAAUGGAAGAGAGAGUGAGGGUGAGUGGAAGAGGUUGGGAGGGUGCUCUGGUGCCUCUCCACACUGGCACAUACGGAGGAAAAGACAAGGUGGACAUGGCAGCAAUGGAGGUGGGGAGCUCUCUGCAUGGUCGCCACGUCCAGAGAAGGUGUCACUGGUUGGAGCGUUUUGUCGAGCACGUGGCAUGCGACGGUGUGGGAGCGGUGGAGCGCGAUUUUGGGCCAGGUACGGGCUGAAUUUGGACAUGGGCCGAAAAUGAAGUUUGCUCAAUUCAUUCUGUUCUCCAACUUUGAUUAAGAGUGCAAAGCCAUUAGAGUAACAGAUUAAGAGAUAACAUGACGCCAAUCCUUAAGUGUCAAUGAAUUGAUAGUGAUUAGCAAAACUCAAAAUUGAUGACCAAAACGAAGUCAAACUGGUGCCAUCUUUUUGUAUACUCUUGUCCGCAAUAUAUACUGCAACUUUUACUAAGGGAUCAACUCAAGUUGUUUAACAAAAUUUGGAGAACGCGGAAUGCCAACGCGAUGAACUGUAAUCCCAGACUUAGAAAUUCUAAGUGCUGGAAACUAUAACAGAUUCAAACUUGUGACCAUUAUUUGACAUGGUUAGAAGAUGAUUCAGCCUUGGGCACUUUAACAAAGUUUGUAGUAUACAAACUAUGCUACAACUUUUACUAAAGGACCUUGUACUGAUUCUUCUUGGGCUCGAAGAUACAAAGCUCCCAACAUGGAUACCCAAAACUGAACACCUUGAGGACUUGGCCAAAAUUCUGGAGUUCCAAAACAGCACUGUGUUGAAUUUUGUGAGCUUAAUUUGACUAGGAUAGGUACCAAUCUAGCUCUUGAUCAUUAAAUAAAGUUUGUUCUACAGAAGCAAAACUACAACUUUUAUUUAAGGUCAAUCCCCAUAACUGGUAGCAAAGUCAAACUUUCACAUUGGUCAAAGUAUCAACUUGAUAAAGCUCAAACUAGGAUUUUAGAGCAAAUAAAGCAUUUUCUUGGCACAAGCUCAACAUGAACCCUUCAUGACUUUUGUUGUAGAGUUCAUCUAGAGUCAUUUGGUCAAGAUUGCAAGGUUAGGUUAGUAACCUAAGGUUCCGUUCACUUGAUAAGGUCAUUCCAACAAGCAUGUAACUUAUCCUUUCAUUUGACCUUUUGAAUCCAAACUUCAUGAAACUUUUUCAGUGAUCAACCUAGGUAGAGAUGGAGGUGAUACAUGUGAAAGAAGCACCAUCAACACCGACAAGAUUAUUAUGCAGGAUCAUCAAGCAUUCACUUGUCACAACAUCAAAGUAUGUUUCAUACUAUCAUAUAUGAACAAAUGAUGCUUAUGCUCCUGAAAUGUAAGUGCCAAAACGCAAGACAAACACCUGGGGUGUUACAAAUGAUGACCCUGGCUGAUGAUAGGUAGGACCCACAUAAGUUGGUGGUACUUGUCCUCCAUUAAAUGUUCUAGCCAUAGCAUUGAAAACCGUGUUGGACAGCACACCAGCUUGAUUGAUCAAGGCAUGGUUAAUAGCACUGUCAACCAUGUCUUGAAGUUUACCAGGAUUGGCUUCAAAAGUUAUCUGCCAAGGUGCCGGCAAUGCUUCCUUUUGGAUCACCUCGCCGCUCCUGUUGAUACUGAAGGAUUUCAAGCAUUGCUGCUUGUAUUUCUCCAUGACUUUUGCCAUAGCUUGCUUCUGCUCAUCCCGGAGAUUGGCUUCCAUCACUGGGAUGACGUUCUCCUAGUCAAAAUCGGUGUUCGACAUAUUGAUCUUGAUCUUGAAUCUGUCCCACUGGGCAUGCGAAAAGAUGUGUUGGUGCAAAAGCCAAUCUGCAAACACAAAGGGCUAAUACCCGAUUCAAACGUUAAGGCGUGCCAGCCGAUUUGACCUUACAAUCGACGAAGGUGGUAACUCGAACACUUUGGUCCCGACAACAGCGAUGCGCCCGGAUGUCACGGCCAAGAGGUGCUCACGCGGAACUUGAGAACACGCCAAGAUUGACUCGACGAAUUCUUAAGAACUCGUAGUAAAAAGAAAAUAUGACGAAGUCGUCGAAAAAGUAGAUGCUGGAAUAUGAGUAAAAACUUGUGUUUGAUUGAUUGAUAGAUCAAUCAUUACAUUGCCCUAGGGUCUACAUUUAUACCCUGUCCAAAGAGCUACAACCAGACACAACUAGGACUCGAAUUCCAAAUUAAACAGAACCCGUAUACAAAACGAAUCCUAAUAACUAAGGAAAACAUUAAACUAUCCCCGUAAUCGAUCAGGACAAUGCCACAAAUCAAUCGGCAACCUCCACGGUUUUCUUCAGGGUCAUCGGCAGACUACCUGUUACAGCCAUCGACAAACACUGGCACUGGUCAUCGGCACUAAUACGUCACCACUUCUGGACUUGAUCAUAUUUGGUUGUUUCUCAAUCGGCAACCACCUUCAUCGACAACUCCCCUAUAGACUAGUCACCAUUCCUCCACCUGCCGAUCUACAUCUUAUUAACUCUAGACGCGUGCCCAAAGAUACGUGUCCAAAAACGGUGUCAACAGUUACCAAAUAUCAACAGGGGGUAGGGCGCCCGCCCUCCCCCCUUGGGCGCCCGCCCAGGUGUUUCGGCCAAUCAGGCCCCGUCUCGCGGAUUAUGCUCCACUGACCAAAGGGAUCAAGGAAAACCGUGCGAUUAAGGUCGGUUUGAUCCGACGGCCCAUAUUCAUUAGGAGGGGCUAUAUAAGCAUGCCCCCUGGCCCCUAGAGGAGAGCAAUCAAAUUAUUCAUUAGCAUAUUUUCGAGAGAGGAUUCAGAGAGAGUGGUCCCUCUAGGAUUCCCACCUCAUAGGGCUUAGCAUCCAAUGUGAGAUUAGAAUUAGAUCUUCUAAGUUCUUCUAGAUUGAGAGAGAUAGAGUGGAGGUGUAGACCGGAGGAAGCUCGGCCUAUCGGUGUCUACUCUGAGGUUGUACCUGCGGGAUCAAGUCUCCUAACCCGAGGCUUGCUCCUAGGAUUCUUCAGUAUUUCGACUUCUAAAUUCUAGUAAGUUCUUUGUUCUUAUUGUUCUUUGGUUUAUGAGUUUAUGGUAGAGUUUAGAGUAAUCACUGCUAGCGUAAACGUGGUGUUUGGGCUAGGGUACUCAUAGAUAUCCCCUGUCUAGCUGGACCGUGGUAGUAGCGAGGAACGUGACAUUUCCGAGUUACCUUUGUAGCCCACAUCCCGUUAGCAGGAUCGGUAGGGUUUAUAGGUGCGGGUCGAACAUCCUUUGUGGUGUCUAGAUUCCGUAAGCCUCCCCAAUAGAACAGUAGAUCAUCCUUACCAUGGUUAGAACAAGAGUGCGGUUGUAGUCUUCUCUAUACAUCGCUCACAUCGAAUCAUAUUGUUUGUAGCCUAAAGGGUAGUAGCAAUAGAUUUGGUUAGUCAGAUGCACGCUUUCUCCCAAUGGUAAAAAUAUAAAUACGAUACUCUAGAUAACCUCUCGGAUGAAGUGCUCACUGAUAUCUGUGCGCUUGCGGAUCAUUUCCUGAUGGCGUUACCAAAUAUCAACAACGUCGUUGCCGGGGAGAAAGACAGUUUGCUGAGAUAACUUUGAGUCUUGCUAUUAUCUUGUAUUAUACUUUUAUACUUUUAUUCUUUUAUCUUUUUAUUUUUUCCAUCUUUGUGGAUAACUCAAAUUCCACACCUAUUAUUGAUUUUUUUGCACCUUCAGAGACCAGCCAUAUACCAUGGGAGUCAACAAGUCCUUUCUUUGCCCCUAAUUAUGAUCUGUGUCUGGAGUUGAUUGCAAUAGGUCAAAACCAACCCUUUUCUAUAGCCGAGGUCCUAUCUUUUAAUCAAGAAGAUAAUGAACUUUUAGCUACACCUAGGGAAUCUUUUAAUCUUUCUAUAAAUUAUUGUUUGAACCUAGCCCUACAAGACCAUGUUUUUCCUCGAUAUUUUCACAUUGGUCUUAAUCAUAUAACCUUUGGUAGAGUUUUUCUUUCUUUAUCUGUUAGUAAAGCAAGGUAUGUCUUCAUUCGAGGACAUCCUUCUUGCACUAGUCUUCAUAAAAAAAUCCUAGAGAUAGAGAAGGAAUCGUCUCCUAGACGAGGAAAGGAAGUUUCAAUAGCUGAUUUCCAAACAUUUCAAUCCCAUGAUUCGGCUAUCCAACCCAAACUAGUAGUGCUCCAAAAUCAUCUAAGGGAAGAAGAAAUUCUACCUUUGGAAUUUCAUUUUGGGAUGAGCUUAAACUUCCUGCUUCGUAAGAGACCUUUGAGUGCAUAUAGUCUGAACCUUCCUAAGAAGGGAUCUCUUAGAAAGCAUCUCAAAUCCAAUCCCUUUUAUGGACAUCUAGAAAGACUCAAGGAUGGCAUCUUAAGUGAUGCAAUAGAAGGAGAGCGAAGCCAUUUAGAAGACAAUCUCAUCUUCUCCCCUUCUACGCCCACUUUUGAUGACUCAUUCAAACCUAUCUUUAAACCCAUCCUUGAGCCUAAUAAUUUCUACUAUGCUCUUUCUCUUGAACAUCCUGAUGAUCCUAUGAAUCUCUCUAGACAUCCCAUGCAUAAGAGUCACCAAGACCACAAGGAGGAUCGAGAAAAACAACAUCAAUGGCUAGAGGGCAUUAAAAAUCCAUGUGCUAUCACCAUUGAACGGAUGGAUAAAACAAACUUGAGAGACAAUCUUAGAGGAAUUUUAAGCACCCAUGAAGAAUUAUCCUUGGAGUUUGAGAAUGAGAGAAACAACAGUGAGCAUGGGAGUUAUUUCAUAAAUACCUCACCAAGUCCUUGCUCAUAUAAAACAUCUCCCCAAUCAAUUGGUCUCUCCAACCUUACCAAAUUUGAGGUCUCCAACCCCCUCUUCCUUUCUAUUUAUAAAAACUUUAAAGGGGUGGUUAUCGAUGCAUAUGUCUAUAAUAAAUAUUGCAGAUAUCGUUGAGUCGAUCUUGAUAUAGGCACGAUUAGGUUGGUGUUGGAGGGGAAACCACUUCACCAACAUAAUUUGAUGGUUUCCCAAGGACAAGCUUAGUGUCCUAAAAUAAGCACUUAUCAGAUCGUAACAUGAACUUUUAAUUAUUUGCAACAUUGCCUUGUGUAUUGAGCAUAUAAAGAUAAUUGUAGAAAGAUUCCUUCGGGUAUUCGUGUCACUAACCUUUCUAGGAUUGGAGCAAGAAGAUCCGAGGAAUGACAAGCGCAAGGUAUGCCCAACCAAUCAUCAUGCAACAUUGAAUUAAGUUCAUCCAAUAUUGAAUUUUGCAAAAUUCAAGCUUGGGGGAAAUACCUUACAUAAGAACAUCCUUUGCCAUGUUGCUAUGUUGGUUGUCCCUACUUUUGAGGCAUGCUCAAUUUUUCUAAACACUAAACUUAUUUUUCAUCUCCACCUGAGUAGAUCUCUAUAAAUGCUGUCUAUUCACAAGCAAGUGUUGGUUUGGAAGUACUCGACAUACUUCCAUUGGCAUUUAAAUCAAGCGUGGUGCUUAGCUUAAAUAGCCUUCCUUAAUCUAAUUAGACAUGGAGUCUAAUUUGGUUACUGAACUAAAAACUGCUUGAGUAGACAUUAGUAUAUUUUGUCGGACUAACCCCUACAGGAGAACUUUCAAUAUCAACCUGGGAAGUCCUGAGAUACAAACUCACAUUGGAGACAAAGGAGACACAUGAAGUUUAACGAUUUGCACAAGGAAGACAUAGCUCAUUCAUCAUAGAGAGAUGAUCCAUGGAACGAGACAAAGAGUGCCACAAACACGGUGCACAACCGCUAAGAAAGAAAAGCUUCCACAAGGUGAUACUGUACCAUCACUCUUCAAGUAAGGUAACAUCUUAAGGUACUUGACUAUCACUUUUAUAAGCUUCUCCUUGGUUGUGGCGUUCACAUGAAUAAAGAGACAAACAUAAAUUAACCAACCCAAUUAAUUCAACAUGUUUAGUCCUUUAAUCUUUGUUCUUAGUACUACCUGCGUGAUCCCACACUCCUAAUCAUAUAAGCUAAAAUGUUGCACAUUCAAUCUUUGAAAGAUAUAAAAAAACAUAAAUAUAGAUAGAUUAUCUCUCCAUUAGGUCGAGCGAUCUGAUCUGACAAAUGUUCUAAAUGCUACACUCAUGAUCUUAUUAUCAAUCAACUUUGUCUUGCUCACUAUGCUUAAGGUUAGAGAAGAACAAAUACGCUUUUGGUUCUGUUGGUGUUUUUCACCAACAGGGCCCAUGCACUUGAUCUCUGUCUUGUCUCUAUGAGCAGGUACACUUCGAGCAAAACCUGAAGGAGUUUUACAACUCCCAGAUUCCACCAAGUGAAGGACUUGGAUCUACGAGCACAAACACACUGAGCAGGAUGCUGCCAAUGCCGCACCUCGAACUGCUGGACAAACGAAGAACAUAGUUGACACCGUAUCAAGAGGUGCAGAUGUCAAGGCCCACACCUAAUCAAAUGAUGCACCUAAAGGAUGAACACGGUGAGAAGUCUUGUCAAGAAGACUUAAAACAUUAGAUCCUUGCCGGAAGGUAAAAUUGGUAUUUAUCUAUAUUUAUCUUUUCUGCAUUUCUUUUCCUUUUUAUUCCAUCACUUGCAUUAGCAUAUUUACUUUACCACAUUAGCAUUAGAAAAGAAAACAAAAAUAUUUGUUCGUUUCACUGCAUCAUAAAAUUUAAAGCCCCAUGUGAGUAGACUUGUGGUUUAAAACCCAUAGGUAUAUUGACUGUGGUGGCAUAAAAUAAAUAUGUUUUCAUCUUACAAUAAAAGUACAAAAAUAAUAAGUGUAUGAUCCUGCUAAAUAAAUAAAAUUUAUUAGGAGGAAUCUCAAUAUGAUAAAGGCUAAAAGAUUUUAUGCUAACACUUAACCAGUUCCACAAAGCUUUGUUGUCUAUUUGAGCUCCACAGAAUUCAAGGAUCAAAGAAGACUAGCCGGCGGAGGACAUAGUAAUCGCUAUCAGGGUGUUGCCGACAUUCAAAUACACCUCCGUCACCUGCUAGCUACAUCAGAAGAAAUUACGUCAAAACCCAGC
rnacentral:lncRNA from 1 species